AAAAAGGUUAUGCAAUGGUGUGUUAACGCGCUUCAUCCAAUAUUAAAUGAGUACUUUAAAUGAGUUUGUAUCUCUACAAAUCAUUUCUUUCACUCUUUUGCAUUAAUGCUUUCUAUUCUAAACAUUUCAUCUACUCAUCAAUUCCUUCCAUGGAAUUGGCCUCUUCAUCAUCAAAUCUGCCACCGAUGUAUGAUGUGGUCAUAAACUUUAAUGGAGAAGACAUCCAAAGGAAAUUUGUUUCUCAUCUCGAUUCUGCCCUCUCUGCUGUUGGCCUCACCACCUUCCUUCAUCACCAGAAUGCAGACAACCCAAUUCACAUCCAACAACCUAGUCUCAAUCUCUCUCGUGUAGCAAUUGUUGUUUUCACAAAAUCCUAUUCUCAAUCGGCUUGGUGUCUUCACCAGCUUCAACAAAUCAUUAGAUGGCAAGAAACUUAUUGCCGACAUCUUCUGCCCGUUUAUUACGAAAUUGAGCCAUCUGAUGUACGUCUUCAGAAGGGUGAUUUUGGAAAAGCCUUCAAAGCAACUGCACACCAAACGUUUUCAGGACGAAAACUGGAGCAUGGUAUGUCUAGGUGGAGCCACGCACUCACCAAAGCUGCAAAUUUCUUUGGAUGGGAUGAGAGCAAUUACAGGUAAAUCACUCACUCACUAAGCUUGUACUUCAAUUUUGGUAAUACAUGACUUGUUCUAUAAUAUUGUUAUUGACUUUGAAGGAGUGAUGCUGAACUAGUGGACAAAAUUGUUAAGAGCGUUCUUAAUUUACAAGUCUUGACUGCUACUAAAUUUCCAGUUGGAUUACAAUCCCGUGUGGAAGAUGUGAUUCGAACCAUCAAAAAUAAAUCCUCGCAAGUUUGUACCAUAGCGAUAUAUGGAAUGGAUGGUUCUGGUAAAACCACCCUUGCCAAAGCCAUCUACCGUCAAAUUCAUGGUUCAUUCACGGAGAAAAGUUUCAUGGAAGAUAUUGCACAAGUUAGUCGAACGAGAGGGGGUGUCCAAUUAAAAGAACAACUUCUUUCAGAUGUCCUAAAAACAAAGGUAGAGAUAGAUAGCGUUGAGAUGGGAACAAGUAUGAUUCGGAAAAGACUUUCUGGGAAAAGGGUGCUCAUUGUACUUGACGAAGUGGAUCUCUAUUGUCCAUUAUUAAUAGACCUAUGGGAAAGUCGAGCAUGGUUCGGUGAAGGAACUGUAAUAAUCAUUACAACCAGAGAUGAAGGCUUACUGAAGAUACAUCAAGUUGAUUCUGUUUUUCGAAUAAAGCUGAACGAAAACGAGUCCCUUGAGCUUCUUAGUUGGCACGCAUUUAGAGAAGCAAGACUAAAAGAAGAAUACUAUUUCGUCCUUGCAAGAAUAGUAGUUGCUUACUGUAGAGGACUACCUCUUGUUCUUGAAGUCAUUGGAACUUAUUUAUAUGAAAGGACGAAAGAAGAAUGGAACAGAAUAUUGUUAAGAUUAGAAAGUAUUGCCCUGAAUGAAGUUCCACAGAUAUUGAAAAUAAGCUUCCACGGUUUACAUAGUGAAAUGGAACAAGAUUUAUUCCUUGAUGUAUGUUCUUUCUUUGUUGGUAAAGGCAGAGCCUAUGUUACCAAUAUCCUAAAUGGCUGUGGGGUAGACGCUGAUAGUGGAAUAAGAGUUCUCAUAAAACGUAGCCUCAUAAAAGUUAAAAGGAACAACAAAAUUGGAAUGCAUCCUUUGAUACAAGAAAUGGGAAGAGAAAUUAUUCGUAACAUUUCAGAGAUGGAGAGGCAAGUGCGGUUUGUCGAUGGAGAAUAUGUAUUGACAGAUAAUUCAGUAAGAUUAUUCUUUAUAUGUGGUUUUCAAAACUUCUCUUUGAAGUGUUUCCUUUCUCAUUUUUAGUACAUUUGUUUUUCUUUGCUCUUUUCACAGGGGACAGACUCUUGGGCAGUGCCUGUGAAACUGCGUUCAGCCAGAAGAGAACCAUCAAGACUGCUGAAACUCGAUGGAAAUUCUGAGUACACUUCUAAUAAACUGAGAUGGAUCAGUUUGCAAGGGUCUUUUUUAGAAUACCCAUAUAUCAAUUUUCCUCUGCAUGAUGCAAUAGCGAUUGACAUAAAACACAGUCUUCUUCGACUCGUCUGGAAAGAACCCCAGGUUUUUAUUACUUGCCAUUUUCUAAUAAAACACAAAGCUAAACUAAAACUAAAACAAAAACAGUAACCUGUUUCAUUUUUUUAUUUAUUAACAAUAAACAAUAUAUUAAAAGGAGAUACUUUAUGGUGUCCCAAUCUUAUACAAGAACCAACAUUCACAAGACAUAGACAACCCAAACAGCAAUUUACAGGCAUAACAACAAAAAAGUUUGAGUUGCUAUAAAAAGAGCAUAACCAUAAACCUGCAUAAAUCCCUCAAACCCAUGUGAUAUGCAUACUGCUGUUUCAUUUUGAUUUUCUUCUCUGAUACUUGUGAAAAAAACUCUCACGGUGUAGGUUUUGAGGUGGCUGAAAGUCCUUAAUCUUAGUCACUCCAUGUAUUUAAUGGAAACCCCUGACUUUUCCGGACUACCAAGUCUUGAACAGCUCAUUCUCAAAAAUUGUCCAGGAUUGCGCCAAGUACACCAAUCUAUUGGAUGUCUCUCCAAUCUUACACUGCUAAAUUUGAAGGACUGCACAAGUCUAAGCAAUCUGCCGAGAAAGAUAUAUAAGUUGAAAUCCUUAAAAACUCUCAUUCUCUCUGCUUGUUCGAAGAUUCAUCCAUUGGAAAAAGAUAUAGUGCAAAUGGAAUCCCUCAUAACUCUAAUUACAGAAAAUACAACUGUGGAACAAGUGCCUUUUUCAAUUAUAAGUUCAAAAGGCAUUGGAUACAUAUCCCUACGUGGAUUUGAGAGAUUGCCACCUAAUCUUUUUCCUUCUAUCAUUCGGUCUUGGAUGUCUCCAAAAAUGAAUCCCAUAUCUUAUAAUCAUUCGUUUUGCAUGGAUAUGGAGCAUAAUAGUUGGGAUGAUAUUGCUCCAUUGCUUAGUAGCCUGGCAAUUCUUCGAAGUGUUCUGGUGGAAUGUGAAACUGAGUUUCAACUAUCUGAGCAAGUGAAAAAUAUUCUGGUCCAAUAUUUUGCAUAUAUUAUAGAAUCAGGAAGUUCAAAGCAUCACUUCAAGUCUUCUUUGAUUGGUUUUGGAGCGUACCAAGAAUUCUUAAGUGCUGCCAGCGAUAACAUAUCUAAGGUUCUUCUCUAUCUUUUCCUUUGUUUAUAACCUUCACUUUAGCUGUUAGUUAAGCCAACAUAAAAAUAAUCUAAAAAAAGUGUAGAAACUACAAUUCUAAACUUUUAGCACCCUUACCUUCUACUGCCACACAACUUCAUACAAAAGUAUCUUAUUUUAUUAAUCAACUGACGAAGUGAUUAUUUUCUCUUUCUUGCUUUACUAGCUUUCUGAUUGUUUUUAUUCCAAAUGAUGGCAGAAAUAUAAACUGAAAGAGACGACAACAGAAAUGCAUUCUGAAUCCCUUUGGUGACAUAACACAACAAAACUACUAACCAGAUUUAUUGUUUGCAGAAGACAAUUUGAAUAGGAAAAUUAGAUAAAUGACUAAGCUUUUUAGCGCAUGGUACAGGUAUUGGCAAGCAGUGAGACAUGUGAUGUUUCUCUCCCAGGUGAUAAUCAUCCUCAUUGGUUGGCCCAUAUGGACGAGGGACAUUCUGUUUCUUUCAGUGUGCCUCCAGAUCGUGACAUGAAGGGAAUGGUUUUGUGUGUCGGUUAUUUAUCAACCCAUGAAAUCGUGGCAACUGAAUGUUUUAGAAGUGUCUUAAUUGUUAAUUACACAAAGUGCACAUUGCACAUACACAACCAUGGGACAGUAAUUUCCUUUAAUGAUGUAGAUUGGCAAGGUAUAAUGUCAAAUUUAGGAUCAGGAGACAAGGUGGAGAUUUUUGUAAGUUUUGGUAAUGGAUUGGUAGUCAAGAACACAGCUGUUUAUCUGAUAUGUAGUGAAUCAAAUGACUUAGAAAUAGAAAAGGAGCCUGCGUCAAAGAAAAAUUCUCUUAUUAGAUUUAUAAAGAAAAUUAGUAAUGUGACUUCUCUGGUAAGUCAUUUAUCUACCUCUUUGUGAACAGCAGGAUCCCUUUAGUUAUGGAAUUAAUACUUGUGUCCUUCAUUGCAAUCUAUUUAUUUCCCAUCCUUUCCUUGUUUCUCUUUGGAGUAUAACUUAUAGUUAAGAAAUUAAUGUUUAUUUACACUGUUCUCAGUCCUCACAUUGUGCUUCUUGGCAUUACUUUACCUGUUUAUUGUAUUUGUUUUCUUGUGGUUAGUUUUGUCGAUUCUUUUCCCUUUCAGCAUAUAAUAUUUCUUUAAGAAAUCAUCUUUAAAGAAAGACAUUCAUUAUGAUAUAGAUAGCUGCUAUUUUAUAUUAUUAUGUUUUUUUAUCAACAAUAAAUAAAGAAUCAAUAAAUAAGCAGAAAUAAGUUUUUUUAAACAAAUGGUUCGAUAUUUCUUUUAAGAUCGUGACCAUAUUUGGAAAAACCUAGUUGAAAACUUGAAAAUUACAUAUAAUGGAAACCUAAACUGAAAACUAUAAUGAAAGCUAUAAAUGAAAAUUGCAAAAGAAAUUGAUAAUUAAAAUUCGUUGCAUUUAGUCUUAAAUAAAAGGAAUGAGGCUACGGUGCUUAGUAUGUUGAAACAGAGGCUACCUAGCAGAUAGCAAAACUAAACACAACAAAAUAUCGAACAACAGCUGUGUUUAUUUCAUAAUGCAAUGUCUCUUUCCAAGAGACUUUCUUAAUGAAAAGAAUUGCCAAAGUAACAACGAGAAACAAAUCCAAUAAAGAGAUAAAGUAAAGCCCAGGAAGCACAGUGAAGAGUUAGAAACAGGGAAAAACAGAGAAAGAAAGGGAUUAAUUCGAUAACUAAAGGGAUCCUGCUGUUUCAAAGAAGAUAUAUGACUUACCAAAAUUCACAUUACAAUUUUCUUUUUCAAUCUAAUGGAGUAAUUUUUCUUUGGCGGGCUCUCUUUCAAAGUCAUUUGAUUCUCCAUAUAUCAAAUAGAGAGUUGUGUUCUUGACCACCAAUCCAUGACCAAAACUCACAAAAAUCUCCACCUUGUCUCCAUAUCCUAAAUUUGACAUUAUGCCAUGCCAAUCUUCAUCAUUAAAGGAAACUACUGUCCCUCGGUUGUGUAUCUGGCAUGUGCACUUUGUGUAAUUAACAAUCAAGACACUAGCAAGACAUUCAGGUUCAAUGAUUUCAGAAUUUGAUAAAUAAGCAACCCACAAAGCCAUUCCCUUCAUGUCACGAUCUUGAGCUACAGUGAAAGAAACAGAAUGCCCCUCACUCUUAUGGCUCAACCAAUAAGGAUCAUUGUCACCCGGGAGUGCAACAUCACUAGAGUCACUCCUUCCCAAUGUCUGUACCAUGGAAUAAAAAAAAAAUAAUUAUUUAUCUAAUUUUUGCUUUUCCAAUUGUCUUCUGCAAUCAUUAUUUUAUCACUGAAAAUUACAAAACGGGCAUUUUUAAUCUAAGCAAAUCUGGUUAAUAGUUUUGUUGUCUGUAAAUCACCAUCAUAUGCAUCUCAGUUUUCAUCUCUUUCAGUUUAUAUUUCUACGAUCACUGGCAAUAAACAAUCAUGAAGCAAGUAAAACAAGAAAGUGGAAAGCAAUUGUUUAGUACUAAGUAUAAGCAUAAUGACUUGGUUAGCUGAUUGUUAAAAUCAGAAACUUUUAGAUGAAGUUGUGAGGCAAUAGAAGAGAAGGGUGUUAAAAGUUUAGUACUGACUUUCUGUCAGAUACUUCUAUAGGAUUAUUUUAUGUUCCUUUAAUUAAUAGUUAAAUGAUGGUGAAGACAAUAAAUAAAGGGAAAGCUAGAAAAGAACCUCAGAUAUGUUAUUGCUGAUAGUAUUGAAGAAUUCAUUGUAUGUUCCAACACCAAUCAAAGAAGACCUGAAGUUAUGCUUCAAAAUUCCUGGUUCUGUAGUAUUUAGAUCAUAUUCGACCAGAAUAGUUUCUACUUGCUUAUAUAGUUGAAUCUGGAAGUCACAUUGCACCAAAACACUUCGAAGAUUUGGAAGGGUGCUAAGCAAUGGCGCAAUAUAACCCCAGUUAUUAUCCUCCAUAUCCGUGUAAAAUGAAUGAAUAUAAGAUAAGGGAUUCAUUGUUGGUGACAUCCAAGACCGAAUGAUAGAAGGAAAAAGAUUACGAGAUAAUCCCUUAAAUCCACGUAGGGAAAUAUAUCCAACGCUUUUUGAGCUUACAACUGAAAAAGGCACUUGUUUCACAGCUGUGUUUUCAGCAAUUAGUGUUAUCAAGGUUUCCAUUUGCAUUAUAUCUUCUUCCAAUAGGUCAAUUUUCAAACAGCCAGAGAGAAUGAGAGUAUUUAAAGAUUCUAACUUAUAUAUCUCUCUUGGGAGAUUGCUUAGACUUGUACAGUUCUUCAAAUUUAGCAAUGUAAGAUAGGAGAGACAUCCAAUAGAUGGGUGUACUUCCACCAAUGCUGGACAAUCUUUGAGGAUGAGCUGUUCAAGACUUGGUAGUGUGGAAAAGUCAGGGGUUUCUGUCAAGUACACAGAGUGACUAAGAUUAAGAACUUUUAGCCACCUCAAAACCUGCAUUGAGAUAGUUUUUGUGAAAAAUAUUAAAUACCAAAAUAAAAUGAAACAGCAGUAGCAGGUUAUUAUUUUUGUUUCAGUUAUUAAGCUUUGUAUUUUAACAGAAAAUGGCACGUAAUAAAAACCUUGGGUUCUUUCCAGACGAAUCGAAGAAGACUGUGUUUUAAAUCGAUCGCUAUUGCAUCAUGCGGAUAAAAGUCGUUAGGUAGGUAUUCUGAAUGAAACCCGUGCAAACUCAUCCAUCUCAGAUUCUUAGAACGAUACUCAUAAUGCCCAGGGAGUUGUAUUUGAUCUGGUUGCACCAGUGUUGAUCCGUCUCUUAUCUCUAAAGGAUAAGCUUCGGAGUAAUCUCUUCUGGAUGAACGCAGUUUCACAAACAAUCCGUCUAUGGCUUCUGUCCCCUGUGAUGAAAGGAGCAAAAUAAACCAAAUGAAUGUAUUGCACAUGAGGAAGCAAACACUCCAAAAGAACUUUCAAAACCAUAUAUAGAGAAUGUUCUUACUGUAUUAUCUGUCAAUACAUAUUCCCCAUUCUCAUCAGAUUCCUUUCUUGAUAUUUCAAUAAUUUCUCUUCCCAAUUCUCGUAGCAAAGGAUGUAUUCCCAAUUUGUUGCUCUUUUUAACUUGUAUGAAGCUACGCUCUAUCAGAACUCUUAUUCCACUAUCAGCGUCUACUCCACGGUCAUUUAGGAUAUUGGUAACAUAGUCUCUGUCUUUGCCAACAAAGAAACAACAUACAUCAAGGAAUAAAUCUUUUUCCAUUUGUCUAUCUAAACCGUCGAAGCUUAUUUUCAACAUCAGUCUAAAUUCAUAGCGGGGAAUUUUCUCUAAUCUUGACAAUACUAUGUUCCAUUCUUUUUCCGUCCUUUCAUAUAAAUAAGUUCCAAUGACUUCAAGAGCAAGAGGUAGUUCUCCACAAUAAGCAACUACUCUUCUUGCAAGGAAAUUGUAUUCUUCUUUUGGUUUUGGUUCUCUAAAUGCGUGCCAACUAAGAAGCUCAAGGGACUCGUUCUCGUUCAGCUUUAUACGAACAACAGAAUCAACUUGAUGUAUCUUCAGUAGGCCUUCAUCUCUGGUUGUAAUGAUUAUUACAGUUCCUUCACCGAACCAUGCUCGACUUUCCCAUAGGUCUAAUAAUAAUGGACAAUAGAGAUCCACUUCGUCAAGUACAAUGAGCACCCUUUUCCCAGAAAGUCUUUCCAAAAUCAUACUUCUUCCCAUCUCAACGCUAUCUAUCUCGACCUUUGUUUUCAGGACAUCUGAAAGAAGUUGUCCUUGUAAAUGGACUUCCCCUCUCGUUCGACUAACUUGUGCAAUAUCUUCGACGAAACUUUUCUCCGUGAAUAAACCAUGAAUUUGACGGUAGAUGGCUUUGGCAAGGGUGGUUUUACCAGAUCCAUCCAUUCCACAUAUCCCUAUGGUACAAACUUGCGUGGAUUUGUUUUUUAUGGUUAGAAUCACAUCUUCCACACGGGAUUGUAAUCCAACUGGAAAUUUAGUAGCAGACAAGACUGGUAAAUUAAGAACGCUCUUAACAAUUUUGUCCACUAGUUCUGCAUCACUCCUUCAAGUUCAAUAACAAUUAUAGAACAAGUUGCCAAAAUUGAAGGACAAGCUUAAAAUAUGCUUAUUGAGUAAGUGAUUUACCUGUAAUUGCUCUCAUUCCAUCCAAAGAAAUUUGCAGCUUUGGUGAGUGCGUGGCUCCACCUAGACAUGCCAUGCUCCAGUUCUCGUCCUGAAAACGUUUGGUGUGCAGUUGCUUGCAAGGCUUUUCCGAAAUCACCCUUCUGAAGACGUACAUCAGAUGGCUCAAUUUCGUAAUAAACAGGCAGAACAUGUCGGCAGUAAGUUUGGUGCCAUUUAAGGAUUUGUUGGAGUUGAUGAAGACACCAAGCAGAUUGAGAAUAGGUUUUGGUGAAAACAACAAUUGCUACUCGACAGAGAUUGAGAAUAGGUUGUUGGAUGUGAAUUGGGUUGAGUGCAUUGGGGUGGUGAAGGAAAGUGGUGAAGCCAACAGCAGAGAGGGCAGAAUCGAGAUGAGAAACAAAUUUCCUUUGGAUGUCUUCUCCAUUAAAGUGGAUGAGCACAUCGUACAUCCGUGGGAGUUUGGGCGAUGAAGAUUCCAAUUCCAUGGAAGGAAUUGGUGAGUGGAUGAAGUGUUUAGAAGAGAAGCAAUAAUGCAACACAGUCAAAAGGGUGAUCUGUUCAGACACAACCAUUCAAAGUAGGCGGAACAUUAAUGUUCUUUAUAGUCGUGCGCACGUGAAGAUAAGAAAAAAAUAUUACAUUAGCAAAAAGUCUAAACAAUUCUUGAUUUUUACUAAUUUAAUCAUAACUUGGUGUAAACAAUUAUUUACAGUGAGGCCAAAGCAAUUACUGAAAAUUUUAUAAUACAUUUCAGAUGCAUCUUGCACUCGUAACCAUUGCGCUUGUCACCUCUAUAUUAAAACCCUAUUUACGGUUAAAUAUUUUUUCCCCUAACUUUUUUUAUUUAUACUUUUAUGCAUGUAGUUUAUUCUUAUUUUUCAUCGUAUAAUUUUAAAAAUAUUUUAGUUUUCGUUGUUAUUCUUUGUUACAAACCUGUUGAAGUGACAAACCAUGAUAACAUCAAAGUAAUGUGAUUAGAUUUAAAAUCAAACUUGACAUUUGCUAGCACUAAAAAAAUAUGAAUAUACUUUCAUCCCACCUUACCUCUUUUUUCUUAAAUUUUCUUAUUCGUCCUGACAAUGACAAGAGGAAAAUCUUGUAUGGAAAUUGGGAGAUUAUAUGAGAAUUGUUCUCGUCUGCUGACUUUGGUCGGACCUCGGUAGUAGACUCCAAGUUCAAUCAAUUUUGCUUGAUGUUGUUGAACCUAGACCCUGGUGCUUUGUGACGAGGGAAGCUCCACUUCUUGAUCACACUUUGAAAAUCAAGUCAGUGAGAGCAUUCAAACUAUGAUAUCUCAAUGAAAAAUUUGUAUUAGUGUAAAAUCCUCAGAAAAACAUACCUUUGCUCAGGGUCUCAUACCCUUUUUAUAGACUUUCCUUCAACAAUUUCAUCAACAAGAAUAUUCUGUUAAGAUUUGGCUUCAUUUUACGAGUGCAUGCAACUUUUAUUUUUAUCAGCUUUUAUUUACAUUGAAAAUAUAUACGCCUAACUAAUUUAGUUAAGCCAUUUUACUAUAAUUAUAUUUUAACAUGGACUGCCAACUGUUUGGGUUGACCUCAUAAGACAUUAUGAGGCUUAUAUUUUAUCCCAGAUCAAGCUAGGUAUUUUCCAAAUGGGUCCGACCAACCGAGUUAUCACACUGAAGUAUUCGGGAUCGAGGUCCCGAGCACGUCAGACUAGUACACUGGCCCCACGUUCAAGCCGAGCUUGAGGAGGCGAAGAGGCUUACUUGUAUUGGUGGUUGACACGACGCUUUUGUUAAAGGGUAGCUGGGACACAGAUUCUUAAGCGUCUUUCAGAAAGACAUCCCACCAUACUUAAUGUGGUGUGUACACGUGGAACAUAAAUCAACGGUGAGGCAAUCCUUUCGUUUUGAGUUCAUUUCCUCCAUACAUAACCCUUUUCUUCUUUGAACCUAACACUCUUUGCUUCUUUCUCUAUGCCAACAAGCACUUCCCUCCCUUCGUCGCACCACUUCACACCGCCAUCUUCCACUGGUAAAACAAGUAUGUUUCAUUCGUUUAACUUUAUCUGGUGACUAUAAUCUUUCCAUUGAUUUCAAUAAUGCACCUUGGUAUACGUUGAUUCGACUCAUUCUGUAUGUGCUUUCCCCUGAACUUCGUUUGCAUUCUAUCUCUGUUUAUGUCUUUGUUGUCUUUGAAGAUGGAUUAUAGUUUUGCUUAUCCUUGGGCUAAAAAGGAACUGCUUAGAGAAACCUCCGUCUUUACUACCCGUUUAAAAAUUAGAAAGCUAAGAAAAUCGGGGGGUUUAAGCAAAAAGUAUGAGAGUUUAGUGAAAGUAGUAGAGUGUAGGGAAGGGGAGCCUAUAUGUAGUAACGAGUCCUCGGACCCUAACAGACCAUUUUGCUUUUUCUACGCCACAUUUUUCACCAAGGUCCUACUUCGCCUUCCCUUGUCAAUCUUAGAAAAAGAGCUAUUAACCGAGUUGAACGUGGCACCCGCCCAGCCACAUCCGAAUAGCUGGUCAUUCAUCCGAGGUUUCAUAAUUUUGUGUUCCCAGCUCGACAUUUCGCCAACUGUGGAACUAUUUCUUCGAACUCAAACAUUCUAGUCGCCAGUUUUGGGUUUCUCUAAAUGGUACCCCUAGGAAAGGUCUGCUUACCCUCUUCUAGUCAUUCAAUAAAAAUUUCAAAAAUCCAUUUAUCAACGUUUGUGCCUCGGCAGGAGAUUCGUCCCUAGUGGACGACUUUCCUUUAUACUGGACACCCAAACUCCGAUUUUAGUGUGCUUGGCGCCUGAAAGACCUGUCCCCAAGGGAACAAGGUAUUUGUGAAUUCCUGGAAGGUCUCAAGGUCGUCUUCGACAUGCCAACCCUCUUGAAUAAAGAAUACCUCCCUGGUGCUCUUAAAGCCUACAUCGGUAUAUCUCCUUUCUCAUCCUUGAAAGGAGAACAUAAUCCAUGACUUCUGAGUAUUUGUUUGUUUUUGCAGAUAACAUGCUUUCUAACAUUAGCAAAACUGAGUUGUCCGAGCGUGCCAGGAAAAUGAGGGUGGCUGCGAGCAUGAACAAUGACUCUUUGUUACAAAAGAGGAAAACUCCAACUGAUGCCGCUCAAGUCCAAUCCGAUCAAGACGAGCAUACCACCUUGGAACCUGUCUUUAAGAGGAAGAGAUCAGUGGCAGCUCCUCCUAUCAAGCACUCACACUCGAAUGGUCGAGCUCUUAACUAAGAGGUCAUAACUAUUCAGGAAUGCGAGGCAGAAAGUUCUCAAAGGAAAAGCUUAUGGAAUCCUGAUUUGACAUUCCAGCACAUGGCGAGUCAUGCUACUUGCUUGACGAAGAUAAGACCAGAUUGAUGGCUCAUGAUGAAGAUCACCUCCGUCACAACACCGAGAAACUUCUUGGCCAAGCAUUUUCCCUGGUUUUCCUAGUCAACGUCAAGGCAAAGGAUCGGAAAAGAGCUGAAGACCAAAGGUUUAAAGAGAAUAUAGAACUCCAUCAAGAAGUCGAACGCCUCCGACCUGAAGUUAACCAUUUGGGCGUGGCAUUGGCCAACAAGACCCAAGAGAGACUUGUCUUGGCCGAAGAGAAAAGCAAACUCUCAAUUGAGAUUGAAGACUUAAAGAAAGAAAUGACGCGCAAUGAAGAACGCCACCCAAUCCUACCUUGUUGGGUUUGAAGCUGUAUUGGAACAGGCAACUGUUGUCCACCCUAUUGUUGACUUCUCAGAGCUAGAUCCAAGCAAAAACGUGAUUGAUGGAAAGCUAGUGAGGAUCCUUAGUUCAAAAUUUUUAUGGACUGUAUUUACUAUUUACUUUUAAUUGUUGAACCUAUUUAACGUUUAAACUCCUCAUCGACAUUUAUUAAGAAUUUUGAACCCUAAGAUGUUCAUUAUUUUGAAAUCAAAAGUUCUUUACUUAUAGUAUACGAAUGUACGAACAUUCUAGCGAAUCGAACUUUGCCAAUCGAACUGACCCAAUUUUACACCCUUAAUAUACUAAUGCCAGAUUAACGUAAUAUGACCUUGCUAAUAGGGGUGGGAUGAAAUAUAUAAACGAAAUUAGUUCUUAACUAAUUGGCUAACCUUUUGACGAUCGAUACCUUUCUGGUUGGCUGAGUUGUAUACCACUUCGACCUAACCAAUCCAUCGUUUGUUUGGACAUUUUCAACACUGUUCAUUCCACGAGUCAUCCAAAGGGUAUGACAUCAUAAACUUUGUUCGGGUAAUUCACACUCCGGCUUGGCCAGAUGAUGAACUUCGACAGUAUUCACCCCCGAGCUGGGAAGUCAUACCGCGUGACUAUAACAUUUGCUCCAAGUUAACCUACCUCACAAGGCGCCUCCUCGGACAGUUGUAUCUACUCUGAGCUAGGUCAUCUUACCAUGUGCUAGUUCGGAUAACUACACCUGUUUUCAAGUCAAAUAAUUCCAUAGUGCGCCCAUACUCGGGUAACUAUAUUCGUUCUGAGUUAGGUCGUCUUACCACGUGCCACCUCAGGUUGCUACACAUGUUCUAAGUUAACUUGUCUCAUAGGGCGCCUAUACUCGAGUAGCUACACAUGCUCCAACUUAGAUCGUCUUACCAUGUGCCAUCUCGGACAACCUCACCUACACAAAAUCACACCUGAUAGGUAUAUUCUGACUUUGGGAUGAGUGAACCACAUGCAACUUUGGGGUAGUUUGGCCAUUUGUGCGGUCAGUUGCUCAAUCUGCUGUGUCAGAAUCUUAUUUUGAGCCAGCAAUGCAUCUAUAGUGUUCAAUUCUAAUAAUCCCCUCUUUUGAUGACCUAGUCUAUCAUGUUGGGCUUCAUAAUCAGUUGUGGCCAAAGCAUCAAUAAUUCUCGUUGCUUGUUCUACAUCAACGGCCAUCAUCGUGCCACCAACUGCGGCAUCUAGGAGCAUCUUCGUAUCAGAUCUGAGACCAUUAAUGAAUAUGCUAAGUUGAGAAAUUUUUGCAAACCCAUGAUUAGGGCAUCUUCUUAGCAUCAUCUUGAAUCUCUCCCAUGUCUCAUAGAAAGAUUACUUUGCUCUUUGUCUGAACAUAGAAAUUUCAGACUUAGCUUUAAUAUAAUGAGAAAUUGGAAAAAAUCUCUGUAGAAAUUUUUCCUCCACAUCCUUCCAUCUAGUUAAGCUCUUAUUAGAAUGUGAUUUAAGCCACUCCUUUGCUUUCCUUUCCAAAGAAAAGGGAAACAAACGCAUAUACACAUUGUUAAUAUUACAUGAUUGAAAACCCAUAGUUCCCACCAAUUUUUAAAAUGUAGCCAAGUGUGUGGGGAUCCUCAUGGUCCAUUGUUGUGAGUUGAUUGGUACUAAUGAGGGUGAUGAAUUUUGGCUUCAUCUCCAAGGCCCUAUUAGUAGCAGGUAUUGCAAUGCUAGAAAAGUGUCUAGGCCCUUGAUGUAUGGCAUAGUCUCCGAAAGUCCUCCUAGGAGGUGGUGUUUCCUCCUCCGCCAUGUUGUUAUCCUCCUGAAAAAGAUGAAUGAAAAAAGGACAAGUUGUUGAAGAGUCCUCUCUAGUGUCCUCUUGCUUCUCUUUUGCCUUUGAUUUCUGGUUCCUUCUAGCUACCUUCUCAAUUUUCGCUUCAAAUAACAAUUGAUCUUUGGAAUACGACCUUUCAAUAUCAUAUAAAAGCAGCUAAUGCAAGGGUUAGAAAGAAAAAUUCACAAGUAGUCCGAAAAAAAAAAUUAUUUUAUAGUUUGUUUGUUUUUUCAAAAAUUUUAAAAAUAAACCAAAAUUUAAAUAAUAAAAUAAAUAAAAGAAAAAAGUUAAAACAAAAUAACAGAAAAUUAAAUUGUAACAAUAAAAGAGAAUCCAAAGUAAAUCAGAAAAUAAAUAGACAAAUCCAGCAAAUAAAAUAAUUAAGAAAGUAAUAAAAAUAGAGUAACAAUCUAAAAAUAAAAUAAACACAUUAAAAACAAAGCAAAACAAUAAAAAUAUUCACAAUACUUAGAAAGUUAUACUCAAUAAAUCAAACCUGGUCUCUGGCAAAGGCGUAAAAAACUUGGCGACUUUCUACGACAAGUGCACCGCAUUGUCAGAAGUAAUAAUUUGUCCCUAAGGACGGAUAUCGAUCCCACAAGGAACAAUGAAUUAUCAAGUACAAUGUUUGCUAAAUAUAAACAAAACAAUUAAAAGAGUGUUGAUGGUGAUUGUGUUGGCAGUGAUCAAUAAGAAAACAAACAAAGAAUUGGUUGCUUCAAGUUGGUAAAAUAGGGAUUAGGUUUCAUCAUCCUCACUCCUAUGUAUUUUGAUUAACAUGUCAAUAUUAAGUUCUUUGAUUGAAAUUGAUGCCCGUAGAAAAUUCAUUUAUAUCGAUCUCUCGCAUGUAAAAUUUUUAAAAAUGUUUCCUAAAUAUUGAUCUCUCGCAUACUUAUAAAAACAACUUAGAAGCACACUCAGACGUUAAUGGAAAUUAACAUUUCAAGUCUAUCUCUAGCACUCAAAUAUGUUAAGUAUUGUUGUUUACGUCACAACCCUAAAAAUACCUCUCAGUUAGAUUUAAGAUUCUUAAUUUGUCACAGAAAUUUAGAAAUAAAACAACAAUACCAAUAAUCAAUCAAGAACAUAAUAUUAUAUCAUAUUAAAUAUCACUUUAAUACAUAAGAGUUCGAGCAGAUCACUCCCAAUCCUAAAAGGUAAAAUUAGUCACGCAUACUUCUAGCACCUUUCAUUCUCCCAAUUGGGUUACAUUUCACUCAAUGUUUGUGCCUCUAGCACCCUAUUUAACCUAAUUUACUAGGGUUAGGUGACUUCCUGCGUCGUGCUAAUUGGUCUUGAUAAAACAGAAAAAUAACCCAAUUUGUCUGACGCGUUUUCGCUUGAGCGAGAAUAUCUCAAUGAAGCGAGAAAGGCGGUGAUUUCCAAAAAUGUUAUUGGAGCAUUCUCGCUUGAGCGAGAAUCCUUGUUGCAAAGUUGGCUUUUUCAGCGUUUUUAUGCAUUUUGAGACCAUCAAGCUACCUCUUCUUAGCUCAAAUCAUUCCUCUUUAAUCCAAAUCUCCAUUAUUCCCUAAAAACCUGCAAUUAACACUAAUUUUUGUAAUAAAAUACUCUUAUUCAAAUAAAGAUCAUAAAAAAUGUGAAAAAGUAUAAAUUCAUAAAUUAGGGAUUAUUAUAUAUGUAAAUUAGCAAUUAAUACUCAUAAAUGUUUAUAUUUUAAUAUGAAAUAUUACUGAAAUUAGACAUUUAUCAGGCUCCUUUUGAUUCUGAGACGUAGUGGUUGGGCGGGCAUAUUACAUAGAAUUGUUGUCAGACAAAUUUGUAUGGAGGACGUUGAAUGUCACGCACCUCAAAUUUUAUUACAGAUGAAUAAAUAAAUUUAUGCAUUCUUUCCUCACCCGACCGCUUUAUCCCUAAGGAGGGUUUUCGGUCAGGAAGGUUUUAACGAGGCAAUUUUUAAAUUGUUCAUUUAAAUACAAGUUAAAGCUUAAACGCACAAUGCUUAAAUCUCAAGACUUAGCUCUGCUAAGGGUGCUUACCUAAAUACGUUAUCCCUCCCAAGACCCAAAGACUCAACUCGACUAAGUACCCUUACCUUAACCGGCAAUCCCUCAGAGACCCAAAGACUAAACUCGGAUAAGGAGGCUUACCUUAACCGAUAAUCCUUCCCGAGACCCAAAGAUUCGGCUCGACUAAGAACGCUUACCAUAACCGGUAAUCCCUCUCAAGACCCGAAGAUUCAGCUCGACCAAGGACGUUUACCUUAACUAGUAAUCCCUCCUGAGACCCACAGACGUAGAGCAACUAAGUAAAAAAUUCGCAGUUAUAACCGACCAAAGACUGGUAUUAUACUCUCGACGUAUCUUCUUUAUCAUUACUUGUUCAUUUUUAUUAAAACAGGAAUGUAGAAAAUUGAAUGAUUCAUUGAUAAAAAAAAAAGGGGAGGCCACACCCUGGCCUCGAGGGAACAAAAAACAUUAAAAUGUAAAACCUAAUCGUCUUCCUCUUCAAUGGCAUACAAGUAAGCCCUUGGUGUUGAGUUCCGAAGAGCCACAACCUUGUCAAAGGCCACUAUGAGGCCCUCGUACACGUCUUUAUUGACGUCGAAGUCACCUUCAACGGAUGGCCCAUUGUAGAGUAGGUGUGGUUUCCGAACGGCCUGGUUGAAGCUUUCACCACACAUCACCAAGACAUUGUCUUGGAGUUGGUCAAGCUCGAAUCCAACCGAAGUCUUCUUCGCCUCCAAGGCCUUGUGUUCUUCCCUUCAACUCCCCAAUCUCCUUCAUCUGCUUCUCCAUCCAACCCUCUUUCUCGGCCACCUUUUUCCUCUCCCCUACCUCGAGCUCGGCGCGUCACAUGUUGCUCAACUUGAGCUCAGCAUUAGCUUUGGCCAUUCAAGACUCAAAAGUCGACACCACUUCCAGCGAUGACUUUAGAGAGCUAGAAGCCUCGCCCAGCUCAUGCUUGAGUCGGGAAAUUUCUUUGGCCAAUUGUUGGUUGCCCUCAUCGGCAGCAAGCCUGGUCAAUACCAGGGCUCGAGCCUGCAUUUCGACCGCAGCCGAUAACAAAUCAUGGCAAGGGAUGGUCGUCAACAUGUUUUCCUUACUCAACGUCAGAAAGACCUGCACGCCUUUGGAAAAUUGGGCGUUUCCCCCAAUAAGUGAUAGAAGGGCACUGGUAGUACCGACCAUAGAUGGUGUUUCGAGCAGUCGUCUUCCUCUUUUUCUUUUUGCUCCAUUCAGCAGAAGCAAGCCCUGUUAGAAUGGAUGGCUUUAAACUAGAGGGGGGGUGAAUUGUUUAAAGAGGAUUUUCACAAACUUUUAAGCCAAGAAUGAAAUUUCUUCAAGAAACAAAUGAUAAGAAAUUCAGUUUGCCAAAACACAAAGCAAAAACAACAGCACCAGAAAAACAAUCGGUUGUUUCGUAGAAACAAUCGGCUGUUUAUACCAGUUUACAAAUAUUAAAACUGAAUUUAAAGAGAUUAAGGAGAGAGAGAAUGCACACAGAAGUUUAUACUAGUUCACUCUAAACCCAGAGCUACAUCCAGUAUUCUCAGAAACCACUGAGGAAUUCCACUAAGCAAUCAAACCUAGAUCACUUACAACACAACCAAGAUAGUGACCUUAAUCCCCUCAAGACACACACUUCUCUUGGUCAACACACCAACACUAAGAAUGCUGAUCUUGAUCCCCUCAAGAACACACAACACUUCUCAGCAAACACACAAAGGUUUCUUUCAACAUAUACAAGGAUUACACUUGUUACAGAAGCAAAUCUGAAAUCAAUACAAGAGAAAAUUCUAGCUCACACUCUUUUAUCAAUCUCAAUCUCUAAGCAAUCUCAACUCUUUCAAAACUCAAAAUCAAUGAAAAACUCAAAUCUGUUUUUCUGUAUAUAUUAAAGUUGUUGUUUGUUAUCAAAUCUUAACAAACUAUUCAUUGCUUUUAAAGAUUGGUCAAAGCAUUAAAAACUGGAGCGUAAACAGUUAGAAAAUCAUUUAAUGCUCAGUCAAAGCACAAACCAUUUUUCUGUUAUGGUACCAAAACAAACAAUCGGUUGUUUCCUCGAAUCAAUCGGUUGUUUUGGUUUUAACAGCUCAACCAUUUGAAAAACAGUUUUCAACCUUUUCUAAAAACUCCUAAGUAUAAAACAAUCAGUUGUUUUGGCAAAACAAUCGGUUGUUUUUCACUUAGUUUGAAAAACACUUUUCUUUUUAAAAAGAUUGAGAAUGCCUAUGCUUUGGAUUCAAUCAAUGAGUGGAUUACAAAACUCAAUCUACCCCAGAUCCUAUCUAAGACAGCUCAGCAACAGCAAGCACAGCUUAGCCUUCAACAUCCUUCAAAGGGUUUGGAUUCUUCAAAGCUUGAACACCACUUGGUUCAACAAUCUCCCCCUAUUUGAUGAAGACAAAUCCCUGAUGCUUGUGUUGUACCUGAUUGAAUCUGAAGCAGUUCCUGCAAAGCACAGUUUUAAGCAAAACAUAGAACUUCUGAUAUUUGGUUAGCACAGAAACAAAUAUAGAACUUCAGAACAUAAUAUCAGAGCAAACAACAAACAAAUAUUCGAGCAAAAACCUAUGAGGUUUCACUCAUAUAAACUGUUUUGCAGAAAAUAAAAACUAAAACCAAACACAACAUACAUACAUCUCCCCCUAUUUGUCUACAUAAAUAGACAAAGAGAAGAUAUUAAAAAGAUAAAUGUUCUUAAUACAUCAGAUUUAAAACAACAAAAGCAGAAAAAUAGAAAAACUGAUACAACCACAAAAAACAAUCGGUUGUUUCGAUACAUCAACCGGUUGUUUUUGUCUUCAUUCAUCAUCAUCGGCAUAUCGAAGAUCAAAGAUUUGGUUAUGUAUUGCCUCAAUCUGUUCAUCUAGAGUCAUGAAAUGUGCAUCCAUGCUGUCAAACCUGUUAUCAAUCUUCUGGAAAUUGCUGACACAAAGAUUAUGGAGAUUUCUUUGAUUCUCCGCAAAGCUAUCAAGCCUAUUAACCAUGAGUCUCUCAAAAGGAGACAUGGUUUGCAUUCCUUCUUCUUGAUUUCCAGCACCAACACUAGGUCCAACAUCUUGAUGUACUUCAGGUAGAUCUUCAUGUUGAAAAUCCAUAUCUGCAGCAGGUUCAUCUUGUUCAUGAUCAACAAUAGCACUAGAUAAGGCUCCAAAGUCACCAUCUUUGCUAAUCCAUUUCCCACCUACUUUGGUGAAACCCAUUUUGCUGAGAGAUCCAUUGUUCAACUCUUGAGUUGACUUGACCAACUCAGAUGUUUCAUCCUCUAGGUUCACUUCAAAAUAGAGUAGAAAUUUAGAAACCAAAACAGCAUAUGGAUAGUGAUAGUCACUUAACCUCAUUGCCUUUUGCAUGUGCUCUUUGAUGAUGUGGAUCCAAUUAAUUCUGAUCUUCUUCAUAAUGCAGAAGAUGUACACUAGAUCCUCCUCUGUAAGAACAGAAUGAUUGCUCCCCCUUGGAGUUAGAAUCUAAGUCACAAUGAGGGCUAGCAACCUUUCAUCAAGCUUUAAGCCACCAACCGAGCAAGUCCUAACUUGUGCAUUUUGGUUCUUCAAGCAGCUCUUGUAGUAUUGAACUUUGUUGAAGUCCUCCACUACUCCAAGGUUCCCCUUGUUAAUUCUGAGGCCUGAGUACUUUAGACCAGCUACAACAGCCCACACUGCAUGUGUAAUCUCCAUAUCUACACCUUUUACAUGAGAAACAAGGUUGUUUCCCUAAAACUUGAGAUUUGUGUAGAAACUAUUAUCAAAUCUGGAUAGAUAUUCCCUUUCAUCUCCAAGAACUUUCUAAGGGAAUGAUCUUUGAGGAGCCUUUUGACAUUGUCCAGCUUUUGGCUUUUCAGCCAAUCAAAGCAAACAACUUUAGGGUUGUUUAUCACUUUGGUGCUAGUCUCAAAUUUAUAUCUCUCAAUAAGAUCAUUAUCACCAGAAAACCAUCCUUCAAGCCUUCCUCCAGACCUUACUGCUCUGGAUUUGACUCUUCUUGAGGUGGGAGGAGUUGAGUCCAUGAUGGCAGAGAAGAAAAUAGAGAAAAGCUCACUCACAGAUUUUGCAAGAGAUGUUGCAAUUGGUUGUUCUUGUGGAAGAGAUCAGCUGCAACAGAUUUUAUAGCAUAAACAGAACCAUAAAGCAUUCUAUGACAUGAGUGGGUAUCAGAUUUUCAGAGAGAGAGGACUUGACCAUGUCCUGCACUGAAAAUGUCAGAAAAAGCAGAAAAUCACAUGGUCUUCACAUGUGAUCUUUGACUAGUCAUUAAAAGCUCUUGAAUUUCCAAGAUUGUGGAAUAUAUUCCUUUAUGACUGUUGUAACUUCCUUUUGAGCAUGAUCAGCUUUCAACACAAAUUCAUUGACCAAGGAUUCUCUCUUUAAUUUGAUCUGCAACGAAUAGAAAUUCAAAAUAGAAAUUAAAUUGAUUUCUUCACGGUGCUGUCAGACUCAAAACAAUCGGUUGUUUUUCUACAGCAGUUAAAAACUGAUUUUGAAUUUUAACCAUGAGCAGAAAGGGUUCAAAGCAGAUGAAGAUAAACAUUUUAAAGAGGAUAUUUAACCAUGAAAAUGAACUUAAAAACAUGAAUUAAGAACAGAGAUAAGGAAAGUCUUAUCCUUUGUGUUGUUCUUUCAAUGAGCCAUGUGCUUUGUGAUCAAGAAGCCUUAUUUUAACUGUUGAGGGCUUUUGGACAGAUGCAGAACAUUGAUUCAGCUUCAGUGUUAGUCUUUUUCUUCCAAAAACUUGAUCAGAUGACUCAGUCCUUCAUACUUCUUUAGAUUUCCUACAUAAACAUGAGUUCAAGCAACAAGAUUUGGCCCUUUCACAAAUGUGGGUCCAAUUGAUUUCUUUUUCUUAUUUGGAACCUCACAUCCUUUAGGAAUCCAUUUCAUGUAGCCCCUGGGAACAAAAAACUUUCUUAUUUUACAGAAUCUAACUGAAUGACCCUUUUUCAUGCAAUAAAAGCAUGUAACAACCGGUUGUUUCGACUUAACAAUCGGUUGUUUUACUGGCUUUCUUAAUUUUUUUUUUGAAAAAUUAUCUUGUUUGUUUUGUGGAUUAAAGCCUAAACCAGCCUUUCCAAAAACACAACUUUGAGAUGCCAAGACAUUCUCAAAGUUAGAUUUUCCUUUUGAAAGCUUGUCCACAGUGUUAACAAGAUAAUGCACAUUUUUCUCAAGAUUUUCACAAUUUUCGCAAAUGAGAGUGUCACACUUGCAAGAAGAAUUUUUGAAAUUAUUUUUAGAUUUUUCAAUCUCAUCUUCAAGUGAUUUCACUCUCUUUUCCAGCCAGCUGUUAAGUUCUUUUAAUCGGUUGUUUGAAAGCACCAAUCGAUUAGCUUCAUCGUGAGUUUCUUGAAAAGCUCCAAGCAAUUCACUAUAAUUUUGUUCAUUUAAAGAAGCACAAGAACUUACUUCACUUGAGCUGCAAGAUUCAUCAUCAUCUUCUGCAAUCAAACAGAUGUUUGCUUUCUCAUCUUCACUUGAUGAAGAGCUUGAUGAUGAUACUUCAUUUUCAUCCCAAGCUAUGUAGGCUCUCUUUGUCUUGUUCUUCUUUUCCUUGUUGCUAGACUUCUUCUCCUUGCUUUUGUUUGGGCAAUCUGCCUUUAUGUGACCUUGCUCACCACAACCAAAACAAGUAUAGUUAUUUGAAUUAAAAUCAUUAGAUUUCUUGUUUCCAUACCUAUCUUUGUUGUUGUCCUUGUUGCGGUUCCUCUUCAAGAAUUUGCUAAACUUUCUUGACAGCAAGCUAAGGUUUUCCUCAUCACUCAUCGUUGGAUUCUUGUUUGCCUUUGUGCUUGGAAGCUUUUAAGGCUAUGCUCCUUAUGUGCUUGUCUUCGCUUUCUUGAACAUUGAGUCGAUUCAUCCCUAACUCAUGUUCCUUAAGCUUGCCAAACAAAGAAGCCAUACUCAAGGAUGUUAGGUCUUUAGAUUCGGAUAUAGCAGUUACCUUAGGUUGCCAUACUCUAUCAAGACAUUUUUAAAUCUUGAUGUUUAGCUCUUCCUUUUCAAAGGUCUUGUCAAGGCUCAUGAGAUGAUUGAUGAAGUGUGUGAAUCUUUUCUGCACUUCAGCAAUUGUUUCACCUUUGAGCAUUCUGAACAUCUCAUACUCUUGGAUUAGUAUGCUUCCUAGCUCUUUUUACCUCAUUUUUACCUUCAUGAGUUACCUUCAAGGUAUCCCACAUUUCUUUUGCAGAUUUGCAUUGAGAGACCCUGAAAAACUCAUCUGAAUUCAAAGCAGAGGUUAUUAUGUUUUUAGCAACGCAAUCAAAUUUAGCCUUCUUUCUUUCUGAAUCAAUCCAUUGAGACCAAGGCUUUUCAAUGGAAGAUCCAUCUUUUUCAAACUUUGGGACAAAAGGACCAUUUUCAAUUGCAUCCCAAAUUCCUUUGUCAAGUGAUUCUACAAAGAUUUUCAUUCUCACUUUCCAAAAUUGGUAGUUCAAACCACAAAACAGAGGUGGUCUGUUGAUUGAAGCACUUUCCCCAAAAGGUAGUCUAUCAGCCAUUAAAAAAAUUUUAGGAUCACACUUGAAUAAAUUUCAAGAACCAAGCUCUUGAUGUCAAUUGUUAGAAUGGAUGGCUUUAAACUAGAGGGGGGGGGGUGAAUUGUUUAAAGAGGGUUUUCGUAAACUUUUAAGCCAAGAAUGCACACAGAAGUUUAUACUGGUUCACUCUAAAGCCAGAGCUACAUCCAGUAUUCUCAGAAACCACUGAGGAAUUCCACUAAGCAAUCAAACCUAGAUCACUUACAACACAACCAAGAUAGUGACCUUAAUCCCCUCAAGACACACACUUCUCUUGGUCAACACACCAACACUAAGAAUGUUGAUCUUGAUCCCCUUAAGAACACACAACACUUCUCAGCAAACACACAAAGGUUUCUUUCAACAGAUACAAGGAUUACACUUGUUACAGAAGCAAAUCUGAAAUCAAUACAAGAGAAAAUCCUAGCUCACACUCUUUUAUCAAUCUCAAUCUUUAAGCAAUCUCAACUCUUUCAAAACUCAAAAUCUGUUUUUCUGUAUAUAUCAAAUUUGUUUUUUCUUAUCAAAUCUUAACAAACUAUUCAUUGCCUUUAAAGAUUGGUCAAAGCAUUAAAAACUGGAGCGUAAACAGUUAGAAAAUCAUUUAAUGCUCAGUCAAAGCACAAACCAUUUUUCCGUUAUGGUACCAAAACAAACAAUCGGUUGUUUCUUCGAAUCAAUCGGUUGUUUUGGUUUUAACAGCUCAACCAUUUGAAAAACAGUUUUCAACCUUUUCUAAAAUCUCCUAAGUAUAAAACAAUCGGUUGUUUUUCACUUAGUUUGAAAAACACUUUUCUUUGUUAAAAGAUUGAGAAUGCCUAUGCUUUGGAUUCAAUCAAUGAGUGGAUUACAAAACUCAAUCUACCCCAGAUCCUAUCUAAGACAGCUUAGCAACAGCAAGCACAGCCUAGCCUUCAACAUCCUUCAAAGGGUUUGGAUUCUUCAAAGCUUGAACACCACUUGGUUCAACAAGCCCAGGAUCAGGUGCCCCGAUGACAGAGGGUUUUCCCGCGACAACCAUUUCGAAGUUGCCCCUUGCCCUUAGGAAGGGCCUUGGCACGAAAUGCAACCUGAAUGUCACUAGAUUGGGGAGCUGCUUGAGUCAUUAUACCUAUACCAAAUAAAAACAAGUUAAUCAGAAAGUAUAGGCCCACUGAGAUAAAGAACAAAGCAGACAUACCAUGAAAAUCACUCAAUUGAUGGGACAAUUUAUAUACGUUUAAAAGCUUUCAGGUAGGGAGCCUUCUGAGUAGGUUAUCAAAAACAGCAUAUACCUAUAACUCCUCGACGUUCGAGGCCGAACGAGGCCACUAUUUAAAUCGAUGGGGAUCUUAGUCCAAUACAGAGAAAAUUUGGACCAACCAUUUCCAUCAUUGAAGAACUCCAUACCCUCAGACUCGAUGAAAAUCUUAAAAUAUUUUCCCUUGAUGUUUUUGUACGAGGUGGUAUAACGGCGAAAAUGACGUUACCCGAUCGAGUAAUGAGUGAUAGCCAACUCACAUGGUUGGCCACGUGUGACAUGUAGUAAUGAAGAAAAGUUGUAGGGGAUGGUGAAAGACGAAACAUAUCACACACAAGUCGAAAGGCUUGGAGAGAGGCCCAUGUAUUACGAUGAAGCUGGGAAAUGGAUACAUUGAGCGGCCGAAGGAUGCCAAUGGUGAAAUCAUCGAAAGGAAGGGCUAUCUGCAAAUCAGAAAAGAAGCAAGAGUAGGCAAAGAAAAAGGGUCUCGGAAGGAGCCUGACUAAUACAUAUGGUAUCGGCAGGGUGACACGAGUGGAUGGCUAGAAUACCAUCGGCGACAUCAGGUUUCAAAAGGCUAAACUUAUCUAUAAAAUAGGAUAUAGAAGCAAAAUCUAUAAACAAAGAAGUGUACCUGGCUACUUUAGGGUCAACCUAGUCAAAUCCCACACGGUGGGAUGACUCCUCGGCAGGGUUUGAUCGGUCGACAACUGUGGCCGGAUCAUUACCCAUAACCGAGUUGGAUAUGGGAGAAACCACCUCAUGAGUCAUGGGGGAAAGGUUUGAAGCGCCCCGACCGAAAAAGUCUUGGUCGAGGACGAGCUAGAAGAAGAGGAAGAAGAGGGAGACGAAGUAGAAGUGGAAGAGCUAGAAGAAGACAUAACUAACCUCUUCGAAUAAAUGGAAAACACCUUGCCAGGAUGAUAAGGUUUCGGAAGUCAGUGCAAGCAAGAGGCAGGGGGAACCACUAUUUAUAGCCUUCGAGGAGAGAGGAAUAAUGAACGUUCCUUGAUCAAACGGUCCCCAUCGAUUGGCGCCAAAAAACCUAAGUAAUGAUUACGCACAUCACGUCAAGCAUUCGGCUCCGCCAACGUCACAUCUCGCAUCGGAAAGCAUAACCGUCACAAAUAGACUCUUCGGGUUCAAACCCCUCGAGCCUUGAGGGCAAGUGUAUCGGUCGGAAGGUUAACAAGACCAAACAAUGAUUAAGUAAUAGGUAAUACACUCUUAAUUAUGAUCCAAAACCCUAAUCUGACAAUAAAAAAUGGCUCAUGAUAAUCAUAUAAAUAGUCACAGAUUUCAAGAAAAGGGUACGUCAUCAUCACGCAUUAAUUGCACCGAACACCGAAUACCGAGAUCUUACUUGAGCGUCGAAGUGUCUUUUGCAGGUACCAUCCGAACCAUGAGUUUGCAAGGGAGAGGAGGAUAAAGGAAAGAAAGAAGGCGUUCGGUAAAGGGAAGAGGUAUAAGUAGACCGACCAACCGAGGAGGAAGGUAAUCGUUCUCUCAGUUCCAACCCAUUCAAAAACAAUUUCAUUUAGUCUAAAUCAAGGGAUGAGGCUACGGGCUUAUUAUGUUGAAACAAAAACAGACACUACCAAACAGAUAGCAAAACUAAACACAACAUAAUAUCGAACAAUCGAACAACUUUGUUUAUUUCAUAAUGCAAUGUCUAAUUUGAAGAGGUUUUCUUAAUGAAAUAUUAUAUGCUAAACAACGAAACAAAUACAAUAAACAGAUCAUUUAAAGUCAGGAAGCACAAUGACGAGUGAGAAACAGGGUAAUUCCAUAAACAUUAAUUUUUUUGACUAUGAGUUGCUCUAAAGGAAAAACAUAGAAAGGAAAGGAUUAAUUCCAUAACUAAAGGGAUCCUACUCUCAGAAAGAACAUAAAUGACUUAUCAAAAAAGUCACAUUACAAUUUUCUUUUUGAAUCUAAUGAGGGAAUUUUUCUUUGGUGGGCUCUCUUUCAAAGUCAUUUGAUUCACCGUAUAUCAAAUAGACAGCUGUGUUCUUCACCACCGAUCCAUAACCAAAAGUCACAAAAAUCUCUACCUUGUCUCCAUAUCCUAAAUUUGACAUUAUCCCAUGCCAAUCUUCAUCAUUAAAGGAAAUUACGGUCCAUCGAUUGUGUAUCAGGCAUGUGCACUUUGUGUAAUUAACAAUUAAGACACUAUCAAGACAUUCAGGUUCAAUGAUUUCAUGAUUUGAGAAAUAAACAACCCACAAAGCCAUUCCCUUCAUUUCACGAUCUCCAGCUACAGUGAAAGAAACAGAAUGUCCCUCACCUUUAUGGCUCAACCAAUAAGGAUCGUUGUCACCCGGGAGAGAAACUUCACUAGAAUCACUGCUUCUCGAAGCCUGUAGUACCAUGGGAUAAAAAUUUAAAUAAGAACAAUGUAAUACAAAUUAAAAUAUACCAAUGGUAAUUAAUCUAAACAAAUCUGGUUAAUAGUUUUUUUGUGUGUAUAAAUCACCAUCAUAUGCAUUUCAGUUUUCAUCUCUUUCAGUAUAUUUCUACGAUGACUCGCAAUAAAACAAUCAUGAAGCAAGUAAAGCAAGUGGAAAUCAAUAUUUUAGUACUUAGUAUAAGCAUAAGCACUUGGUUAGUUGAUUGUUCUUUUUAUUAAUAAUAUUUUGUCCCAAGAGGUAAGACUCAAAUGCAGGUCUCAUGAGUACGCAUCGAAUUUUUUAACCACUGCAUCAACAAAAAGAUUAGUUAAUUGUUAAAAUAAGAAACUUUUAGAUGAAGUUGUGUAGCAAUAGAAGCGAAGGGUGUUGAAAGUUUAAUACUGUAGUUUCCGAAAGAUACUUCUUUAGGAAUAUUUAUGUGUUCUCUUAAUUAACAGUUAAAUGAUGGAAAAGGUAAUAAACAAAGGGAAAGCUAGAGAAAAACCUCUGAUAUGCUAUUGCUGGCAGUAUUGAAGAAUUCAUUGUAUCUUCCAAGACCAAUCACAGAAGAUCUUAAGUGCUCCUUUGAAAUUCCUGAUUCUGUAGUACUUAGACCAUAAUCGAUCAGAAUAGUUUCUACUUGCUUAGAUAGUUGAAACUGAGAGUCACAUAGCACCAAAACACUUCGAAGAUUUGCAAGGCUGCUAAGCAAUGGCGCAAUAUCAUCCCAACUAUUAUCUUCCAUAUCCGUGCAAAAAUGAAUAUAAGAUAGGGGAUUAAUAGUUGGUGACAUCCAAGACCGAAUGAUAGAAGAGAAAAUAUUAUGUGACAAUCCCUCAAAUUCACGUGGAGAUAUAUAUCCAAUGCAUUUUGAGCUUACAAUUGAAAAAGGCACUUGUUUAACAGUUAUAUUUUCAGAAAUUAGUGUUAUCAAGGAUUCCAUUUGCACUAUAUCUUUUUCUAAUAUUUCAAUCUUGGAACAACCAGAGAGAAUGAGAGUAUUUAAAGAUUUCAACUUAUAUAUCUCUCUGGGGAGAGUGUUUAGACUUGUACAGUCCUUCAAAUUUAGCAGUAUAAGAUUGCAGAGACAUCCAAUAGAUUGGUGUACUUCGCGCAAUCUUGGACAAUCUUUCAGAAUGAUCUGUUCAAGACUUGGUAAUCCAGAAAAGUCGGGGGUUUCAGUCAAGUACACGGAGUGACUAAGAUUAAGGACUUUUAGCCACCUCAAAACCUGCAUCGAGAUAGUAUUUUUGAUAAAUAUUAAAUAAGAAAAUAAAAUGAAACAGUAGUAGUAGGUUACUAUUUUCAUUUUAGUUAAGCUUUGUAUUUUAAUAGAAAACGGCAUGUAAUAAAAACCUUGGCUUCUUUCCAGACGAAUUGAAGAAGACUGUGUUUUAAAUCAAUGGCUACUGCAUCAUGCAGAUAAAAGUGGUUAGGUAGGUAUUCUGAAGAAAACCCGUGCAAACUGAUCCAUCUCAGAUUCUUAUAACGAUGAACAUAAUUUCCAGCAAGUUGUAUUUGAUCUUGUCGCAGCAGUCUUGAUUUGGAAGAACGCAGUUUCACAAACAAUCCGUCAAUGGCUUCUGUACCCUGUGAUGAAAGGAGCAUAGUAAACCAAAUUUAUUGCAGACCAGGAAGCAAACACUUCCAAAAAGAAGUUUCAAAACCAUAUAUAGAGAAUGUUCUUACUGUGGUAUCUGUCAAUACAUAUCCCGCAUCCUCAUCAAUCCAGCGUCGACUGUUCUUCCCAGAAUCCUGUCUUGAAAUUUCACGAAUAAUUUCUCUUCCCAUUUCUCGUAGCAAAGAAUGCAUUCCUAAUUUGUUGUUGUUUUUAACUUGUAUGAGGCUACGCUCUAUGAGAAGUCUUAUUCCACUAUCAGCGUCUGCUCCACACCUACUUAAGAUCUUGGUAACAUAAGCUCUGCCUUUACCAACAAAGAAACAACAUACAUCAAGGAAUAAAUCUUUUACAAUUUCAUUGCGUAAACCGUCGAAGCUUAUUUUCAAUUUCCGUUGAAGAUCGUGCUGGGAAAUAUUGUCUAAUCGUAACAAUACUGUAGUCCAUUCUUUUUUCGUCCUUUCAUGUAAAUAAGUUCCAAUGACUUCAAGAGCUAGAGAUAGUCCUCCACAAUAAGUAACAACUCUUUCUGCAAGGAAAUGAUAUUCUUCUUUUGGUUUUGCUUCUCUAAAUGCGUGCCAACUAAGAAGCUCAAGGGACUCGUUUGCGUUCAUUAGCUUUAUACGAAUAACAGAAUCAACUUGAUGUAUCCUGAGUAGGUCUUCAUCUAUGGUUGUAAUGAUUAUUACAGUUCCUUCACCGAACCAUGCACGACUUUCCCAUAGGUCUAAUAAUAAGGGACAAUAGAGAUUCACAUCGUCAAGUACAAUGAGCACUCUUUUCCCAGCAAGUCUUUCCCUAAUCAUACUUGUUCCCAUCUCAACGCUAUCUAUCUCCACCUUUGUUUUUAAGAAAUCUGAAAGAAGUUGUCCUUGUAAAUGAACAUCCCCUCUCGUUCGACUAACUUGUGCAAUAUCUUCGAUGAAACUUUUCUCCUGGAAUGAACCAUGAAUUUGAUGGUAGAUGGCUUUGGCAAUGGUGGUUUUACCAGAUCCUUCCAUUCCACAUAUCGCUAUCGUAAAAACUUGCGUGGAUUUAUUUUUGAUGGUUCGAAUCACAUCUUCCACACGGGAUUGUAAACCAACUGGAAAUUUAGUAGCAGACAAGAGUGGUAAAUUAAGAAUGGUCUUAACAAUUUUGUCCACUAGUUCAGCAUCACUCCUUCAAGGUCAAUAACAAUUAUAGAAGCUUAGGCUUUGAGCAGAUGUUAUAAACAGGGAUUUCACUGGAUAAUGUAAUAGGUUUUUUUAUGUGCUUCUAGCCCACUUUAUGCAGGGUUUGUAUAAGGGUUGAGACACCCCUAAAGUGUCCCUUAAUUUAAUUUUAUUAAUUCUUUGCUAAAAAAAAACCAAAUUUGAAGUACAAGCUUAGUAAGUGAGUGAUUUACCUGUAAUUGCUCUCAUCCCAUCCAAAUAAAUUUGCAGCUUUGGUGAGUGCGUAGCUCCACCUCCACAUGCCAUGCUCCAGUUGUUGUCCUGAGAAUGUUUGCUGAGCAGUUGCUUUGAAGGCUUCACCAAAAUCACCCAUCUGAAGACGAACAUCAGAUGGCUGGAUUUCGUAAUAAACGGGCAGAACAUGCCGGCAAUAAGUUUGGUGCCAUUUGAUGAUUUGUUGAAGCUGAUGAAGACACCAAGCAGAUUGAGAAUAGGAUUUGGUGAAAACAACCAUGGCUACACGAGAGAGAUUGAGAAUAGGUUGUUGGAAGUGAAUUGGGUUGAGAGCAUUGGGGUGGUGAAGGAAAGUGGUGAAGCCAACAGCAGAGAGGGCAGAAUCGAGAUGAGAAACAAAUUUCCUUUGAAUGUCUUCUCCAUUAAAGUUUAUGACCACAUCGUACAUCCGUGGGAGUUUGGAUGAUGAAGACUUCAAUUCCAUGGAAGGAAUCGAUGAGUUGAUCAAGUGUUUAGAAGAGAAAGCAAUAAUGUAACAUAGUCAAAGAGAUAAUCUGUACAGACACAAAACCAUUCAAGUAGGUGGAACAUUGAUGUUUCUUAAUAGUCGUGCGCGUUAAGAUAAGAAACAAAUAUUACAUGAACAACAAUAUCUAAUUCUAAAAGUCCAAACAAUUCUUUAUUUUUACUGAUUUAAUCAUAACUUGGUGUAAACAAUUAUUUACGAUGAGAUCAAAGCAAUUACUGAAAAUUUUAUGAUACAUUUCGGAUGCAUCUUGCACUCGUAACCAUUGCGCUUGUCAACUCUAUAUUAUACUCAAUGUUGUUUUUAGUUUUUGUUGUUAUUCUUUAUUACAAACCUGUUUUUUUUUUUUCAGCAAAGAAUAAAUAAAAUAAAAUGAGUCACUUCAGGGGUGUCUCAACCCUUAUACAAAACUCCAAAAAACAGGUUUCCUAGAACCCUACCAACUAAAGAUCCAACAAACAUUGUACUACAGAUCAAGCUAAAAUCCCAGACAAAGGUAAAGAAACCCAACAAAUACAGUUAAAUCACCCCACCAGAGAUGUCACACCCUCAAACAAGGACAUACAUCCAACAACUAAACAAGGUCUUUGCCAUCAAGUUGGAGGACCUUACCCAAGAGUCAAACUCAACAAAGCAAUACAAGACACACCAUCCAACAACUAAGUCAUAACUUUGAACCGACUAAGUUGUACCAAAAAACAAUUGCUAACAAUGACAAACCAAUUCUUAUACGAAGGAUACGUAAGCCAAAAAAAAAACCUUACAAAAAACACAUAUCAUCCUCCCGAACUGGCCACAAUAGUAACCAAAACACGCCAGAUAACCUUUUGCCACAUUUCAAACACUGUAAAAUAUCCAGCACCAAACCAAUAAGCAUACAAAAACACUUCCUUUACUGCAGCACAGAGCAAAGUCAUCAAUCUGACCCUGCCAAAAAAGAAUGACCAAGACACCUGCAUAACCACACAAAACCUUCCAAGCCUCAGUCCAACCUUGCCAGAUAGGAGUUACCGAAGACACCUGCACAAACCUCACCACGACUACCAAGACUGGGAAAAAACAUUAGUUAAAAACACAAAAAAUCAGACUUUCAAAUACCUCAUACAACAAAAAGGUUCCAGACACCAGUCUGAGUAAGAGAAAAUAGUCGAUUUUUCUUUUAUUGUGACCCAAGACCAAGUCUUCCUUUGUACCACGGUAAAAACCUCCACAAGAUCCACCCGUCCAUUCUCAAACACAACCCUAUUCUUGUGAUUCCAAAUUUCACUCACAAUACCUACCCAAAUACCCCCCCAGCACCUGGUAACUGCGUGGUUCAAACCAAUAGGUUUGAACAUCCUAAAAUGCUUUUGUGCGUCUCAAUGAAGCACCAAAGGGAGCCCCAGCCAAGUUAGACACAAACCCCAAAUUCUCCUAGAUAUCUUACAUUCAAAAAAAUAAGUGUCUUACCGACUCUUCUUCGACACCACACAGGGGGCACAGAUCACUCGUCAAAGGAAUGCCACGUCUCAAAAGAUUGUCCUUAGUAGGAAUGGCAUUACGUAACACCCUCCAAGUCAUAAAAUGUGCCGAAGGUAAGGUCUUUAGAGCCCAAAAAUUUGCAAACAAAUCCUCCCCCACUACAAGCUCCUCCCCCUUGAGACACUUAUAAGCUGCCUUCACAGAGAAGGGAGAGUCGUUGAGGAUGUUCAUGGAAGGCUUUGAUACAUUGGUGGAAAAGUUUGGUGCUCAGUUCGCAACCAGUCGUCCUCAUCAUCUAACCUCGAUUGCCUUGGUAAACAUAAGGCAAGAGAAGGGAGAGUCGUUGAGGAUGUUCAUGGAAUGCUUUGGAAGAGUUGCCCUGGGAAUUCAAAAUCUCAGCCCAGAGGUUACCAUGCAUCAUAUGAUAACAGCGUUGAAACCGGGACCAUUUGCUGACAGUCUUUGCAAGAAACCCGCGACCAAUUUGGAUGAGUUAAGACAGCGAGCAUCGAAAUUCAUGCAAAUGGAAGAGCUGAGAGAGUUUCGAAAUCAGGUAAGGGUUGAUGGAGGUGAAAAGAAGGCGAUAGAAAGAGAAAGUGGACCUAUGGCUAGAAGAGCUAGAGAAGAAUUUAGAAGCCGAAAGUUCCAGCAAUACACACCCUUAAAUACAAACAGAACAAGAGUCCUGUAGGAAGCCAUGGCGGCAGAGAUAAUACCACCACCUAGAAAAGCAAGAACACCGGACAGGGCAGACCACACUAAACAUUGUGAAUAUCAUAAAAAUCAUGGUCAUCAUACAGAAGAAUGUAUUGGGUUGAAAGAUAGGAUAGAGGAAUUAAUUCAAGCUGGGCAGUUGAAACGUUUUGUUCGAGGAGGAAAUACAAGACUGAGGUUAAGUCCGGAGAGAGGUUUGAGAGGGGGUGAGAUAGGAGAGAGAAGGGUGGAGAGAUUUGAAAGAAGAGAAAAUAAAAGAGUAGAAAAGAGAGAUGAUAGAAGGGGUGGAAGGCCGGAAGGAAGAAAUGAUAGAACUUAUCAAAACACGCAGUCAGUAAGGCGGAGUAGGGAGCGAAGUUUGGGAAGGCCUGUCAAGGGGUUUAUAAACACAAUUUCAGGUGGUUUCUCUGGAAAGGAAUCCUCAUCAGCAAGGAAACAACAUUGGAGAAGUAUCAGAACCAUUAAUCAUAUUUUCAAAAGAAGAACUUUGCCACCAAUGCUUUUUACAGAUGAAGAUUUUCAAGAAAUUGAUCCUGAUCACGAAGACCCUAUGGUAAUAACGAUAGAAAUAGCCGAAUAUGCCGUCAUGAAAACCUUGGUUGAUCAGGGGAGUUCAGUUGAUAUUCUGUUUUGGGAUACUUUUAAAGGUUGCAUUUAAGAGAAGAAGAUAUUGUACCUUUCCGAGAACAAAUCAUUGGCUUCUCGAGGGAGAGAGUUAGCACGAAAGGAUACGUUGAUUUGAUGACAACAUUUGGAAGAGGCAGUAAAACUAAAAAGAUCAAAAUCAGAUACUUGGUGGUGGAUGCUUCUACAUCAUACAAUGUGUUGUUGGGGCGAUCUUCUUUGAACAAGUUGGGAGCAAUAGUCUCAACACCACACUUAGCCAUGAAAUUUCCAAUAGAGAAGGGGGAGAUAGCAACGGUCUAUGUCAAUCAAAAAGAUGCUCGAGAGUGUUAUGCAGCGGGUUUGAAGAUGAAUUUGAAAGCAAACAAAGAUACUGAAAGAAUGGUGGCAAUGGCAGAUUUGGACCCAAGAUUAAAUGACAAAAGGUUAGAACCAAAAGAAGAGACCACAACUGUGGUAUUGGGCCAGGACAAGAAGCAAUGCACUUAUAUAAGUGGAAGUUUGCCCGAAGAAUUGUUGAACAAACUUAUCACAGUGUUACGUAACAACAAAGACUUAUUUGCUUGGAAACCAUCUAAUAUACCUGGAAUUGAUCCGGAGGUAAUUCGUCACAAAUUGUCUGUGUGUCGAGAAGCGAGACCGGUAUCUCAAAAACGAAGAAAGUUGGGAGAAGAAAGUCGAAAGGCAGCAAUUGAAGAAACCGAGAAGUUGAUGCAAGCUGGUUUCAUUAAAGAGGCUCAGUACACGACAUGGUUAUCCAAUGUGGUACUUGUUAAGAAACCGAAUGGAAAAUGGAGAAUGUGUACAGACUAUACAUACCUGAAUAAAGCUUGCCCGAAAGAUACAUAUCCAUUACCCAACAUAGACCAAUUGGUGGAUGGGGCGUCUGGACAAGAGAUGAUGAGCUUUCUCGAUGCCUAUUCAGGGUAUAAUCAAAUACAAAUGUAUGAACCGGAUAUUCCAAAAACAACUUUCACCACAGAUACUGCAAAUUAUUGUUAUAAAGUCAUGCCUUUCGGUUUGAAGAAUGCUGGAGCAACAUAUCAAAGAUUGAUGGACAAGGUGUUCAAAGAUCAAAUUGGAAAGAACAUGGAAGUGUAUGUUGAUGAUAUGGUUGUGAAAUCAGGAGAGGUAGAGAAACAUUUGGGAGACCUUGAGGAAGUGUUUGCACGCAUAAGAGAGUACAAUAUACGUCUCAAUCCAGAAAAGUGCGUUUUCGGCGUCAAAGGUGGAAAAUUUUUGGGCUUCAUGCUAACCAACAGGGGAAUUGAGGCAAAUCCUGAUAAAUGCGAAGCAAUAAUGAAGAUGGGAAGUCCAAAAAACUUGAAGGAAGUGCAAAGACUAGUGGGAAAGCUAAACUCAUUGUCAAGAUUUUUACCAUUAUUGGCUGAAAAAACUAAACCGAUAGUAAACUUGUUAAAAAAAUCCGAAACCUUUGAGUGGAGUGAGAGGUGUGAGCAAGCCUUUUCUCAAAUCAAAAGUAUGGUAGCUGAACCACCAAUCUUAGUUAAACCUGUGUGAACCCAACCCGUCAUAGUGUACUUAGCAACUUCAAAUGAAGCCAUAGGAGCAGCAUUGAUCCAAGAGAACCCGGAGCAAAAACCGAUAUAUUUUGUAAGUAGAUCCCUCCAAAAUGCCGAAACCAAAUACCCCAAGGUUGAAAAAGUUGCCUUAACACUGGUGUAAACCGCGAGACGUCUUCGGCCAUAUUUUCAGAAUCAUCAGAUAAUUGUGUGGACAGAUUAUCCAAUAUCUAAAAUUUUGAGAAAACCAGAACUUGCAGGUAGAAUGGUGACAUGGUCAAUGGAGCUUUCAGAAUAUGGAAUCAAAUAUGAACCAAGAGGACCAAUCAAAGCCCAAUCCCUUGCGGAUUUCAUCAUCCAGAUGCCGACAACAACGUAGCAGGAACAGUGAAUAUUAUAUGUAGAUGGCACGUCAAGCAAAAAAGGAAGCGGAGCAAGGAUAGUACUUGAAGGACCAGACAACUUCCAAAUAGAGAUGGCAUUGAGAUUCGAGUUCAGAACAUCCAACAACCAAGCCGAAUACGAAGCUCUUGUUGCAGGAUUAUUAUUGGCUAGAGACAUGGGAGUCGAAAAUGUCAUUUGCAAAAGUGACUCUCAACUCUCAGUGGGACAGGUACGAGGAGAUUAUCAGGUAAAAGAUCCAUUAUUAAUACAAUAUUAUCAUAAGGUAUUAAAUAUUAUGCAAUGAUUCAAUAAGGCCGAAAUAAAAUAUAUUCCGAGAGAAUUGAAUAUGAAAGCAGAUUCAUUAUCCAAAUUAGCAAGUCAACAACGACAACUACAACAUAACUCAGUCAUACAACAAACCCUCAGUCAUCCGACAGUUGGUUUAGAGGAAUGCUUCAAUAUUGCAACAUCAAAAUAUGAAUGGAUAAAAACAUAUAUAGAAGUGAUAAAGAACCAAGAGCAAGGUGUUGAACUGGAUACAAAAAUGACAAAGAAAGUAGCUAGUUUUCUCUUAAUUGGAGAUGAACUCUACAAAAGAGGACAUUCAAUGCCUUUGUUAAAAUGUCUCUCAAAAGAGCAAGCUCAGUGUGUAGUGAAAGAACUUCAUGAAGGAAUUUGUGGAUUACACUGUGGAGCUCGGACAAUGGCAACAAAAGUUUGCAGAGCCGGAUAUUACUGGCCAACACUCCGAGAAGAUUGCGAAAUCUAUGUUAAAACAUGCAAGAAAUGUCAAGAGUUUGGAAGUUUAAAUCAUAUACCAGCACAAGAGUUGCAAGGAAUUGUUUCUCCAUGGCCAUUUGCAAAGUGGGGAAUCGAUAUACUUGGUCCAUUUCCACUUGGAGGAGGACAAACUAAGUUCAUGAUAGUAUCUGUAAACUACUUUACAAAAUGGAUAGAAGCAGAAGCAUUGACUAAGAUAACAGCUCAGCAAGUUCAAACGUUUGUAUGGAAAAAUAUAAUAUGUCGAUUUGGAAUCCCACACACCAUUAUAACUGACAAUGGCCGACAAUUCAUUGACAAAAUCUUAUGGAAUUUUAUGCAGAUUUGGGAAUCAAGUCAACAAACACUUCAGUUGAACAUCCGCAAACGAAUGGACAAGCAGAAGCUGCAAACAAAGUUAUUCUCAGACAGUUAAAGAAGAGGUUAGGAAGCGCUAAAGGUUUAUGGGCAGAGAAGUUGCCAGAGAUAUUAUGGGCAUAUAGGUGCACACCACAAACUUCAACUGGUGAAACACCAUUCAACCUCACGUACGAAACAGAUGCAAUGCUACCCGUAGAAGUAAAUGAACCAACACUACGAAGGCAAAUAGAAGACUGGAAUAUUAACAAUGAAUGUCUGAGGACCGACCUUGAUCUUAUUGAAGAACUUAGAGAGCAAGCAAAAAUAAAAGAGGCAACAGUAAAGAGAAGAGCGAUGAAGAGGUUCAAUGCGAAAGUAAAAUUAAGAGACUUUAAAGAGGGGGAUUUGGUAUGGAGAAUGCGAACUGAUGCACGAAAAGAUCCGCGACAUGGAAAGCUGGCAUCUAACUUGGAAGGUUCGUUCAGGGUACUAGAAAAUUUGCAAAAUGGAGCUUAUAGAUUAGAAACUUUGGAAGAAAAAGUGAUACCAAGAACAUGGAAUGCAAGUCAUUUAAAGUUUUAUUUUAGUUAAAGUAGAAGAUAUAAAAAGAAGACUUUUUGUGUACAUACUUAUCAAUUAAUGAAGAAGAAGCAUUAUCAAGUGAUAAUUUAUCUCGUUCACUUUCAUUUAUUCGGUCUUGGAUGAUUUCACUCCAAGUGAAAACCCACCCGAAAAAGCAUCUACUUAUAAUACCUUCGGUCUUGGAUGAUUUCACUCCAGGUGAAAACCCACCCGAAAAAACAUCUACUUAUAAUACCUUCGAUCUUGGAUGAUUUCAUUCUAGGUGAAAACCCACCCGAAGAACACAUAUACUUAUAUUACUUUCGGUCUUGGAUGCUUUCACUUCAAGUGAAAUCGCUCCCGAAAGAAUAUUCCUUAAUAAAACUAUCGGUCCUAAAUGUUUACAAUUCAAGAGAAAUUCCUCCCCAGCAAAAUUUUUUUCAUAUAAUUCUUUCGGUUUCAAAUGCUUUCACUUUAGGUAAAAUCAUUUCAUGUAAAUACUUUUGCCAUAAACUAUUAUCUCGUGACUUAAAAUAAUUGUCGAAUAGUGAUGCUGAAAAAACAAAUAGCGAAUGUUUGCUACAUCGAAUAAAUUAGACUAAGAUAUACUUCACAGCAUAAUAAGCCGAAUAUUAAAGUCGAAAACGUGAGAUAAAAGUAUCUUCGAUUGAAAGAAUAAAUCAAAAUCUAAAUCACAAGGAAGUUGUUUUAUUUCGGUUAAACUAAAAAUCGAUACUAAAACCGAAAGGUGAAAUUUGACAUUAAUUGUAUUAGGUUGUCUAAACUGCAUCUUUCAUUCAUAUUUAUUCCUGUUAAAAUUAUCAACUAGUAAACCAUUAGGUUACAUUAAAAUAUUCUAUAUAACUUGAUAUUAUAUAUUCACAAUUCGACCAAAAGAAUUCUUUGGUCUUCUAAGAAUUCUUUUUAAUGAUUGCAUUUCGGGCGGAAAAUCCACCAUUUUGAACACUUUAAAAUAAAAACCGAAAGGUUGUCUCAGUGCUUUGAAGUUAUAAAAACCGAAAGGUAGUCUUAUUUUAAGGUUAUAGAAACUGAGAAGUAUAGUUAAGCACUCAUAACCAAAAUAUGGCAUUUAAAACAUUUUCAAUUAAAUGACUGAAAGAUUAAGCAUCCAGAGGUUAAAACCGAAAGGUUUAUCGUGACAUUUAAUUGUAACCGAAAAACAAAAUUAAUCAUGCAACCGAGAUGUCACGGUCGCGAGUUCAAUGAUAGCCGGAAAAUGAGAAACAUAAAGUAAUAUCCAAUAAAUAACAAACAAAAUAACACAAAUUAAAAAGAAACCGAUAAACUUUAUACGUGCUAAGGUUUCAAAAAAGGGAUUACAUUAAGAAUGCAAAUAUCUAUACAUAGAUCAGCAUUCCAAAACAAAUUCACUCUCGUUAACUAAACCGAGAGCUAUAAACAAAAAUAAGAGCAUAUAUCCAUCUAGCUCUCAGCAUCAACAUCAUUAGCAUCAUCCUCUGGAAUUUCAUUAACAGGUACUAAGUUACCAUUAUAGAAAUCUUUAAUGACAUCAAAAUUGCCUUCAUCUAUGGGAAUCUUGUAGAAAUAUUUUGCCUGUGCCAAAGCCUUUGCAAAGCCUAGCUUAUGCUGCGCCAAAAUAAAGUUUUCAGCUUCAAAAACAUCCACCUUCAACUGCUCAAUUUCAUCUUCCAUACCUUUAAUAGUGUUGGUAUUACAAUCCUUCACCGAAGAUAACUCCGAAACUUUCUUCUCAAGAAGUUGAUUAUUAUUACGAAGAUCAUUGAUUUCUUCACCAAUUUUCGAACUCGCGGCCUCCAAAUCAGAAACUUGUUUCUCAAGAUUUUCUUUUUCUAUCCCUUGUUGCUUGCUCUGCAAACUCAUCUCUUCCAAUUGCAAACUUAGUGCAGCAUUAUUCUCAUUACUCUCGGAAAAAUCAUUCUUUAAUUUUUCAAAUUCAGCAAGAGUCACACAAUUGCCAUUCUUUACUUUCAGCAUUUUACCAAUCAAAAACGUCCUACUCGAAAGCUCGACGAUAGAAUCAGCUAAAGAAGCAGAAUCCUCAGCUUUCAACAGGUUAUAUGACGACUUAGUAAACGAAGUUUGAACAAACUUGGCAUACUUCAUAGAAGCACCAAAAAUGGAUUCGGGAAGAGGCUCAGUUGAAACAUCCUCACAAUGACGAUGACGUCGAGAAGAAGAAUGUGAUUUUUUGCUACUUCUACCACGUUUCUUGGACUUUUUCGAAGGACCAGCAACAUGGUCAUCCUUCGCAGUUUCAAGGGCUUCAGUACGAGAAAGAGGUUCCACAAUUUCCACCUCCAAUACCGGAUUGACCACAUUUUUACGCCGCGGAGUAACAUCGCCAGUUCUGUUAAGAAGUUUUGUAAAAGAUGAACGACCUUUCGGAUUGAUGGCCGCCAUUAAUGCUGAAAAUCAAUGAAAAAUUUAGCAAAGUUAAAAAUCUCAAGCUAUAAAACAAGAAAAAAGCGAAACAAUCACAUACCAAUGAAAUCCUCUUGCGGACUCUUCGAAGUAUACAACUGUAGUAAAGCGCGAGUGGGAAUCCGAUACGAGAAAUGACCAAAAACUUCAAUAACACGACGAUCAGCAACAUUCAUCGAGUGGCAAGACCACGAAUUGAACUUUAAUGGAUCUUGCGUCCAAUACAAGGGAAAUUUUGGAGUGUCCCCAUCAAAAAAAUACUCUCUUCCUUCGGGCUCUAUUAGGAUCUUGAAAAACUUUCCUUUAAAAUCAUUAUAUGACGACGUAAAGGGCUUAAGAAAGCAAAUAGCAGACUUGUUGAACCAAGUGAUGUUCAAGCUUUGAAGAAUCCAAAUCCUUUGAAGGAUGUUGAAGCCUCUACUAUGCAUGUUGUUGAUGUGCUGGUUUAGUCUAGUUCUGGGGUAGUUUAUAUGUUGUAAUCCACCCUUUGAUUAAAUCUAAAAAUUAGCAUUCUCAAUCUUUGUGAAAGUAAAAUGUUUUCAAACUAAGUUAAAACAACCGAUUAUUUUCUCGAAACAACCGAUUGUUUGUACUUAGGUGUUUUGAGAAAAAGAUUGAAAACUCUUUUUAAAAUGGUUGAACUGUUAAGUACCAAAACAACCAAUUGAUUCGAGGAAACAACCGAUUGUUUGUUUUGGGACCAUAACAGAAAAACUGUUUUAGCUUUGACUGAGCUUUAAAUGUUUUAACUGCUUAAGCUCCAGUCAUUAAAUGCUUUGACCAAUCUUUAAAUCCAUAUUAAGAGUUUGUUAGGAUUUGAUAACAAACUACAUCUUUGAAUAAAUUUAGAAAAACAGAUUUAACAAUUAAGAAUCUUUGACAAGUUUUUGCUAAGAGUUUUUUUUUUAGUUUUUCAAAGAGCUGAGAUUGCUAAGAGUUUGUGAUUGAUCAAAGUGUUGGAAUAGGAUUCUGCUUGUAUUGAUUUCAGAUUAUCUUCUGUAACAAGUGUAAUCCUUGUACUCUGUUGAACAAGUUUUGUUUCUGUGUUUGCUGAAAUUGGUUGUGUGUUCUUGAGGGGUUCAAGAUCAGCAAUCUUAGUGUUGGCAAAUGAGAGUGUGUUUCUUGAGGUGUUCAAGGUCAUUCUCUUGGUUGUUAAGUAAGUGAUCAAGUGGUGAUUGCUUAGUGGAUUUCCUCAGGGUUUCUGAGAAGACUGGAUGUAGCUCUGGGUUUGGAGUGAACCAGUAUAAACAAUUGUGUACAAUCUCUCUAUCUCUAACUCUUUAAAUUCAGUUUAUUUGUUGUUUGCUGGUAUAAACAACCGAUUGUUUCUGCGAAACAACCGAUUGUUAUUGCGAAACAACCGAUUGUUAUUUUGGUACUACAACUUUUGCUUGCUGUUUUGGCGAACUGAAUUUCUGAAUCAAUUGUUUUCUGAGAUAAAUUCAUUCUUGUUUUAAAAGUUUGCGAAAACCCUCUUUAAAGAAUUCACCCCCCCCCCUCUAGUUUAAAGCCAUCUUUUCUAACAAUUGGCAUCAAGAGCUUGGUUCUUGAAAGUUAUUCAAGUUGAUCCUAAAAAUCUUUUUUUAAUGGCUGAUAGACUACCUUUUGGAAAAGGUGCUUCAAUUAACAGACCACCUUUGUUUUGUGGUUUGAACUACCAGUUUUGGAAAGUAAGAAUGAAAAUAUUUAUGGAAUCUCUUGACAAAGGAAUUUGGGAUGCAAUUGAAAAUGGUCCUUUUGUAUCAAAGUUUGAAAAGGAUGGAUCUGUCAUUGAGAAACCAUGGUCUCAAUGAACUAAUGUAGAAAGCAAAAAGGCCAAAUUCGAUUGCAUUGCCAAAAAUAUUAUAACAUCUGCUUUAAAUUCUGAUGAGUUUUUCGGGGUCUCGCAAUGCAAAUCAUCAAAAGAAAUGUGGGACACUUUGGAAGUCACUCAUGAAGGAACAAAUGAGGUGAAAAGAGCUAGAAAGCAUGUUCUUAUUCAAGAGUAUGAGAUGUUUAGAAUGCUUAAAGGAGAAACAAUUGCUGAGGUGCAGAAAAGAUUUGCGCACAUCAUCAAUCACCUAAUGAGCCUUGACAAGACCUUUGAUAAAGAAGAGCUGAACAUCAAGAUCUUGAAAUGUCUUGAUAGAGCAUGUCAACCAAAGGUAACUGCUAUUUUCGAAUCUAAAGAUCUAACAUCAUUAAGUGUUGCUUCUUUGUUUGGAAAGCUUUAGGGAACAUGAGCUAGAGAUGAAUAGGCUCAAUGUUCAAGAGAGUGAAGAUAAGCACACAAGGAGUAUAGCCUUGAAAGCAUCCAAGCACAAGGGAAAGCAAGAUUCCAGUGAUGAUAGUGAUGAGGAAAACCUUAGCUUGCUGUCAAGAAAAUUCAGAAAAUUCCUAAAGAGAAACCGCAACAAAGACAACAACAAGGAUAGGUAUGGAAACAAGAAACCCAAUGAUUUCAAUUCAAAUAACUAUACUUGUUUUGGUUAUGGUGAGCAAGGUCAUAUAAAGGCAGAUUGUCCAAACAAGAACAAAGAGAAAAAGACUAGCAACAAGUAGAAGAAAGGCAAGACAAAAAGAGCCUACAUAGCUUGGGAUCAAAAUGAGGUGUACAUCAAGUUCUUCAUCAAGUGAAGAUGAAAAGGCAAACAUAUGUUUGGUAGCUGAAAAUGAUGAUGAAUCUUGCAGCUCAAGUGAGGUAAGUUCAUGUGCUUCCUUAAAUGAACAAAAUUACAGUGAAUUACUUGAAGCUUUUCAAGAAACACAUGAUGAAACUAAUAGAUUGGUUCUUUCAAACAACCGAUUGAAAGAUCUUAACAGUUGGCUUGAAAAGAGAGUUAAAUCACUUGAAGAGGAUCUGGAAAAAUUAAAAAGUGAUUUUGAAAAAUUGGAAAAUCAUUUCAAAAAUGCCUCUUGCAAGUGUGAUACUCUCAUUUGCAAAAAUUGUGAAAAUCUUGAGGAAAAGGUUCACUAUCUUGUUGAAACUGUGGACAAGCUUUCAAAGGGGAAAUCAAACUUUGAGAAUCUCUUGGCAUCUCAAAGUUGUGUUUUUGAAAAGGCUGGUUUAGGCUUUAAUCCACAGAACAAGCAAGAUAAGUUUUCAAAAAGUUUUUCAAGAAAAUCAGAAAAACAACCGAUUGUUAAGACGAAACAACCGGUUGUUACAUGCUUUUACUGCAUGAAGAAAGGCCACUCUGUUAAAAUAAGAAAAUAUUCUGUUCCAAUAGGUUUUAUGAAAUGGAUUCCUAAGGGAUGUGAAGUUUCUAACUGCAAAGAAAAGUCAAACGGACCAAAAUUUGUAAGGGGACCAAAUCUUGCUGCUUGAAAUCUUUUAUGCAGGAAAAUUAAAGAAAAAGGAAGGACUGAGUCAUCUGAUCAAGCUGUUGAAGAAAAAGGCAGUCAUUGAAGCUGAAUCAAUGCUAUGCAAAAGACCUCAACAGUGAAAAGAGGCUUUUUGAUCAUAAAGCACAUGGCUCAUUGAAGAAUUAACAUAAGGAUAAGACUUUCCUUUAUUUGUUCUCAAUUUCUGUUUCAAAGUUCUUUCUUAUGGUUAAACAAUCUUUUUAUAAUCAAUGUCAUCUGCUUUGAACUCCUUCUGCUCAUGGUUAAAAUUCAAAAACAAGUUUUUAACUGCUGCAGAAAAACAACUGAUUGUUUCUUCGAAACAACCGAUUGUUUUGGGUCUGACACCACUAUGAAGAAAUUGUUUUAAUUGCUAUUUUAAAUUUCUAUCCGUUGCAGAUCAAUUCAAAGAGAGAAUCUUGGUGAAAGAAUCUGUGUUGAAAGUUGAUUAUGUUCAGUGAGAAGUUACAACAGUUAUAAAGGAAAAUAUUCCAAAAUCUUGGAAAUUUCAAGAGCCUUCAUGACUAGUUAAAGAUCACAUGUGUAGACCAUGUGAUUCUCAGCUUUUUCUGACAUUUUAUGUGCAGAGCAGAGUCAAGUCCUCUCUCUUUGAAAAUCAGGUACCCAUUGAAUAAAAUUAAAUGCAAAUUGAUUCUUUUACUGCUAUAAAAUCUGGUGCAGAUUUCUUCCACAAGAACAACCAAUUGCAACAUCUCUUGCAAUAUCUCUUGCAACAUCUCUUGCAAAAAUCUGUGAAGUGAGUUCUUCUCUGUUUUCUUCUCUGCCAAGCAUGGAAUCAACUCCUCCCACCUCAAAGAGAGUCAAAAACAGGGCUGUAAGGUUUGAAGGAAGGCUAGAAGGUUGGUUUUCUGGAGACAAUGAUCUUAUUGAGAAGUAUAGGUAUGAAACAAGUAUCAAGAAGAUAAACAACCCCAAGGUUGUAUGCUUUAAUUGGCUGAAAAGUAAAAAGCUUGAUAAUGUGAGAAGGCUGCUCAAGGAUCAAUCUCUCAGAAAGUUCCUGGAGAUGAAGGGAAACAUAUAUCCAGAUUUGGUGAGGGUGUUCUACACAAACCUAAAGUUUGAGGGAAACAAUCUAGUUUCUCAUGUGAAGGGUGUAGAAAUGGAGAUAACUCAUGAAGUAUGGACUGUUGUUGUUGGUCUCAAGUUCUCUGGUCUUAGAAUCAACAAGGGAAACCUUGGAGUGGUGGAGGAUUUUAACAAAAUCCAAUUCUACAAGAGUUGCUUGAAGAAUCAACAUGCUCAAGUAAGUACAUGCUCGGUUGGAGGUUUGAAGCUUGAUGAGAGAUUGCUUGCUCUCAUUGUAACUUGGAUUCUAACUCCAAGGGGGAUUAAUCAUUCUGUGCUAACUAAAGAAGAUCUGGUUUAUAUCUUCUGCAUCACCAAGAAAAUCAAGAUCAAUUGGAUCCACAUCAUCAAAGAGCACAUGCAAAAAGCCACGAGGUUAGGUGAUUAUCAUUAUCCAUAUGCUGUUUUAGUAUCUAAAUUUCUACUCUAUUUUGAAGUUAACCUUGAAGAUGAAACAUCUGAGUUGGUCAAGUCAACUUAAGAGUUGAACAAUGGAUCACUCAGCAAAAUGGGUUUUACAAAAGUAGGUGGAAAAUGGAUAAGCAAGGAUGGUGAUCAUGGUGCCUCAUCUAGUGGUGCUGCUAAUCUUGAACAAGAUGAACCUGCUGAUAUGGAUGUUCAACAUGAAGAUCCACCUGAAGAUUAUCAAGAUGCUGGACCAAGUGUUGGUGUUGGAAAUCAAGGAGAAAGGAUGCAAACCAUGUUUCCUUUUGAAAGACUCAUGGUGAAUAGGCUUGGUAGCUUUGCUGAAAAUCAAAGGAGCCUCCAUGAUCUCUGUGUUAGUAAUUUCCAAAGGAUUGACACCAGGUUUGACAACAUGGAUACAAGGUUUAUGACUCUAGAUGAACAGAUUGAAGUUGUCCAAUCAAAUCUUUGAUCUUCAGUUUGCUGAUGAAGAAGAAUGAAGGAAAAACAACCGAUUGGUUAUCGAAACAAUCGAUUGUUUUUGGCUGUUAUUUCUGGUUUUUAAAAUUUCUUUCUUUCUGUUGUUGCUGCUUUAAUUCUGAUGUAAUCAAAACAAUAUCUUGUUUUAUCUCUUAUAUUUGUCUAUUUGUGAAGACAAAUAGGGGGAGAUAUAUGUUGUGUUUAAGUUUCUGUUUUUAUUUGUUAAAACAGUUUGGGAUAUGUAAUAUUUUUCUGAUAUUUAGCUCUGAAGUUUAUUACUGUUUAUCUGUGCGCUAACAAAAUAUCAGAAGUUCUAUGUUUUGUUCAAAGUUCUAUUGCAAGAACUGCUUCAGAUUUAAUCAGGUACAACACAAGCAUAAGGGAUUUGUCUUCAUCAAAUAGGGGGAGAUUGUUGAACCAAGUGGUGUUCAAGCUUUGAAGAAUCCAAAUCCUUUGAAGGAUGUUGAAGCCUCUGCUAGUCUAGUUCUGGGGUAGUUUAUAUGUUGUAUGUAAUCCACCCUUUGAUUAAAUCUAAAGCAUUAGCAUUCUCAAUCUUUGUGAAAGUAAAAUGUUUUCAAACUAAGUUAAAACAACCGAUUGUUUUCUCGAAACAACCGAUUGUUUGUACUUAGGUGUUUUGAGAAAAAGAUUGAAAACUGUUUUUAAAAUGGUUGAACUAUUAAGUACCAAAACAACCAAUUGAUUCGAGGAAACAACCGAUUGUUUGUUUUGGGACCAUAACAGAAAAACUGUUUUAGCUUUGACUGAGCUUUAAAUGUUUUAACUGCUUACGCUCCAGUCAUUAAAUGUUUUGACCAAUCUUUAAAUGCAUUUUAAGAGUUUGUUAAGAUUUGAUAACAAACUACAUCUUUGAAUAAAUUCAGAAAAACAGAUUUAACAAUUAAGAAUCUUUGACAAUUUUUUGCUAAGAGUUUUUUUUUUUUUUUAAAAGAGCUGAGAUUGCUAAGAGUUUGUGAUUGAUCAAAGUGUUGGAAUAGGAUUCUGCUUGUAUUGAUUUCAGAGUAUCUUUUGUAACAAGUGUAAUCCUUGUACUCUGUUGAACAAGUUUCGUUUUUGUGUUUGCUAAGAUUGGCUGUGUGUUCUUGAGGGGUUCAAGAUCAGCAAUCUUAGUGUUGGCCAAGGAGAGUGUGUUUCUUAAGGUGUUCAAGGUCAUUCUCUAGGUUGUUAUGUAAGUGAUCAAGUGGUGAUUGCUUAGUGGAUUUCCUCGGGGUUUCUGAGAAGACUGGAUGUAGCUCUGGGUUUGGAGUGAACCAGUAUAAACAAUUGUGUACAAUCUCUCUAUCUCUAACUCUUUAAAUUCAGUUUAUUUGUUGUUUGCUGGUAUAAACAACCGAUUGUUUCUGCGAAACAACCGAUUGUUUUUCUGGUACUACAACUUUUGCUUGUUGUUUUGGCGAACUAAAUUUCUGAAUCAAUUGUUUCCUGAGAUAAAUUUAUUCUUGUUUUAAAAGUUUCCGAAAAUCCUCUUUAAACAAUUCACCCCCCUCUAGUUUAAAGCCAUCUUUUCUAACAGGACUUACUAAUCAAAGACAACCAACUCGGUCGUUUACCUGGCCGAGAGCUAUAAUAAUACAAAAAAGAUCUAGGACUUACAAUUUACACAAAAUGCUAAAAGCUUGCAUUGAUGCCCAACCAUUAGGAUGAAGCUGGGUGGGAGCAAUAUUAAGAAUGUUAAGAACGCCCAUUUGAAAAUCAUUCAAGGGAAAUCGAAUAUGGAGGUCCCUAAAAAAGCAAGCAUAAAAAUAAAAAAAUUCGUUGCUAUCGCCCUCUCGACCAUGAUAGACAUUAUCAACAUCACCCACACACCGAAAGGAAAUUAUAUCAUUCUCAAAAUCAGAAUAAUAAAUCUGAGAAUUAGAAACAAAAUCACGAAGCUCAUUAGCAGAGCGAUACUGAGAGAAGAAGUCUCGGACCUUAGGAUUAACCCAGUUGUAACCUGGACGAAGUGUCUUCCUUGGAGAAAUCAUUCUAACUCUUUCGGCAACAGUUGCGAUAACGGCAUCAUUUGAGUCUUUCAUACAAGAAAGGGUAGCAAAAGAAGACUUCGAUUCAAGAUCUUGUUCUCCUCGUACCUCUCGACCGGUGGAUUCACCACCCGUGCUUGACAAAUCACUCAGAUCAUCUGAACUAGAAGAAGAUUUCGGAUUAGACAUUGUUACCUUUGAAGGAAGAAGACUUCAAACGUCCUAGCUCUCCGCAAACAAUACAAACCGUAGAAAAUGAUAACAGCUUGAAUACAUUGCCUAUUUAUGAGCAAAACAAACCCUAGAUACUGAAAAGUCACAACCCUUCAAAGCCGUUCAAAAAAUCAAUCAUCUAAGGGUUCAAAGAGUCUUAAUGUCAAAUCAUUCAGUCUGAGAAAGCAAAACACAGUAAACGAGGCAUUUAAUUCAAAUCAAAUCAUAUCUCAAAACCAUAAUUUUAGACAUAAAAUUUUUUAUUUUAUUUCUUAAAAACUUUAAAUUAAAUUCUUUAUGCCUAAGGGGCCAGUGUACUGGUAGGCUAAAACCGAGAGGUUAAGCCGAAAGCUAAAUACUAAACAUAACCGAGAGGUUAUACACAAGUGUUGUGCUGAUAGGCUUUAGCCGAAAGCUAGAUACUACACAUAACCGAGAGGUUAUACAAUAAAAGAAUAAAACAAAAUAUAAAUAUUAUUAUAAUAAGGCCCAAAUAAGAUAGAAACCUGCAUUAGGGGGUGCGUAAAUAAUAAAAUGGUGUGGAAAGAAAGUCCAAAAGUAAAGUGGAAAGGCCAUUAAAGAUAUCCUAUAAAUAGGAGGUUAACGUAAGAAAAAGGUAAGAGUGGUUUUUAUCUGAAAAACGUUAAACUAUUUCUGACUUUGGCAUCGGAGCGACUUGCAGGUACACCCCCCCCCCCCCCAUCUGUGUGAAGGAGAAGCCGAGAGUACCCGCCGUAAGGAGAAGCCGAGAGCAGCCAACGUGAGAAGAAGCCGAGAGCAGCCAACGUGAGAAGAAGCCGAGAGCAGCCAACGUGAGGAGAAGCCGAGAGCAUCUGCCUUGAGGAGAAGCCCAGAGUAUCCAUCCCAAGAGGAAACCGAGAGAGUCUAGCCCAAGAUUGGAAGAUUUGUAUAAGAGUUAAUCUUGUCAACCUGAUUCUAGUGUUCUCGGUCCCUGUUGUAAGAACAUAUAUAUAUAUAUAUAUAUAUAUAUAUAUAUUCAAUAACAAAAAUAAUAAAUAUGAAUUAUUUUAGAGAUUUCAAUUCUUUCCCUACAAAAUUAUGAUUCCAAAAACAUUAGUUGAGUACCUUACAUCUAACCAAAACCAGUACCUAAUUCCAGAACAAAUUAACAAACUAAUCGCCUAGACCCUAUCGAAAUGCCUUGACUGUCUACACAAAAUACAAGUGUUUGCACUAAUAUAGAAACACCCCAAACUAGUUAAUGAAAUGAGAAGCCAACAUUCCUAUUUAUACCGUCAAUACAGUGAUUCCAUAUUGUUCUUACAAAGAUUAGAGAAGUAAUUAUUAGAUAUAUUGUUCUUGUCAAAUUAUACACCAUUAUAUGCAAUUAUACGCAAUUAAUUUGAUAAUGAUAGAAUCCCAUGAAUAGUGGUGGAUCACCGCUCCUUAAGAGUGGAACAUUGUCAAAAGGCCAAGAGCUUAUGUCUUCUUAAUUCUUAAACUUGUAUUUCUUUUUCACUUGAGUUAAUAUUUGGCUCCAUUUGAUGUCUUUUAAUGUGAAAACUCUCAUCUAUGCAAAGUUUAUGAGAUUAUCCUUAUUCUGUUUCUUUCUUGUCAUUAUUUCUUGAAGUGUGAAACAUUAUAAAUGUUGUGACAGAAAAAAUAACCGAUUGUUUUUACGAAACAACCGAUUGUUUCACCUUUGACAGCAUUGAUUGAAGGCUGGUUUAAUUCUCUGUGCAUUGGUUCUGUUGUUGAUUCCUUCCAAAGGUUGUUAUAAGUCUAAAUUGCAUUUAUUAUGACUUUGAAUCCGCUUUGGAAGGAAGUUAUGUUGGUCAUAAAUGGAAUAUAUUUCAUAUCUUUGUGGAAAAAUAAUUGAUACAAUAAACAUAAAAUAAUCCCUAAUUUAUGAAUUUAUACAUUUUUACAUAUUUUUAAAGAGACACUGACAUGUCACUGUACAUAUACAUGUCAGAUUUGUUAGAAUUUGUAGUUGGAGAUCAGGAGCUUAAUAUAAAUAUAAUUCAUUUUUUUAUAAUGUAAGUAUCUUUACCUAUGUUUUAGUUUACUUUAUGUUAAAUUAUUAUUGAUUAUGCUUUAACUAAUAACUUGUAGGUAUUUUUCUGAAGUUUCUAUCAAUGAAGGGAAUCAAGAUGUCUAUGGAUUCUUGGAUCCCUAUUAUAUUAAUCCAAUUGGAGCAAAGAAAUAUGAAACUCAGUCAUACAUCACUAACACUUUGGGAAAAGAGGGAAAACAAAUUUAACUUUGUCCUUAUAUUAAUGAGUAAGUUCAAUUAUAAGUCGUUAAUUAUUACUAUUUCAUGUUUUAAAUACUUACUAACUCUUUUCAUGGAUGAUAUAGGGAUCAUUGACAGUUACUUGUCUUGUCCAUAGUUGAUAAAACUGGUGUGUGGUUUUGUUCCUUGCACAAGAAGUCAUCCACACAUCUAAAGCAUAUAAUUGAUGUGUAAUUACACUAUAAACUUAAUUGCGUAUGUUACUUAAACAUCUACUAAUACAGUUUUUUGUAUUAAUCAGUUCAUGGCAUGGAUAUAACAUCCUCAAAGGUCGAUCCAAUUCAAAUUAUCAAAAUAUGACAUGGUUGAUACUAAAGGUUUGUAAUUUUUGUCUUUCUCUUUUCAUUGUUUAUCAAUAGUAACUUUUAAUUUUUAUUGAAUUAUAGUGUAAUACACAACCGAGAGGAUACGAGUGUGGCUAUUAUAUUGUGCAAUGGAUGAUUACCAUUGUAAGAGCAGAUAUUACAAGGGAUUAGGAGUAAGUAAUAAUAUUUAAAUUAUACUUUAUAAUUCUUUAACAUAUAUGUAUCUUAACACUAGUUAAAGUGAACCUUAUUUUGUAAUGUAGUUCUUUAUGGAAGAGAGUCCACUACCUUUGGCUGCCAUAGAAUAAGUGAGACAUGCUUGGACCACAUAUUUUCGUAAUUUCUAUAACUUUAGGAUAACUAAUCAAUAGUGUAGAAAUUAGAAAGAUAGAUAAAUAGGAAUAUGUUAUUAGUGUUUGUAAUACAUUUUUAUCAAUAUAUAUAAUUUGAUUCUCUGAAUUUAUGUAUUUGAAUGGCUGGAUUUUAAUUGAACAAAUCAAUUUAGAUGGGAAUUAACAUUAAACAAAAUGAACUAAAAAAAAAUUCCCAUAAAAACAGCAGUUAUGACCAAAACCGUCGUUUUAUACCUCUCGAGAGGGUAUAAAACGACGAUUAUGGUAAUAACCUCCAUUUUAGUGCAUCGUCUGUGCUGAGGUUGGGGAGGGUAUAAAACAGUGAUUUUUACCAGAACCUUCAUUUAAUAACUCAUGCAUGUAUUGUAUACAAGUUAUGAAAAGGUGUAAAACGGUGGUUAUGGUCAUAACCGUCAUUUUAGUGUGACAUUAACACAGAGUCAAAUAGUCAUCAUCUUUGUCUGAAGAGAAUAUACUACCUGCUAAAACACAGCGAUCCGAGAGCCGUUGUUUUGAUGCUAAAAUAAGUAUCAUUUUUCACCUUUUUUUUGCAGUAGUGAUUUAUACUCUAUUUAUUAAAUAUAUUAAUAAUAACUUAUUGAAAUUUAGAUAUAUUUGUGGAUUUUCAAUGAGGGGAAACAAGAUACGUAUCAGUUUUUAGACCCUCAACUCAUUCAAUCACUGGCUAACAAAAAGUCAUAAACACAAAUAUACAUCACCAUUGCCUUAAAGAAUAGAGGAAAAAAAAUUAUAUUGUUUUGUAUACCCAUGAGUAAGUCCAUAUUCAUUAAAUACGUUAUACUAAAUUAUGGAAAUAAGAUCGAAUAACUAAAUUUUUAUGUAGGCGUCAUUGGCAACUACUGAUUAUAUAUGUUCAAGAUUAUACCGCUGCAUGGUUUUGCAGACAAUUUCAUUUAACAUGUAUUAUUACUUAUACAUUACAUAAUGUUAUGUGUUAUAACAUGAAAUCUUAUUAUUUUCAGUGCUUAUUCUAGAUAUAACAUGUUGAGUAGGAGGGGAAGUGCAAACUCAAAAUAACUUACUUGGUUGCACCUUAAGGUAUUUAAAGUAUAUUUGUUCACUCACUUCAAUGUGUGUCAUCGAUUCAUUUAAUAACCUUUAUUUUGAUGUGUAGUGCAAUAAGCAAUCUAAAAAUUAUGAGUGUGGUUACUAUAUGAUGCAGUGAAUGUCAACUAUUGUGCGAGCUGAAAUAUAUAUAGACUGAGAUCAGGUAAUACAUCAAUACACAAAGACAUUAAAAUUUGGUGUUUAUUAUAUAUGAAAUAAUUCAAACAAAUUUCAAAUGUCACGGUUUUUCAAUGACCCACAUCCGCUAGAAUUGGAAGUAUUAGAGUAUGUUAAGACAACAUGGUCAAAAUAUUUUGUAACCAUGUAUAACACCUUAUGAUAGAUGAAUGAUUAGAAUGACAUUAUAAUUUUAUUUUAUUUUGAAUUUUUUCAUAUACAAUUACUUAUGUUAAAUUAUGAUAUUAUAUGUACUUAUUUAUAUGAAGUAUUUUAUAUUUAAAUUAUGAUAUUAUAUGUAGCUAGAAUUUUGAUGCAAUGCAUAAUUUUGUCCAGAAAUUUAUUACAUUAUGCAAAACGAAAACAUGUACAGCAGUAUUCAAAAAUUCAUAAAAGAAAAUGGUUAUAGAGAAAAACCAUUCUAAAAAAGUCAUUUCUAACAACAAUUUCUGAUAACAAUCAUCAUUAAAAUCCUUUCAAAUGACUUUUAACGAUGGUUCUUGAUUAAAAUCGUCAUUAGAAAUAUUAUCAUUCAACUUAGUAUUUUAAUUUUUGUUUUCUAACAACGAUUAAAAUCAUCGUUAAAAGUUAUUGCUGAUAUCUACAUCAACGACGGUUAUAAAAGUGUCUUUAAAUAUUAUUUUUAAUCGUAAUCAAAGACUAUUUCUAUACUAGUACACUUUAAUAAUGUUGGAUAAAUCUACGAUGCUUUUGUCCAUUUUAAAAAAUUUGAUUCACUUUUUUACAAUAGUCCAUUAAAAUGGUAAUAAAAUGUAAUUUUUCAUAAAGACAUUUUUAUAUGUAAUUUAGUUUAUGUUGGUUUAUUUGUUACUCAUUUCAUGCUAUAUUCCUUAAAAAAGGUAUAGUAGUCAACCAAUUUAUUUUAACAGUUGUAUAAUAUCAUAGAUUGUCUUGUAAUAUAUAUAUAUAUAUAUAUAUAUAUAUAUAUAUAUAUAUAUAUUCCCUUUAUUUCGAUAGCACGUACAGAAAACAACUGAAUUUACUAAUUGAUAACAAUGGAGCCCUAAAACCCUUAAUCUACUUCAAACAUCCACAUACUCUCACUUUGUUUGUCAUUUUUGCAAAUAUAUUUUUCUUCGGCUUCUUUGAGGGCUCCAUUUCCACACCAGUGGAUGGUUGUGCACUUAAUUCAGGCCACAGAGUCACACUCAGCUCAUGUAAUGAUUGUGCACUCAGUCCAAGUGACUCCAUUCUCAUUGUAAUUGAGUGACCAUAUAUCAGAUACACAGCUGUUUUCUUAGCAGUGAUUCCAUGACCAACUCCUACAAAAAUCUCCACGUUGUCUCCGGGUCCUAGAUUUGAUAUUACACCCUGCCAAUCUUCAUCAGUAAAAAACAUUGUUGUUUCUUGCUUAUAUAUCUGAAUGGUGCACUUUGUGUAAUUAAAGAUGAAGACACUAGUAAGACUUUGAGUUGCCAUGUUUUCAGGGGUUGAUGAAUAAACAACACACAACAACAUUCCCUUCAUGCGACAAUCACUAUCUUCAGGAACUUGAAAAGGUACUGAAUAACCUUCUCCUGUAUAGGCUAACCAAUAAGGAUAAUUGUCCCCUGGAAGCACAAAAUCAGUGGAACUAUUGGUUCUCAAUACCUGUAUCAUGCAGCAAAGCUUAGUUAUUUAUUUAAUAUGAAACCCCAUGUUAUGCUCGGUUAACAAAUACAUAUUUUUCAGGAAAAAAUAUUUCAUGCUCUGUAAAGUGAAUAGGUAAUGUAAGGUAGACACAGAAAAAGAGAGAGAGAGAAGAACCUUUAAUAUGCUAUUGCUAAGCAUAUCGAAGACUUGGUGGUAGCUUCCCAUUCCAAUCAAAAACGAUGCCAUAGAAUUUUCUGAAUUUUGUGAUAGAUAUGCAUUUUCAGAUUCAGAAAGGUUUACAUUGCAUAACUCAUGCAGAACUAUUCUUAGUUCUUGAGUUAUCUGAAAAUCUGAGUCGCAUUGUACAGAAAUACUUCGAAGUUUUGAAAGGUCACUCAGCUUCGAUAAUAGAUUAACCAAAUUAGUAUCCUGUAUAUCCAUGGAGACUAUAGAUGUUGGCAUGAUCCCAAAUGGUUGAAUACAGGCUGAAAGUCCUCCUGUAUGUGACAUCCAAGACCAUAUGAGAUAAGGAAAUACAUUUCGUGCCAAUCCUUCAUAUCCACAAAGGGAUAUAUAUCCAAUCUUUUCGGAUCUUACUAUGGAAAAAGGUACUUGUUUUAGACUAGUAUUGUCUGCAAUUAGAGUUGUUAAGGAUUCCAUCUGCCCUAUGGCUUCUUCUAACUUGUCAAUAUUUGAACAACCAGAAAGGAUGAGUGUUUGUAAUGACGUUAACUUAUAGAUAACCAUCGGAAGAUUGCCAAGGCAUGUACAAUCCUUCAAGUUUAAUAGAAGGAGGUUAUUUAGAUCUCCAAUUGAAUGGUGUACUUCAUACAAGCUUGGACAAUCUUUGAGAAUGAGCUUCUCAAGAUUUGGUAGUUUUGAAAAAUCUGGGGUCUUUGAUAAGUACUUGGAAUGACUAAGAUUGAGAAAUUUUAGCCUCUCCAGAAACUGCAAGAAAAUUUAAAACUGAAAGAUUAGCAAAGUAUAUGGCAGAAAAAAUUAAUAAGACAACUUACUGUAUUAUAGAUACAUUUGGUGUUGUUCUUCAAUCAAAUUUGCAUGUAAUUUAUUUAGUAAAAAGCAAAUUACCAAAGUAAAACUUCAAAUUUAAUUGGAGAACAACACCGAUUGUUAUAGAGUAUGUGAGUUUUUGUCCAAAUUAAUAUUGUCAUCAUAGAAAAUAUCAGGUAAUAUGUAUACCUGGGGCACCUUCCAUACUAGUUUAAGAUAACUGUAUUUUAAGUCAAUAGCAACUAUGUUUUCCUGAUAAAAGUUUUCAGGAAUGUGUGUUAAUGAAAAUGCUUUCCAAUGAAGCCAUCUCAGUUGUUUGGGAAGAUGCCCAUAAUCUCCCGCUAAUUGUACAUGAUCAAGUUGCAAAAGUCUCAGUCUCUUCAUUUUCUCAAAUGUUUCAGUACUGAAACAAACUCCGCUGGUUCUUUGCAUCUUCAAAGCCAAUCCCUCAAUCACUCCUGUUCCCUAUGAAAAACAAAUGAAAAAGAAAUUAAAUAUUGGCUGUUUUCACAUGAGAAAGUUGAUAAGUAAUACACAUCUAGAAGCUAAAUACUUUGAAAAGGUAAAUGGUUUUAAACCGAAACUUGAAAGUUAUGAUUCAGAAAACAAAAAUAUAAACUUUUCUUAUGGUGCUCAUGGUAUAUUGAGGAUGAUUGAUAGUUCAAAAAAUAGUAAGAGAAGGUUCUUACAGUAUUUUCUGUCAAUAUACCAAGUACAUCAUCAUGAACCCACAAUCGACUGCGCUUCUGUGGUUCUAGUGGUGAACUUUGACGAACAAUUUCUCUUCCCAUGUCUCGUAGCAAAUCAUGAAUUCCAAGUUUGUUAUUCUUUUCAACUUUUAUGAGGCUCCUUUCUACCAGGACUGUUAUUCCAAUUUCAGCAUGAAGUCCACAACCAUUGAGUAUCUCUGUGACAUAGGCUCUGUCCUUACCGAUAAAGAAGCAGCAUAUGUCAAGGAAUAUGUCCUUCUCCAUAUCAUCGGUUAAACCAUCAUAGCUUAUUUUCAAUUUCUCUUGUAUCUUAUCAUUUGGUAUUUCUUUAAGUUUUGAUAAUACACUUUCCCACUCUUUUCUUCUUCUCUUGUAUAGAUAAGAUCCAAGAACUUCAAGAGCUAGAGGUAGUGAUCCACAGUAAGUGACUACUUGCUUUGAGUGUUCAAGGAAAUCUUCUGGUGGAUUUGCUUCCUUAAAAGCAUGCCAACUGAAAAGCUCAAGGGACUCAAUCUCAUUCAUUUCCUCCACUUCAUAUACAUGGUCAACAUCAAGCACAUUGAGUAGACGUACAUCUCUUGUUGUAAUGAUUAUUACGCUUCCUUCAACAAUCCCAUUACCAUUUCCACAUAGUUCAUCUAAUUGUCCAAAUGUGUUCACAUCAUCGAGCACAACUAGUACUCUUUUUGUGGCAAGCGUUUCCCUUAUCAUAGCUUUUCCCCAAUCAAUGCUAUAAACCUUGAUCUUUUCUGUUUUAAGGAUAUCUGAAAGAAGUCGUUCUUGUAAAUCAAUCUUCCCUUGAUCUCUUUGCCAAACUUCUCUAAUAUUUGCUAGGAAACUUCUAUGUUUAAAUUCAUAUCGAAUUUCAUUGUAGAUGGCUUUGGCUAUGGUUGUUUUACCAAUCCCUCCCAUUCCCCAAAUCCCUAAUAUAUAAGCUCCUCUUGUUUGCUUUCUAAGAAAGCCAAUACAGUGUUCCACACGAAGUUCCAAUCCAACUGGAAACUCUGUAAUAGACAUGUAUGUUCUAUCUAAUUUUUCCAAAACUUCACUAACAAUUUCCUUCACAACCAAGUUUUCAUUUCUGCAAACAAAAAAGAAAACAUAACCCGAAAUGUUAAUAGGUACAAAUUAUAGGAGAUUCUAAAAAAAGCCUUUGCACUGUUGAUCUCCUGUCUUUCUGCCGUAGUGUUCUUAGCAGAAACUUUUACUAAACCUUUUACAAGUAUAUCAGAGAAGCCAUAAAGAUACUAUUUAAUUUAAGUAUUAGAAGAAAAUGAUAAGGAAGUUCAUAACUCACGCACCCUACUCAAGGAAGUGAGUUAGAUUCCUUUACAAGAAAGAAUAAUAGAUGGAUAGACAAAAAGAAAUCUGAUAAAUAAAAGGGAACCAAAAAGCAUAAGCAUAUACCUAUAACGUGAAACAUCCCAACCUGCAAAACUUGCUGCUUCACUCAGUGCAUUCUUCCAUUGUUUCACGAGGUGGAGGUCACUAUCUUUUUCAAAAAUGACUUCGAAAGAAACAUCCUGCAGUCUACGUAGAAACCAAGGGAAAACGUCGUAAAAUACGGGCAAAACUACUUGACCUCUAGAAGAAUGGCAUUCCAUGAUUUUGACGAGUUCGUCGAGACACCAUGUAGAGUAAAUGUAGUUUUUGGAGAAAACAACAACGGAAAUUUGAGACCCUUCUAUUGCAUGCCACAGUUCUGUUUUCAGCUGUUGUCCCUUGGCAAGCUUCUCGUCGUCCAGAAAAGUGUUGACACCGGCAUUUGCAAGAGCAGAAUAGAGAUGAGAAACGAAGUUCUUACGAGUGUCUUCGCCCCGGAAACUGAUGAACACAUCGUAUAUCCAUCGGGGUUUAGAUUUUGAGGAUGAUGAAGCGUAAGGCAUUGGUUCAUUUCUAUGAAACACGACCGAGUCAGUAAAAGCAAGAAAGCAAGUUGAUUCAAUUUGGUGUCCAUACGGCUUGUGGGAGUAAGUGAAUGCAUCGUAACUAUGGUUAAUAACGAAACUUCAACGACAUUAUCGAAGCACACAACGACAAGUUCGAUGUGUUUUUCUUCCUUUCGUUCUCUACGAGGAAGUAAAACAACAAUCACAGCAGUAAGUGGAAAUAGUAACUAUUAUAACUAUAAAAGAAUUUGCACUUAAGCUUUGCAAAAGAUAAAUUUGUGCUCUCUUUUAAACAUCAACGAAUUGUGAGCUUUUCCUUUUACAACUACAUAAGGCAAUGGACUUUCAUCUCCGAAACUGCAUGGCUGAGUUUUAUGUGUGCAAUUUUGCAAUGGAUUCUUAUUUUUGUGACAAAUGAGGUAAAAUAAAUUCUUACUAUAAUAUUUUUAUCUUUCAUAACUUUAGCUACUAGAAGUGGUGGAUAUUGAUUAUCAUAUCAUAGCAGAUAUGAAAAGUUAGGCAUGAUCACUUUGUAUUUUAAAAGUGUAAGUUUAUUAAAUAUGUAACAGUGGUACAUACAUAUAUUGAUUUCCUUUCCUUCCUAUCUCUAAUAUAAAUCCAAUAUUGAUCUACAUUAUGUAGAAAUUAAAAAUCUAAAUGCAUACUAUUUAAUAAAACUAAUUUAAAUUUUUAUAAAUUCAUAUCUAGAUAAUUAGAUAUUUUAAAUUUAAAUUCAUAUUUCCAAAAAAAGUAGUUUGAAUAUUUCUAAAUUAUUUUGAUACCGAUUUUAAAAAUAGUUUUAAAUAUAAAUUAAAAAAUUAUAAUAAAAAUUUCUUUAUUAGCAACUAAUUAUUAUUUUCAAACAACAAAUUAGAUAUUGAAAUUUGGUAUGUUUUGCAUAAAGUUAGGGUACAAUGCUAUGCUUUCUAAAUUUAAGUUAACUGCAUCUCACUUUUUAUUAAUAGCAAAUGAUGUAUCUUUUAAGAGUUUAGUGUUGAGAGGUGAGUACCACAUGGAUUAGAUCUUAAAAACAAAUCUAAAUCUAAUUCCAUAUAAAUAAAUACAUUGAAAUUAAAUUCAAAAUCAUUUUCUUUAAAUUAGUUUGAAAUUUUGUAAAACGAAAAUCUGAAAAAAAAUAGAUUAGGUUUUAAAGUUUGUUCCUACCGAAAAUGAACUCGAGGAGUGCAACUUGAAGAGGACUGCAUGUUCCUCGGGGAACGAGCUUUCAGUUGGUCUCUGAUCAAAGAGGGUACUUGCAAAAGACACUCCGAUCAUAAGAGCACAAAGAUGAUGAUGAAUCCUUAACAAAGAGCUAAAAGUAAGAGUAUAGAAUAAAAUUUAGUGUGGGAGAGAGUCAUCACCUAUUUAUAGGUCUUGUUUGACUCAGAUCAUUAAGAAAAGCAUUGAAUGGUCAUCAUGUGAUACAAAUGGAUUUUAUAACAAUAACCUAUAACCGCUAGUACUUUAUAACCAGUUUAUGGUUGAUUUAUGCGUCUUAAAUAUAAUAUUAAACGGGCAGUUAUUGUCUGAUUUAUGUGUCUUGAUUAUUAUAUUAAAUGAGCGAUUAUUGGUCUGAAUGUACCAGUCGUAAUUGAGAGUAUGUACAUAAACCCCUAGCUCGAAAUCUUUGAGGAUGUACAGGUGGAUUCUUUUUUAUCAAAAAAAAUAAAAAUGAAUUAAAGGGAUAUUAAGGAGUAUCCCAACCCGUAUACAAAAAUCUGUCACCUUUCGGCUUAGGACAAAACUGGACAUAAAUCUGCAGCUAUCAAGACCAGCAAAAGAACGGUUACAAAACUUUAAGACCACUAUUGCAUGGAGCCAACACCUGCAAAAUUGGCCACUGCCUAAGCCUAAAACUGUACACCGUAACAGCAUCUUCAUCAAAAGCCCCAUACAUGACACCAUGAAAGAUUGGUGUGCUUCCAUUCAAAAGUUCCAAAAAUACAACACCGAGACUGUAAACAUCACUUUUGUCAGUCAAAUUACGUGUUAAGAAGUACUCUGAAUCAAGGCAACCCGGGGUCCCUCUACCACAUAGUGGAAACAUGAGUAGGUACAUUUACUUCAAUAUCUGGAACUGAUGGGGAAAAUCAUGAAAGUCCAAAAUCAGCAGCACCUAAGAUUAUUCCAACUUGUUUAUCCCUGAACUUGAAUAGGGAGUAAUCGCUGGUGUUUGACAUUCAGUGUUGGGCUUGUUGCCGAAUGCGCAAGUCGAACACGAAAAGAUGAUGAAAGAGGUCUGAAUCAUCAAUUCCUUCCCCAAAGCAGCACCUGCCAAAUGAUGAUCUCUCCCGGCCUCAAGAACCUACACAAGACCAGCACCUACAGUUUGGGAGGUCCACCUGCAAAAGAUUCUUCUUCGAUACUUAAGUCAGUAGGAGCAUAAAUAUGAUGAUGAAUCUUUUAACAAAGAGCUAAGGGUAAGAGUGUAGAAUAGAGUUUAGUGUGUCCCUUUAUUGAGAGAAUAAUCACCUAUUUAUAGUUCUUGUUGGACUCAGACCAUUAAAAAAAGCAUUGAAUGAUCAUCAUGUGAUAUAACACUAGUACAAAAUAUCUCAUUAACGACAAUCUUUAAAGACGGUUUUGAAAGAACCAUCGUAAUAAAUGAGGCGGUGGCAACUUCGUAAAUUUUUUGAAAUUUUUUUACACUUUUAACGAUGGUUGCCGCCUAAACCGUCGUUAAAAGCGGAGCGUGUAGGAAUUGACGACGGUUCUCCCUGGAACCGUCGUUAAAAGUAGAUAUUCCACGACGGUUCACACUGAACCGUCGUUAAAAGUGGGUCCCCUUUUCAAAAUUCCAACGCUGAACUUUGCUUCUUCACUCUUCUUCUUUCACACAGCUAUUCCUUUCUUCCCUCUUACCAAAUCUGCUGCCGCAACUUUGCCCUGCACCGCGACCACCACGACCGACGCCGCGCGACCUCCAGUACCGCACGACCUCCACCACCGUGCGACCUCCACCACCGCACGACCUCCACCACAGUGAGACCUCCACCACCGCACAACCUCCAUCACCGUGCGACCUCCGCCACCGUUUGACCUCCGCCACUGCUCCGUGCGACCUCCGCGACCCACACCCCACUGCACGACCGUGCGCAACCGCCCCCGACCGUCGUCCCGCUCGCAUUGACCUUCGAUAGGCGCGACCGCCCAACCCCUGCUUCCAGUGACCGCUGACCCACGCCCUGCGACCGCCGAGGCGCAAUCCGUGACCUCUAAGGCGUGCCACCGUUCCCACCGUGCCCUCCAAGCCGCGACAUUGUGACCUUCGACCGCGACCGCCACCCAUUUUGAGGUUAGUAUAUUUUUAUUUAUUUUUUACUAUAUUUUAGAAGUGUUUGUUUGGAGUUAUUGAUUCUAUAUAUUGAACAAACUGAUUCUGAGUCCAAAGGUGUCUGACCUUCGGCAGUUUUGAUUUAAUUUUCAAUGAUUAUAUAGUGUUUUGAGAUAUUGAACGCAUUGGUUCUGAGUCCGGAGGUAUUUGACCUUCGGCAAAUUUGAUUUAUUUUUUAAUGGUUCUAUAUUGUUUUAACAUAUUGAACGCCCUGGUUCUGAGUCCGGAGNNNNNNNNNNNNNNNNNNNNNNNNNNNNNNNNNNNNNNNNNNNNNNNNNNNNNNNNNNNNNNNNNNNNNNNNNNNNNNNNNNNNNNNNNNNNNNNNNNNNCAACAUAAUAACAUAAUUUGCAUGCAUAUACAUAAAGUAGAAAACAACAUAAAUUUCAGAAACUUUAUUUAUCAAUGAGCUCAAAGUGUCAAAUAAGCAUUAAUAACAACAUUCAUAAUUCACUAGUAACAUAAUGCCCAUAUUUACAACAUGACCAGUAAAUGUUUUGGGCGGUAACCCUUUUGUUAAAGGGUCAGCAAUCAUAAGAUCAGUGUUAAUACGUUCUAUUGACACUUUAUGUUUCUGAACUUCUUCUUUAACAGUAAAGUAUUUCAAUUCCAUAUGUUUUAGCACCUUUGGAAUACUUGUCAUUUUUAGAAAAGAAGACUGCUGCGGAGUUAUCAUAAUAAAUUUUCAGCGGCUUGGCAAUACUGUCAACAAUUCCAAGUCCUGAAAUAAAAUUCUGCAACCAAUUAGCCUGAACUGUGGCCUCAAAGCAUGCCACAAAUUCAGCUUCCAUAGUGGACGCAGUAAUGACUGACUGCUUCGCACUUUUCCAUGAAAUCGCUCCUCUGGCUAAAAGAUACACAUAACCAAAAGUAGACUUUCGUGUAUCCACACAGCCAGCAAAAUCUGAAUCUGUAUAUCCAAUCACGUCAAGAUGAUUAGAUCUUUUAUAAGUAAGCAUGUGAUCCUUCGUUCCUUGCAAGUAUCUUAAAACUUUCUUUGCAGCUUUCCAAUGAUCCAAUCCUGGAUUACCCUGGUAUCUUCCAAGCAUAUCAACUGCAAAACUAAUAUCUGGUCGUGUACAAGUUUGAGCAUACAUUAAACUCUCAUCAAUAGAUGCAUAAGGUAUAUUCUCCAUUUCUUUCCAUUCCAAGUCAUUCUUUGGACAUUGCAUGAGACUAAAUUUGUUUCCUUUCUGUAUUGGAACAGAAGAUGUCGAACAUUUAUCCAUUCAGAAUCUCUCUAAAACUUUAUUAAUAUAUGAUUUCUGAGACAAACCUAACAAUCCUUGUGAUCUGUCACGGAAUAUUUCAAUUCCUAUCACAUAGUAUGCCUCACCCAUAUCUUUCAUCUCAAAUUUAUUAGAGAGAAACUUCUUAGUCUCACUUAAUAGACCAAGAUCAUUAGUUGCCAUGAGAGUCACAUAUAGUCUUAAAGACCCAUUUACACCCGACUCUCUUGCAUCCUUCUGGCAAUUCUAUAAGGCCCCAUAUAUCAUUCUAUGUCAUUGAUUUAAGCUCAUAUUUCAUAGCAUCUAACCACUUAUCAUAAUUAUCAUCAUUGAUGGCGUCUGAAAAUGAAACUGGAUCAUUAUCAAUACUUAAGUCAUUUUCUGACUCUUGUAGAUAAACCACAUAAUCAUUCGAAACAACAGACUUUCUUUCUCUUUGAGAUCUUCUUAAUAUUAUUUCUUGUGGUUGUUCUACUACAGGUUCAUUGUUUUCUUCAUGAUCAUUAAUUUGUUGUUCUUCUUCAUUGUUGAGUGACUCAACUACAUUAGGAACAACAAUACUUGAAGUAAAGGUACUUGUACUCUAACUUCCUUAAUCUCCACAUUUUGCAAAGUAUUACUCCCACUGGUUUCACCAUUUUCAAUGAACCGUGCAUUUCCAGAUUCAACAAUUCUUGUGUUAUGGGUAGGACAGUAAAACAUAUACCCUUUUGACUUUGCUGGAUAACCAAUGAAAUAUCCACUGAUUGUUCUUGCAUCCAAUUUCUUCUCUUGCGGAUUGUAUAUUCUGACUUCUGCCUGACAUCCCCAAACAUGCAAGUGUCUCAAACUAGGUUUCCUUCCUGUCCAUAAUUCAAAAGGUGUCUUUUGAACUGCCUUACUAGGAACCCUGUUCAACAGAUGCUUGACAGUUUUUAAAGCAUACAUCCACAAUGAAACGGGUGUCCCAAAAGUUUGUGCCACAAGAAAGCAGAACAAUAAUUCACUAAACUACAUUUAGUGUCAACAUUAUGAUGCAAGGUCAUAAGAGUUUUAGCAUAUAGAUUAUCGAGAUUCAAUUUAUAUAAUUCAUCAUAAAGAGUACCAAACCCUAUCAAACAGGUACGUUGAUAUAAACUGAAACAUUCCCAAAUAUAAAAGAGUAUCCGGCAUCAUUAAGUUUAGACAAUAAAACUAAAUUCCUAGAUAUCCUAGGUACAUAAAAAAGCAUCCAUCAAGUCUAAAUAAAAUCCAAUGUCGAGGAUUAAACGAUAAGUCCCGACUGCUUCCAUUGGAACCUUCUCUCUUUUCCCCAUGAAGACAAACUUUUCAUUUGGCUUUAUGGUUCGGGUUAAAAGGAAUCCUUGCAUCAUGUUAGAAACAUGAGUUGUGCAUCCAGAAUCAAUCCACCAAGAAUUAUGUCAAACUUCAGUUAAGUUUGAUUCAAAACAUACAUAAUAAGCAUUAUGCUUACCCUUCUUUUCGAACCAAGCCUUACGUUUCAGACAAUCCUUUUGGAAAUGUCCAGAUUUCUUGCAUAAAUGACAUUUGCCAUUCUUCUUCUGGAGCUUAGUAGAGGACUCAUUUAUCUUCAGUGGUCCUUUACCCUUUCCAUGUUUCUUGAAGACCUUCUUUCCAGCUCCCUGAUUGUUCACAUAAUNNNNNNNNNNNNNNNNNNNNNNNNNNNNNNNNNNNNNNNNNNNNNNNNNNNNNNNNNNNNNNNNNNNNNNNNNNNNNNNNNNNNNNNNNNNNNNNNNNNNNNNNNNNNNNNNNNNNNNNNNNNNNNNNNNNNNNNNNNNNNNNNNNNNNNNNNNNNNNNNNNNNNNNNNNNNNNNNNNNNNNNNNNNNNNNNNNNNNNNNNNNNNNNNNNNNNNNNNNNNNNNNNNNNNNNNNNNNNNNNNNNNNNNNNNNNNNNNNNNNNNNNNNNNNNNNNNNNNNNNNNNNNNNNNNNNNNNNNNNNNNNNNNNNNNNNNNNNNNNNNNNNNNNNNNNNNNNNNNNNNNNNNNNNNNNNNNNNNNNNNNNNNNNNNNNNNNNNNNNNAAAACAUUAUAUGUAUACUAAUGUUCUCCUUUGGGAGAUUCAUUAAUACACAAAACAUAAUGAUGCUAAUAGUAUUAACUUUAUUUGGUAAGAUAUAUGCAUUAACUAGAAACACUUGUUAUCUUUGGAUAUACAAGCAAAACUAAUAACACAUACUCACUACCAACAAUCAUAUCCAUUAAUUAUAAGGACAACUAAUCAACCUUUGGGUGAUCCAUAAUGCCCUAUAAUAAUGAAUUUCCAUUUACCCAUAUAUAUAAAUAAUUUAGCAUCCAUUGUAUAGGUAAUUGGAAUAAAAUUUAUCAGUAAUCUGGAAUUAAAUAAAACUUAAAGAUUUGAUCACUUUGGUGAUUAACAAAUCUAUCAUACAAAUAAUUCCAGAAAUUAUAUCAUUAAUUGAAAUAAAAUUCAUCCAUAAUUUGGAAUUAAAUAAAACUUAAAGAUUUGAUCACUUAGGUGAUUACAAAUCUAUCAUACAAAUAAUUCCAUAAAUAAUAUCAUUAUAUGAAAUAAAAUUUCAUCCAUAAUUUGAAAUUAAAUAAAACUUAAAGAUUUGAUCACUUUGGUGAUUACAAAUCCAUCAUACAAGUAAUUCCAAAAUUUCAAUUUAAAAUUAAAUACAUAAAGCGGAAAUAUAAUUUUUCAUUCCUCACUUUCAAUCAAUUAAUUAAACUUUAAUUUAAUGUAAAUUAAAUUACAUUAUGACAUAAUAAAAUUUCAUUAAAACUUUAAUUAAACUUUAAUUUAAUGCAAAUAAAAUUACAUUAAAACAUAAUAAAAUUUCAUUAAAUUUUAAUUUAAUGCAAAUAAAAUUACAUUAAAACAUAAUAAAAUUUCAUUAAAACUUUAAUUAAGCAUUAAUUUAAUUCAAAUAAAAGUACAUUGUAACAUAACAAAAUUUCUUUAAAAUUACAUUACAAAUAUAAUAAAAUAAAAUAAAAAUAAAAAAUUCAUACAUGAUACUAUUUUAUUUUCCCGUAACACAAAUGCAACCAAAUUAGUUGAUACUAUUCACAAUAAUAGGUGCAUCCAAAAGGAUAGGUGCAUCCAAAAGGGACGUAAGGUGCAGGGAAGAAUAUAACAAACACUUAAAAUAAAUUUUGAUGAAUAAUGGGUCAUUCCAUACGGGUCAACUAUUAUUGUGAAUUCAAUAGGUGCAGGAACGAAUUCACAUGUGCAGUUUCAUCCCUUACCUAGGCACCAAACGGUAGUUGAUGUAAACCUUAAUACAUAAACCCUAAUUUUAAAAUUAGGGUUUUUCAAUUGGGAUUAUUUUAAAAUUAGGGCUCUUUGAUUUUGAUGGUUUAGGACAAUUAGGGAUCUAUUAUAGAGGAAUGAAAACCUUAAUCUAUAAAUCCUAAUUUUAAAAUUAGAGUUCUUAAAUUGAGAAUAUUUUAAAAUUAGGGUUCUUUGAUUUUAGAGAAGCAUUAAUGGAGAAUCACAACAUGAGCAACGAGGCUCUGAUACCACAUGUAAGUUUAAACAUGAACACAUUCAAUUAUGUUCACAAAUAGAUCUUAUCAUAUCAUGAUUCUCACACAAUCAUACAAUCAAGAAGGAAUAGACACUUACCUUGAUCCAUGAGUGAUCCUAAUUGAGCAAUUACUUUAUCUCUUUUAUCUCAAUCUAUCUCUUAGCAAUUCCGUACUUGUCACACACUUUCGUGAUGGUUAACACUGAGACAACUAUUAUUUGCAGAGACAGAACCCUAUAGCCUUUAGUUCCCAAUCUCCAUCAGAUGUAGGUUUUCAUUAGGUAUAUCAUCAUAUAUAUAUUUCUCAUGUUAACCAAUGGGCUCUUUAUUCUAUUAUUAUUAUUAAAUCAUAUUUGGACCCAAAGCAACUCUAAGUCAUGUGAGUCACUUUAUAGAAAUUAAUUUACAUAAUUUCUUACAUUAAUAUCUCUAAAAUAGUCUCUAAAAUUGAAAUCACUCCAGCAACAACAACCCAUCAACCAAUAACUAACCAACAAACUAAAUCGAAUAUAGACAUACUAAAGGAUCAAGACACCAAUCUGAAAACAAGAAGCAAGCUAAUGGAACUUUAGAAGUGACCCAAGACCAAGUCUUCAGUUGAGACAAAAAGAAAAUUUAAGAGUGAUCCACCACACCGCCUUUGAAGAUGACCUUAUUCUUAUGGCACCAAAUCUCCCUCACCACCACCAUCCACACACUUUCCAAAACUAAAUUAACAGAUUCAGAUGCAUUAUAAAUAUUGAACUAUAGGAGAUGUGAGUAAAAACUUGGGGAGCAACCGACACCAACCUUAACCAUGCAAAGCAAAGAUUCCAAACAAGCCAAGAAAAUCUACACCCAAAAAACAAGUGGUUAGUAGACUCCUCUUUUAUCCCAAAAAAAAACAACAAAAAAUACUAUCAACCACAAUUCCGCGUCUAGCCAAAUUAACUUUAGAAGCAAUCUUGUUUUCCAACACCCUCCAAGCUAUAACGUGGGUCGAGGGUAAAGCCUUAAUCCUCCAAAAGAAUUUGAACCUACGUGAUCUUUCCUCUUCCAUCUCUCCCCUAGUUUGAUUUGUUCUCGAGGGUGCCUGUGUCCCCUUGGCCAACUUCCUUUUUAUUUCUUCAUUCUCUUGUAUAAGAGCUUGGUUUUCUUCUUUGUUCCACGAUUUCAUCUCUGUCAUCUCCCUCUAAAGGGCCAAAAAUAGGGUCACGCAAUCAUUCUCAACUACUAUUGAAUUUGUUAUUCUUUGCUCGCUAGUCAUGUGUCUUGUAGUUACCAUAAAGUCUUCUACGCCCUUCUCAGUCCCAGGAUAUGCGUCAAUCGUUCUUGUAUGGACCGGAAAGGUCUCAUCUCAGGGAUCAUGUUCACCUACGUCUUCUCGAUCUCUUCUUUGAACAGGUUUCGAUAGUCAACACGCAUGGGAGAUACCUACAAAAGAUCAUCAAACACUCAAAUCAGUAUUUAAUAUGCAGUGAUUGUAAAAAAUAAAUGUUAUUAAAUACGUUCUUGACUUGAAUAUGUUGAACUUAUUUAUAGAAUCAAAUCAAUGAGAUGUGAAAUCUAAUUAACACAAAUAUCCCAACAAAAUCUUGUAUUAAUCUAACAUAAAUACUUGAUUAAAUAUGUUAAACUGAUAAUUAGAUAAAAAUAUUUUUAAGAAACCGUGAUAUACUCGAUCACAUAAUCCUCGAGUGACACAUCUCUGACAUGUAAUUCUUUUAUUUUUUGUUAACACUUUCAAUCCUUUAUAUUAUUCGAUUAUUCAUUACAUUUAAUCGUUUUUAAACUUAAAUUCAGUUUACUUUUAUGUUUAUUUAUUUUUUUAAAAUUUUGUUUUCAUUAAUUCACCUGUAAUUAUAUAUCGUAAUCCUUGUACAUUUACUUUUAAUAUCUUCUACAUUGCUCUAAAUAUAUGUGGUUUACAAUUAUUAUUUUUCAAUUAAUCUUUACUAUUUCUAACCAUUCUUCCUGUUUUUUCGGCUGAAUUUUCAUUUUCGAAUUCUAACAUUUUUUAUCAUAAAAUUUUAAAAUAAAAAAAUAGUUAAAUUUUACUUACAUCUUUUUAAAUCCAAAUGCUGAAUUUCUAAUAAUCUUAAAUAUAAAUUUUGACUCGUAUACUAAUGAAUUAAUUACUUCCUUUAAAUUUAUAAAAAAAAAUUAACUACAAAUCAAUUUUUUUUUAAAAAAAAUUGUAAUAUAUUAUAAGCCUAAAAAUGAAUCGUUGAUUUUUGGUUAAAAUAUAUUAUAACCGAAAACAGUAACUAAGAAUUUUCCAUUUUCUUCCGGGAAUUUCAUUUUUUAUGUAAAUUAAUUCUACACAGUAUUGUCUCAAAAAGUUGAAAUUAAAAGUUAAAGUGCUUGAACCUUUUAGCUUCAAGUUAAAUAGCACAUAAUAAAGAUUAAAAAAGUGGUUUUCAUAGCACGUUUUAUGUUCUUUAAUAUUUUUAUUCAAUAGAAUAAAAAAGUAACAAGGAUUUAGAAAGACAGGUGGCUAGGAUCUUUGUGAUUUGUGAGUUGGCCCAAAUUUCUUAUUCUUAUAAACCUGCAUUUUCCUACUAGCUUUAUAUCCAAACUUAAAAACAACCAUAAACAUACUCAUCCAUCAUCAUCCACAUGCUAUAUUCAUUCCCAAAAAAGAUAACCCUACUUCUCAAAUCCUUCCUUGUGUUCAACAUUUAUCCAUAAAAUACAUAUAACUUUACCUUGCAAAUUUCAUAAUUUAUAAAAAUAAAUACAUUCAAAUAUCUUACUUUAAAUUAUUUUAACUUUUAAAUAUUUAUUUUGGAUGAUAUAAUUUUAAAUAAAAUAUUUAAUCAUUAAAAUAUUAUUUAUAUAUUAGAUAUUAAUAAUUAAAAAAUAUUAAUAUUAAUGACAUUAAUAUUGACAAAAUAAUUUUAAUUAAUUUUUGUCAAAAUUAUCUUUAGUUAAAUUUGAUUAUAACUAUUUAAUUAAUUGGAGUUAUUUUUAUGGUAUUGUUGGUUGAGGUGUUCUUACGCUGAAUUUAUAACCAUUGCCAAAAUAAUAUUGAUGUAAAUGGUAAAAAGAUAAUUGUAAUCGACAUGCAAAAGGUCAGGAUUAACGUAAAAAAAAAGUAAUUAUUAUAAACAUGACACACAAGAAAAAUACUAACUUUUAUAAAGAAGUAAUUCCAACUGAAAUCAAACUGACUAAAGAAUACCAAAAAAAAACAUUAAUUUAAAAAUGUACAAAAAAAUCAUUUUUUAUGAAAUAUAAAAUUAUCUAAUUUUAUGUAAUAUCACUAUUUAGAAUUAUAAAAAAAUUGAAAAUCCCUUUCUUAAACAAAAUAUUUAUCAUAAACAUUUUAAAUUCUCUAUAAAAUUAAAUUAUUUUAUUAAAUUUUUUUUAUUGAAACUCAUUAUUAAUUAAACUGAAAUUUUAAAUGAAGGAUUAACACAACAAAAAAUACACACAAAAUGUUAAUAUUUUUAUUUAAUAUCAUCAUUUAUAUAUUUAUUAUGAGUAUAUGAGCAUUUAACAUAAUUCUUUUAAUCAAUAACUUUUUAUUUUUAUCUUUAUCUUAUAUUCUCUUUGUUUUUAAUUAUAAAUAUUUAAAACAAAUUUAUAGUCAGACUAUUUUAAUUGCUUUUGGAAUCACUGAUUUUUUUUUCAAAAAGCUCUUCAUCACUUCAGUUAAUAGUUAAUAAAUUUUCAAUUUUUUUGCUGUAUGAAGAUUUUAUUAAAAUAAGUUAUGAAUAAUCAAAUAAUCCUACAUUAAUUAUACUAGUCAUUAUAAAUAUAAAAUAUAAUUUAUAUACAUAAAUAUGUAUUUUAUUUUAAAAUAUAAUUAAUUUAUAUAUUAAAAAUAUAUUAAUUACAAAUAAUAAUUAUACACAAAUAAAUACUAUCAAUAAGGUAGAGAUACAGCAAAUGUUACUUCAACUAAUAGUUAUAUUACAGAUGAUAUUUAUUAGUUUCAUAUUAAUUAUAAUAAUUUUUUUAGAAAAAAUAAUAUAUUUAAAUUUUGUGUUAAGAAUAUUAAUGAUUAAUAAUAAACAUAAUGAAAAGAAGUCCACAAGUUGUGUCUGAUGACCUUCCGGUUCACUAAACGGCAACCCUAUCCCCUCAAACGACCCCACCCUUCCUUCCCGUUACUACCUUAUCCAACUACUGUCUCAAUCAACUCACCACGUGCCACGCUCAUGCAAGCUCACCUAUAACUCGUGCACACAUGGUGGAAUCACGCUCUCACACGUCACGGGUGCAAGACUUGACCCGAAUAUAAGUGGAUAUGCCAAGCAUCUCACAACAACCCCACAUUCCCGUCAUUCGGAUCCUACCCGCAUAUCCCCAUUUUAACUUCGCCAAACUUCAAAUGAGUCAAAUCACACACAACAUUGAAUCAAGAUCACAGCAAUCAUUUUAAAUCUGAAACUGUUUUCCACGAAUAUUCUCCAGAAAAUUCCAGCGUUUUGUUCGUCUUUAUAAGUAACUUCCACAGACACAAACCAUUCUCAACCCAAUCCAUCACCAAAUCUAGCAAUUCAUUAUUAAUUGAUCCAAAAAAUUUCAGAAAAAUACGAAUCAAUGGUGGUUUUAGCAAGAAAGAAACGAGUUACUGACCCGUUCAACGACGAAGCCAAAGCUCGUCUCGUCGGAGGCGACCGCCGGCUACUAAGCUACAUCAGCAGCGGGAGCGAACAUUCCGGUGACGGCGACUCGCCGUGCCUCUCCGAACUCGUGCAUGAUUUCCUCGAGGACAAUGACAACUCGGACGAUAGCUCAGCGAAGAACGAUAUUGACUCGGACCGAGUCGACUCGGUCGCCGAUUGCAUCGACUCGGUGGAUGAACUUCUAAUGCUAAGCGAAUCCAACGCUUCCGACUCAUACAAAAACUUGCUUCUCGCGCACGCUUCGGAGGCCGCGGAGAAAUUCGCGCUUUUGAAGGAACAAAACAUUUCGACGUAUCUGCGAAACGCGAUGUCGUUUUUGCGGCAGAACGGACACAAUGCCGCGAUCUGCAAAACGCGGUGGGACUCUUCCGGUGGCAGCACAGCGGGUAGCUAUGACUUUAUCGACGUGGUGCGAUCGGAACAGUCCACGUGGCAUAAGAGGUACUUCGUGGACCUUGAUUUCGUCGGCCAGUUCGAGAUCGCACGGCCAACGAGUGAGUACCUAGAGUUUCUGACCUACGUUCCGAGAAUAUUCGUUGGAACCGCAGAGGAGUUGAAACGCACCGUUCGGAUCUUGUGCGGUGUUGCUAAGCGUUGUUUUAGGAAACGAGGGUUAACUGUGCCUCCGUGGAGAAAAAACCGGUACAUGCAGAACAAGUGGUUUGCUCCGUAUCGGAGAACAACGAACCCUGUUCAGGGAAAUCCGGUUCCCACCGUCGUCUCUGCGUUGAGUGGUGCAAAAUGUAGGUUUGUGGGCUUCGACGACUCCGUUUCGGAGGCCAGACGCGGCAGUGUGGUUGUCCUUACGAGAUGAUUAAUGAUUUUUUUAAGUUUUUUUUUUUUUUUUAGUUUAGUUUAGUGUUGCAUGUAAGAUUUUGUAAAAAAGAAAUAAUAGUUUAAAUUCACUGAAAAUUAUGGUUGUUGAGAUAUAUUAUUGCGUCUACUUUUUUUAUAUUAUUGCGCAUAAAUACAUUGAAUUUAUAUGCGGCAAAUGAACGUUGUUGUUUAUUCUAAGCGGCGAAUAGGAUGUUAUUUUAGAGGCGCAUCUGACCAUCCAGAGUGUAAAGAAACUUUUGUAUAAUUGAAAAAAAAACAAUGUUUUGGAUAAUGAAUUCGGAAGGGGACAAACACGUGAAUGUUUUGGAUUUUUAAAAGUCAGAUUCCUAGGGGAAAAAACCUUCGUUGGAAUAAUAAUAAAAUAAUGAGCAAAAUACAUUUUAAAAUUAAUAAAUUAAAUUAGAGAUAAGUACAUUUUGUUCAUGAUAUUAAUAAAUUGAACAAAAGAUUGAAUUAUUUGGUCCAUGAAAUUAAUAUAAUGUUGACUCAAAUCUUUCCUUUUUAAAGCGCAGAUAAUGUGGUCCUGCGUUUAGACAAUGGUAGACAUCGAAUUGAUUGCUGGUGUGAUAGGUGUGAGCAUAUGGUGUUUCUUGCUAUAAUAAAGGGACAGUUGGCUUGAGAGAACAGGUUGUCGUGGAAUCAAAUAUUUUUAGUUAUUUGUUUUUCUAUGGUGAAAAAUUAGGAUAGCGGGUCAUCUCAUUACUAGUUCAUGAUAGAAAGGUCACGUGAUAACAUGUGACUGAUCUAUACAUGAUGAGUUAUGGGUUGACCAAGUCAGCAAGAUUAACUCAUAAUUAAGAGUUGUUUAGCGUAAUCUUAAACACAAACAAACAUCCUAAUCUGGCCCACCAACAAAGGUCCAUUAAGGUAAUAUAAAUAGCGCAGAUUCUAAGAAUCAAGUACAUUAUCUACAAUACUCUGACAAUCGAGUGUCGACAUCCUUACUGACUUGAUCGUCGGAGUGCCUUCUGCAGGUACCAUCCGAGCCUGGGUCACCAGACGAUCAAGAGGAGGAAGGCGAAGCAAGAAGCUGAGUGUAGAAGCGAGCGACCGAGUGGAGGAGCAAAGCAAUCGUUCUCUAGGCCCCAACACCCGUUCGAGAACAAUUUGUAAAAUGUAGGUUGAGUUGGUCCAUUUCGCGUAAUGAACACAGGUUGUACUCUUUGUCCCGUCCUACAUAAGGGUUAGCCCAUGGGUUUGUGGGCUAGUUCGCAUUCGUUUUUUUUAAAAAAAAAAUCAAUAAAAAUAUUUUUUACUUUUUGCUCUUAAAAAAUUGUCAAAUUGAACCUAUAUUUGAUAGUAUCAAACAUCAAUAUUUUUUCUUCCAUUUCAAACAUAGUCAAACAUCAAUAAUUCAAUUAAAAUAAAAAUCAAAUAUUAAUAUUCUUCCAUUUCAAAAACAUUAAAAAUAGUUAAUUCAAAAACAUUAAACAUAAACAUCAUUACAAUAAACAUAGUUGCAGCGUUGGAAUGAAGGAAUAUGAAUGGAAAAGGAAAACUUAUUUUUUUCAGUUCAAUUUGCCUUGUCAUUGCUAAGUCAACACACAAACUUUUCUUUUUAUGCUACCCAACAGGCCAGUCUGCCCUGCCCUGUAGUUGGCCCGCGCGGGAUAUGGAUUAUGUGGAGCGAGCUAAAGCGGGUCGAUGAGUUGAAAAACUGAGUUUGUCCCGCAUCUUUUACUAGUGAGACGCGGGAUGGCCCGUAUGACCUGUCCGGCUUUAUCAUCCUUGUGUAAAAGGAAGUGUGAAAUGGAAGAAAAAGAAUAAAUAAAAAAUGACAUUAUUUGUUAUACAAAGGGAUGAGAGAAUCUUUUCCUAAUUGAACAAUUACUUUUCAUCGAACUUUGUUUUCUAUCUUUAUUUUUUAUUUUCAAUAUUGGGAGAACACUUGCUAAGGAUGCUAUGAUACUUGAAUAAAUGUUUAAUAUUUCAUACAAAAUAUACCUAAUAAUGACAUAUUUUUGUUUUUGUUGUUGCACUUAUUUAUAUGACUCUAAUGAUGAGUUAUGUUAUUGUGUUGAGUUGAGAUUCACAUGCAAAUCAUGAUUAAAAAUAUAUUAUCUAAUUUUUUUUAUGAUUUAAUUUUAUUAAUUAUUUUUUUUUUUAUUUUAAUACAUUUAAAUAUAUCGAUCUAUACCAGAUAUUGAAUAAUCAUCCACUCCAACUAGUACACGGUUAAAAUAAGUAGAAUAGAAAAGAAAAUAUUACAAACUUUGAAUGAACUUGCUUGAUUCUUUGAUUAUAAAAAAGAAAAUGAGAAUUAUUAUGGAAUUACUAUUAUAUUUUAAGUGACUUAUUUUUAAUUUUAAAAUCAAUUAAUAAUUGACUUUUCUAAAAUUAUCUUUGUAUAAUCAUUAUAGCAUGUUUAUAUUUGAUUAUUUAUAUUUCUUCGUGUAAAAUGUAUAUUACAACACCUAUAUAGUUAUCAUGAUUUAUGUAUAAUUAAUUAUGUUUUUGUAUAUAAUUAAUUAUGCAGGUCUUUAGAUUAAUGUGGUUUUAGAUUACUUGCAUAAUCAAUUACGUGGGUAUCUUACAUCUUAAAAUCAACAUUUUAUAAUCAUUUAAGUAGCUCAUUCAAGAUUAAAGGGCAAUUAAUUAUAUAUAACCUUUAAAAUUAAAAAGUGACGGAAUAAAGGUAUAUAGUUUGUUUUUUUUAUGAACUUUUUAUGUGUAGUGGAGUAGAAUACUUCAAUAAUUAUUAAUAAUUAUUAAGAAGUUUAAGUCUAAUUUAAUUUUAUACUAUUGAUGUAUAAGAUGAGGUUUACAUUCUGAUAGUGUUCGAUAGUCGGUGUAAUAAUAGGUUCAAUAAAUUCUCUUUAUGAUAAGUUCUAAAUGAAACCGAUAUCGAAUCGUUCAUAAACAUAGUCAAAUACACAAAUUGACAGUUUCGACAUGAUGGGAUGUGAUGAAAAUCUCAUAUCAACUAAAAAUAAAAACAUUUUAUAAUAUAUAAAUAUGUACAAACCUAAUUUAUAAGGUUGAGUUAACUUAAAAUUCAUUUCAUAAUAAUAAGUUAAUAAAUACAUAUAUUAAAACAAAAUCCAUAAGAAUAAAAAUUUUGUUGCCCCGGAUUGAUUGACGUAACACUGAAGAAUUUUGCAACCUAUGCGAUUAGGAAAAAUUACUAGUCAACACAUAAAUAUGACUUAUUUUUUAAUUUUUUUAUCAUAUGUAUAAAUAUAUCUGUUUAUUAAUUUUUUUGAAUUUAUAGUAUUUUAAUAAAUAUUCAUUUUAAUUUUGAAUAAUUUAUUUUGGAGAUGAAAUUUAAAUUUUUAUAUAAGUUAAUUAAAUAUAAUUAAAAUAAUUUAAUAAUUUAGUUAGUUAAAGAGCUAAAAGUGAAUUAAUAUUAAAACCUUUUAAAGAAAAUAUUUUGAAAAGGUCAAGAAAGAAAUAAAAAAAUAGAAAAAUAAUAAUUGAGCAAAGAAAGUAAUAUGUAUUUAAAAGUAAGUAUAAAUGAAUGAGGAAAGAAAAUUUGACAAAAUUUAUAUGUCAUUAAAUUAAAAUGAAAUACAAUUUUUUUUGGGUAAGUAUACAAUUGAAAGAGAAAAUUAUAACUCUGCAAAUGUUAUAUAAAAUAUAAAAUAUUAUACAUAUUUUAGAGAUAUAAAUUUGACCUAAACUAUUUAAUGUAAAAUUUAAUGGAUGUAUUUAAAAAUAAGAAAAUAAUUAUUGUGGUAAGAUGUGAAUGCAAACUUAAGAAAAGAAAAAUGCAAGCUAAAACCUUGUUUCGGUAACUUUAACAAAAUAUUGAUCUCAUAAUAUCUCUAGUCUAUUGAUCUCAUAAUAUCUCUAGUCUAUAAUGGAACAACUUAUUUUGAACCAAGAUUUCCCUCUGAUGUGCAUGGUGGUUCAAAAAGAGGUGACUUCUUAGAAAUGAAACACAAGUCCAUUUUAAAUAUUUAUCUACAAAGUAUAUAAUACAAGCAUUAAUAGUGAGUGUAAGUCCAUAGUUUAUUCUUAAUUACCCAAGUGUCCUAAGCUUCACCACAUGUUCUAUACAUGCAAAUUGAAUAUAUAGCAGAAUAAUUCUUUAAUUAUGGGGCCUCUUUUUAUUCUCUUAUACAGGAACAUGUGACUAAUUCAAGAACAAGUGUGUUUUACCAGUCACCAUGUUAUACAUAACAUGCAAUAAUUGAAAAUUUUCUCCUUUAUAUUAAUAGUAAUAAAAGAAAUAAACAAAAAGAAAACAUGAAUUCUUAUACUCAUUGAAUCUUACCUCCAAAUGAAUCACAAAAUAGUUUAGUAAGUUUUGAGUCACGAAAUGGCACAUGUGCAUUAUUUCCUACAAGUACGUUAAUCCAUUUCCCUAAUGCAUUCAAGGACAAAUUGAUAUAUUUAGCUUCUUUUAAUGUAUGUCCUUCACUUCCUAUUAAGUCAACAAAAAAUGAAACGAUCUUAUUAAGCAACAUAGAUGGUAUAGCACGUAAAAUAUUCCUGAUUGCAUGAAUAAUAGGUCUUUGCCAUCUGGUGAUUUUAUCAAGCCUACCUCUUAAAUAUGCUAUUGUUUUUAUUUUGACUACUUAGAAUAUUUUUCUCCAAAUUCUAAGAAGAAACAUAAUUGCAUAUCUUUUCAUCUUGUGUAAUCAACAUUUACCUUGAGUGUGAAUUACAUCAAUCAACACUUAGAUUUCAUAUUUUUUUCAAAGUAUUUAUAUAUCAAGAUAUAAAAUUUAAAGGAAAAAAAGGGAAGACAAAUAUGGAUUGUUUCAUUAAGUAAAGUCUUUGAUAAUUUGAAGUCACUAAAAAUAAAUGGAUAUAAAGAGAUCACAAAAUCACUUUAUUAAAUGUACAAACCUCACUUGUUAAUUUGCUCUGAACCAACAAGAUUAACCAGAAUCAACUUGCCUUCCGAACAAGAAUAAAUAUAGUGUCUUAAAUAUAAAUUUAAUAAUUUUGGUUCCCAAUUUUUCUCUCACUAUUUUCAUUUAUGAUAUAUUUGUAAUUAUUUGUAACUUUAAAUUGUGAAAUAAAUUAUGCUAAAUAUUUUUUUUUUUAUAUAAAAGUUUUCAUGUUAGACAUCACUAUGCAACUUGACAUCUCAGCUAGGCUGACAUCUCAGUUAACAACAAUCAUCUGCCAUCACAUGAAAAAAGAUACAUAGGUAGACCAAAACCCACAUGUUAACAAAAACAAUACAUAGGUAGACUAUACCUAUUCAUAAAGAAUUCUAAGAACAGACUAGAUGAAAGUCUAUUAUACCAAUGAAAUGAUUCUCUAUGAAUGAACCCUAAAUUAGCCAACUUAUCAGCACAUGCAUUCCCCUCACGAAAAAUAUGAGUAACCCUAAACCUGAUUGUCCCACAAAAAUUAAGACAAGUAUUCCAUCGAUUACGAAGCAUCCACGGAACAUUAGUCCUAACAGUAAACACAACACAAACCAAGGCAGAAUCACAUUUAAGCCUAACAUUAGUAAGUCUCAUCUUUUGAGCUUCCUCCAUAGCAUGUAUAAUUCCAUAAAACUCAGCAACCAAAGCAGUCUAAACUUCAAGAAACACUGAAAAAGCACCAAUAAAUUCUCUCAUACUCCCACGAAAAAUACCUCCACAAGUAGCAAGACCAGGAUACCCCCUAGCAGCCCCAUCAAUAUUAAUUUUAACCCAGCCUGGUGAAGGAAAUUCCCAUCUAACAGGAAGAGGACGAAGAACUUUCCCACUACGAGUCUUAAUACAAAAAAAACUUAAUCACGUUUAAAUCCAACAUAUCAUUCUUCAUCGAAGCUUUAGACGAAUUUCCCACUAGACAAGUUAAAUCUUUAAUUACCGAAAUAGCCUUAGAAACCUCAAUCUUAUCCUGAAAUCUAGCAUAAUUCCUCAUACGCCAUAUCAUCCAUAUAGAAAAGGUUGUCACAGCAAGCUUAAUCAAUUUAACCAAAUGACUACCAUCACUCUUAAUAAAAGAAAGAAGAUCAUCCUUAUUAGAGAAAUGAGAAGUAAGAAAAAUCUGUCGAACUUAACUCCAAAUAUGUAAUGCAUUAGAACAUUCAAAAAAUAGAUGUUGAAUAGAUUCUUCAUGCUUUUCACAAAGCGUACACAUAAAACAUAUAUGCAAACCCUUAUUCUGAAUAUGCUGAUCUGUAGGAAGUCGCCCAUGAAAAAUUUUCCAGAGUACUAGAGUUUUGGAAGGCAGAAUAGAUGAAGACCAAAUGAGCUUACCCCAACCACAUGGAACUCUUGGUUCCAAGAAAAAGUCCUAGCCGAUUUAAGAGUGAAACAACCAGACUCAUCUAGAAUCUAAUUAGGAAUAUUUUGUUCCUCUCUAACCAUGAUAUGAUUAAAAAAAUGUGGCAUCUGCUGUAAAGAUAAGGGAAUAUUCCAAUCAUAGCCUAACAAAAAUUGAGAGACUGUAUCUGGAAUGUUAGCCCCACCAGAUAACCCUACAAUAUUUGCUAAAGAAGUAGUAGAGCACCAUUUAUCAUUCCAGAAAUUAAUAAAAGAACCUGUACCAACAGUUCAAGAAGUAUAAUCAAGUAUGAUAGAAUAAAAUUGCUUAAUUCCAAGCCAAAGAGAGGAUGAUCUAUAAAUCAUUCUAAACUCGUAUUUUGAUUUAAGAAAUCUAGCUUUCAAGAGUAAAGACCAAGGUUUGUUGCUAUAAGCAAAGUUCCAAGUAAGCUUAAGAAGAUAUGCAUUGUAUUUUCAUGAUGAAGAUUAAUAAUAUUCAAGCUUCCAUCCUCAAGAGGUGAACAAAUUUUCGCCCAAUUAACGAUAGCGAUACCUUUUUCAUAAUAUCACCAAUCCAAAUUCCGGCACCACUGUUCAACUUGCUUAAUAAGUGAAACAGGCCAUUUAUACAUAUUAAAACUAUAAGCUAGAAAUCCAGUAAUCACUGUAUUGACCAUCUGGAUCCGACCCAUCAUGCUAAGAGAUUUACUUUUCCAAGAUGCUAGCUUCAAUUUGACUUUAUCAGCCAAAAGUUGAAGAAAUCGACACUUUGGAGCACCAACAAAGAUAGACAUUCCUAAAUAAUUGAAAGACAAACAACCAUGACUACAAGAAAGAAUAUUUUGAAUUUUGGUGACAAAUCUUGGAGAAUUAUCCAUGGUGAAGAAACUACUUUUAGAAUUAUUAAUAUAUUGACUAGAAAAAUCACCAUAUGUUUUAAGAAAAGUAUUCAAAUUUCGAAGAGACUUAAUAUCCCCAAAAAAAAUAAAAAAUCUUAGUAAGUUUUAUUUUCCACUCCAAUGUUUAGUUUUAUUUAUUUAUUUAUUUAUUUUGGUUGUAUGAAUUAAAUAUUUUUUUCUUAGACUUAUAGUUGGUUUUAUCAAUAUUUAAAUAAAUGUUCAAAAUAUUAUGAAAAUGAUGAAUUAAAUAUCCAAUAAAUUUUACUGAUUUAUUUAAUUUAAAAGAAUUUAUAAAAAUAUUAAUGUUAAUGUAGUAAAACUAUUAAAUUAUUAUUUAUUAUAUAUUAUUAAUAUUAAUGAUAAUGUAGUAAAAAUAUUUAUUAAUUAUAUUUAUUAUGAAAUUUUAGUUAAUAAAUUAAAUAAAAGUAGUGAUAUGUGUUGGCUUAGCCGAGCUAUAGACGCUGCUGGGAAUGUGUUGGCUUGGCCGACAUAAGUUUUAUGUCAGGUUUUACGUUGUUUGCAUCGGUAUGAGCCGACACAAACUUAUUAAUAAAUUUCAACUUCGUCUCCGUGCUUUCACUUUCCCCCAAAAUAAAAAUUGAAAACCUAGUUUUUUCUCUACGUAGCUCCCUCCUUCCAUCUAUCGCUUCCUCUCUCUGUCGCUACCUGCCUUCGCCGCUCUCUCCCUUCACUUCCUUACUUUGUCGCUCACUCUCUGCGACAUGUUCUCCUCUCUCGUCACUUCCAUCUUUCUCUUCUCUUCAUUUCUUCUUGUAUUUUUGUUUUAUUUCAGCUCCAUCUUCCUAGUGCAUAGGUCGUCGCAAGCUUCCUCUUCGUGCGCGUAUUGUCUCAAGCAAAGCUUGACGAAGUUCCGACAAAGCUUCAGUUUAUACGUACUUUGAUUUUGGUACUUUGAUUUUGGAUUACCAAGUAACUAAUUCGAUACCAAUUUAGAAACUAAUUUAUAAAUUUUUAUUAAUAAUAGAAAAUAUUUUAAAUACCAAUAAUUUUUUACUUUAUAAAAUAAUAUCUAAUUAGCCAAUAUAGUAACUAUAAUUAUUUUUUAUCUAUAAAAUUAAUUUUUAUUUAGUAUACUUACCAAAAACAUAUAAACUAUUCAUUUAGAGGACAACACUUUUAUAACUUGCCAUAAUUGUUAGCUCCAAGAUCAUUUAACUUUUUCUUUCUUAUAUUUAUCAUCAGAUUCCUCCUUUACUAUCCACGUCCAAUUUUGUUUGAGCAACCAAAAGAAUUAUUGAAUAAAAUAGAGUAAAAUUUAUUAAAAAUAAAUAAAAAGUAUUAACAUAAAAUGUCACUGCUAAGUGCAAAUUUGUUAUAACACACUGUCAAUAAUUUUUUUUUUCUUUGACAUGUGACUUCCAAUCCUUUUUUCUUUGCUUCUACACAAUUGUAUUUUCUCAAUAUUGUCUUAAUCUCUAGAUUCCAUAAUAAUAAAUUAGUCCCAUUAAACUUCUCUGUCUCAUAAUUUUUUCCAUGACUUUAAAACCGGUAAUAAAUAGUAUUGUCGAACUAAUACAUUAUAUAAGUUUAAAAGAAAAAGACGUGGAUCACUAAUAUAUACACUUAAAUACCUAUUUUUCUUCUUCUUUUAUUAGAUGCACUUUCACAUUACCACAUUCAUAAUUAAGCCCUAAUAUGGUAGACUUAUCUUCUCACAUGUUAGAGAUUAAAAGAAUGUGAGAUUUGUUCUGGCUAAGAUUUGAGAAAAAUAACUCACAUGUUAGAGAUUAAAAGAACUUGAGAUUUGUUUUGGCUAAAAUUUGAGAAAAAUAAUAAACUUGAUAAAAGAUAUAUAGAAUAGAGAAUACAUGAUAUUAAUAGCAUACUUUUUAUUUAUUUAUAAAGAUAAAAACAUUUUUUUAAACAUAUUUUUCUAUUUCAAUUUUAUUGAAAAGUUUAAAUUCGUUACAUAAACAUUAAUUAAGGUAAAAUUAAUAUACUUUUGUUUAUAAAAGAUAAACAAGUUUUUUAAACAUAUUUUUUCUAUAUGAAUUUUAUUGAAAAUUUAAAUUCGUUAGAUAAACAUUAAUUAAGACAAUUUUUUUUUAUAUUUUUUCUCGAUUUUUAAUAAAUUUUAUUUUAAAAAAGAGAAUGAGUUAAAAAGAUUUGAUUGUCAUUAUUUUCCCUGCAGCAGAGGACUCACCGUUCACACCAUAACAGUGACAUUAGAGUGUUCUUUCCAUUUACAUGUCCCUUCGCACUGUGGCAGCGUUCAUGGGUCCUUCAACUUCUUCAAUCAAACACACUUUGCUAUGUAACUGUUACUCUCCAAGUCACUGAAAUCUAGUUCACUCUUUACCCUCCUCUUCUGACUGUUUCAAAACGAAAAAAAAUCGAAAAAAAAAUUAAGGAAAACCCAAAAUUUCAGCCCUGUUCUUGUUCCUCGUCUUCAACAUUUUUCAACCGAAGCAUUUACGGUCUCACUCUCAUGCUUCGGUUUCUCGCAACUGGAUCAAAUAUUUCUCAUCCUUUUCCACACACAGCAGUUAUAAAAGCUCUGCGAGUGUUCACAUCCACCACCUGUUCGAGCAUUUGCGUCACCCAAACCAAGGUUGAAGUUGAAGAUGAUAAAGGCAAAUGGAGUGAUGCUACUGAACUUUUGAGAAAAUGGGGUUGCAGUGAUGAUGAUUUGGUGAGAAUAUUCUCGCGCUGUCCCUCGUUGCGCAAUGCUGAUCCCACGCAGGUCCAAUCUAAACUGUGCCUGCUUAGUGAUUUGGGCUUGCGUGCUUCUGAACUUGUGAAGAUUGUCAAUUGUAGACCACGGUUUUUCCAGUCUCGGAUUAACUCUUAUUUAGAAGAGAGGAUUGGACAUCUCACAUCAUUGUUUGAGUCCAGGGAAGUGCUUCAGAAGGCCAUUGUAAGGAACCCUUCAUUGCUGCUAUCGGAUGGUCGCUAUAAUGUUAAGGCCACAGUUGAGCUCUAUGAGAAGUUGGGUGUUAAGAAAGGGGACUUGGUUCAGAUGCUGCUUUUGCGGCCCACGGUUAUUUCAAGGACUUCCUUUGAUGCUGAGAAGCUGGAAUAUUUAAGCAGGACUGGGCUUACUGUGGAUUCAAAGAUGUAUAAAUAUGUGGUGACUUUAAUUGGAAUCUCUCGCGUGGAAACUAUCCGGGAGAAGGUGGCCAAUUUCGAAAAGUUUGGGUUUUCUGAAGAGGAGAUAUUUGGUCUUGUGGGGAGGUCUCCUAAUGUUUUGACAUUGUCGACAGACAAGGUUCAGAGGAACAUGACUUUCAUUUUGGGCACGAUGAAGCUUGAUGCUAAGAUGGUUCUAAAGCAGCCGUAUCUAUUGUAUGCCAAUGUGGAUACUGUUUUGAAGCCAAGAGUUCUACUAGCAUUGAAGAUUCAAGAUAUGGAUUCAAAGUGGCAGAUCAUAGGACCAACGAUAGUUAGUGUACUUAGGAUGCAAGAGACGAGAUUUUUGGACUUGUUUGUCAAAUGCCAUGGGGAGGAUGUUGCCAAUGAAUUGAUGGAUUUCUAUAAAAGGACAAAAGAGGUUAAGAGAUUAGGAGAGUCAUCAAAGAAGUGCAGUAGGAGAGGAUUCCCUUUCUGAAAUCUGAACUACUUAUAUGCUAUAAAGUGAUUUAGAGCUGAGAUCCAUAUCCACUUUUUUGGUUAUCUUGUUAUUGGAAAUUAUUUUUGUGAAAUUUACUAUGCUUAUUUCUCUCUAUUUGAUUUUUAAUGAAGAUUUUUCCUAUCUAGAACAAUUUUGUAAUACAGGUGAGCGGCAAAGCUUCAAAAUCAAGAAAUAAUGUAGGUAAUUGAUUUGCGUAUACUAUGUUUUAAAGAGUAACCUUACAGAUAUAUUAUUGAUCCUCAGUGCCCUCAUUUUUCAUCAGGGUUCGGCCUUGGCCCUAAACAACAUUCCUGAUUUUUAGUUUAGAACUUUAGAUUAAUUUUCACAUCAAAAUAGCUUUCCCAGCUAGGAACUCACUGUGACUUUUCAAUUACAAUCUGUAAACUAUUUUCACUUAAAAUAAGUUUAUCGAAACAUUAAAAUUUUCAGAGAAUUUGCUUUCAAUCCUUGACAAAUACCAUUAAAAAGAUAUCAAGAAGGACAAUAACAUUGCAGUAAAAACAAUUUUGUUUCCCCCCCUGUUUUCAACAUCUACUUCAACAAUAAAUUUCUGUUGCUUGAUACUUCUGUCUGUUUUGUGCUGCUAUCUGUUAACUUCUAAUGCUUUCUAUUCAAAUUGAAUUUCAGGUAAAAUUUUGGUUGCUGUAAAGGAACUGAAAUAUGUCAUUAACUUUGUUAUUAUUGGCUGUUGUAUUCAUUUUAUGACUACAUUAAGUGAAAACUAAUUAUCUCUCUUAAUUUACCACAGAUAAAACAAUUAUGUUUUUAGUUCACUUCAGUUCCGAAUAUCCCCAAUUAAAACUAAAAGAAAAUUUGAUGGUUGAAAAAAAGACUUCGAGCAAUCAAAUGAAAAAAAAAAUACAUUCCUUAAUCUACAUUCAUUUUCUCUUGGAAAAGGCAAUGACAGAAGAAUGUUUUUAAUUAUCUAAACAUGAAAUAUUACGUAAAAAAUAUAUAGAUAGUAGAAAUGUGAAAGCUCAAAGAAUCAACCUUCUGCUACUACUGCACUCGUUGCUUGCUUGCUUGCUUCUAAUUUCUAAGCCCUUACACUCUAUGCAUGACACUGUUGUAUGAUGAAGAGGAGAGUAGGCUCAAUGACUCAAAAUGAAGAGUAUAUGUCCAAUAUAUAGAGCUCCAAUCCAAAAUGCAUGUACAUUAUGAGAUAAUUGAAUUAAAUCUUUAUUAAAAGUUGGACCAUAUUCAUUAAAAAUACUAAGAUAUAUCUAUUAAACCCUAAACAUAUGAUAUGAUUAUUUAUUAAAUAAAGUUUAUUUAAAUCAAAUUAAUCACACAAAACACAAAAUCCCUCACAUUAACAUCUACUAUUCACAAAUUAAUUUGACAUUACACUUACUUUCUAAUAAUCAAUAUAACAUUAAGUUAUAAAGUUCCCGGAUCAAUUUGUAUUUCUUUUACAAGUAAAUCAUAUUUUUUUUAUAAAUUAUUAAUUACAAAUUUCGGUUUAGGUAUGAAAUGUAUCAUUUAUCAUCAAGGGAAAGAGACAUAUUUGAGUUUGACUAUCUCAUCAUCGAAAUAAAUAUUCAUCUUCAAUUUUAUCCUUAUACUUAAUGGGUAUGAAACUUUUGUUUGAACUUGACUAUCUCAUUUUGAAGUAAAUAUUCAACCUUAUUUCUGUCCUCAUACUCAACGGCAUAAAUUUUUUAUCUCAUGGCCAUCUCCAUUGAGAAUGGGUAUACUCGUACUAUUUUAAAUAUUAAUUAAAUAUUUUUUUAUAACAAAUAAAAAUCGUAACAAAAGAAUCAUAAUAUUAUCAAGUAUUUAAUGUUAAAAGAAUACACAAUUUCUUUCUCUCUAAUGUCAAAUAUAAAGAAUAGAAAUUAUAACUACAUAACUGCAUAAAUAACAAAUGAGAGUAUCAAAUAAAAAUUUGAUAAAAGUUAAAUAAUUACAUAAAAGAGUAAAACUAAUCAAAUAUAUGACCUAUAAAUAAGUUACAAAACUAAGGACCAAUUAAAAGUUAAUAUAAAUUAUUUAGAUUACUUAAUAAAUUAAAGAUAUUUUAGUAAUUUAAAAUAGAAAUGAGUAUGGAAACAAGAUAUGUAUUGGGACUAGUAUGAGAUAUGACGAAUAUGCACAUACCAAUAUGCAUUCUCAUACUUAAUUAAAAAAUCAAAUAUUACUUAUACUCCUACUUCACUGAUACGAAAAUUUCUCAUAAAAAAUGUGACAUAUUCAAUCAAUAUCCGUAGAUGAAUUCAUUUGCCUAGCUAAUCCUAAAAGUUACCCAGAGCCAAUUUCUUAAUGAUUUGAAGAAAAAUACAAUUUAUCAUCUCCUAUAAUACGUGAAAAUGAAAUGGGUUAAUUACAUAUUAUUUCAGAAAUUAAUUAUUUAAAUAUUUAGUGAAACAAUAAUUAUAGGUAUAAUUCUUUUGCAAUUAGUUGUAGUAUUUAUCGAAAUCAAUACCUAAGCGAGCUGAGUUUGACUGGCGAACAUCUACCCUAAACAGGUAGUUUGGAAGCAACUUUUAAUCAUGCAAUUUUUAUAGUUUAAUCCUUCAGAUUUUUAAUGUUUUAUAGUUUAUUAAUUAUAUGUUUAGUUCUAGAAUCUUAUAUGAGGCACAUUUCCUUUGUUCUUCUUUUUAUGGCAUUAUAAUCUCUAUAAGCAUGUAAGACAAACACGUGUUGUGCAUAUGAAAGUUGAAUAAGAGAGAGAUUUUGUUUUUUUUUUCAUUCCGACUCAGUUUUCUCAGUGUUUAUUUUUCUUCCUCUGUUUUCUCAGUAAAUCUUCUUCUUUAGUCAUGAAAAUCGUUAUGGUAAUAGAGCGGACAUGUGUCACUCUGAUAAAUUUUUUUUUUCAUUAGUACAAAAUAUCAAAAUUACGAUCCUAUAUUCAAGGCGUUUUUAUGGUCAGAUUCAAAACAAAAUAACAUUUUUUAAAUUAACUUCCGGUAAGAGGGUGGUUAUUUGGUAUAGCAGCAUUCUUAAACAAAGCGCUUUGUUUAAGAAUGUGACUAUAUCAAAUAGUCACCCUCUAUACCAUUUUUUUACUCUAAUACUUCCUUUCUCUGACGCUUCAUUUUCUCUUCUCUUUUACUCUGGUGCUUCCUCUCGUCUUCCUCGAGCCUGCAUUGUCUUUUUCGUGCCAUUAGUAAGUUUGUUUUGAGCUCUCUACUUCUUCUUCACCCUUAGUUUUUGUAUUUUCUUCAUUUCUCUUAUUUGUUACUUUUCUGUCAUUGCUCGAAGGCCACCACUGUUUCAUUGCCACGCUGGUGUUUGAGUUUAAACUGUGCCCUAUUUGCUCCGUCGCUGCUUGUGCUGCCGCUAUUGCCGUUGUCGUGCCGCUCUUUACCACCAUCGUUACCUUCACGCACAAGGUUGGUGGUGUUUUAUUUUUUUUUUUAAUUUUUUCAAUUUCUUUAAUGUUAUUAAUUUGUUUACUUUUUUUUAUUAUAAUUUUUAUUUUUUUUAGGUUAAAAUAUAAUUAUUAAAUUAUUUGACGGUAGAUAGAUUUAUUUUAUUUAAUAUUUAAAAUUAAUUUAAUAAUUUUUAAUUUGAUAUUUAGUAUGUAUUAUAAUUUGUAUUUAUUAUUUAAUUUAUAUAAUGUUAGUUGUUAGAUUAUAAUAGAAUUAUCGUGUUGGUAUUGAGUUCGAGGAUGUUCGACCUUCGACAAUUGAUACGUUUUGGUAUUGAGUCUGAAAGUGUUUGAUCCUCAGCAAUUGAUACGUGCUGGUAUUGAGUCCGAAGGUGUUUCACCCUCGGCAAACAUGAGAUUUCACACUCAUUAGUAAACACCUGAAUGACUAUUAUAGAAUAUAAUGGAUCGAAAUUGGAUUAAUUAUGUUUGCAUAAGCGAUGAGUACAAAAGAGGAGUAGAAGAAGUUAUACAAUUUACACUACAUAACGCGAAUAAUAGUGGUCAUGAUGGAGCAAAGAUUAGGUGUCCGUGCGUUAACUGUUUGAAUGGAAGGAUACUGGAUGUUAAGAAAAUCAGGGAUCACCUUCUAUGUGAUGGGUUUCUUCGAUCUUAUACAACUUGGACAUGGCGUGGUGAAUCAUUAAAUUUACAAUGGAGUCUCUGCAUCGCUUGACAUACUUCCAUAUUCAUGCACUUCUGCAAAAGACUCAGCUCCCACAUCACGAAUCAUGUCCUCCAAUAGAUCAUCAUCUACUUCACCAUGUACUGCAUCAUUCAUGGUGGACCCCACAUAUUCUUCAUAGUUCACAACCUGUUUUACUAGUUAUGUACAACUUACCUCCUGGAUUGUGCAUGAAGCAAAAAUACAUGGUGUUGUCUAUGAUGAUAUCUGAUUCGUAAAAACCAGGAAAUGUUAUAGAUGUUUAUCUAAGUCCCCUAAUUGAAGAUUUACUUUAUGUUAAAUUAUUAUUGAUUAUGCUUUAACUAAUAACUUGCAGGUUUUGCAUGGAGUUUCUAUCAAUGAUGGGAAUGAAGAUGUGUAUGGAUUCUUAGAUCCCUCAUAUACUAAUCCCAUUGGAACAAAGAAAAGUGAAACUCAAUCAUACGCAUCACUAACACCCUGGAAAAAGAGGGAAAACAAAUUUAUUUAUGCUCUUAUAUUAAUGAGUAAGUUUAAUUAUAAGUCAUCAAUUAUUACUAUUUCAUGUUUUAAAUAUUUACUAACUCUUUUCAUGGAUGAUAUAAGGGUCAUUGGCAGUUACUUGUCUUAUUCACGGUUGAUAAAACUGUUGUGUGGUUCUGUUCCCUACACAAGAAGCCAUCCACACAUAUGAAGAAUAUGAUUGAUAAGUAAGUACACCAUAAACUUAACUCCGUAUGUUACUAAUUAAGCAUCUACUAACGCAAUUUUUUGUAUUAAUGAGUUCAUGGCGUGAAUAUAACAUCCUAAAAGGUCAAUCAAAUUCAAAUUUUCAAAAUCUGAAGUGGAUGACACUAAAGGUUUGUAAUUUUUGUCUUUCUCUUUUUAUUGUUUAUCAAUAUUAACUUUUACUUUUUAUUGGAUUAUAGUGUAAUUGACAACCAGGAAGCUAUGAGUGUGGCUAUUGUGUUAUGCAAUGGAUGGUUAACAUUGUAAGACUAGGCCUUAAAAGUGAUUGGGAUCAGGUAACAUAUGAUGGUAAAUUAUUUUUAUAACUAUUUAACAUAUAUGUAUCUUAACACUAAUUUACGUGAACCUUAUUUUGUAAUGCAGUUCUUCACGGAUGAGCAACCAAUGUCUUCAGCCGCCAUAUAGUAUGUGAGACAUUCUUGGUCCACAUAUUUUCUAAAUUUUUAUAACUCUAGGAUAGCUAAUGAAUAGUGUAGGAAUUAGAUAGAUAGAUAUGAAUAUAGGUAAAGAUAUAUUAUUAGUGUUUGUAAUACAUUUUUAUCAAUAUAUAUAAAUUGAAUCUAUGAAUUUAUGUAUUUGUCUGGCUAGAUUAUAAUUGAACAGGUUAAUUUAAAUGAGAAUUAGCAUUAAACAAAAUGUACUAAAAAAAGAACCAUAUACAACGACGAAUAUUUACCAUAGCCGCAUUCUUAUAUGCAGCACAAAGAUUUGUACACCUCCCUUUUAUAAAUCAUUCUAAAGCAUAUAAGAAGGCGACUAUUUACCAUAGCCGUCCUUAUAAACCUGAAUUUAAAAAGAUGACUAGAAAGUCACCGUUUUACAAUGAAAAUAGCCGCCCUCUUUAAACCUUUAUGCAUCAGUGUCUUGUCUUUCUCUUCUUGCAUUUCUUAUUUUCUUUGUUCACCCUCACCAUGUUUAGUGAGGACCCCUCACUGAAUUCGACGAACCCUUACUAUCUUCACACUGGAGAGAAUUCAGGAAUGGUACUGGUCACACUGCAACUUGGUAGCAAUUAUCACCAUUAGAGUCGAGCAAUGAAAAUGGAACUACUCUCAAAGAAAAACUCAAGUUCAUCAUUGGGGAGAUUCCAGAACCCACAUAAGAGUCAACAAUAUGAAGCAUGGGAGCGUUGUAACGUGAUCGUGAUUUUCUUGGAUAACACGAAGCUUGACAUCGCAGAUAACGCAAAUCACAAUUUACAUCGACAACAUAAAAGAUUUAUGGGAAGACUUGUGGGAAAGAUUCUCCAAAAGUAAUCACUUCCGCAUCUCAAAUCUCCUUCAAGAAAUGAAUUUGAUUAACCAAGGAGAAAGAAGCAUCUUAGACUAUUAUAAUGAUUCCAAGAUUUUGAGGGAGGAGCUGCAUUCUCUCGGACCUAUAGCCGUUUGUGUUUGUAGCGUGAAAUGCGAAUGCAAAUUAUCCAAAAUCAUUAUUGAGUACACAUAAUCAAAAAGAGUAAUGUAAACCUAUAAUAAUGUGAAAACCCAGAUUCUUCUUAUGGAGCCUUUGCAUGAUAUAAACAAAGUCUUCUCUCUCUCACUUUACAACAAGAAAGUCAAGAAAGGCACUUCAAUGAGACAAAAACCAUGGAGUCAAAGAUCUUGAUAAACAACACAAGUCAAUCCAACCAAAACACAACUCAAUUCCACCAAAUGCACUACAACAAAAAUGUUGAUGGAUGGAAAGGAACUGGAAGAGGCAGAGGAAAGAAUUUUGGGAAGCAAUGCUCAUAUUGCAACAAGAUGAAUCAUACUGCAGAUAAAUGCUACUCCAAACAUGGACAUCCUCCCUAGAUAAAGCAGAGAAUUAGCCAUGAUGUAAAUGUUGUUGAAAGCUUAGAAGAUUAGAUCAAUGAAAGGAGUUCACCUCAAAAUACGUCCUUAAAUGAUUAUGCUUUAUCUACUGAACAAUUGCAAAAAAUAGUUGAUAUCCUUCAAAUGAAUAAUGACAAAGGAAAAACGAAUAAUGAUAUGACGGAUCAACCACAUGAGAAAGGUAAAACUCAUAAAAAAUCUUGGAUUCUUGAUACCGGGACAACUAAUCAUGUUGCUCGUUAUAUUUUCCUUUUUCUAAGUCAUUAUGAAAUAAAACCUAUGAGGGUGAGGCUUCCAAAUAAUGCUUAAAUCAUUGUUAGACAUUGAUAAAUGCCAUAACUUAGUAAGAUUUAUGCAAAAAAAGCUAUCACUUAUGGAUUUAAUUGUUAAUAAAGUUAUAAUUCGACCUUAAUUUGAGAAAUUUGAAUCUAAUAACAUAUUUUUGAUUAUGAUAUGAAUAAGAACUAUUUAUUCUCAAUUUUGUGCUAAUUUCAGGAAUCUAAGAGAAGAUGAAGACAAAGGGCUAGAGUAAGAAUAGAAAAGUUAGAGAUGAGGAGAAAAGACAAAGCUGAGCACCCAAGACUCGCUUAGACUUGCCCAACGAGAUCACUGCAAAGGAAAACUUGCCCUCUGGACCAAACUCGCCCAAGCGAGAUCACUCUAGAAGCAAACUUGCUCUUUGGACUCAACUCGAACAGAACUCAAUCAGACUCACCCAAGCAAGAACGCUAUAGAGGCAAACUUGCUCUUUGGGCCAAACUCGCCAAAGACUCGCCCUGACUCACCCAAUACUCACCCAGGACUCGCUUAGGCUCGCUUGAGCGAGUUUGUUCUAGUGAAGUUGGUUUUUAUUUUCUCUAAACUCGCUUGAGCAAGUAAUAUUUUGCUUGAGCGAUAUGUCACUUAACCUACACCCAAUUAGGUUAAAUAAGGGUGUGAGGCAGAGGAAAAGGGAUACCAGGAUGAAAAUCAGAGAUAGAAAACCCUAAAGGAGGUAGUCGUCAAUGAUAAAUGCUCUGGAUCUUCUUUUCUUACUUUCAAUGCUUGUAAUGGCCACCAUGAGAGGCUAGUUCUUCCCUUUGGGUUUGAGAGUAAUCUGUUCAAACUCUGAUAUAUUGAGGUGAUAUUUAUUUUAAUAUUUCUUUCUUGAUUGAUAUUGGUAUUAUCAUUUUAUUCUCAAACCUUGAAUUUUUAUUCAUGAUUAUGAUUCUUGGAUUUGACUGUAAAGUACUUCUGAGGAUCUGACCUAAAUGAUAAUGCUUGGCAUAUUUGAAUGCUAGCAAUAUAUUUGAAAUGUUAAUUUCUCUAUAACAUCUGCUUUUAAUGAUAAGAAUGUUUUUCUAAAUAUGUGAGGAAUCAAUAUUUAGGAGACAAUCUUAAUAAUUUUAUAUGCGAGGAAUCGAUAUAAAUGACUUUAUAUGUGCACCAAUGUCAAUUACGUUAGAAUAUUGUAUGCUUUUGUUCAUCCAAAAUACAAAAGAGUGAGAAAGAUUAACCCCGUUUCCAGUUUUCUCAAUUGAAUUAUUUUAAUCAUUUACGAUGUUUUAAGUUAAUUUCUCACGUAACUUUAUAAUGCAAAUGACUUUUCAAUCAAACUUUUGCACAUCUUUUAAUAUUUAGUGAAUAUUGUACAUUGAGAUUUUAAAAGAAUUGUUCCUUGUGGAUUCGAUAUCUGUCCUUAGGAACAAUUUAUUUCUUUUGACUAAGUCACCAGACAUGCAGAGACUGUGAUCUUAACUUAAAGAUUAAUCAUACAUAGAGUUUUGUACAUUCCUAAGUUUUCUUUAAAUAUUCUAUCAGUCCAAAAACUUACCACUUCACUAAACUAUAAUUUUUGUUUCUCAUGAUGAUGAGUGUCAGAUUCAAGAAGCACUUACAUCUAAGACGAUUGGACAAGCUAAGCUUCUUGUAGAACUCUACAAUCUCAACUUCUCAACAGAAAGAAGUGCAAUUCUCUUCACUCAAACAAAAGACUAUUUUCAAUGCGACAAAAGCCUUGAUGUAUGGCAUUGUAGGCUAUGGCAUCCUUCGAGUAAGGUGUUAGAAUGCAUGAAUAAAACUUAUCCCAAUAUACAUUUUGAUAAACAUUUGUGCUCCUUGUCAUUUUUCUAAAGAACAUAGAUUACCGUUUCUUAUAUGCAAAAGCACUUCUGAUAACCCUUUUGAUCUUGAGCAUAUUGAUAUUUGGGAACCCUUUGGUGUUCCAUCUAUACAUGGGCAUAUAUACUUUCUUACUGUUGUUGAUGAUCAUACUAGAUUCACUUGGAUAUAUCUGAUGAGAAGUAAAAAUGAAACCAAAAAUCUUUUAUGUAGUUUUGUUGUUUUAGUUAAAAAUAUCAAAGCAUAAGAAAUGAUAACAAACAAGAGUUUUAUUGGAAAGACUUAUAUGAAAAAUAUGAAAUUAUUCACCAAACAACAUGCUUUGAAAUACCUCAACAAAACUUUGUGGUUGAACAAAAACAUCAACACAUCUUGAAUGUGACUAGAUGUCUCAUGUUUAAAUCCAAACACUCUCAAGUUUCCUUGUAAUAUGUUGUGGUGAUUUUUUCUAUUUCAUUAACAAAAUUCCUUCACUGGUCAUUUUGAAUAAAAGCCCGUAUGAAAAAAAUUAUUCCACUGUGCCUAACCUUUAUAAUCUCAUAAUUUUUGGAUGUUUGUGUUUUGCUUCUACUUUAGAAAUGGAAGGAACAAACUUGAUCCUAGAGCCAAAAAGUGCAUAUUUAUGGGAUUCAAGGCAGGGUGAAAAGGAUACACUGUCAUUGACACACAAACCAGAGAAAUUUGUAUCUUCAGAAAUGUUCUUUUCUAUGAGCGAACCUUCUACCAAGAGAGUAACAAGAACGAGCAUAUAUGAAGUCAGUUAUGAUCAAGACUUCCUUGAAUGCAUAUAUGAAGUUCCACAAAACAGAUAGGACUAAUUCCAAUGAAGAAGAAACUGAAGAAUCAAGUGAAACUGGAAAUCCUAGAAGAUCUAUAAGAUCACGCAAAGCUCCUGCAUACCUUGAAAGUCAACUUCUUUGUCUUUACAAACUGAACCACACACUUAUGAGGAUGCAAUUCAAUAUAAUGAAUAUAGAGUAGCCAUAGACAAUGAGAUCAAAGCCCUUGAACAAGACUUGGAAUUUAGUUGAUCUUCCAACAGACAAAACACCCAUUAGUGCAAGUGUGUAUACAAAAUCAAGAGAAGAGCAGAUGGCAACAUCGAGAAAUACAAAGCAUGCCAGUGGCAAAAUGUUACAUACAACGGGAAGGCAUUGAUUCUACUAAUACCUACUCGCCCGUGGCAAAGUCAACUACGAUUCGCAUGAUCCUUGUUGUUGUCGUUAUCAAAGACUGGUAUCUAGAACAACUUGACAUAGACAAUGCUUUCCUACAUGGAGCCUCUCUGAAGAAGUUUAUAUGGAGGUUUUCCCUAGAGUCAUCAAUGAAAAACCAAGCCAGUCGACAGUGGUAUGAGAAGCUUACUUCAUAUAUUUUGACUAUAGGUUUUAUCCAAUCAUUAGUUGAUAGUUCUUUGUUUAUUAAGAAAACUAAAAAUUCUUUUGUUGCCUUGUUAUUAUACGUGGACGUGGAUGAUAUAAUUUUAGUUAAGGAUAAUAUAUAUGAAAUAAUAUCUGUCAAUAAAUCCCUGAAUUCUGUCCUCAAAAUCAAGGACCUCAGAAAGCUAAAAUAAUUCCUCGAUCUAGAGAUUGCUCGAACAAAGAAAGGGAUUCACAUCUUCCAAAAGAAGUAUGCUCUCGAAACUCUUGAAGAUACAGGAAUGCUGGGUGCUAAGCUUGCGUCUAAUCCCAUGCAGAAAAAAGCUGAGAACAUGUUCGAUCAAGAAGCUGAUGUGCAUGAUCCUUCAAGUUUUAGAAGAGUUACUGGGCGGCUUUUAUAUCUGGUAAACACUAGAUGUGAUGUAUGUUUUGCAGUGCAAUUCGUCAAUCAAUUCAUACAAAGGAAAACCAUCCAUCAUCAUCAUCAUCAUGUUGUUCAACGUAUAUUACAGUACAUAAAAGUUGCACCUGCACAAGGUUUGUCUUACUCUAGAAUAAAAAGCCUGUAGUGAUUCUGACUGGCGUCUUGUUCUAUAACACGACACUCCACAACUGGAUUUUGCAUCUUUCUGGAAGAAUCAUUGGUUUCAUGGAAAAGUAAAAAACAAAGUACAGUCUCAAGGUCAUCCUCAAAAGUUAAAUAUCGUGCCUUAGCCUCUACAUCUUGUGAACUACAAUGGUUAACUUUCUUGUUAAAAGAUCUCCACACCAUCAUCCCCAACAUAACAUGUCUCUAUUGUGACUCACAAUCUGCUAGACAUAUUGCUCUUAAUAAUAACUUUUAUGAACGGUCCAAACAUAUUGACAACUGUCAUGUCGUUCGAGACUCAAAACAAAAUCUUUUUUACCUUUUCUCUAUUUGCUCUUUAGAACAACCAGCUGAUGUUCUAAACCGCUUGAUCGAGAAGUUUUACAGAAAUUCAUCACCUAGCUUGGAGUACUCUGUAUUCACACUCCACCUUGAUAGGAGGGUUUUACAGUUUAUUAAUUAUAUACUUAGUUCUAUAGAAUAUUAUCUGAAACCUAAUUAUAUCUGAAACCCAUUUUCUUUUUUCUUCUUUUUAUGGCUCUAUGUAAGCAUGUAAGACCAACACAUGUUGUGCAUAUGAAAGUUGAAUCAUAGAGAAGUUUUUUCAUUCUGGGUGUGUUUUCUUCUUCCUCUGUUUUCUCUAUUAUUUUCAAGCAAUUUCAAAUCAAAAUAUUUCUUCUUUUGUAAUUUAGAGGCUCAAUGGUUAUUCUUUUUUUUUUAAUUUGAAAAUAAUUUAAGCUGCAUAUUAAGUAGUUUAAUCAUUAUUAAAUAAGAAGUGUGGGUCUUACAUAUUAUAAAAGACAUAUAAGAGUAGUGUGCAAGGCAAAGGUGGUUAGCACUAAGGAUCAUCAUCAUCAUCUCUCAGUGUUUUCUGCAUUAUUGCUUUCUCUUCUAACCGUUGACCUCAACUCCUUUGAUGGCAUCCGCGUCUUCUUCUUCUUCUUCGUUUUUCUCAAAAUCCAGAAAUCGAGAGGAAGUGUUCAUCCAAUUUUUUGGAGAAGACAUCCGUAAGAAUUUCAUUUCUCAUCUCAGUUCUGCCCUUUUACAGGCUGGAGUAAAACCUUCCUUCCUUGCCGAGGGAAUGAUGCCGAGAAUACUUUUGUCAUCAAUUGAAAGCUUUCAGAUUGGAAUAGUUGUUUUCGCCAAAGCAUACAGUGAAUCUUCUCGGUGUGUUCAAGAGCUUGUGAAAAUCGUUGAAUGUCACGAGACUCACGGCCUAAUGGUUAUGCCCGUGUUUUAUGAAAUUGACCCAUCCGAUGUAAGACAUCAGAAGCCUUAUAUUCCAAAAACGGCAAUUACACAAAACAAUUUUUCAGGAAAACACCAGACCAUUUGGCCCCUGAGGUGGAGACGUGCACUCACCAAAGCUGCAAAUUUGCCUACUUGGUGGGAUGGCAGCAAACACAGGUAAACCAAUCCAUACUUUGGAAACUUUUUCUUAAAACAUUUUAAGCAUAGAAAAUAAAAAAAAAUUUCUACACAAUUAUUUUUAAUAAAUACAUAAAAAAUUAUCUGAACAAAUUUUCUAUACUAUUUGGCGCUCAUUUAUUUGACAUUUGUGUCUUUUGUAUUUAUUGAACGGGAAGGAAUGAUGCUGAACUAGUAGAGGAAAUUGUUAAGUUUGUUCUCGCUAAACUUGUGCACCUUGAACACCCCUUGUCUAUAACUAAAUUUCCUGUUGGAUUAGAACCCCAUGUGGAAAAAGUGAUGGGAUUGUUUGAAAAUCAACCCACCAAAGUUUGUAUUAUAGGGAUAUCAGGAAUGGGAGGAUCGGGUAAAACUACCGUAGCCAAAGCCAUCUACAAUCAAAUUCCUCAUACAUUUGGUGAUAAAAGUUUCAUUCAAGAUAUUAGACAAGUUUGUGAAACAGAUGGCAUAGGCCUUGUUCAUUUACAAGAACAACUUCUAUCAGAUGUCCUAAAAGCAAAUGUGAAGAUAGAGAGUGGUAGGAUGGGAAAAACUAUGAUCGAGAACAGACUUUCUGAAAAAAAGUUAUUCAUUGUGCUUGACGAUGUGAAUGAGAUAGACCAAUCGAAACACCUAUGUGGAAAUGGUAAAUGGUUUGGUCAAGGAAGUAUAAUAAUCAUUACAACUAGAGAUUUAGACCUGCUUUGUCAACUUAAUGUUGAUUAUGUUUAUGAGAUGGAUAAAAUGGACCAAACUGACUCCCUUGAACUUUUUAGUUGGCAUGCUUUUAGAGAAGCAAAACCAAGGGAAGACUUCAAUGAACUUGCAAGAGAUGCAGUUGCUUAUUGUGGUGGACUACCACUAGCUCUUGAAGUCCUUGGUUCUUAUUUAUGUAAAAGGUCAGAGAAUGAAUGGAGAAGUGUAUUGUCGAAACUAAAAGUAAUUCCCAAUACUCAAGUUCAGAACAAACUAAGAAUAAGCUUUGACGGUUUACGCGAUGACAUGGAAAAGGAUAUAUUUCUAGAUGUAUGUUGUUUCUUUAUUGGUAAGGAGAGAGGCUAUGUCACAGAGAUACUAAAUGGGUGUGGACUACAUGCUGAUAUUGGAAUAACAAUUCUCAUAGAGCGUGGUCUUAUAAAAAUUGAAAAGAACAAUAAACUUGGAAUGCAUCAUUUGCUCCGGGAUAUGGGACGAGAGAUUGUGCGCCAAAGUUCAACAAUGCAACCUGGGAAGCGCAGUCGAUUGUGGCUUUCCAAGGAUGUAAUUGAUGUAUUGACAAAGAAUACUGUAAGUACAUUCUUCAUAUAACAUUUUGAAACUUCAAACUGUUUUCCUUUAUGUUUCCUUUUCUAGUGAGCUAACAAUAGUGAUUUCCUAAUUUGUUUAUUUUCUCUUAUCAUUACAGGGGACAGAAGCUAUUGAGGGAUUGUCUCUGAACUGUCGGUCAACGAGCAAAGAUUUCUUCGAAGCUUAUGCUUUUGACAAAAUGAAGAGGUUGAGAUUCUUGCAACUUGAUCAUGUACAACUCACUGGAGAUUAUGGAUAUCUUUCUAAGCAACUGAGAUGGAUCUAUUGGCAAGGAUUUCCAUUAAAGUACAUACCUAACAACUUCUAUUUGGAAGGUGCAAUUGUGAUGGAUUUCCAACACAGUAAUCUUAGACUAUUGUGGGAAGAACCCAAGGUAUAUAUUAAAUCCAAUUUUCUUUUCAGACUCGUAGGGUAAUUAAAAUUUUAAGAAUUGCCUCUUAUCACGGUUUCCUUUAUUUUGUAAAAAUACUAUAUUUUUUUGUAGGUUUUGCCGUUGCUAAAAAUCCUCAAUCUUAGUCAUUCCAAGAACUUGAUAGAAACCCCUGACUUUUCAAAAUUACCAAGUCUUGAAAAGCUCAUUCUCAAGCAUUGUCCAAGUUUGCGCAAGGUACACCAAUCCAUUGGAGAUCUCCACAAUCUUCUACUUAUAAAUCUGAAAGGUUGUACAAACCUAAGCAAUCUCCCAAGUGAGACAUAUAAGUUGAAAUCUUUGAAAACUCUCAUCCUAUCAGGUUGUCUGAAGAUUGACAUCUUUAAAGAAGAUAUAUUGCUCAUGGAAUCCCUGACAACUCUAAUUUCUGAAAAUAUUGCUGUGAAACAAGUUCCCAUUUCAGUAGUAAGCUCAAAAAGCAUUGGAUAUAUACUUCUAGACGGAAAUAAAGGAUUGUCACUUACUGUUUUUCGUUCUAUCAUUUGGUCUUGGAUGUCACAUACUAUUAAUCCCCUGUCUCGUAUUCGUCCGUUUCGUGGCAUUUCAUCAUCUCUAGUUUCCAUGAAUAUCAAGAAUAAUGAUUUGGGGGAUCUAGCACCAAUCCUAAGCAGCAUUUUAAAUCUGCGUAACGUUUUGGUGCAAUGUGUCACGGAGAAUGAAACAGCGACACAAGUAAUAACAAUUUUGGAGGAAGUUCGUGGUGUAAGUUUGAGUACAUUAAAAAUAAGACCAUCUACACCAGAAAUUUCAAAGCAUCCCUUAAGACCAUAUUGGAUUGAACUUGGAAGUUAUCAAGAAGAAGUCUUCAAUACUCUCCGCAAGAGCAUAUUUGAGGUUCCUUCUCUUUUUCUCAUUAUCUACUUACUUUUAUUAUUCAUUUUAGCUGUUAAUUUUAAGACCAUGAAACAUUCCCGUAAAAAUAAUUCAAAGUAACUUCAAUCCUAACAUUCCUUUAGCACCUUCCCCUUCUAUAACCACCUGGCUUUAUUUAAAAAAUACCUUUUUCUAAUACUCAACAAGGCGAGUGACGAUGCUAAGCACUAGGAAGUUGAUUUCCAUUUUGGGCUUGCAUUGCUUGCUUCAUACUGGUCAUAUUCUCAUAGAUCAUAAAAAAUUAUUUAUGCGUUGAAAGCACAUUAUUAUACACAACAAAACUAUUAAAGCAAAUUUGUCUAGAUAUGUUGGAAAUUUUAUAUCAAAUAGAGGUAUGACCAAAUUAUGGUAUAUAAGUAAAUUCAAAACUUCUAUUACAAGUUGUUAUUAUAAAAUUGAGUUAAGCCUGUUGGGCCCAUAGGACCAUCUGCUAUUAUAUUUAGUGUCAUGUUUGAAAUAUGCAGUCAGUGAGUUUGUUGGAAAUUUCAUAUUAGUGAGAGAUAUGAUUAAAUUGUAAUAUAUAAGUAGAUAGAAGUUUUUCUAAGAUUGAAUUGGGUCUGAAUCCACCUUUUAAGAGAAAUAAUUACGGGAACUAUGUUCUAAUUUAUUCAAUAUGUAGUUAUUCUCUUAAAUUGUUUGUUUUGUACUUUGAAAUGAUAAAAUGAUUGAAGAUGUCCAUAUGAACAGAACCAAUACAAAAUGACUAAGCUAUUUUUCUCAUUCUACAGGGAUUGGAAACCAGUGAGUCUUGUGAUGUUUUUCUCCCCAGUGACAAUUAUCCUUAUUGGUUGGCUUAUAUGUCUGAGGAAGACUCAGUCUUUUUCACUGUGCCUGAAAAUUUUAACAUUGAUGGAAUGAUUUUGUGUGUUGUGUAUUUAUCAACCCUUGAAAACACAACAACUGAAUGUCUUAUUAGUGUCUUAAUGGUUAAUUACACAAAGUGCACAAUCCAGUUACUCAAGGGAGACCCGACAAUUUCCUUUAAUGAUGUAGAUUGGCAGGGCUUGAUAUCACAUUUGGUAUGUGGAGACAAGGUGGGGAUUUUUGUUAUUUUUGCAGAUGGAUUUGUAGUCGAGAAGACAGCUGUCUAUCUAAUGUGUGAUGGAUCAAUUGACAAGGAAUGAUACGAAGGUAAAAACGAAUAAUGAUCUGGAAAAAGUAAGAGUGGGAGGUCCCGUCGGACAAAUAGACGACAAAUAAUUAGUUAGAGGUGGGGAACCGAUGCCCUAGAGAUCCAUAUGUGGGACUACGUAGGAGUGAAAGGUAAAGAAAAUGAGAUCUUACAGAGUAUUGGCCAAAUUAAGAUAUAAUUGAGGAGAGUGAAGGCUUCUGGUCAAGAUUGUACUCAUCCUCUCUUAUUGGCAGUUUCAUCCUUUUCCUUAACAUAUUCUGUUUCUUUAUACUCAAUAUGGUCAUUUAAGAAUAUAACUUCCUUUCUUAUUGUAUGAAAUCCACUUUUAUUUAUAACAAAGUACAAAUAGUUUAUUUUCAUGGGUGAGAACAGCUAGCAUCUGGGCUCGCCAGAUAGCAAAGCUGAUUUUACCAUCAAAUUUCUCAAUAUCCAAUUUUGACAUUAUUGAACAACAGAUCCUGGUUGAAUUAUCGAAAAGCUCUGAUGCCAAUUUGUAGGGAUAUUGUGUGCGGAAGCGUAAUUAUUUAGAAAUAGAAGUUUUCAGCCAAGUUGUUGUUCCUGUAGGGAUAUUGUGUGCGGAAGCGUGGAAAACCCCGUUAAAUAGAGGUAAAGAACCACCGGCGAGAGAGCCAAAACUUCCACUAUAAUGGUACUGGGAGUACAAUAAAUUCCUCUCAGGCUAAUAGAUAAAUAGCCCCAAAACAAAUUCUCUCUAUAUGGGUUAAACACUUACAUCCAAAAGCAGAAAUAGAGAGUAUGGAAAAGAGAGAGGAAGCAAGUGUGCGUAUGUUGUGUCUUACAUAUAUAUAGUGGUUCUAGGAGACAACAAUAAUAAAUACAAUUAAUGGUAAUUAACCUCCCAUUGAUUGCAAUUGAUUGCGGUAAUUAACCUCUCAUUGAUUGCAAUUGAUUGUAGCAAUUAACCUCCCUCCCUUUAAUAACAAUUAAUUGUCAACGGUAAGUCAUAACCCACAAAUCUCCACCUUGACUUGCCUUUGACUGGAACACUCUCUCGCCAUGAAGCCUUGAUUAAGUAUGGAUAAUCAGUAGUAAGCUCAAAAAGCAUUGGAUAUAUACAUCUACACGGAAAUAAAGGAUUAUCAUUUGCUGUUUUACGUUCUAUCAUUUCGUCUUGGAUGUCACAUACUGUUGAUCCCCUGUCUCGUAUUCGUCCGUUUCGUGGCAUUUCAUCAUCUGAAGUUUUCAUGAAUAUCAAGAAUAAUAAUUUGGGUGAUCUAGCACCAAUCGUUAGCAGCAUUUUAAAUCUGCGUAAUGUUUCGGUGCAAUGUGUCACGGAGUGUCAAACAUCGGAACAAUUAAGAACAAUUUUGGAGGAAGUUCGUGUUGUAAGUUUGACUACAUUGAAAAUAAGACCAUCUACACCAGAAAUUUCAAAGCAUCCCUCAAGACCAUAUUGGAUUGGACUUGGAAGUUAUCAAGAAGAAGUCUUCGAUACUCUCCGCAAGAGCACAUUUGAGGUUCCUUCUCUUUUUCUCUUUGUCUACUUACUUUUACUGUUCAUUUUAGCUGUUAAUUUUAAGACCAUGAAACAUUCCCGUAAAAAAAAUUCAAAGUAACUUCAAUCCUAACAUUCUUUUAGCACCUUCCCCUUCUAUAACCACCUUGCUUUAUUUAAAAAAUACCUUUUUCUAAUUCUCAACAAGCCGAGUGAUGAUGCUAAGCACUAGGAAGUUGAUUUCCAUUUUGGGCUUGCAAUGCUUGCUUCAUACUGGUUACAUUCUCAAAGAUCAUAAAUAAUUAUUUAUGUGUUGAAAGAUCUGUAUGUAAACAUAAUGGGCUGAUUUAUACACAACAAAACUAUUAAACCAAAUUUAUCGUUGAAAAUCUUAUAUAAAAUAGAGGUAUGACAAAAUUAUAGUAUAUAAGUAAAUUCAAAACUUAUAUUACAAGUUGAUAUUAUAAGAUUGAGUUAAGUCUGCUGGACUUGCUAUCAUAUAAUUAUCGAAUCAUCUAUAAAUAUUCAGCUUUAUACUUGAGAUAAGUGGUCAUCGAUGUAAAUGAGUGUGUUGGAAAUCUCAUAUUGAUUAGAAAUAUGAUUAAAUUGUAAUAUAUAAGUAGAUAUAAGUUUGAAUUGAGUUCCUUCUAAGAGAACUAAUUACGGGAGCUAUGUUCUAAUUUAUUCAAGUUAUUUUCUUAAAUUGUUUGUUUGUACUUUGAAAUGAUAAAAUGAUUGAAGAAGUCCAUAUGAACAGAACCAAUACAAAAUGACUAAGCUAUUUUUCUCCUGCUACAGGGAUUGGAAACCAGCGAGUCUUGUGAUGUUUUUCUCCCUAGUGACAACUAUCCUUAUUGGUCGGCUUAUAUGGCUGAGGGAGACUCAGUCUGUUUCACUGUGCCUGAAAAUUUUAACUUUGAGGGAAUGAUUUUGUGUGCUAUGUAUUUAUCAACCCUUGAAAAGACAACAACUGAAUGUCUUACUAGUGUCUUAAUGGUUAAUUACACAAAGUGCACAAUCCAGUUAUUCAGAGGAGACACAAUAAUUUCCUUUAAUGAUGUAGAUUGGCAGGGCUUGAUAUCACAUUUGGUAUGUGGAGACAAGGUGGGGAUUUUUGUUAUUUUUGCUGAUGGAUUUGUAGUCCAGAAGACAGCUGUCUAUCUAAUGCGUGAUAGAUCAAUUGACAAGGAAAUGGAAAUGGGUGUAACGAGUCUCAAUCAUAUAUUGGAACGACUGAAUUAUUGACAACCCUAUUUAUUUUAAUAUUUUUUUAUAUCAUUUUAUUAUAAUUUUAUUUUUUAUUAUAUAUAUUUAUAUUUAAAUUAAUUACAUUAAAAAUUAUAAUUGUAAUUUUUAAACCUGUCAAAAUAUCAUUUUUAAAACGAAUAAUGAUCUGAAAAAAGUAAAAGUGGGAGGUCACGUCGGACAAAUAGAUGACAAAGAUUUAAGUGACGUGUACUUAGUGUACUCAUCUUAAAUUAAUGUAAUGGUGUUAAGUGACGUGUACUUAGUGUACUCAUCUUAAAUUAAUGUAAUGGUGUUAAGUGACGUGUACUAUUUUAAAUUUAAAUUAAUGUAAUGGUGUUAAAUGAUAUUAACUCAUUUUAUAUAGAAUUUGAAAAUUGAUAACUUUAAAAAUUGUACGAUUACAUUAAAAAAAUUAUAAAUAUUAAGAUAACAAAUUAUAUUUAAAAAAAAUUAAUCUCAUUGUUAAAAAUUCCAUAAUAUUUCCAUUAACAUUAAUGGAUAAAUAUGUAUGGGACACAUCUCGUCAUCCUUUUACAAAUAUUUUUGUGGAUAUUUGUAAAAUUUAUUUAUUCUUUAUCAUAUAUCAUUUUUAGAGAGUAGUGAGGAGACUUUAAUAUUUUAAAGUAGUAAGGAGAGUUCAAUCUAAUUUCAUAUUUGAUGUAAAAAAAAUUAUAAUUUAUCAUGUAUUAAUCUAAUCCAAUAAAGUGAAAGUUAUAUUAAUGAUUGAAUUUAUAUGACGAAAUUUAUUUUAGGAUUAACAAAGUAUGAACUUCACAAAACUUUGGUAUAUUUUAAAAUUGAGUUUGUAUUAAUUUUUUUAUCUAUUAAGUACUUGAAAUUUUAUAUUUUUCAUCUUGAAUUUAUGUUUUUUAAUUUUUUUUAUUAAUUAGAUGACUUAAUUAUUAUAUCUCCGACAUGAUUGCUAUCUUAUCCCAUCAUUUUGCUUUUUAUGAGUUAAGAAAUCUGAGAUUUUGUGAUUAAUAUAAAAUGAUAUUGAUUUAACGUAGAACACCAAGUAAUUUUUAUGUUUUAUUUUAUGAAAAACAUUUUAGAUAACGAAUGGUGACACUGAUUAUUACAGUACUGAUGAUAUGAAAAUCAUAGAGAAGUUUGACUACUUCAUUCGUCUUAUAUUAAACAUAAAAGUUCACAUUUUUAACAUUAUACUAAUCAAGAUGAAAGACAAAAUAAUAAUCAUAUCCUUUAAUUAAUGAAAAAAAUUAAAUAAUAGAAACUUAAUGAAAAAAUAUAAAAAUCAUCCGGACUUAAUAGACAAAAUUGUUUUGUAAAAAUCUUGAGAAGUUAAUAACAACUUUUUGUAGGAACUCAGUUAAAAUACUCAAAUUUAUGAGAAAUUUGAAAUUUAAUUAAAAAUUUAUGAGAAAUUUGAAAUUUAAUUAAAAAUUUAUUUUAAAGUUAUUUAUUUAAAUAUUUAAUUAAAAAUUAACAAUUUAAGUAUUUUUUUUCCAUGGCAAAGGAUGUAAGUAUUUAUUGAAAUAUAUAUUAAGACACUAGUUGAGCUGGAAGAGGGAGUCAUCUUGUUUUCCAGUUCAUUAAACUUUAAAUAUUUUAGUAAGCCUCAAAACUAAUUUUAUUUAAGUGAAUUAUUAACCAUAAGGUUUUAAAAUUAUAAUAAUUCUUCGUUUCACUUUGGAAAAAAUGUAUUUAAAAAUUUCAAAAUAAUUUAAGUUUUCCUAAAUCAAAAAGUUGGGUAAAAAUUAUGUAAGGGUAAGGGUGGUAGAACUAUCAUUUCUCUCUGUAUUCUGAAUUAUUGCUUUCUCUCCAAAGCGUUGACCCUAAUUUCAUUGAUGGAAACGGAAUCGUCUUCGCCAUCAUCCAAAUCCGAAUGGAAAUACGACGUGUUCAUCAAUUUCAGGGGAGUAGACACCCGCCGGAAGUUCGUUUCUCAUCUCCAUUCUGCUCUCUCAAAAGCUGGAGUCAAAACGUUCCUUGACGAGGAGAAUCUGCUGAAGGGAAUGGAGCAGCAAGAACUAUUGCGAGCAAUACAAGUGUCUCAGAUAGCAAUAGUUGUUUUCUCCAAAAGAUACGCUGAAUCUAGUUGGUGUCUUGAUGAGCUUGAAAAAAUCUUUGAAUGUCGCCAAACUUGUUGCCAAAAAGUUUUACCUGUAUUUUACUAUGUUCAACCAUCCGAGGUACGAGAGCAGACGGGUGAUUUUGGAGAUGUGUUGAGAGCAGCUGCAGAAAAUAGGUAUGAAGAUACGUUGUUGAGGUGGAGCCUUACACUCACCAAAGCUGCAAAUUUGGCGGGGUGGGAUGUCAGGAAAAGCAGGUAAAUCAACCAUUUAGAAUUUAUAUGGAGAAAACUUCCUAACAAUUAUUUUAAUUUUAAAAAUAAACUAAAUUUAAUUUAUAAUAAGUUAAAAAUCAGAUUUAAUAAAAAGUAAUUUCAAUUAAUUAGUUUAAGGUUUAAUUAAAGGUGUAGAUCUGCUAUUUCUGGCUUGAUCUAAUUUGAAGAUUUUUUCCCCAAAUAUGAGUCUUGACCUAGUUUCUGGUACUAGUUUGAAUUCUUUUAAUAAUACUUCGUUUAUGUGAUGAGAUGAUAGUUGAAAUUUAGGAUGCAGUCUAACUCAGAUGUUAGUUUUCUAUAUCUAAUUAAAACCUUUCAUUAAAAAAAUUAAGGCUUAAUUUAUAUACACAGCAAGCUACUUUUAUUUUUUUAUAAUUUUCUUAAUGAAACAUAUAUUUGAACUUCUUAUGAUUUAAUUUGGUAAUAAGUGGCAUUCUGUUUUAUCUCAAAUUAUUAUUGCACUUGAAGGUCUGAAGCUGAGCUAGUGGGUGACAUUGUUAAAGACGUUAUUAACAAACUUGAUUACAAUGUCUUGUCUAUCACGGAAUAUCCUGUUGGAUUAGAUCAUCGAGUGCAAGAAGUGAUUAGAUUUAUUGAAAGAACCAAAAAUUCUUGUAGGAUAGGGAUAUGGGGAAUGGGAGGAUCUGGUAAAACUACCAUUGCUAAAGCCAUCUACAAUAAACUUCAUCGUUUAUUCGACAAUAAAAGUUGCAUUGAAGAUAUUAGAGAAGUUUGUCAAACAGAGAGAAGAGGGCUCGUUCGUUUGCAGGAAAAACUUCUUUCAGAUGUCCUGAAAGCAAAGGUGGAGAUUCAAAGCGUUGGAAUCGGACAAAGUAUGAUUGACAACCGAUUUAUUGGAAAAAGGGCGCUUAUUGUUCUUGAUGAUGUGAAUGAGUUUGACCAACUAGAAGCUCUAUGUGGAAAUACUCAGUGGAUUGGUGAAGCAAGUGUAAUAAUCAUUACAACUAGCGAUCUGCAUCUGCUGAAGAGAUUUGAAGUUGAUUAUGUUUAUGAAAUGAAGGAAAUGGAAGCAAAUGAGUCACUUGAGCUUUUUAGUUGGCAUGCUUUCAGAGAAGCAAAACCAAGAGAAGAUUUCAAUGAACUUGCAAAAAAAGCAGUUGAUUAUUGUGGAGGACUACCACUAGCUCUUGAAGUCCUUGGUUCUUAUUUGAGAAAGAGGACAGUGACUGAGUGGAGAAGUGUGUUGUCAAAGCUAAAAAUAAGUCUCAAUGCCCAAGUCCAAGCGAAACUAAGAAUAAGCUUUGAGAAUUUAUUGGAUCAAAUGGAAAAGGAUAUAUUUCUUGAUGUGUGUUGUGUCUUUAUAGGUAAGGACAGAGGCUGUGUGACCGAGGUACUAAACGGCUGUGGACUAUAUGCUGAUAUUGGAAUAACAGUCCUCUUAGAGCGUAGCCUCAUAAAAGUCGAAAAGAACAACAAACUCAUAAUGCAUCCUUUGUUACGAGACAUGGGAAGAGAGAUUAUUCGUGAAGGUUCAAGAAAAGAACCUGGGAAGUGCAGUAGAUUGUGGUUUCAAGAGGAUGUACGUGAUGUAUUGACAAAUAGUACUGUAAGUACAUUAUUUACAUACAUUUUUAAACUUGAAAGAGUUUGCCUAAACAUGUGAGCUAACAAUAGUGUUUUCUCAAUUAUUCUCUGGUUUUUUCAUCGCAGGGGACAGAUGCUGUUGAGGGAUUGGCUCUGAAAUUGAAUUUAACCAACAGAGAAUGCUUUAAAGCAGAUACUUUUGAGGAAAUGAGGAGUUUGAGACUGUUGCAACUUCAUCAUGUAGAACUCACGGGAGAUUAUGGCUAUCUUUCUAAGCAAUUGAGAUGGAUCUAUUGGCAAGGGUUUCCUUCAACAUACAUACCUAACAACUUCUAUCUGGGAGAUGCAAUUGCAAUUAAUUUGAAACACAGUAAUCUUAGACAAGUAUGGAAAGAACCCAAGGUAUGUAGUACAUGCAAUUUUCUCUUAAACUAAGGUUAAUUAAAAUUGUAACUGUUGUCACUUAAAAUUAUUUCCGUUUUUAUUUUUUUUCCUUAAUUUUUCUAAAUAUUAUCUUUUUGUAGGCUUUACACAUGUUAAAGUUCCUCAAUCUUAGUCAUUCCAAGAACUUGACAGAAACCCCUGACUUUUCUGGACUACCAAAUCUUGAAAAGCUCGUUCUCAAAUAUUGUCCAAGUUUGUGCUGUGUACACAAAUCCAUUGGAGAUCUCAGUAAUAUUGUGUUGAUAAAUUUGAAGGAGUGUACAAGCCUAAGCAAUCUUCCGAGAGAGAUAUAUAAGUUGAAAUCUUUGAAAACUCUCAUCCUAUCUGGUUGUUCGAAGAUUGACAAAUUCGAAGAAGAUAUAGGGCAGAUGGAAUCCUUGACAACUCUAAUUGCUGAAAAUGCUGUUGUGAAACAAGUGCCCUUUUCAAUAGUAAGCUCAAAAAGCAUUGGAUUUCUAUUCCUACGUGGGAAUGAAGGAUUGUCGCAUGAUAUUUUACGUCCUAUUAUUUGGUCCUUGAUGUCACCGACAAUGAAUCCCCUGUCUCGUAUUCUUCCGUUAUGUGGCAUAUCAGCAUCUCUAGAUUCAAUGAAUAUGCAGAAUAUUGAUUUGGGUGACCUAGCACCGAUCCUUACCAACCUUUUAAAUCUUCGAAGUGUUUUGGUGCAAUGUGACACGGAGUUUCAAAUAACUAAAGUAAGAAAGUUUUUGAACGACGUACAUGGGAUACAUUUCACUGAGUUAGAAAUAGCACCAGGUACAUUAGAAACUUCAGACAAUUCCUUGAGAUCUUAUUUGAUUGGAAUGGGAAGCUACCGAGAAGAAGACUUCAAUACUCUUAACAAGAGCAUAUCUAAGGUUCCUUCCUUUUCUAUUUGUAUGCUUACCUUCGCUAUUACUUUUAGAUAUUAAUUAAGAGAACAUGAAAAAAUCAUAAGUAUCUAAAGAAAACUUCAAUGCUUAACAAGAUACUAACUUGUUGGAGAUCUCACAUCAAUUAUAAAGAUAAGAACAUUUCAUAGUAUAUAAGUGAGUACAAAUUUUAUCUUAUAAGCCGGUUUUAUGAGGUUGAAUUAGGUUUAAAGUCCAGUUUAUAAUAUGAUAUCAAAGUCAUUUAAAGUCAUAGUGAGAGUUUGUUGGUCGGUAUUAAAUACUUUAUAAGGUUGAAUUCAGCUUAAAGUCCACUUCUUAUUAUAAUUGAAGUACAUUUGAAUAACACAAUUGCAUUAAUGACUAAUUAAGCUAUUCUGCUAAUAAUGCUGCAGGAAUUGGGAACUGGUGGAUCUUGUAAUGUUUUUCUGCCAAGAGACAAUCAUCCUUUUUGGAUGGCCCAUAUGGGCGAGGAACAUUCAGUGCAUUUCACUGUGCCUCAGGAUUGGGACAGGAUGGGAAUGGUUUUGUGUGUUGUGUAUUUAUCAACACCUGAAACCGUGGCAACUGACUGUCUUAUUAGUGUCUUAAUGGUUAAUUACACAAAGUGUACCAUACAUAUAUACAAGCGAGACACAGUAAUUUCCUUUAAUGAUGCAGAUUGGCAGAGCAUAAUAUCUCAUUUGGGAGCUGGAGACAAGGUGGAGAUUUUUCUGUCUUUCAGGAAUGAAUUGGUGAUGAAAAGGGGAAUUGUCUAUCUCACGAAUUAUGAAUUCAUUGACAUGGAAAUGAAAGCUGUUAGUAAACCACCUGUUAUGGAGAUUUAUAGUUUGAAGAGGAAUCUUAAGGGUCAAGAAAGCAGCCGGAAGAGAAAAUGGUAACAGAGUAUUAGAGACAAAGAUUUAUUUAUAAUGACACUUAUAAAUUAUAAUAAUCAGUAAUUAUCCGUUGAUUCUUUACCAAAUAAAUUGUUUAUGGUAGGCAAGGUAUACACAACCUAUAUAAUGCAUUUUAAUGGUUUGUUGAAUUUCUAAAUCAUCUCUUCACAUAAAAAACUUGACAUUUUGAAUAAGAGAUUAAAAAAAUUGAAUUAGACCUAAACUCACUUAUCAUCAAAACUUAUCUUAAUGUAAUUUAUAAGAUUUAUCAUUCAACCAUCUACAUAUAUCUAGUUUCAUAUUUAUAUGUCCAACCUCAACAUAAAGAUAUCUGUCCAAGACUUCACCAUGGGAUAAAUAUAUGACUAAAUUGUAUUAGAUAAAUAGAAAUUCACUUUGUAACAACAAAAAUGAUUAUGUGGAGAAAUAUCUGACAUCUGAUCUGAAGCUUAUUUUUGGGAAUAAUAUAUAGUUUGACACUAUAACCAAUUGCUUAAUCAUAAAUGUAAUACAAUGUCUGAGAUAAUUGAACAAAGAAGCCCUUGCAGUUUUGCUAACCCAGUGCUCACAACUGAACUCUAAGAAGGUGUUGAAAGUUGAUUUUGCAUUCCAUGGCUAGAUUUUCCCUCCACAAAAUUCCCCCGACACCCUUUUCCGUUUUAAAAAAUUUCAAAAAGAUAUCCUGGCAAAUAUAUUAUAGUCUCGAAUUUAUAUAUGAUUCAUUUAAUAACUCUUUAUAAUAUUGAAUAAUUAAGUCAAUAACAACUUCCACAAAUAUUAAAUAACCUUUUUAAAUAUUUAGAGUCAUAAAAAUAAUUUUUAGCAUAAUAGUAAGCUGUCGUGAUUGCCUUAUUUUAAAAUAGUAUUAAUAUGUUGAUAAGUAUCUUAAAAGCAUUGAUUAAACAAACAUUCAUGAUUGUAUUUUUUUACUAGAUAAGUGAAAGCGAAGUCCGUGAUAGAAGUACAAUCCCUUGGACGAGUUGUGCAAGGAGUAAAGUGUUUUCACUUUAUGUCAAAGUUUUUUAAAUCAAUAAAUUAUUAAUUAAAUAAAGAAACAUGGAACAAAGAUAGUUAUUAUCUCAAGUAUUGAAUUAAGUUUUAUUUGCAAAAGGUUGUCUUAACGUCAAGUUGAGAGUUUUAAUUAAGAAUAGUAUAAUGAAGAGAAUUAAGAAUGGUUGGGAAAAUCAAGCUUUUGAAGGAAAUGAUAUAUGAAAAAUAAAAGAAAAACUGAAAUAUUUAAAAAAGAGUAUUAAUACUUGGAAUAAGGAGGUGUUUGGCUCACUGCACACAAAAUUAAUUGAUCUUGACCAAAUGAUCAACCGCUUAGACACAAAAGACGAGCAAGGUGGAUUAAAUGAGGAUGAAAGAAAAAGAAGGAAUUUAUUUGCUGAUCUGAAAUGUUUAAUAGGAAGAAAUCAAGAAUUAAAUAACUAUAAGAAGGAGAUUUAAAUUGACAAUUUUUUCAUAACAUUAUAAAGUGGAGGUCAAAUAAAAACAUAUUUAAUGGGGUGUUUGUAGGGAAUGAGUGGUGUGAGGAACUAUCAAGGGUCAGGUGGAACUAAGGUUCUAUAGAGAAAGAUUCACGGGCUCAAGAGAUAAUUGUUGUUAGAUAAUGUUUCUUUUCAAAAAAAUUAGCAGUGAUGAUAGGUUUUGAUAAAGGCAUCUAUGGAAGAAGUGAAACAGAUAGUGUGAGACUAUGAUAAUAAUAAAUACCCCGAACCAGAUGCAUUUAAUUUUAACUUUUUAAAGAAUUUUGGAAGAUUGUAAAUACAUAAUUAUAUAAUUAUAUAAAGUUGUAUGUUGUUUUUAUAAAUGGGGAGAUGACCAAAAGGAUGUAAUGUCUCUUUCAUCACAAUUAUCCCCAAAAUUGCUAACCCGGUGAGAUUAGAGGACUUUAGACUAAUCUCCUUAGUUGGCAGUUUUUACAAAAUUAUAGCAAAAUUUUUAGCUAGAAGACUACAGAAAAUCAUGCAUAUAAUCAUUGAUCAUAAACAAUCGACUUUAAUUCAAGGAAAGGGUAUCCUUUAUAGUAAUUGUGGAAAAUGAAGUUAUGAAGGAGGUAAGAAAAAAGAAGAGUAAGUGUAUCAUUGUUAAGGAUGACUUUGAGAAAGCUUACGACUCUGUGGACUGGAAUUUUCUAUUUUAUAUGUUACAGAGGAUGAGGUUUGGAAACACAUGGAUUAAAUGGACCAAGAGUUACUUAGAAUCAUCAUCUAUAUCCAUACUUGUUAAUGGUAGUCCUUCUGAGCAAUUCCAACCUACAAAGGGUCUAAGGCAGGGUGACCCUCUAGCACCAUCUCUAUUUCUAAUGCUGGCCGAAGGAUUGGCUAGAGUCAUGAGAGUGUCCCAACAAAAAAGACUCUAUGAUGGGAUCAAAGUGGGAAAUGAUUAGAUUGAUGUUAGUAUGUUACAGUUUGUUGAUGAUAGUAUUUUUUUGUGAGGAUAAUGUGAAAAACAUCACAACAAUUAAAUGUACUAUGAGAUGUUUUGAACUUGUGUCUAGGUUGAAGGUGACCUUUAGAAAAAUUAAAAUUGCAGGCAUAGGUGUACAAAGAAAAAUGUUUAUUUGACACUCAUACUCCACCCUACACCCCAAUAAAUAUUAAUAUUGUUAAUCAUUUAUAAAAAUUUAUAUUUUUUUUAAAAAUUUUGAAACAUUUUCUAUUCUACUUAUAUUUUCAUUGAGAAGGUUUUUGCUUUUUUCUAAUUUUUUUUAUUAUAAAUAUUAAUAUUUAUUGUGGAUGUAGGAUGGAGUAAGGGUGUCAAAAUAUCAUUACUCGUGUACAAAACACUGAAAUUCUAAGAGACUUUGUGAUUUUAAAUUGUAAUCAAAUGCAAGUUCCUUUAAAAUAUCUAGGGAUUCAUGUGGGUGAUAAUAAUAGGGAAAAAGUGUUUUGGAAUGACAUGAUCUUAGAAAUUAAAAGUAAGCUUACUAAUUGGAAAGGAAAACAUUUAUCUUUUGCUCGAAGAGUUAUUUUGAUAAAAUAUGUCAUCUUUGUUGUCCCUCUAUAUUACCUGUCUCUAUUCAAAAUGCCCACAACAAUUGGGAAAUUAAUCACAAGAUUACAAAGAGAUCUUUUUAUGGGGAUGGGGAAGCGAUAGAAAGAAAAUAGCUUGGACCAAAUGGGAAUUCCUAUGUCAAUCCAAAUCGGAUGGAGGACUAGGAAUUAAGGAUGUAAACCUUUUUAAUAUGAAUCUUCUUGGGAAAUGGAAAUGGAGACUUAGUUGUGAAAAGUCAGGACUUUGGAAAUAGGUACUGGAAUCUAAAUAUGGUUCUUGGAGAGGGUUGGAUGAUAGUGUUGUGUCAAAUACUGAAUGUUAUUGGUGGAGAGAUAUCAAGAAGGUGUGUGAAGGAAACUCAAAUUCCUAUGUUUGAUAAUAAAAGAAGGUGGAAGGUAGGUGCAGGGAGUAAUAUUCUACUUUUGGCAGAUUGUUGGGUAGGAAUGACUCUUAAAAAUAGAUAUCCCAGACUCUUUUCAAAUUUAGUACUUAAAGAGGGAUCUAUAGAUAAAUAUGGGGUAUGACAUGAAAACUAGUGGGUAUGGCAAAUAGAAUGGAGAAGAGACUGGUUUUUAUUGGAAACUGAAAUUAUAAAUGCCUUUAUGGAUGAAUUGAAGAUUGUUAAAAUAGAUGCUUGUAGAAAUGAUGAGUGGAUGUGGCUAGGUGAUAUAUCAAAUUCUUUUACUGUUAACUAUGCUUAUAAAAUUCUUUUGCACCAAAAUAUUUUGCAGCCACAUUUAUUCUCUGCAUUUAAUUUUGAUUAUUUUAGGAGUCUAAAAGCUCUUCCAUCAACACAUUAUUGCAAAAUCGCAACCUAUGAUAAUUUAAUACAUAGAGGAAUUUAGGCUGGAGGGUGUUGGAUAUCUUGAAGAUCCUACUCAACUUUUAUGCUUGAUGAAUAAGUGUUUGAUGAAGAAAAUAAGCUUGGAGAUGUAUAAGUAUGGAUGCUCUCAUAGGGAGUGUGUUUUAUUGUCUCAGCUCCAUAUCACAUAGCCGUGGUAAUGAUCUCAAGCACAAGGGCUUUUUAAAAGAUGUUUAAAAACUAUUACAGGUCUUUUUUAAAAUCUGUUCAAGCUUUUCCAAAUUGCUUGUACUGCACUAAAAUUUUCAAUUUGUUUUUUAGUGAAACAAUUGAUUUAAUCUUACUGCACCAAAAUUGUUUUGGUUUUUCAAAAAUUUGUUUUGUUUCCAAAAUUCAGUUUUUUUCCCACAUACUCAAAGGUUGGUUAUGUUUCCAUCAAGUGCAUUUUCAAAAUAUAAUCUGUUCUUUAAGCUUUUAAUCAACUAUUUUUUAACAGUUUUUUAAACUGUUUUGGGAAAUUUGUUAUGAUUUGAGUCCUAUAGAAGGAUUUUAUCACAAAACAAAUCAUCCCUUGCAAUACAAAUUGUUUACUGUUAUCAAGAGUUUUUUUUAGGUUCUCAAGUGAGUUUAGUUUUUAGAAAGUUUUUUUUGAAAUUUUUUUGAAGUUCUUGUGCUAUUUUUCACAUUGGCUUGAGAUUAGAAGUUUCAUCAAAGUGCUGCAACUGUGGAGAUCCAAUUUGAGUCUCUAAAGUCUACAUACACGGUGUUUUCUUUCCUAAAAUCAUUUUCUCUAUAAAGGUGUAUUCAUUUGCUUCUUGAUAGAGUUUCUUGAAGUAGGAAGUUGCUGAAAUAGUGUUUUUCAUAUUGUAGUUUUUUGUUCUUGAAGGGUUCAAGAACUGGUCUUUUGUAGUUUUGUGAAAAAGAUUAAUUGUGUCUUAGUGGAAUCCAUCUUAGUGUGAGAUGGGACUGAAUGUAGCUCAAUAUUGAGUGAACCAGUAUAAAUGCUUGUGUGUUAUUCUUCUUUCAUAAUCACUGCUUCUAAAAUUGAAAAAUCUGUAGAACUGUAAUAAAUUGAAUAUGUUCCUUUGAAAUUGAACCUAAUGUUUUACUGCCGUAUUGAUUUGGACUAUAUUCUGUUUUCAAGAUUCUGAAACGAAUUUAAUCAAACUUAAAAAUUGUAAGGCUCCCUUGAUCUUUCACAGGUUCAUACUUAAAUUAAAGUCAUUAAUAAACAAUCUUGGAAUUGUUUUUAAAUCUCAUCAUAUUAAAUAUGGUUUUAAAAUGGAAUUCUGAAAAAAAAUGUUUUACUAUUUUUAAUAGACUGUUAUUGAAAGCUGAUUUGAAUCUUGGUUAACAAUUUAAAAAUCAAGCCUCUUAUCAAAACACAAUGUUGUAGAACUUAUUUGAAUCUAGUUUUUUUUUUUUUAUAGAAAACUAUCUUUUUAAUACAAUGUGAAGCUUCUGAAAGAUUCAAAUUAAAUCUGUUAAAGAUUAACUCUCUGUUAUGGCUUAAACUAUUUCUGCUAAUGUAAAGUCACUGUGAAAUUAGAAUAUGUUGUUUUAAAUUCUAAUAUGUUAUUUUUAUGUGAUUGCACUUUGUUAAACAAUUUUGAAUCUAUUAUCUGUUGAAAUAAUCUAUUCUUUAUUGUCAAGUCUUGCUUAAAGAUUGCAUUUGCGAAAAUUAUCCUAAGUAUAAUUCACCCCCCUCUUGAAUUUAGACUCCCAUAAAUUCAACGGAGGGGGGAUGUGUGUUAUGUGUGGGUAUGAGUUUGAAACUGUAAAUCAUAUUUUCUUCACAUGUAAAGUGACUUCUAAAGUGUGGUAUAUGUCUGAUGUUUGGGGAUAUAGAGUUUUUGUACAUUGUGAUAAUGCUAUUCAACCCUUUGAAUAAAUAAGUUUUACUGAUCUAAACUACUUAAGAAAUUGUAUUUGGAAAUGUAUAUGGAUUGCCAUUAUUUGGAGAAUUUGGAACCAUAGGAAUAGGAUAAUUUUAAUAAUGCAAUGGUGGAUCCUUUUGAAAUUUUUGCUAUGGCCCAAGUAAAGGCGUGGACAUGGGUAACUUAUAAACUCCCAACAUCAAAUUUCUCUUAUUCUGAUUGGUGUAUUAAUGUAUAUGAAUGUUUAAAAUUACAACAUUGAUGACUGAUGAUUUUUCUCUGCUUUUUCUCUGGUUUUUGUUUUGGAUGAGAGGACUUUCCUUUGGGUACAACUAUAGCCACAAGUGAUGCGUGAGAAACUACAGUAGAUAACAAGGAAGCAAAUUUUUCCUUUGAGUACCAUGCUUUAUAUCCUGGAAUUGGACAAAGUUGAUGGGUUUUUUGAUAGAUGUAGCUUGAUAUAUAUGUACCGAUGUCUUGUUAAGAGGUUUAAGCUUACCAGAUUUAUAUGUACAAAAUAUGACCAUGUUUUAGCCAUUUUUCUCUAGAAACCUCACCUCUCUAGCUUUGAGGAUUUUUGUACAUGAGUUAGAGUAUUCUGAGUAUUCCCAUUUAUUAAUUUUUAUUGUUGAUUAAAAAAAGGAAGUGAAUUAAAAAUGAGUCACUUUGCUCAAUUUCUACUUCCAAUGCGAUUUAGACUUGCAAUGUGAGUUCAAUUGAUUUGGAGUGCGAAUUGAAGUGAAAUUUGAAUUUUCCUUGUGCCGUUAGAUUUUGUAGAGCUGGGUUUUGAUUUGUUUGUUUGAUUAUGUUUUUGUUUCGAUGUUGGGGUUUUUUAGGGUUAGAGUGUGGAAAUGUUUGAUUUGAUGUUUUGAUUGUUAUAUGUUGACUGAAGAUGAUUUUGUUUUUAAGGGUUUAACGUUUUUUUUUUCAUUUUGGGUUUACAGGGUUGUACUGUCGUGGGUUUGUUUAUUUUGAAAUGUGUUUGUGCUCUUUGAAUUUAGAAUUUUUGUAGUUUUGGUUUUUGAUUUGCAUUUUGCAGUUAUGGGUGUUUUAGGAUUUAGGGUUGUACAAUUGGUGAUAUGGUGUUUGUUUGUAUUUGUUAUUUAUUGUGUUUUUUUUACCGUGUGUUUGUUCACUUUUUAAAGUGUGCAAAGAUAAUGAUUUUUGUGUUGUUGUAGACUUGAACUGUGAUAUUCUUAUAUAUUUGGUUUUAGAACAAGGAAAGAGAACCCAAACUUUAUGCAUGACAGAAAAUUAAAAAGAAACAAUUUUUAUAAAUAACAACAAUAAAGCGGUUAAGUUUGGUUAAGACUUGUAGUAAAGUUUAGAAAACAAUUAAUGUUUUCUUAAUAAACAAUUGUCGAAUUAAUAAAUUUUUCAGGAUAUAUUGACAACUAAGGGAAGUGAAGAUGUUGAAGUGGUUAUGGAGCCAAAUGUUUGAUUGAAAACAUUAUUUCAUUUUGAAGGCACACAUGAUUAUAUAUUUGUUUUGUUAUAAGUUUAUAUAUUAAAUUUAUAUGUAUUUUAUAUGUAGGUGUUCAGGCAUUAUUGUAGGACAAAGUUUUUUGCUAUUGUCAACAAGAACUUAAGUGUUGAACAAAAGUCUUAUGUUCAGUCAACCCCGUUUGAAUGACUUAUGUUUUUGCGUAAGGAGGUAAAAUUGAGUUGUGGACUUUUAAGUUAAUAAUGUAGUAGUUGGUUGGAGAGGAAACAAGGUUUUGCAAUUAGGUGCGAAGUUUUCCCGUUCAUGUUGUUAAAUGUUUUUGUUUAGGUAUAGGUCUAAGAUUUGUGGAUAAAAAAAGUUAAUUUAACGAAAACAGGAAAUAAAUCUCGCAAUAGGAGAGUAUUUUUUAAUAAAGUGAUGUAAAUGUGGAGAUGAUUUUUGAUGAAAUGUUCAAGCAUCACAAUGAUGGUUGCGUCGAGAAAUUUUGUAGGUUGUACAUUUUGUAAGGAUUUUCGGAGUUUUUAUUGCUUAAUAGAAUUUGUUCAGUUCAUUUUAAGUUAUUUAGCGUUGUCGAUGAUGUAAGUCAACUGGGUAGGUAUAAUUAGAGGGGUUUAGUUUAUGAGUUUUUGUUUGAUAGUUUGUGUUUGGCUUCAAUGUGUAUGAGCAACGAAAGUAAUUCGUCAUCUAUCCAUGUGGGUGGUUCUGUGUACUUGUUGCAGGAAAUAUGAAAUAUUUUAACCUCAUUGGUAACAUAUUUGUGUUUUGUCAUUUGAAAAAUCAAUAUUUUUUUAAACCUAUCGUCAUUACAACCCUGCAUAAGACCUUAUGCUUCAUGUUUCUGAUGUGAUUUUGAUAUGAGAAAAAUGAAAGGUAACUAUGAUUUGUUAGGAUUCAAUGGAAAUUGAGAGAAAACACUUACUUGAGAAGAAAUUCCUUAAUAAAAUUGUCAUUUCAUUGUUACAUAUGUUUAUCUUAGAAAAUUGAUUAUAUUUAUAUCUUGCUACAUUUGGAAUAGGAAGCACCAUAAUUUUCUAAUUAUAUUUGUUGUUUAAUGAAUGAAGUUGUUUAGAGAAUUGAACCAGGGUUCGAUUUGUCAGGAUUUAGUUACUUUGCUUGAGGACAAGCAAGGUUCUAGGUUGGGGGAGUUGAUAAGCGUCAUUAUUUAGUAAUAUUUGAUACACAAAGGCUUGAGAUAUAUGGAUUUUAAUUGUGAUUAAGCUAUGACUCAACCCUAAUUUAAGAAGUUAUAAUUCAAUACUAUAUUUUUUGAGUUAUGUGAUUAAUGGAACUACUUAAUCCCAAUUUUAUGAUAUUUUCAAGAAUUUAAGAGAAGAUGGAGCAAAGGGUUAGAUGAUGAAUACAAAAGAGUUAGAAAAGAAAAGGAUUGGACAUUCAAGAUUCACCUAAAUUCUUUUAAGCAAGCCAAAUUCGCCCAAGCGAAAUUGUUCUAGAGACAAACUAACUCAUUGGUCUAAAUUCGCCUAAGUUCGCUCGUAUCUCGCUUGUGUCUCACCCGUAUCUCGCCAGGCUCGCUUGAGUGAUAUUGUUCUAGAGAAGAAGGCUUUUCUAUUUUAUUAUCUCGCUUGAGUGAGAUGUCACUUAAACCUAAGCCGAAAUAGGUUAAAUAAAGGUGUAGGGAAGACAAAAAAGGGAUGAAAGAUCCCUAGAGAGCAUCUAUCAAGGAGAAACGGUCUGAAUCUUCUUAUUUUGCUUUUCCACUAUCUUUUGGUGCAUGUAAUGGUUACCAUAAGUGUCUGGUUCCUUUCCUUUGGAAUUGAAUGUAAUCAUUUCAAACUCCUAUGUAUUAAGGUGAUAUUUAUCUAUAAUAUCAUGUUCUUAUUUGAUAUUGUUAUUUUCAUUUUAUGCUUAAAGCUUGAAUUUUUAUUCUUGAUUUAAAUCUUUGGAAGUGACUAGAAGUAUUUUUGAUGAUCUAACCUUAAUGAAAAUAGUUGAUGUGUUUUAAUACUAGGAAUAGAUUAUAAUAUAUAUCAAAUGUUUUGUAACAUCUUUUCUUAAUGAUAAGAAUGUUUCUAAAUAGUUGAGGAAUCAAUGUUUAGGAGAUAAUCUAAAUAAUUUCAUAUUUAAGAAAUCAAUGUGAAUGACUCUUUUUAUUGUAUUAAUAUCAAAUAAGUAAGAAUGUUGUAUGAUUUUAUUUACUAAAAUAUAAAUGAGUGAGAAAGAUUAAUUUCAAUACCAAUUUUAUCAAUCAAAUUCUCAUAAUAAUUUAUUUUGCUUUUUAUUUAAAUUACAAGCACAUUUUAUUCAAACAAUGUUCACAUAUCUUGAAUAAGUUCAUUGCACAUAUUUCAAUAUUUAGUGAGUUUUACACAUUAAAAUUUUAAGAGAACUAUUCCUUAUGGGUUCGAUGUAUGUCUUUUAAGACAAAUUAUUACUUCUGACUCAGUACACUUGCCGAGUUAGGCCAAUAAUACACUUCCUCAAAUCCUCACACACCACCUCCCUAAUCCAAACACACACUGAGAGAUCAUGAUCUUUAAUGCUACCCUCCAUUUCCUUACACACUACUCUUAUAUGUAAGACGUAAACUUCUUAUUUAAUAAUGAUUAAACUACUUAAUGUUCAACUUAAAUUAUUUUCCAUUUUUCCAUCAACCUCCUAAUUAAACAAAAAUAACCAUUGAGCCUGUAAAAUAAUUUGACGCAUUAAAAAUCUUAAGGACUAAACUAUAAAAAUUGUAUGACAAAUUCUCCCUACACCUCUAUAUCUUCCUCUUACACCUCUAUACUUUUUAAAAUCCAACAAUAUCCUUUUAAGUAUGUUGGAGAGUGUAGUGUCUUCUUUUUCAUUUUCAAGUGGUGAUAGUGGUUGCUUGUGGUGGCUGGUCGUUGAUGGUUAAGGUAAGUUUUCUGAUAUGUUUACUUGUGGUGGUUGUGUUUCAUUAUCUUAUAUUUUUACAUUUUUUCGGAAGCCACAAAACCCAAAAAAAAAAGAGUAAAGUAAAAAAAAUGGAAGUACAAAAGUAAAAAAAAAUAUUUCGCAAUGAGAAAAGUCAAAUACAACAAAUUUUCUUAACAACCCUUUUACACAUUUAAAUAAUAAAAUUGUUUCUCAAACAUUACGACCGAAAAAGAAUGAGAGUGAUACAUUGAAAAGAAUAUAUGCAUAAGAAAAAUAUGAAAUUGUGGAGGUGCAACUGAAAUUUUAAAAAAUAUAAAGUUAUAUUUUAAAAUUGACUUUUUAUAAUUAGUAUGAAAAUAAAGAGAAGAUGAAUAGAGAUGGUGGCAGAAUUUGCCUUAGUCUUAUCACACUCUAUAGAUGACUAUUAUCUUGCCCAGAGUUGAAUGCGGUUAUUAUUACCGGCGGUACACUAAAAAAUGGUGAAAUCCAAUCCUUUUCAUAAUUAAAACACUUAUCAGACUGCUUUUAUCUUGCACAAAUUUUGACGACUUAAUUAUAGCCAUACCUACUGCCAGCUUCAUCUUACUUUUAGUUUUACUAAGAAUAUUCUUGUUCUUUGUUCAUAUUUUAAAGUUCGUUUUUUUUUUUCAUUAAAUUCACAAGUUUCUUUCAAUACUUUCUUUAUAUUUGUUUUCUCUUUCCACGGUACCAAAUAAUAAAAUAUUCAAUUUUAUUCUGAUGUAUUUUUAUUUUCCCAUCAUAGUUCUUUCUAAUAGUAGCGAUUCACUAGAAGACUGAAGUAAGAAGUGGCUCUGGGUCGUCAUCUCUCAGUCUUUCUGCAUUAUUGCUUUCCCUUCUGGAACCGUUGACCUGAGUUUGUUUGAUGGAGUCCGCAUCUUCUGCGCCAUCGUUCGCAAAAUCGAAACACCAGCGGAUACACGACGUCUUCAUCAACUUCAGGGGAGAAGACACACGCAGGAAGUUCGUUUCUCAUCUUCACUAUGCCCUCUCAAAUGCUGGAGUCAACACCUUCUUUGACGAGGCCAAUCUUGUCAAGGGAAUGCAGCUUCAAGAACUCAUGCGAGCAGUGGAAGGAUCUCAGAUAGCGAUUGUGGUUUUCUCCCAAACCUACACUGAAUCAACUUGGUGUCUUGAUGAGCUUGAGCAAAUCAUCAAAUGCAACCAAACUCAAGGCCAGAGUGUUCUCCCUGUGUUUUACGAGAUUGACCCUUCCGACGUGCGUCAUCAGAAGGGUGAUUUUGGAAAAUCGUUGGAGGAAGCCGCGCAGAGAAGCUUUUCAGGAGAGCAACUGGAGCAGGCGUUGUCCAGGUGGAAGGGUGCGCUGAACAAAGCUGCGGGUAUCAGUGGUUGGGAUGUCAGAAAUUUCAGGUAAACCAAUGACUCCUUCAUGCUUUGUUUGAUUUGAGACUGAAUGAAGCAUAUUUUUAGUGACAAUUUUGUAAUUGCUGUUGUUGACCUUGAAGGAAUGAAGCUGAACUAGUGAAACAAAUUGUUAACCGCGUUCAGACAUUACUGGACUACGAAGUCUUGUCUAUUACAGAAUAUCCUGUUGGACUAGAAUCCCGUGCGCGAGAAGUGAUUGGACGCAUUGAAAAGCGUUCUACCCAAGUCUGCAUGAUAGGGAUUUGGGGUAUGGGGGGGUCGGGGAAAACUACCGUUGCCAAGGCCAUCUACAAUCAGAUUCAUCGUAGAUUCAUGGAUAAAAGUUUCAUUGAGAAUAUCAGAGAAACUUGUGAAAUGCAUGGUAGAGGGUAUGUACCUUUGCAAGAACAGCUUCUUUCAAAUAUCCUAAAAACAAAGGUGGAGAUACAUAGUGUUGGGAUGGGGACGACUAUGAUUGAGAAAAGACUUGCUGGAAAAACGGCACUCAUUGUACUUGAUGAUGUUGAUGAGUACAGCCAAUUAAAAGCUCUGUGUGGAAAUCGUAAAUGGAUUGGUCAAGGAAGUGUAAUAAUCGUUACAACUAGAGAUUUUGGCCUCCUUAAUAGACUAGAAGUUGAUUAUGUUUAUCAGAUGGAUAAAAUGGAUGAAAACGAGUCCCUUCAGCUUUUCAGUUUUCAUUGUUUUGGAGAUGCAAAACCAAGAGCAGACUUUAGUGAACUUGCCAGUAACGUUGCUGCUUAUUGUGGAGGACUACCUCUGGCUCUUGAAGUGCUCGGUUCUUAUUUAUUUGACAAGACGUCAACGAGAGUGUGGGAAAGUGUAUUGUCGAAACUAGAAAAAAUUCCCAAUGAUCAGGUUCAACGGAAAUUAAGAAUAAGCUUUGAUAGUUUAAGCAAUGACAUGGAGAAGGAUAUAUUUCUUGAUAUAUGUUGCUUCUUUAUUGGUAAAGACAGAGGCUAUGUCACGGAGAUACUAAAUGGUUGUGAACUAUAUGCUGAUGAUGGGAUACCAGCUCUCAUAGAACGUAGCCUCAUAAAAGUAGAAAAGAACAACAAACUUGGAAUGCAUCCUUUGCUACAAGAAAUGGGAAGAGAGAUAAUACGUGAAAACUCAAGAAAGGAACCUGGCAAGCACAGUCGAUUGUGGUUUCAAAAGGAUGUAGUUGAAGUAUUAACAAAGAAUGCUGUAAGUACAUUUUCUAUGGACGGUUUUCAUUUUCUUUUGCAAGUGUCUUCUUUUUCCAUGUGAAAUAUAUAAGUUGAGUUAGGCUCAACUGAGCCAACAAAAAAUACUUCUCAAUUUAUUUCCCUCUGCUCUUUUCAUCACAGGGGACAGAAGCUAUUGAGGGAUUGGUUUUGAAAUUGCAUUUAACCAGCAGAGAUUGUUUCGAAGCCGAUUCUUUCCAGAAAAUGGAGAGAUUGAGACUCUUGCAACUUCAUCAUGUACAACUUGCUGGAAAUUAUGGGUUCCUUUCUAAGCAACUGAGAUGGAUCUCUUGGCAAGGCUUUCCUUCAAGUUGUCUGCCAAUCAACUUUUGUAUGGAUGAUGUAAUUGCGAUUGAUUUAAAACACAGUCAUCUUCGAUUCGUCUGGAAACAAUCCCAGGUAUUUAUAACAUGCCUUUUUCUUGUAAAAUUUAUAGGUUGGUUCAAAUAGAAAUAGUACUUGUUUCCAUUUACUACUAAUUUAAUUUUUUUAUUUUAUUCUCUAAUAUUUAUCAAAAGAAAAAAAACUAUCUUGUUGUAGGUUUUGAGGUGGCUAAAAGUCCUUAAUCUCAGUCACUCCAUGUACUUGACAGAAACCCCUGUCUUUUCGAGAUUACCAAGUCUUGAGCAGCUCAUUCUCAAAGACUGUCCCAGUUUAUUAGAGAUAGAUAAAUCCAUUGGAGAUCUGUGUAAUAUUUUAUUGAUAAAUUUGAAGGAUUGUACAGGCCUAAGAAAUCUCCCUUGAAUGGCAUUGCUGGGAGGUCAAUCCUUUCAAUCUUCCAACAAUCGUGCAGGUAUGAGCGCUCAAAUUCAACCGACCGCGCCGAUCAGACAAUCANNNNNNNNNNNNNNNNNNNNNNNNNNNNNNNNNNNNNNNNNNNNNNNNNNNNNNNNNNNNNNNNNNNNNNNNNNNNNNNNNNNNNNNNNNNNNNNNNNNNUUUUAAACCAUGUGGUCGCAAUGAUAUUCUUAAUGUUGCUCUCGGACGACCUGAACACCCUGGACGUGUUCGUGUAGCUGGAUAUGGGGUUGGGAUUCGGUCAUACUUUGGACCUCCAUCACACAGCAAGGAACAAUUGUCCAAUGAACCUAGCCAAGAGUAUUUACUACAACUACGUGAGCAGUUAAAGGUUGAGGUAACUCAAGAGCUUAAAGAAAGCUUCAUGGAGGAGUUUAGUGCGCGAAUGGAAAUGGAGUUCAAAAAGCGGUUGGAGGGUUUAGGACACUCACAGCAACCACCUACUAUGGUAGAAGAUGAACCACCUCCGCCUCCUAUUAAGAAAGUCAGCACUAAAGGGAGUUGUUCGGUAGUUGAUCUAUCAGGGGAUGACUUUGGCUCAACUAGCCAAUGCGAAUUAUAUGUUGAGUGUAAUUCUUUGACCCGAUUUGUUGCCUUGGGUAAGUGUUAUGAAAGGGUCACAAUGUUACACAAUGUGCCUCUUCCUUCUAAUUUCAUGAAGGUCACGGUGGAGAAGGUCCUUUAUGGUGAUCUUGCAGUUCCUGUGCCGACAUCAGAGGUGACAAUUGUGGCAGAGGCAUUACAUACUUUCGUUGCCUGGCCUAGACAUCUCGUCAGACCUAUAGACUCUAUGGUAUAUAUUUGCACUAAUACUAAUACAAUUAUAUAUCAGAUAUAUUACAUUCUAACUAAUUUAAGUAUUUGUUUGUUUUUAAGAGUAGCAGGAACCUAAGACAAAUUUGUCUCUGGGAAAGAAGAAAAUAGUCUCCAUUGAUGAUCCUCUGGCGGCAUUGGUGGAAGUUGCUACAACUUUAGAUACAACCGUNNNNNNNNNNNNNNNNNNNNNNNNNNNNNNNNNNNNNNNNNNNNNNNNNNNNNNNNNNNNNNNNNNNNNNNNNNNNNNNNNNNNNNNNNNNNNNNNNNNNNNNNNNNNNNNNNNNNNNNNNNNNNNNNNNNNNNNNNNNNNNNNNNNNNNNNNNNNNNNNNNNNNNNNNNNNNNNNNNNNNNNNNNNNNNNNNNNNNNNNNNNNNNNNNNNNNNNNNNNNNNNNNNNNNNNNNNNNNNNNNNNNNNNNNNNNNNNNNNNNNNNNNNNNNNNNNNNNNNNNNNNNNNNNNNNNNNNNNNNNNNNNNNNNNNNNNNNNNNNNNNNNNNNNNNNNNNNNNNNNNNNNNNNNNNNNNNNNNNNNNNNNNNNNNNNNNNNNNNNNNNNNNNNNNNNNNNNNNNNNNNNNNNNNNNNNNNNNNNNNNNNNNNNNNNNNNNNNNNNNNNNNNNNNNNNNNNNNNNNNNNNNNNNNNNNNNNNNNNNNNNNNNNNNNNNNNNNNNNNNNNNNNNNNNNNNNNNNNNNNNNNNNNNNNNNNNNNNNNNNNNNNNNNNNNNNNNNNNNNNNNNNNNNNNNNNNNNNNNNNNNNNNNNNNNNNNNNNNNNNNNNNNNNNNNNNNNNNNNNNNNNNNNNNNNNNNNNNNNNNNNNNNNNNNNNNNNNNNNNNNNNNNNNNNNNNNNNNNNNNNNNNNNNNNNNNNNNNNNNNNNNNNNNNNNNNNNNNNNNNNNNNNNNNNNNNNNNNNNNNNNNNNNNNNNNNNNNNNNNNNNNNNNNNNNNNNNNNNNNNNNNNNNNNNNNNNNNNNGGCAACCUCAAAAUUAUGAGUGCGGUUAUUAUGUUAUGCAGUGGAUGUUGACUAUUUUGCAAGCUGAAAUUAAGAAAGGUUGGGAUAAGGUAAUACCUCAAUACAAUAAACACUUUAAAAUUUGAGAUUUAUUAUUCAUGCACUAAUUCAAAAUAUUUCAAAUGUCACAAUUGUUCAACGACCAACACCCGCUAGAUUUAGAAGCAUUGGAGUAUGUGAGAACAACAUGGUCAAAGUACUUUGUAACCAUGUAUAACACUUUAGAAUAGAUAAAUCAUUACAAUGACAAAUUUUUUCAUAUAUUACCAAACUUUUUUGUAUUAUGUUAUAAUUUGUUGUAUGUAAUUUUUAUAUUUAAAUUAUGAUUUGAAAUGUUUUUAUUUUCUGUAAUUGAAAACUUUAUGCAGGUUGUUUGAGAUUUUUAAAAAAAUCAAAUUUUUUAUUUUUUUAAUCAAUACAUAUAACGACAGUUCCACUUGGAACCGUCUUUAAAAAUCCUUAUUUACAACGACGGUUUAGGAACCGUCGUUAUAAGUCCAUACCUUUUAACGACGGUUCCCAGAACCGUCGUUAUAAGUUCAUACCUUUCAACGACGCCUAUAAUAACGACGGUUCUGGAACCGUCUUUAAAUGUUGAUUUUAACCGUCGUUAAUCUACCUUUUUGUACUAGUGUAAAUGGAUUUUAUAACAGUAACCUAUAACCACUAGUAAUUUAUAACCAAUUUAUGAUUGAUUUAUGCGUCUUAAAUAUAAUAUUAAAUGGACAAUUAUUGUCUGAUUUAUGCGACUUGAUUAUUAUAUUAAAUGAGCGGUUAUUAGUCUGAAUGUACUCGGUCGUAAUUGGAGGUAUGUACAUAAGUCCCCCAGUUCGGAAUUUGAGAAGAUGUACAGGUGGAUCAAUUUGAAGGAUGAACGAGUUUAGCUUGGACCAGUUUGGAUUUUGUUUUUAGCUAUGCUCGUGGUUGAACAUUUCGUUCUUGAUUGAACUUGCAUUAUUUUGAUUUGCUCUUGGUUGAGUGUCGUGCUCUUGGUUGAAAGUUUCUAGUUCUUGAUUGAAUUUGUAUUAUUUUGCUUUGAUCUUAGUUGAGCGAGUUAUUGUGCUCUUGGUUGAGCAUUGCUAGUUUUGUAUUGAACUUGUGAUUUUGCGCUCUUGGUUGAGCGUUGCUAGUUCUUUAUUGAAUUGUGACAAGAUUGUGUUCUGAGAAAGUGAUUUUAUUUUGCUGAGCUUGCCUCAUUAAAACCUUGCUUGGUAAAACCCUUCUUAGGGAAAAAAACUCGAGCUAAGGAAAAAGAGUACAAGUUCCCUCUUUUCAACUGUAAUACAUUUUUAAGUGGGUAUUGUUCCACAUUCUCGAAAUUAACUUUCCACUUAACUCUUUGAGCUUGUAUGCUCUGUUUUUCAAAGUAUCUACUACCCAAAAUGGGUCAUCCCAGUUGGGUGUCAGUUUUCCCUCUUCUCGACAUAUCCUUUCUUCCCCGACCUUUAUCCAUACAAGGUCUCCUUUUCGGAGUUCCCGAGCUUUGACACGGGAGUUAUACCGCUGAGUUGUUCUCCCCUUGGCGGCAUUCUCUCUUACCCAGGCAUCUUCCUUGAUCUCGUGGAUGAGGUCCAGGUCUGCCUUCAGGUUACCCGAGUUGUGCUCUUCCUCGAAGCUUUCGCUUCGCCUACCUCUACCAGAAUCAUCGCUUAUGCCCCGUAAGUGAGGCGAAAUGGAGUUUCUUCCAUGGAGGAUUGGGGAGUGCAGUGGUAUCCCCAUAGGAUGCCCGGGAUUUCUUCUGCCCAGAGGCCUUUAGCAAAACCUACCUUCUUUCUCAAUUCCCUGAGAAUCACCUUAUUGGCCACCUCCGCCUGAUCGUUGGUAUGUAAGAUGCUCAACCGACGUCACACAGUUUUUAUUCCCAACUGAGUUGGGAAGCCUUCAAACCCUUUGUAUAUACAUUGUCUUCUGUUAUCGUUGACUACUGAGUAUGAGAGGUCGUGCCUACAUAUGACAUUCUUCUAGAAGAAGUAUUGGACCUGUUAGGCAGUGAUCGUUGCUAGUGGUUCGGCCUCAAUCCAUUUGGUGAAGUAGUCUAUUGUUAUUAUCAGCAAUUUGACAUGGACUCUAGAUUGUGGAAAGGGUCUUAGAAUAUCCAUUCCACAAGUAGCAGAGGCCAUGAAGGGAUAAUAGAGUAUAAUUCCUCCGAGGGAAUGUCAUAUAUGUAUAUCCAUUCUAUCUCCGGAGUGUACUCCGCAAAUUCCUCGAUGCAACUCGGCAAGGACAUAGGUCGUCUGCUCUUCAUCUAGACAUUUCAACAGUGGUGCCGAGAAGGAUCUUCUAAAUAACUCACUAUUUUGUAAUGUAUAAAAUGACGCUUGCCUUCGGAUCCUCUUCGCCUCCCUCUUGUCCUCUGGUAGGUCUCCCUGCCCGAGGUAAUUCAUGAUCGGGGUCAUCCACCCUACCUUCCUGGUUGCAGUUGGAAUACCCCAUCAGAGUCCCAACUAGGAGAGUUUAAGGUUUCCUGAAUGAGGGUGCGAUGUUGUCCUGGUUUUCUUUUACUUGCCAAUUUUGAUAUAACGUCGGCCCGAUUGUUUUGCUCUCUUGGAAUAUGGGUCAUGACAAAAUCCUUGAAGUCGCUGAUGAGGGAGCUUGCCAAUUGAUGAUACUUUUGCAGUACGAGUUCUUUUGUCUCGUAGUCUCCCUUAAUUUUUCUUGUGAUCAACUCGGAGUCAGUCAUGCAAUUAACCUUCUUGACGCCCAACUCUCUUGCUAGCCUGAGGCCAGCUAUAAGGGUUUCAUACUCGGCUUGAUUGUUAGACGUUUCAAAUGUGAAACGAAUAGAUUGUUCCAACAUGAUUUCGUCUGAACCCUCCAAAAUAAUGCCCAUGCCACUCCCCUUUUUAUUCGAGGAGUCAUCAAUUUGGAGCUUCCAAGCAUUAUUAUUCAUCUUUAUCUUUGGUAACUCAGUCAAGAAAUCAACAAGGAACUGAGCUUUCACAGCCCCCGUGCUCGUAGCUUAGGACAAACUUGGAUAGUUCGACCGACCAGGUUGUCAUCGGACCUGCAAGCUCGGGCUUCCGUAAAAUUUGCAUGAUCAAGUAGUUAGCUCAGGCUUCUUGCAGAAAAAACCAAGGCCAAGAUUAGCCUCUCCACCACCUGGUAUCUUUCUUCCGUCGGCUGGAGGGUUCGACUAGUGAAGUACAUUGGUUUCUGAGUUUUGCCUACCUCGUGUACUAGGACGGAGUUGAUCACUACCUGGGAGAUCGAGAGAUAUAUAUACGAAGGAGUGUGUGGUGGUGGAUUGGUUAAGACUGGUAGGGAGACAAUGUCUUUUUUUAUGUUUGCAUAGGCUUGUUCGCAUGCCUCAUCCCACACGAAGGUUACGACUCUGCACCCUUCCCAUCACCUUUCUCAAGUGCUCGGGGUGAUCCCCCGCAGUUGCCGACUUAACAACAAUAUCAUCCACAUAUACCUCCAUGAUGUCUCCUAUGAGUUCCCCAAAGACCUGGUCCAUAAGGCAUUGAAACGUGGCUCCUGCGUUUUUUAGCCGAAAGGGCAUAACUCUGUAGUAGUUGGCCCUAUUCAUCAUGAAUGUCGUCUUCUCCUCGUCAGGCAGGUACAUCCUAAUCUGGUUAUACCCCGAGUAUGUGUCUAGGAAACUUAGGAGUUCGUACCCGACUGUAUUGUCAAUCAACUGAUCUAUGCAUGGGAGGGGGUAUGUAUCCUUGGGACAUGCCUUGUUUAGGUCAGAGUAGUCUACGCACAUUCGCCACUUACCACUGGCCUUCUUCACCAUAACCACAUUGGCUAGCCACGUGGUGUAGUUCACUUCUCUGAUAAAUUCAACCUGAAGUAAUUGAUUUACCUCAUGGUCUGUUGUCGCUCUUCUAUCUUCAUCCAAUCUCCUUUUCCUCUGUGAGAUCGCUUUUGCCUGCGAUAGAAUGGAAAGUUUGUGGUAGACAAAGUCGGGGUCAAUUCUGGGUAUGUUAGAGGUAUUCCUGGCAAAAAUAUCUGAGUUGGUUCUUAGCAUGCUUUAAGUCUCCUUUUUCAAUGAUGGGGCCACAGAGUGGCCAACUUUAGUGGUUUAUGUCGUGCAAGUGCCCAACUGUAAAUCAAUCAUGGGCUCAUCGAAAGAUGGUCAGUUUUCAUCAAACUCUGCCCUCAGAUCCAAGUCAAUUUCCCUUACCCCUGGCUCACAGGGUUUUUUUCACAAAAGGGGCAUGCCAUGGGAGAUUACCCUUCAUUUUGUUCGUUCAAUUUCUUUUUUUCCUCUGGAUAGGAUAGAUCUAUACUCGUACUUUCUUUACUCGGUUUGGUUACCGAGUAAGGUGUUACCCUUAGACUUUGGCCAUAGCAUUCUCUGGCCACUUUGGGCUCAGCCUUGAUGGUGAUAAUACCCCUCAUUUCAUCAAGGAACUUCAUGGCCAUGUGGGGUGUUGAUACUGCCGCCACCAACCGGUUCAAAGUCCUUUUGCCGAUGAUUAUUUUAUAAGAGGUAUCGGCAUCCACUAGGAUGUACCGCACAGUUAUAGACCGGUGUGCCUCCCUUGUUCCGAACGUGGUGAGGAGAUCUAUGUACCCCCCCACCCCUUGUGUUAACUCUUUCCCCAGCAAAGCCGAGUAAUGGAACGAGGUAGGCUUGGAUUUAGCCCUCCGAGAUGUUCAAUUUUUUGAACACUAACCAAAAUAAGACGUUGGUUGAGCUACCCUGAUCAAUCAAGAUUCGUUUUACCCUCCAAUUUGCUACGGUGGUCGUGAUCACCACAAGGUCAUCUUACUUAGGAUCCCAGGCCGACCGAUCUUCAUUCGUAAAGUGGAGAUCAGACUAGACACAGAGGUAUGAGGCUAACAGCAUUGACACUCCAAAGGUGUCUCUUUCUCGUCGAACUUGUAGGACCACUCCUGACAAAACCGCCAGCAAUGGUGUUAAUUUCACCAUGACUCCUGCUAACCACCGACUCAUCCUGGUUUCCAGGUCCUCGCUAGGAUUCUCCCAUAUCAUGCUAGCCUGUCUGUGCUCUACUUCAUUCUAGGGUUCCAGUUCGACCAGCUUGGUAAUAACUCUCUGCCUUACCACCUCGUUCCCGACCCGAUCUUCCUCGUCCUCUGCCCCGAUUAUUCUCGGACCAAGAGAUGAAACAGUUCAAGGCCCCUGACCUGAAAAGUUCCUUCAAGAGGUCUUCACCUUGAAGCAUUCUUCAAUGCUAUGCCCAGAAUUCUGGUGGUAGCUACAAUGUUUUGUUUGAUCUCCCCAAGGGUUGUUAGGGGUUGGGGAUGGUAGGCGUACCAACUCUAAGUUACAGGCCUCUUGUAGCACAAUCUCCCUCGAGGCAGUAAGGGAGUGUAAUUUUCAAAUCUCCCCUGCCUUCUUCUCUUGUGGCCCGGGAAAACUGCGGUAGUCGACGCCUUCACCGCCUUCUUCCUUGCAUUGGCAUUUUCCUCGAUGCUCAUGUAUUUCGCUGCUCUAGCCCGCAGCUGAUACAUGUCCUCGGGGGGUUCCGCAUAGAGGGUGUAUAAGAAUUUCCCAGUCAUAACCCUACUAGUAGUGCGUGCAUGGACACUACCGGGUGCAGAUUAGGUAUGUUUAGGGUAGCCCAAGCAAAUCGGGCCAUAAACUUCCUCAAGCUCUUUGUCUCUCCCUGCACAAUAUUAUGUAUGGAUGCUGAGGUGGUGGCCACAGGCUUGCAAUCCGCGAACCUAGCAAGGAACCUGCCACAAAAUGUGUCAAAGGAAUCUACCAAGUUCCUAAGUAGAGAAUAAUACCAUUUUAAGGCCACUCCUACCAGAGUGGUUGGAAACAGUCUACAAUGCACAUCCAUGUCUUCUGAGAACAAUUGGGCCUAGGUAAAAUAGGCCUUAACGUGUGUUUCUGGAUCUGAAGCACCCGAGUACUUUUCCAAGUUGGGCCAACUCCACCUCUGAGGCAGCUGGGCCUUCAUGACCUCACUCGUGAAAGGGUGAAAACCCCUUUAAGUUGGUCCUCAUAGUGCGGUUGAUCAACAGGUUGGGGUGUGUUCUGAAGGGCUGAUGUUCGUGCCCCCAGCCUGCCUAGUCCCUCCUUGCAUGGAACUUGGGGGAGUUUCAUUCCAAGAUGACCUAAAGAUGUUAGAGCAAGAUUUCGUCCUCUCCUGCCAAUCUAAGUUUUAUGGGGGAACCUUCUGGGACUCGGGGGUAUGCUCCGUGUGCCCCUACUUAUCCUAAGUAUUGUUGUAGUUCCUGCAAGUUAUCUAGUCUUGCAGUGCCAGCAACUUUGCCCUGUGUUAUUCCUUCGGGAUGUCAAAUCCUGCUCCAUCCUUUCUUGAAUUUGGUCCAAGGCGUCCUUCACAAUCCUUGGUAGGUCCACUACAUUGGUUGGAAGGGAGUUCUCAAUCGGCUGAUUUGCAUUUUUCUGUUGAGUACUCAUCUUGAGAGCGUGUGUCUAGAUGUUUAUAGUGGUCUUGGGAAAAGUUUUACCAGGUUCCACGGUGGGCACCAGAUGUUCCUACCGGAAAUGAACUCGAGGAGUACAACUUGGCGAGGACUGCGUGUUCCUCAGGGAACGAGCUUUCAGUUGGUCUCCGAUGAGAGAGGGAGGUUUACCUGCAAAAGACUAUUUGAUGCUUAAGUCUAUAGGAGAACAAAUAUGAUGAUGAAUCCUUAACAAAGAGCUAAGAGUAAGAGUAUAUAAUAGAGUUUAAUGUGUCCCUUUACUGAGAGCGACAUUGCUUAUUUAUAGGUCUUGUUGGACUCAGACCAUUAAGAAAAACAUUGAAUGGUCAUCACGUGAUAUAAAUGGAUUUUAUAACAAUAACCUAUAACCACUAGUAAUUUAUAACCAAUUUAUGAUCUGAUUUAUGUGUCUUAAAUAUAAUAUUAAACAGGAUAUUAUUGUCUGAUUUAUGUGUCUUAAAUAUAAUCUAAAACAGGCAGUUAUUGUCUGAUUUAUGUGCCCUAACUAUUAUCUUAAAUGAGAGGUUAUUGGUCUAAAUGUACCCGGUCGUAAUUGGGGUAUGUACAAAGUUAAAUCCUCAUUUUCUAAAAUAAAAUAGUUUUAUUUCUUAUAAAUCUUUGAUGCCAAUUUGAAAUCCAAAAUAAUUAAAAAUUAAUAUAUAUUUUCUAAGAAUAUAUUUCAUAAUGAAAAUUUGUUGAAGUCUUUCUUAUUAGAUAAAAAUAAUGUAAUACUUGCAUUUAGGGAUGACAAAUAAACUCGUCCUCGUAGGUAUUGCUUCAACUCGUCAUGAUUUUUUAUUUUGAUAAAAAAGUUAUGCACAUAUUUGUCUCAUCUUUAUCCCGGAUACCAUACCUGUCUCAAGUAUUAAAGAUCACAUGACAUUGUGUUUGGGUUGUAAUUUCUUAUUUUAGUCGUGUUAUAAGAACUUCUUUAGUUUUUAUUUGAUUCUUUGCUAAGUUAGAAAGCCUUUUAAAGGGCUUUAGAGCCCUUUAUAAUUUUUUAAUUAUGAUUUAAUAGAUUAAAAUGUGUUUAAAUCUAUUAAAAUAUUCUUAGAUUUGUUAAAAACAGUAAGGAAAAGCAUUUUAAUCCAUUAAAAUAAUUAUUUAAUUGAUUAAAAUUACCGAAACCUAAAAUUUGUUUAUUUCACUUUGUUUUGAUUUUGAUAGAUUAAAAUCACUUAAAUAUCAAUUUUAAAUUUGUUUAUUUCACUUUAUUUUAAUUGACUAAAAUCACUUAAAUAUCAAGUUUAAAUUUUGUUUUUAUGUUUUAAUCAAUUAAAACGAUUUUAUAAUAUAUUAAAAUCACUUAAAGUGAUUUAAACAAAUUAAAAUAUUGUUUUGACAUAUUAAAACCAUGUGAGCUUAUUUCUAAAAUUUGUCUUAACCGAUUAAAACUUAGAUGCCAAAUUUUCCAUUUCAAAACUAAGAGACACGAAAUCAAAAUCAAUAUUUCUUAAAAACACUUCGCCUACAAAGUGACUCUAAAAUGAGAUUAAAACACUUCUUAGAGUCUUUGUGUUUUAAUCUUUAACUGAAAUCAUUGGUUUAAGAAAUUUACAUUGUGAUUACUUUGUCUUUUUCUUCUUUGUUGUAUUAUAUCUUUGUGCAUGUGAUUUUGUUCCUUUUGUAUAUUGAACUUGACUAGGGUUAUCAAGAGUGUUGCUUGUAAUGCGAUUUCAAAGAUGGUAUAUCUUAUAGGGUUCAAGAUCGUGUUUUGUAUGUUGUAUUUUCUUGUUUUCUUGAGGGAUUAAUAAAAGGAUUGUCUAAUCAAGGUGAUUAGACAAUUAAAUGUAGCUCUUAUGACGUAGUGAAUUAAUAUAAAUUUCUUUCUCUCUCCCUCUCUCUCCAUAGUUUCGAAAUCAUAGAUUAAAACUGAAUCUAAACACUGUUAAUCAAUUAUUUUAGUUUUUAAUUAAUUAAAACCAUUAUUAGUUUAUUAAAUGACUAAAAUCUGUUCACAACUCUCUGGUUUAAUAUAUUAAAAUCUAACUAACUUGUUAUCUCUCUGGUAUCAUUGAUUAAAGAGUGAGAUAAUUUGUUAAAUCACUCAAACAAAAUUUUCUAACUUUAUGCUUUAAUUGAUUAAAUAAUUUUCUUCAACCUUUUUCAAAAUAUUUUAUAAACAUCUUAACUCAUUUUUAAAGUGUUGUAUGCUUUCAUUGUGAAUAUCUUGUAAGACUCAAACAACUUUAUAAUGAUAGUCAAGACACUUUAAAUACAUCUUCAUCUUCAAAGUUCAUCAUCAAAACACUAUUUCUUGGGACUUGAUCAUCUUCAAGCCUAACAAUAAAGAGCAAGUUCUUGAAAGAAGUUAUGAGUUUCAAAUUUGUUUUCAAGAAAAAUAUAGAAAACAAUUUGCCUUUUGUUGAAGGUGCAUCUAUCUAUAAACCACUUAUGUUUUGCGGGAUCAAUUAUUUGUUAUUGAAAGUAAGGAUGAAGGUCUUUAUUGAAUCUAUUAAUAGAAACAUUUAGGAUACUAUUGUAAUGGGUCUUUCAUUCCAAUACAUAAAGUUGAUGGUGUUUUUAUUGAAAAACCUUGGACUGAUUUUAUUGAUGUUGGAAAUUGUGAGGCACAAUAUCAUUAUAUGGCCAAGAACAUUAUAACAUCUUCACUUAACCUUGACGAAAUUUUAUGUGUUUCAUAGUUUAAUUUUGUCAAGGAAAUAUGGGACCCUUAUAAGUUACUCAUGGCACAAUUGAUGUUAAAAGAGGAAGAAAACUUUUUUUAUCCAAGAAUAUUAACUUUUCAUACAGCAACCAAGAGAGACAAUUCCAUAUGUGCAGAAAAAGUUAACCCAUAUCAUAAUUCAUCUUAUAGGACUUCAAAAAUAUUUUGGGAAUGAGAAGUUGAAUGUAAAAAUUAUGAAGUGUCUUGAUAGAUCUUCACAACCAAAAGUCACAACAAUUUAUAAAUCAAAGGAUUUGUCUACCAUAUCUUGUAUCAUUAUUUGGUAAGCUUAAACAACAUAAAUUGGAAAUUAUAGUAGGCUUGUUAAACAAGAACUGAGUGAUAGGAAAAAGAAAAAUAAAGUGAAAAAGACUCUAUGGAAGGAAAUGAUAGUCACCCUUGCUAUCUCCUAGAUUGAUUAAAAUCAACUAAGGAAGUAAGAAAGUGCUUUAGGUUUUCACUUUUGGUAAGUAAAGAAGAAAGGCAGAGGAAAAAUAAGAAAACAUUUUUUUAUAAAAUAAGUCUUUUUCUUUUUAUCGGGAGAAAAGAAUAAAUAGAGAUCACUUCAGGAGUGAUUCAACCCUUAUACAAACCAUUAGAUACAAAUUACUUCCAAAAAUCCAAACCCAUAAAGAAACUAACAACUAAUCCCAGAACACCAAGAAAAGUCACCAAACUGAAAAAUCCAAAGCAAACACCAAACAAAAGGAAAGCAACAAAGCUUAAAACCAAAAACAGAUCGCCUCAAGACCAACAACGUGCAAAAACAACAACCACAUAACACCCUUACUGUCAAAUCGAAAUCACCCCAACAACAAGAACCCACCAACCAAUAACUAACCAACAAAAUAAAUUGAAUAUAGACAUACUAGGGGGUCAAGACACCAAUCUGAAAACGAGAAGCAAGCUAAGGAAACUUUAGAAAUGACCCAAGACCAAGUCUUCAGUUGAGACAAAAAAAAAAAUCAGAGUGAUCCACCACACCGCCUUUGAAGAUGACUUUAUUCCUAUGGCACCAAAUCUUCCUUACCACAGCCAUCCACACACUUUCCAAAACUAAAUUAACAGAUUCAUAUGCAUUACAAAUAUUGAACUAUAGGAGAUGUGAGUAAGAAUCUUAAGGAGCAACUGACACCAACCUUAACCGUGCAAAGCAAAGAUUCCAAACAAGCCAAGAAAAUCUACACCCAAAAAAAAAAGUGGUUAGUAGACUCCUCUUUUAUCCCAAAAAAACAACAAAAAAUACUAUCAACCACAACUUUGUGUCUAGCCAAAUUAACUUUAGAAGCAAUCUUGUUUUCCAACACCCUCCAAGUUGUAACGUGGGUCGAGGGUAAAGCGUUAAUCCUCCAAAAGAAUUUGAACAUACGUGAGCUUUCCCUUUCCAUCUCUCCCCUUAAAAUACCAUAAGUUGAAUUAACCUAAAACUCAAGAGACUCACCAACGUGUCAAAUCCAACUGUCAUCGAAAGUCAAAAUCGGACUCGUACCUUGCACUACCUCAAGUAGUUGACAUACCUGAAGCUUCUCCCACUCAAAGAGGCCCCUUCUCCAAAUUAAAUUCUCCAACCAUACACUAUUAAUCCAAUCCCCACAAAGAUUCAACGAAAUAUCUUUAUCAACACUAAGGGAGUAAAGUCUAAAAAAUUUACUCUUCAGAGUAACAUUACCCACCCACCUGUCUUCCCAGAAAGAAAUAGUCUUCCCGUUACCAACUUCCCACUUAAGGCAGUCUUCAAAACUCCUACCCCACUCUUCCAACCUCCAAAACUCCUUCAAGUCCCUCAACUAGAGAGAUUCAUAGUUGUUCAUCUUAUGUUCUUUCAUAGAUCUCCAACCUCCAUGCUUAGACUCUAGAAUCUCCUUCCAUAAACCACCCUUAGUUGAACCAACUGCCAAAUCCAUUUUCCCAGCUAGGCCGUGUUAAGGACCUUAAUAUCAAUAGUACCAAGUCCUCUAACAUCACGAUACUCACACACUUUUCCCCAAGAAGUCAAGCAAUCUUCCUCCCAUCAGACCUCAAACCCCAAAGGAAGUCCCUCUGAAUUUUCACAAUCUUCUUUAACACAACUGAAUGUAUUUUGAAUAAGGGUAAGAAAAACAACGAAAAAAAAAAUAACGCUAAACCCUAAAGGAUCUAAAAAUAAGGCUACCAUUGUCUUUGCAUGGAAAAAAAUAUAUUUUCUCUACUUCUUAUUUAUAUAAGCACAAAAGAGUUUGAUAAGUUUAAACUAUCAUUCUUACGUGUCUUCAAUUCAACUAUAAUAAUCCAUUUCAAAUCAAACUUAAACUCAACAAAAUUCAAUCCUAACUAUUUAAAUUUAUGUCAUUUUGCACUUUUUCUAAAUCCAUAUAUCAUAUAAGUAAAUGUGCAAUUUCAAUUUACAAAUAUAAUAAAUCACACACCAAUAGAUACACGUACGAACUUAAAUCAUUUCAUAAUAUAUAUAUAUAUAUAUAUAUAUUAAUUGGCAAAAAAAACAAAUGAAAUAGUAUGAGGUAUUUCAGGGAUACCAAACCCUUAUACAGAGAACUGACUAAGAUACUCAUCUUCAAACAACCUGGCAACAAUUGGAUAACCAACAAGACACACUCAAAAGAUUGUACAUACCUAUCUCCUAGAUACUUUGACUGACUUCAUACAAGUCAAGGGCUCAAGACACCAAUCUGAAUACGAAAAAUUUACACCAUGCGCUUUAGACAAAACCCAUGACCAAGCCUUCAUUUAUGCCAUGGUAAAAAUUUCGAAAUGAUUUAACCUUCCACCUCUGAAGAUCCUCAUAUUCCUGUGAUACCACAAUUCUCCUACAACAGCUAUCCACACACCUCCCCAUAUCUGAUUAACACUUUCCUUAACCCCAUUCAACCUAAAACCUUCAUAAUGUUUCUUUGGCUCCUUAUGAUUCGUCACUGCCAUCCCUAUCCACUCGUAGCACUUAGCCCACAUGAGCCAGACAACUUUUCAAGUACAAAAAAGAUGGGACGUGGUUUCCUCCUCCUCCUGCACAGACAACACGUAAUAGUAGUCAUACCUAUCCCCCUUCUAACCAAGUUUGCUUUAGACGUUAUUUUGUCUUCCAGAACCUUCCAAGUUGUGAGAUGUGAAGACGGGUUUGCCUUCAUUCUUCAGGACUCCCCAAACAUCUCACUAUCCUGCCCCUGAACUCUUUGUUUGAGGAUAUUGUAUGCGGACUUGACCGUGAACGUUGUUGUCUCUUUACCUUUCCAAACCCAAGAAUCUUCCUUAUCCAUCACAAACCUCUUUUCCCCCAUCACUUGCAUCAGUUGUUGUUCUUGUUCCUGUUCCACUCAAAAAUAUUCCUCCUCCAUUUGAUCUUCAAAGUCCACUCUAAAUUCUGUGUCCUCUCCCCCGCCUAUCGAAUAGUCGAAACCUUAUUUGAACAGAUAGAGAAGAGUCUUGGGAAAGUGUCUUUGAGAUUCGAGUUGCCAGUCUAUCUGUCCUCCCAUAGCCUUAUCUCCUUCCCAUUCCCCACCUCCCAGGAAAAGGUAUCCUCAAAAUUUCCUUUCCACUCUUCAGAAGACCAAACCUCCUUCAAAUCCCUCCACCAAAGAGAAUGAGUGUUACUUUUCCUUUGGCUCCUAGGAUCCCUCCAUCCUCCGUAUUUUGAGUCCAGAACUUCUUUCCACAAACCCUUCUUUUCACUACCUAAACGCCAUAUCCAUUUUCCCAACAAGGUAACGUUGAAUCGCCUCAAGUCGAUCAUUAUGAGUCCUCCUUCCUCUUUUGACUCAUACACCUUCUUCCACGAUAUAUAGAUGUGUAUAUAUAUAUAUAUAUAUAUAUAUAUAUAUUCAUUUAUUGUUUUAGUAUUCAUACCUAGAAAUUAUAUGCUUACUCUUCCCACAAGUAACAUUUUUAUGAUUUGUUCUUAUGAAGUGACCUUCUAUAAAUAUUCCGCCAGAAAAUUGAAAUUGCCAUGCAAAUCAGUUCCAAAUUUUCUGGUGAUUAUUUAAUCCGUAAUUGUAAACGAAGAUGAUUUCUGGAAGUGCAAAGCAAAAGAGAAAAAAAUCAUGUUCUAACUGUUAAAAAUGAUAGUAGAUUUACGUCGUUAUUUCGCAUUUUGUUGCAUUGUUUAGUUAACAAAAGUAUUUGACAACUCAGAACAAAAAGCUAAAGCAACUAAGCUAUUAUAUAUAUUAUAUAACCUAAUACAAAUUGAAAUACAUUAAUGAUAGAAGCAUACCGAUAGUUGCAGCGUGUAUUCUAAGCUCCGAAUGAAGUCAACGGCGUCUUCAUCUAGCUACACCCACUGGAUCCAUGACGUGUUCUUGAAUUUCAGAGGAGACGACACGCGCGAGACUAUCGUGUCACAUCUCUACGCCGCACUCUCGAAUGCGGGGAUCAACACUUUCAUCGACGAUAACAUUUUGAAGGGAACGGUGUUGGGGGCAGAACUGGUGCGAACCAUACAAGGCUCUCAGAUAUCCAUCAUCGUUUUCUCCGAAAACUAUGCUUCUUCUAAUUGGUGUCUUAACGAACUGGUAGAAAUCAUGGAGUCUCGCAUAGCUUACGGCCAGAAGGCGGUGCCCUUGUUUUACCAUGUUGAUCCGUCGCAUGUUCGUAAUCAGGAGGGUGGUUUUGGACAACAGUUGGAAGCACUUGCACAAAAUUGUUUACCUCAAGGGUUGAACGAUGAGGUGUUAAUGAUAUGGAAAAAUUCACUCUGGGAGGCUGCAAAUCUUGCUGGUUGGCAUGCAGUGAAUUUCAGGUAUAUCUAAUCUAUGUUGUCUACUUAUUUUGGAUCUCUUCCAACCAUUUAAUGGCAUUUUGACAAAUUUUAUGUAAACACUUAGAAAAAAAAUUGGGUAAAUUGAAAAUGAUCUUUUUAGAGAAAAAUUAUGUAAAUUAAAUUAUGUUUAGCUUAUGAAAGAGUUCAUUUUAUUUUUUAUGUGUUUAUUGAGAGAAUUUUCUAAAAUGAUAGUUUUCUUUGCUUAGUUUUUUUUAUUCAUUCGAGAUUUUACAUUCUUUAAGUCAAAAUAUUCAAUUUAGGUAUGUUUUUAUCUCUUUUCUAUUUAUAUUAUUAAAGAAAUAAUAAUUAUCAAAUUAUACGUUAUUAUUGUAUGUAAUAUUGUAAGGGCAAUUAAUUUAAUAAUUAUAGAAUCUCAUGAUUAGUGGAUCCCUACCUAAUGUAAUUUGGAGAGAGAAAGUCUUCCUACACUAUAUAUAUUUCUUAUGCAUGAAAAUACAUGAAGUGAUGUAAAUAUACACAUAAAAGAAUAAAAAUUUCUUCUUUCUUCUUAUCAUUCUUACCAUCUUCUUACAUACCUUUUCUUAUAUGAUAUCAGAGCACCGAUCUUGGUGCUCUGACAGCCACUCCAUUUUUAUCCGCUAAAUAAGAGAUAAUGUCUGGCAAAAAGGCAGAUAGAAACCUCGUACAAGGUUUCACCGCCGAGCAAAUUCAGCAAUUGGCAAAGACUAUUUACUCACCCAACAAUAAUGGUAAAAGUGACAUGUUUGUUAGCGCUGCAAGUCUGCUUGUCCAUAACUCGUCUAUUAAUUCUGCUUUUACGAAAUCAUGGAUUUUGGAUAGCGGAGCAACCAAUCAUUUUACAUCUGAUUCACAAUUUUUCACACACACUUCAUCAUCAUUUAUUCCAAAUGUUAAUCUGCUCAUAGGCUCAACUGCGCUCAUCUCAUUGACGGGCAGAAUUAAAUUCAAUGACAAUAUCACUCUCAAAAUGUUCUUUCCUUCUUUUAAUUUAAAUCUCAUGUCCGUUAGUAAGAUAACCAGUUCACUAAAUUGUUGUGUCGUUUUUACUCCACGUGGUUGCGUUUUGCAGGACUUGGCUACGGGGAGGAUGAUUGGCUCGGGUAAACAACACGCAGGCUUAUACUACAUGUCCCCUCUUCCAAACCAAACCUAGCAUCUCUUAGAAUCAUUCAUUACUUUUACACAAAAACAAUUUCAGGCAUGUAUUAAAACCAUCCGCGUUGACAACGAAUUGAAAUUUAUUUCUACACGUAAUUUUUUUCUCAAAAAAGGUAUUGAAUGUCAACGCACUUGUGUUUACACUCCUCAACAAAAAUGGAGUAGUAGAAGACAUACAUAGACACAUUUUAAACAUAGCACGAGCCCUCAUAUUUCAGUCCCAUUUACCAUUAGAAUUUUGGGGAAUGUGUUUUAACUGCCACAUAUAUCAUUAAUCAUUUGCUAUAAAUCACCUUUUGAGAUGCUAUAUAAUCGUCCGCCUUCACUUUCUCACUUAAAAACUUUUGGUUGUCUCUGUUAUGCAACUGUUGUUUCACCUAAGCAAAAAUUUGAUCCGUGCGCUCGGCAGCUAUGUAGCACAGACACUGACUCGGAUACUGAUACGACACGAACACGGACACUGAUACGACACGGACACGAAGAUACCUAUAAUAUCUAAAAUGUAGGAAACGGAGACACGAAUCUAUAUAUUAUAUAAUUAUGAAUUAUAAAAAUUGACAAUAAAGAUUUAUGUGCACAAGUAUGUUCUAGAUUAUUUUUGGAACAGAAAGAUGUUUUUCAUGACUGGUUCAAAAGGAUUUGUUUCUUAUUUUUAUAAUCAUAAUAAAAAUUUAUACAAUAAGUUUGAGUUUUUAGAAAAUUAAUGUAUUUUUCCUUUUUAAAAUUGUGUUAGAACCGUACUAAAAUUGUCAGAAAUCCAACAAAUACUUUUUGAAUUGGACACUUCACGAAUACGUGUCCUACAAGUGUCAUACGAGUGUUAGUGUCCGAUAUGAGUAUCUGACACCGACACGCCAUUUAAGAUAAGUGUUUGAGCUUCAUAGCUCGACAGUGCAUUUUCAUUGGUUAUCCUCUCAAUCAAAAAGCAUACAAAUUAUUUGAUAUAGAUGCAGGCACUUUUUUUAUAAGUCAAGAUGUCAUCUUCCAUAAAAGUGUUUUCCCAUUCUGCCAAUAGUCACAGACGCAAUCCUCACUUCCAUUACAAGGUAUUUUGCCCACUAUUGACAUUGAGUUACCCAUUGCUAUCCAACAUUCACUUGAUCAACCUUCUUCUCUUACGAAUCACAAUGCACCUGAACCUCCAUCAAACCAACCUUCUUCUCUUACUCAUCACAAUGCACCUGAACCUCCAUCAAACCAACCUUCUUCUCCUACUCGUCAUAAUGCACCUGAACAUCCAGCAGACCAACCUUCUUCUCCCACGCCAAGAAGUCUAGCACCCAUCACCAAACCUUCUCCAACCGACCUUCUUGUUCGACGAUUCAGUCGCAUAUCAACCCCACUUUCCUGGCUUCAAGACUACGUAACGGGAUCCCAAUCCAAUCAUUAGACCACUGCCCAAGACCGGACGAAUGGAACCAAGUAUCCUAUGCAUCAUUUUCUUUCUAAUUCACGAUUUUCUUCUACACAUAGUGCAUAUCUUGCUAACAUCAUAGCCACCAAAGAACCUCACACUUAUGCUCAAGCUAUCCUUGAUCCAAAUUGGCAAAAAGCAAUGGACGAAAAGCUUUCCGCCUUGCAGCUAAAUCAAACGUGGACCUUGACACCGUUGCCCGCUGGGCAGAAACCCAUCAGAUGCAAAUGGGUCUAUAAAAUAAAGUACAACUCAGAUGAUAGCAUCGACAGAUAUAAGGCGCGCCUUGUUGCAAAGGGUACACUAAGGUGUCGACUAUUCUGAAACUUUUUGACCAACAGCAAAAUUAACAACUUUGAGGUAUCUCCUCACGAAAUUGGUUCACUCACCAGCUAGAUGUGCAAAAUGUCUUCUUACAUGGCACAUUGCAUGAAAUUAUUUACAUGGACUUGCCACCCGGACAUCAUCGACAGGGGAGAACUUUGUAUGUUGAGUCAACAAAUCUCUUUAUGGUCUCAAACAGGCAUCCCGGACAUGGUUUUCAACAUUUUCUCAUGUGAUUAAAUCUGUAGGAUUUCAACUGUCCAAGACAGACUAUUCUCUAUUCACAAGACAGAAUAACUCAUCAUUUACAACCCCUUUUGAUUUAUGUGGAGAUAUUCUUUUGAUAGGAAAUGAUUUGACAAAAAUUCAGACUGUCUAUUACAAUAAUUUCGCAUUAAAGAUUUUGGAGACUUAAAAUAUUUUCUAAGGACUGAAUUUUCCCGUUCCAAAGCUGGUAUUUACAUGUCACAAAGAAAAUAUGCGUUUGAUAUUUUGUAGGAAGUGCUCGUCCAGACACAUUUCCAAAGGAGUAAUACCUAAAACUCACACCAGACGAUGAGGAGUUAUUAAAGGAUCCAGUCAAAUAGUGACUCGUGGGACGAAUGAUAUACCUCACUGUUACUCGGCCUGACAUAGCAUUUUCGGUUCAGACCCUAAGUCAAUAUAUACAGGCUCCACGGAAACCUCAUUGUGAUGUCGCAAUUCGAAUCAUAAAGUGUAUCAAAGGAUUAUCGGGACCAGGAUUGCUAUUGCCAUCCGAGAACAAUCUGACAUUGACAACUUAUUGCGACUCAGACUAGGGAGAUUGUCAGAAAACUCGGAGAUCAACAUCUGGAUAUUGUAUUUUUCUUGGUUCUUCUAUUAUCUCAUGGAAGUCAAAAAAAAAUAGACAAACGUAUCAAGAUCAUUAGCGGAAGCAAAAUACCGCGCGAUGGCCAAUACUUGUUUUGAAAUAGUUUUGGUGGCGAUACCUGUUGCAGGAUUUAAAGGUGUCAUAUAACUUGUAGCUCAACUUGAGGGGAGUAUUGAGGAAAUGGUAAUUAUCAAAUUAUACGCAAUUAUUGUAUGCAAUAUUGUACGAUAUUAUACCUAAUUAUAUGCAAUUAAUUUAAUAAUUAUAGAAUAUCAUGAUUAGGUGAUCCUUCCUAAUUAGAUUGUAAUUUAGAAAAAAAAUGUCUCUUAUACAUGAAGUGAUAUACACAUAAGAGAAUUUCUUUCUUCUUAUCAUCUUCUUACAUACAUUUUUCUUAUAGAUACAAUUGAAUAGAUCUAAACAAUCCUUAGUGUCAUCAGGAAAUAAUUUAGUUAAUUAAAAAAAAUUGAAAAGAUUAAAAUAUACCAAAUUGACAAUUAGCCAAAAAAAAUAUAGCUAUUCUGAAAUUCAGUCACUAAAAUCGCAGCAAGAAAGAAAAGCAUGAACACCAGUAUCGCAUUUGUAUAAAGAAGACUAAAUUGCAAUUUAGCUUAAUAUUAUAUUAUCUUUUCCUAGUUUAUGCUUAUUCUGGUAUGCUUAUAACUAUUGAAGGAGUGAAGGUGAACUAGUGAAUCAAAUUGUUGAGGACAUUAUGGAAAAACUUGACUACGACUUAUUGUCAAUUCCUGAAUUCCCAGUUGGAUUAGAAUGGCGAGCGCAAGAAUUGAUUGAGUUCAUCAAUGGUCGAUCAGAAACAAGUUCUCUGUUGGGGAUCUGGGGAAUGGGUGGAUCGGGUAAAACAACCUUGGCCAAAGUAAUCUACAAUCAAAUUGGCAAGGGAUUCACCCGUAGAAAUUUCAUUGAAACGAAUAACAGAGGAUGUAUUGAUUUGCAAGAAAAACUUCUUUCAGAUGUCCUAAAAACAAGGGUCAAGAUACAUAGCAUUGCAAUGGGAAUAAGUUUGAUUGAGAACAGACUUUAUGGAGAAAAGGUUCUGAUUGUGCUUGAUGAUGUGACCGAGUUUAAACAGUUGAAAGCCCUAUUUGGAAAUCGCAAAUGGUUUGGUGAAGGAAGUGUGAUAAUUAUUUCAACCAGAGAUGUACGCCUACUAAAACUACUCAAAGUUGAUUAUGUUUAUACAAUGGAGGAAAUGGACGAAAAUGAGUCUCUUGAGCUUUUUAGUUGGCAUGCUUUUGGAAAAGCCAAACCAAGUGAAGACUUCAAUGAACUUGCAAGAAAUGUAGUUGCUUAUUGUGGAGGGCUACCACUAGCUCUUGAAGUCCUUGGCUCAUAUUUGAUUGAGAGGACAAAGAAAGAGUGGGAAAGUGUGUUGUCGAAACUGGAAACAAUUCCAGAUGAUCGAGUUCAACGGAUAUUAAGAAUAAGCUUUGAGGGUUUACGCAAUGACAUGGAAAAGGAUAUAUUUCUUGAUGUAUGUUGUUUCUUUAUUGGUAAAGACAGAGGCUAUGUGACAGAGAUACUAAAUGGCUGUGGACUAUGUGCUGAUAUUGGAAUAACAAUUCUCAUAGAACGUAGCCUCAUAAAAGUUGAAAGGAAUAACAAACUUGGAAUGCAUCCCUUGCUACGAGAAUUGGGAAGAGAGAUAAUCCGUGAAAGUUCAAGAAAGGAACCUGGGAAGCGCAGUCGAUUGUGGCUUAAUGAGGAUGCAGUGAAAGUAUUGACAGAGAAUACUGUGAGUAAUACUUCUUAUAUAUAGUUUUGGAAACUUGGUAGUGUUUGACUUUUCAUGUAUCACUUUCUGAAUGAGCUUACAAUAAAUAUUUCUAAAUUUACUUUUCUUUGCUCUUAUCAUCACAGGGAACAGAAGCUGUUGAGGGUUUGGCCCUGACACUGCAUUUGACCAGCAGAGAUUGCUUUGAAGCUUAUGCUUUUAAGGGAAUGAAGAGAUUGAGAUUACUGCAACUUGACCAUGUAAAACUAUCCGGAGACUAUGGGUAUCUUUCUAAGCAUCUGAGAUGGGUCUGUUGGCAUGGGUUUCCAUCAAAAUACAUACCCAACAAUUUUAGUCUGAAAGAUGUGAUUGCGAUUGAUUUAAGGCACAGUAAUAUUAGAAUUGUAUGGAAACAACCCCAGGUAUAAACCACAAGGUUAAUUCUAAUCGUAAUUUUCCACUAAGUGUUUGUUUGAUUUUUCAUUUUCUUCUCUAGUUUUAUAUCUUGUGUAGGUGUUAGGGUGGCUUAAAAUGAUCAAUCUUAGUCACUCCAAGUACUUGAUAGAAACCCCUGACUUUUCAAAACUACCAAAUCUUGAAAAGCUCGUUCUCAAAGAUUGUCCAAGUUUGUGUAAGGUACACCAAUCCAUUGGAGAUCUCCAUAAUCUUCUAUUGAUAAAUUUGAAGGACUGUAUAAGCCUGAGCAAUCUCCCAAUAGAGAUAUACAAGUUGAAAUCUGUGAGAACUCUCAUCCUAUCUGGUUGUUCGAAGAUUGACAAAUUGGAAGAAGAUAUAGCACAGAUGGAAUCCCUGACAACUCUACUUGCUGAUAAUACUGCUGUGAAACAAGUCCCCUUUUCAAUAGUAAGCUCCAAAAGCAUUGGAUAUAUAUCCUUAUGCGGAUUUGAAGGACUGGCACGAAAUGUUUUUCCUUCUAUCAUCCAGUCUUGGAUGUCACCAACAAUGAAUCCUCUCCUUUAUAUUAGUCUGUUUUCUGGCACAUCAUGUUCUCUGGUUUCCAUGAAUACACAAAAUAAUACUUUGGGUGAGCUUGUACCAAUUCUUAGAAGGCUUCCAGAUCUUCGAAGUGUUUUGGUGCAAUGUGAGACAGAGUUUCAACUGUCUAAACAUGUUAAAACAAUUAUGGUUGAAGAUGUUGUAAAUUUUACAGAAUUAGGAAUUUCAAGGCAUCACUUGAGGUCUUCUUUGAUUGGAGUUGGAAGUUACAAAGAAUUCUUCGAUAUUCUCAGCGAUAGGAUAUCUGAGGUUAAUUCCUUCUCUAGUUUUUACCUUUCUCUACUUUACCUUCACUGUUUAUUUUAGCUACUAAUUAAGAGAACUUGAAAUAAUCUUUAUGAUGUGUCUAAAAGAAAAUUCAAUAACCAUAUUCUAAUUUAAAAGUACAUGUUAAGCUGCAGCAAUUUAAUUUCCACUUUUUUCCACCCACACUUGUUUCGUGUUUGUUAGAUUCCCAUUGAACAUAAAAAAAAGUUGAAAGAUCUCUGAGACAUAAACAGAAAUGCAUUUAAAUUCAUAUUGAUCUGCUGUUAUAUAUACAGAACAAAACUAUUAACCAAAUUUAUUUGAAUUAGUUAUCAUUGCUGUGUUUCAAUUUAUGCAAUAAGUGGUCAAGGAUUCGAUCUCCAGGCUUGUGUGUAUAGAAAAAUAUUUGUUAAAAGAUGCUAGUCUGAUAAAUGAAUAUCUUUCAUUAUUUAAAAAACUUAGUCCUGAUUCUGUGAUGACAAAACGGAAGUUUGGGGAAGGAGAUGUAAUUUAGGUUCUUUUAACUCAAAACUCUAUAAAUUCUUAUAAAAAGAAAACUUAAUUUUCUUUCUAAAUUGGUGUAUUCAUGUUUUACAAAUACAUCCUUCUGUAGGGUUAAAUUAUGUGUCACUCUAGACAAUCAUAAUAAGUCUCUCUAAAUUCCACACUAAUACCUAAGUAGUCUUUAAAGUCCACUAAGAAUCUUUAAUGUCUAAUAGUAAGUAACUCCUACUAAUCUAGCCUUAAAUUCUCAGUAUAUGGGUCAUUAUUUUGCAUUAUGAGAACAAAAAUGGUUCAGCUUUCUCUUGUGGUUUUUAAUAUUCCUAUACGACAAUUCAACCUCUUAAUUAAAAAUAUAAUAAAAUUUACAAAGAAAAAAUGCAAAAUUAUACUGACACUCUUGAAAUCAUAACAGUUUGCCUCCCCGAAGUUAUACAAUUCACUUUAUUUUAUUAAAAAUGCUCAUUUUGUAAUUUUGGAAUGAUAAAAAAAUUAUUGUAGGGGUGACUAAGCUUGUUUUGUCAUGUUGCAGGGAUUGAAAACCAAUGAGGCUUGUGAAGUUUUACUUCCAGGUGACAAUGAUCCUUAUUGGUUGGCCCAUACAGGUGAGGGACAUUCAGUGUAUUUCACUGUGCCAGAGGACUGCAGCAUGAAGGGAAUGGCUUUGUGUAUUGUUUAUUUAUCAAACCCUGAAAUCACGGCAACCGAAAGUCUUACUAGUAUCUUAAUAGCUAAUUACACAAAGCGCACCCUGCAGAUACACAAGCAAGACACAGUGAUUUCCUUUAAUGAUGAAGAUUGGCAGGAGAUAAUAUCACAUUUGGGAGGUGGAGACAAUGUGGAGAUUUUUGUGACUUUUGGUCAUCACUUGGUGGUCAAGAAAACAGCUGUCUAUCUGAUGUAUGGUGAAUCAAAUGAUAUAGAAAUUGAGCCGCCUCAAUGCGAAUCGGAUGAUGUAGAAAUUGAGACGAGGCCUUGUGAAUCAAAUGGUUUGGAAAGUAAGCCGAAGCAUGGUGAAUCAAAGGAUAUCGGAAUUGUGUCCACGAACUGUGAAUCAAAUGAUAUCAAAAUUGAGCCCAAGCCUUGUGAAUCAAAUGUCUUGGAAAAGAAGUCUGAUGAUCCUAAGCCAAAUGGAAAUGCUUUCACUAGAUUAUUGAAGAAAUUUGCAAUGUGUGACUGGUAAGUCAUAUUCAUAUCCCUUUUAUGAGAACAAUUCAGAAUUGUGUUGUGGAAUUAAAUCCUAGUGUCCUUGAUUGUAUUUAAUUUCCUUCCAUCAUUUUAUUGUUUUUAUUUUGAGUAGCUUGUAGUUGGAAAAUUCACUUUAUUUUCCCUUGUUUCUCAGUCUAAGCUUAUGCCUCUUUGGUUGUCCUUGACCUGUUCAUUGUAUUUUCUUGGUGUUAUUUAUGAGAAUAUUUUUCGUGUAAAUUGAUUUUAAUACUCAACAAGCCAGUGGUCAUGCUCACCCACACGACUUCAUGAAUUGAUGUCCACUUUUUUCCUUCUACCUUUUUCUAGAAAGAAUGGGGUGAAGUAAAAGUUACCUUCAUUUUAUAAAUUGUCAAACUGAAUCUACCAAAAAAAUAAAAAAACUUCAUCUAUAGGGUCUUGAUUAAGAUUAUGUAUAUAACUAUGUACAUACACCCAUAUAAAUCCUAAUAUAAAUACUCAUGAAUGAACUUUACUACAUGUUUGACCUACAGACAUAAACUCAAAGAGAGUGAAUUAGAGAAUGUGGGACGCACAAACCUACAAAAACAUUAAUAUAAAAUUCAUAAAAAUAUAACACAAAUGUAUCAUAAAAUGAUGAAAUUUCCAAAGAAUAUGUGUCCCACUUUUUUAUAUACUUAUGAGAUUAUGUUUGUUCUUUUAUUGAUAAAAGUUCACCAAAAACAUCUAGAAAAUCAAGAAAUUUAAAUUUAAUGAGAUGUACCCUAUAGGUUACAAUGUUCUUGUUUAGUUGUUAGUUUGGCUGUGAUUUGACCACUCCCUAGCUUAACCAAUUAGAGAAAAUGGGAACAAUUACUUCAUGUAUGUAACUUCUUGUUGCACUCAAUUCAUAAAAAGUAUCUAAAAGAGCAUAAGGAUCUGAUCCUUUCUUGAAAACAAGUGCACUGAAACCAUAUUGAGAAUGCUAGUUUAAUUUCUGUUCCUCUUGCCUAUAGUGGAAUGACAAGUCUAGACGAAUGUCUUGGAUGUUCUCCUUGGAGAUUAAUUACUCUAUCAUCUCCUUGAUUUGCCUCCACCAUGGUCAACCAUGUCACUUAAUGUUCUCAUAGUAUGAGAUGCUUGUGAAUGUGAAAGAGAAGAAUCCUUGAUGCAAUCCUAUCUUGCAUUGCUAUGAUUCUUUUGUUUUGUAUUUUGAGGGUGCGGAAUUUGGUGGGAUUGGGUGGCUAAAAUGAGUAAAAGAAAUUGUGAAGUAUUGGUGUAUGGAGAAUGAUAAUAAAGCUUAAGAGAGGUUAGGCCAACUCCUAAGAGGUUCCUUGCUAAAACACUUAGAAAUAAGGCUAACAAAGAGUGAGCUAAGAGACUAUUCAAAGCUAAUUUACAAGGGGCCUAACACUUGUAUUUAUAGUGCUAUGGGUAGCCAAGGUGCAAACUUUAACCCUAAAAACUCACCACUCAUAGAAAGACAAAUGACUGUCUCUAAUUGGAGCAAAUCCUCUCAAAUUAGAGGUUGACAAGUGUCCUCCUCUAAUUGGAGAGAGUGCUCUCCAUUCCCAUGAAGACAAAUGUCCUUUUGGCAUUGGUGAGAAUUCUCUCCAUUAAGGAAAUGAUAUGUGGACCUUCAUACCUUCCUUGCCACUUCAUGAAGCACAAUUGUAACUCUAGCUAGACCCUUUUUUCUAUGAAAAUUGGCCCAAAUAUGGCCCAAGAAAAUGACCCAAAUAUUAUUAAUAUUAAUAAUAUUUUUAGUUAUUUUUUAAUUAAAUUUGAAAUAAUUUACACACGGAUUUUAUCCGUAUGUAAUAUUUUUAAUUAUUUUUUAAUUAAAUUUAAAAUAAGUACAUAUGAAUUUUAUCCGUAUGUAAUAGUUUUUUUAAUAUUAUAAAUAUUAAUAAUAUUUUUAGUUAUUUUUAAAUAAAUUUAAAAUAAGUUACAUACAGAUUUUAUUCAUACUAUUUAUAGUUAUUUUUUAAUUAAAUUUGAAAUAAGUUACAUACGAAUGUAACAGUUUUUUUUUAAUUAAAUUUUUAAUGUAUUACAUACGGACAUAAUCCGUAUGUAAUGCUUUUUAUUAUUUUUAAUUAAAUUUGAAAUAAAUACAUAUGGAUUAUAUCAUUAUGUAGUAAUUUAUAUUUUUUGAAUUAAAUUUUAAAUAUCUUACAUACGAAUUAGAAUCCGUAUGUAACAUUAAUUUUACAUACGAAUUUUUAUUGGUAUGUAAUUCGAAAUUUCCGUGUAGUCCCUGUACAAAGUUUAUAAAACUAGCUAAAAAUGGAAGAGCAGACAACAAUUAAUUUUCCUUGAGAUUAGAAUCUUUUGAGAUCCUUUUCUUGCUUCCAAUCUUUUUAGCCAAAUGUUUCGAGGUUGGAUGAGUUUUCAUCAAUGAGACUUGAAAACUAAUUUGCAUUUCUUGUUCACAGAGGCAGUAAAUUAUAAGUUCCCUUAUUCCUUAAAGUCAAACCAAGUUGAUUCCUUAAUCUUGGUUAUCAAUAAAUCUAAUCAUAAUAAUCAAUUCCUCGACUCAUGCAUUAAAAGAAUAACAAUGAUAGCUAAAUACAACUACUCUAUUCCCAACAGUUCAAAAUCUUUGGUUGAUUUAGUUUAUUUUAAAAAAAGAAAAUUUCCCAAUAAUAUUCAAGCUCUUGGAGAUCAAGUAAACGAAUUCCUAUAUUGUCAAACAUUAAGCUCAAAAUUAAAUCAAUUAAGAACAAAAUGUACUUGCAUAUGUAAAUCAAGGAAUCACAUAAAAGUUAUAAUGAGAUUCAAUCCCAAUAACAUAGGAUGUUAGCUACUCAUUAUGAGUAGGUUGAUUCAAUAAAUACAAUGAUAACCUACAACUAAGGAUAUUACAUUCUAAACUAACUUUAGUUCUCUUCCUCACCUGGACUAGUCCUUUCCUUUCUAUUUAUAUUGCAACAAAUUGGCCUCAAGUUUACUUCCCAUACUCAUGGGACCACCUUUCUUCAUUUUGAGGGCUUCCCAUGUUCUGAGUGCAACUAUGUCUUGUUAAGCAUAUUUUGAGCUCAAAUUGCACCCUUUUCUGUGGAAUAUGGUCGUUCUAUUAGAAUAGUGAUAAAUACCAUAAUUCAGUAACAUUUCAUACAAAUACAUAGGUACUUAUGAACUUUAUUUGAUAAAAUAGUUAUAAUUCAACCUCUAAAUUAGGAAUUUGAACACUUUUACAUAUUUUUGGAUUAUAAGAUGAAUAUGAACGAUUUAUUCCCAAAUUUGUGUUAAUUUCAGGAAUCUAGAAGAAAAUGGAGAAAAAAGGACUAAAGGAGAAUGAAAAAGUUAAAGACAAGAUGAAAAGACAAAGCUGGAACUUUGAAAACUCGCCCAAGUAAGAUCACUCCAGAGCAAAUCGCCCAAGGCUCGCUUUAGCGAGUUAAUUAACUCCAGUGAAGUUGGGAUUUUUCUCAUAAAACUCGCUUAAGUAAAGUAAUAACUUGCUUAAGUGAGAUGUCACUUAGCCCAAGCCCAAUUAGGUUAAAUCAAAUUCGUGACGCAUAACCCUAGACAUCAUUGGGAGGAUAUGGAUAGAUAGAAAAUCCUAGAGGAGGAAUCGUCAAGGAGAAACACUGAAUCUUCUUUUCUUGUUUUCCAUACUUGUAAUUGCCAAUAUGAGAGACUAAUUCUUUCCUUUGGUAUUGAGAAUAAUUUGUUCAAACUCUUAUGUAUUGAGGUGAUAUUUAAUUGUAAUAUUCAUUUCUUGAUUGAUGAUUGAUAUUAUCAUUUUAUUCUCAAAACUUGAGACUAUUAAUGAUUUUGAUCCUUAGAUUUGACUGGAAAGUACUUCUAAGUAUCUGACCUAAAUAAUAAUGCUUAACAUAUUUAUAUGUUAGGAAAACUCAAUUAAAUAAACUAAUUGAUUUACUAGUUCAAUUUAUUGUAAAAAGCACAAGAGCAAUUUUAUCAAAAUAUAAACUAGUUGUUUCGAGAAUUCAAUCAAUUGAUUUACAUGCAAAACACUGUAAAGUAGACCAUAUACCAGAUAUCAGAGUAAGAUAGAUAGAUAAUGCACAAAAGAUUUAUAUUGGUUCACUCUUAACCAAGAGCUACAUCCAAUCCUCAGCACACAACUGCAAAUUCACUAAAAACAAUUAAACAAGAUUACACGAGAACAACAAAAAGUGUUGAUUUUGAACCCCAAGAACAUGAAACACUCUUAACCACACACAAAAUUCAGAAACUCUAUCUGAAUCUGUUUACAACAUAAAACAAGGAGAAAAAAUAAAGUUCGAAUACACUUGGGUUCAAUACAAAUGAAGAACAAAAGAAUUGAUAACCUUAAAACCUUCUUCACAUCACAACAAUGAUCCAAGAUACAAAUGUAAUCUCCCCACUUUCCUUCACCACCCAAUGCAGUCAACCCAAUUCACAUCCAACAAACCUAUUCUCAAUCUCUCAGUGUAGCAAUUGUUGUUUUCACCCAAACCUAUUCUCAAUUUGCUUGGUGUCUUCAUCAACUUCAACAAAUAAUCAAAUGACACCAAACUUAUUUUCUUUUUCAGCAAAGAAUAAAAUUAAUCCCAACCCGUAUUAAAAAAGCAAGAUAUUUUCACCAUGAAUGGACAAAGGAUUCCCACAAAAAAGCCCCAAAAACCAAAAGAGUUGCUGCCAUAACAACACCUAUAAAAAACACUUACAGCAGAACAAAAAACUGCACCUAUAUUCCUAAAAAAAACAGCUACAUUCCUACAUAAAACAACACCCAAAGAAGCAUUUUACACUAGAAAAGGUUUUACCAACACCUCCAAGAUCAACAUCUGCGUGGUUCGGUUCAAUUGUUCCCAGCUCCUACAAAGUUACCAUUCAUCAUUAUUUAGUGUUUGUAACAAAAACAUGAUCUUGGGACCAUUCCAGUGAUAGAGAAAGUAACAUGGCAUCUUCCUUUAAACCUGAAUAUUCCUUCAAUUCUUACACUAAAUAGAGUCUCGUAACCUUGGCAACACCAACAUCAUCAAUCCUCCCCCAGCCAGCAACAAAACCAAACAUAAAAAAUCGGCCGCUGGACCUGUAUUCUCUGUAAGAAAUUAUGUAAAUUAAUUUCUAUAAAGUGACUCACAUGACUUAGAGUUUGGGCUUUGGGCCCAAAUAUGAUUUAAUAAUAAUAAUAGAAUAAAGGCCCAUUGGUUAAUGUGAGAAAUAUAUAUCUGAUGAUAUACCUAAUGGAAAACCUACAUCUGAUGGAGAUUGGGUACUAAAGGCUAUAGGGUUCUGUCUCUGCAAAUAAUAGUUGUCUCACGGUUAACCAUCACGAAAGUGUGUGACAAGUACGGAAUUGCUAAGAGAUAAUUUGGGAUAAGGAGAUAAAGUAACUACUCAAUUAGGAUCACUCAUGGAUCAAGGUAAGUGCCUAUUCCUUCUUCAUUAUAUGUUUAAUGUUUUGUGUGAGAAUCAUGAUAUGAUAAGAUCUAUUUGUGAACAUAAUUGUAUGUGUUCAAUUUACGUUUAUUCAUGUUUUGACUUACAUUCUCUUCAACGCAUGCACCUUUGUGAUUCCUUUACAUAGACUCAUCCAUCCUUCCUUCCAUCAAGAGUGGCUUCCCAUGGACUUUCCACACUCUUUCCCUCUGAAUCAAGAUUAGACAAAUUCUUUGGUCAUAUUAUCAUUUUUAUUAUACUUAUUAUUAUUAAGAUAAUUUAUACAUAUUAAUAUAAUUAUUAAUAAUAAUAAAAAAAUAAAUUAUAUUCAUAUUAUUAAUAUUAUUCAUAUUAUUAAUAUUAUUCAUAUUAUUAAUAUUAUUCCUAUUAUUAAUAUUUAUUAAUAUUAUAUUCAUAUUAUUCAUAUUAUUAAUAUUUAUUAAUAUUAUUCAUAUUAUUACUAAUAUUAUUCAUAUUAUUAAUAUUAUUACUAAUAUUAUUAAUAUUAUUACUAAUAUUAUUAAUAUUAUUACUAAUAUUAUUAAUAUUAUUACUAAUAUUAUUAAUAUUAUAUUCAUAUUAUUCAUAUUAUUAAUAUUAUAUUCAUAUUAUUAAUAUUGUUAAUAUUAUUAAUAAUUAUAAGUAUAAUAAUAAUAAUCAUAAUAAUACUAAAGAAUUUGCUUGGUGUGCAUCAUCUCUCAUAUCAAGCUCUUGUAUAACUUCUCCAUUUAUUUUUAACAAAGUUGUCAAACUCCUUAUCUUCCUGCCAAAUGUCAAGAAACCUGAAUGGUUUUGGUCCCCAAUCUGUCAUGUUUGAUUUUAACACCAAUGCACAGUGAUGAAAUAUUUGUCUAUCCAAGACAUAUUGUUUGCUGCCCGAUCAAUGUUGCAGCCAUUCAAAGGUGGUUAAAAACCUAUCAAGCCUGCUUUUAGCCUUGCCAUUAGGUCUAUACCAGGUAUAUUUCCUUUCAAUACAGGGUAUAUCAACCAUCUCCACACUAUCAAUGAAAUUAUUAAAACCUUGCAUUUCUCUCUUAUUAUCACUGGCUUGACUCAUCCCUCUUCGUUCCCCUUCACUUCUUAUAGAAUUGAAAUCCCCCAAUAUGCACCAUGAGUUACAAGGUUCCCUUUGUCUGAUUUCUUUUAAUUCCUCCCACAUUUACAAUUUCGUUUGAAGAUUACAUGAAGAAUACACAUUUGCAAUGACAACAGGAAUAUUACUGUCCCUAAAAAUCCCAAGAAACACUAUGAACCAUCUAUUAAUAAUAUGAUUAGAACACUGGAAAUUUUUUUUGUGCCAUAUUGUAAGAAUACCACCUGCUCCAUUAACUGGUUCACUGUAUAGAUAAUCUAUAUCAUUAUCCCCCAUAACUGACAACAAUUGUUUAAACUGACAUUUACCAUUUUCACUUCUUGCAAGCAUACCAUUAUGACACCUUCCUUCCUGAUGAUAUCUUUAAUAUAUCUCCACUUCACACGACUCCCGAAUCCUCUCAUAUUUAUAGAAAAGAUUCUCAUUGAUAACCCAUAUUUUUCCCCCCUUCCCUUAUUGCCGACAUGUUUUGGCCAUUUAUUAUAAAAUUUAGCCAUCUUAUGUACGUCUUCAGAAAGGUGAUUUUGAAAAAGCCUUCAAAGCAACUGCACACUAAACAUUUUCAGGACAACUGGAGCAUGGCAUGUCCAGAUGGAGCCACGCACUCACGAAAGUUGCAAAUUUCUUUGAAGGAGUGAUCUCGAACUAGUGGAAAAAAUUGUUAAGGGCGUUCUUAGUUUACCAGUCUUGUCUGCUACUAAAUUUCCAGUUGGAUUACAAUCCCGUGUGGAAGAUGUGAUUCGAACCAUCAAAAAUAAAUUCACCCAAUUUUUUACUAUAGCGAUAUGUGGAAUAGGAGGAUAGGGUAAAAUCACCCUUGCCAAAGUCAUUUACAAUCAAAUUCAUGGUACAUUAACAGAGAAAAGUUUUAUUGAAGAUAUUGCACAAGUUAGUCUAAUAAGAGGGCAUGCUCAUUCACAAGAACAUCUUCUUUCAGAUGUCAUAAAAGCAAAGGUGGAUAUACGAAGCAUUGAGAUGGUAAGAAGUAUGAUUUGGGAAAGACUUUAUGGGAAAAGGGUGCUCGUGGUCUUGACGAUGUGAAAGAGUUGGUCCAUUACACCUAUGGGUUAGUAGUUCAUGGUUCAGUGAAGGAACUAUAAUGAUCAUUACAACAAGAGAUGAAUUUUUUUUGGAUAAAUCCAAUGAACGCAAAUGAGUCCCUUGAGCUUCUUAGUUGGUACACUAAGAAUUUUUUUUGAAUAAAUCCAAUGAACGGAAAAUAUUUGUUACUUGAUGUAUGUUGUUUCUUUGUUGGUAAAAGUAGAUCCUGUCAUAGAGCGUAGCCUCAUAAAAGUUAAAAAACAACAACAAAUUUGGAAUGCAUUAUUUGCUAAGAGAAAUGGGAAGAGAAAUUAUUCGUGAAAUUUCAAGAAAUGAACCUACCUGGGAUUAACAGUCCAUUGUGGCUUCAACAAAACAUGCUCUGUCAGAGAAUACUGUAAGAACAUUCUUACUCCAUGGUUUUGAAAACUUUUUUUGGAUGUGUUUGCUUUCUCAUGAGCAAUAUAUUUGUUUUUCUUAGUUCUUUUCAUCACAGGGGACAACACUCAUUCAGAGAUUUCUUCGAACGUUAUCCUUUAAAGGUAAGAAACCCAUCAAGACUGCUGAAACUAGCUGGAGAUUCUGAGUACCAUUAUAAGAAACAGAGAUGGGUCAGUUUGCAAAGGUUUUUUUCAAAAUACCUACCUAACAACUUUUAUCUGCAUGAUGCAAUAGCGAUUGAUUUAAAUCACAGUCUUCUUCUAUUAGUCUGGAAAGAACCCCAGGUUUUUAUUACGUGCCAUUUUCUUUUAAAACUCAACUUAAAAUAAAAAUAAAAAUAGUAUUUGUUUCCACUAAUAACUAUUUUUUUCUUCAUUUUCAUUUCUAAUACUUCUUGAAGGUUUUGGCGUGUCUAAAAGUCCUGGAUUUAGUUACUCUAAGUACUUAGAAAAACCCCAGACAUUUCGAGACUACUAAGUCUUGAACAGCUCAUUCUCAACUAUUAUCAUGAAUUAUGCGAAGUACACCAAUCAAUUGGAUGUCUCUGCAAUCUUAUGCUGCUAAAUUUGAAGGACUAUACAAGUCUAAGCAAUCUCCCCAGAGAAAUAUGUAAGUUGAAAUCUUUGAAAACUCUCAUUCUUUCUGAUUGUUCGAAAAUUGACCUAUUGGAAAAGGAUACAGAACAAGUGCAAUCUUGAGAACUCUAAUUGCUGAAAAUACAGCUAUGAAACAAGUGCCAUUUUCAAUUGUAAGCUCAAAAGGAAUUGGAUACUUAUCCCUAAGUGGAUUUGAGGGAUCAUCACAUAAUCUUUUGCCUUCUGUCAUUCGGUCUCAGAUGUCGCCACCAAUGAAUCCCCUAUCUUAUAUUAAUUCCUUCAUGCACAUGAAGGAUAAUAGUUGGGAUGAUAUUGCACCAUUGCUUAACAGCCUUGCAAAUCUUCAAAGUGUUUUGGUGCAAUGUGACGCCGAGUUUCAACUAUCCGAGCAAGUAAAAACUAUGUUAGUCGAAUGUGGUGGAAACAUUACAGAAUCAGGAAUUUCAAAGCAGCAGGUCUUCUCUAACUGGUGUCGGAAGAUACAAAGAAUUCUUCUAUACGUGACUUGUACAUAAAUGAAAACUGUAAAGAAACUUAUAAAUGUAAAUGAAAAAGAAUUGAUAUAUUUAAAUAAAACAAAUAGGAUCAGUAUAAAUAACGAGAAAUGAAAUUAAACUUUGUUUAUUUAGUCUUAAAGGAGUGAGGCUACGGUGCUUCUCAUGUUGAAACAAAAACAGAGACUACAAAGCAGAUAGCAAGGCAAAACACAUAACAAAUCAUCGAACUGCAGCUAUCUUUAUUUCAUAAUGUAAUAUUUUUUACGAGAAUUUCUAAAAGCAAUAUUAUAUGCUAAAAAGGGAAAAGAAUUGAAAAAAGUAACAACCAGAAAGAGAAUAAAAUAAACAGCUCAAGUAAAGCCAAGGAAGCACAAUGUAUAGAAACAAGUAAGAUAAACAUGAAUUUCUUAUCUGUAAGUUAUACUCAAAGAAAAACAUGGAACGGAAGAGAAAAAAUAAAUUGCAAUAAAGGGACACAAGGAUUAAUUCCAUACCUCAAGGAUCCUGCUGUUCUCAAAGAAGAUAAAUGAGCUACUAGAGAAGUCAAAUUACAAAUUUCUUUAGAAAUCUAAUGAGAGAAUUUUUCUUUGGUGCAGGCUCCUUUUCUAAGUCAUUUAAUUCACUACAUAUUAGAUACAGUUGUGUUCUUGACUACCAAUCCAUGACCGAAAGUCACAAAAAUUUCCACCUUGUCUCCUGAUCCUAAAUUUGACUUUAUGUCAUGCCAAUCUUCAUCAUUAAAGGAAAUUAAAGUGCCAUGGUUGUGUAUCUGACAUGUGCACUUUGUGUAAUUAACAAUUAACACACUUCUAAGACAUUCAGUUUCCAGGCUUUCAGGGGUUGAUGAAUAAACGACACACAAAGCCAUUCCCUUCACCUCAUGAUCUCGAGGUAUUGUGAAAGAAACAGAAUGUCCCUCACCCAUAUGGGUCAAACAAUAAGGAUCAUUGUCACCUGGGAGAGAAACAUCACACGACUCACUGCUUUCAAAUACCUGUAUCAUGUCAUAAACAAGGGCAUGUUUAGUUAAACAAAAAUGUUAUACUUGAUUAAAAUGUAUCAUAUGUAGUUUCUACUAGAUAUUUCAUUAGGAUUAUUCUAUUUUCUCUCAAAUAAUAGCUAAAAUGAUGACAAAGGUAAUAAACAAAGGGAAAGUUAGAGAAGAACCUUAGGUAUUCUAUCGAUCACAGUAUUGAAGGAUUCUUUGUAUCUUCCAACACCAGUCAGAGAAGACCUGAGAUCAUGCUUUGUAUUCUUGAUUUUGUAAUAUUUGCACCAUAUUCGACCAGUAUAGUUUUUACUUUCUCGGAUAGUUGAAACUCGGCCUCACAUUGCACCAAAACACUUCGAAUAUUUGCAAGGCUGGCAAGUAAUGGUGCAAUAUCAUCCCAACUAUCAUCCUCCAUAUCCAUGUAGGAAUGAAUAUAAGAUAAGGGAUUCAUUUUUGGCGACAUCCGAGACAGAAUGAUAGAAGGAAACAGAUUAUGUGACAAUCCCUCACAUUCACGCAGGGAUAUAUAUCCAAUGCUUUUUGAGUAUGCAAUUGAAAAAGGCACUUGUUUCACAACUGUAUUUUCAGCAAUUAGUGUUAUCAAAGAUUCCAUUUGCAAUAUAUCUUUUUCCAAUAUGUCAAUUUUUGGACAACCACAAAGAAUUAGAGUUUUUAAAGAUUUCAACAUAUAUAUCUCACUCGGGAGAUUGCUUAGACCUGUACAGUCCUUCAAAUUUAGCACUAUAAGAUAGCAUAGACUUCCAAUAGAUUGGUGUACUUCGUGCAAUCUUGGACAAUCUUUGAGAAUGAGCUGCUGAAGACUUGGUAGUCUAGAAAAGUCGGGGUUUCUAUCAAGUACUUGGAGUGACUAAGAUUAAGGACUUUUAGCCACGUCAAAAGCUUCAUGAAGACAGUUUUCAAUAAAAUAUUAGAGAAGAAAAUGAGAAAACGAAAUAGUUAUAAGUGGAAACAAAUACUAACUUAAAAAGAAAAUGGUACGUAAUAAAAACCUGGGGUUCUUUCCAAACACAUCGAAGAAGACUGUGUUGUAAGUCAAUCGCUACUGCAUCAUGCAGAUAAAAGUUGUUAGGUAGGCAUUCUGAAGAAAACCCUUGCAAUUGGAUCCAUGUCAGUUUCUUAGAAAGAUACUCAGAAUCUCCAGCUAGUAUCAGCAAUCUUGAUGGGUCUCUAACCUCUAAAGGAUAAGGUUUGAAGAAAUCUCUUCUACUAAAAAACAUUUUCCCAGGCGAUCUCUGAAUGACAUUUGUCCCCUGUGAUGAUAAGAGUAAGAAACAAAUAUAUUCCACAUGAGAAAGCAACCACUUCCAAAAGAAGUUUAAAAACCAUAGAUUAAGAAUGUUCUUACAGUAUUCUCUGACAGUACAUAUUCAAACCACAGUUCACUGUUCUCAGAUUCCUUUCCUGAAAUUUGACGAAUAAUUUCUCUUCCCAUUUCUCGUAGGAACGGAUGCAUUUCUAAUUUGUUGUUCUUAUUAACUUGUAUGAGGUUACGCUCUAUGAGAAGUCUUAUUCCACUAUCGGCGGCGUCUAUUCCACAGCCCUUUAGGAUCUUCAUAACUUUGGCUCUGCCCUUGCCAACAAAAGAAGAACAUACAUCAAGGAAUAAAUCUUUUUCCAUUAUUUGAUUGCGUAAACCGUCGAAGCUUAGUCUCAAUAUAUGAUAAAAUUCAAGCUUGGGAAUUUUCUCUAAUUUUAAGAAUAUUGUAUUCCAUUCUUCUUUCGUCCUUUCAUAUAAAUAACUUCCAAUGACUUCAAGAGCUAGAGGUAGUCCUCCGCAAACAGUAACUAGUGUUUUUGCAAGGUCAUUGUAUUCUUUUUUUGGUUUUGCUUCUCUAAAUGCGUGCCAACUAAGAAGCUCAAGGGACUCGUUUGCGUUCAUUGGAUCUAUGCGAAAAACAGAAUCAACUAUACUCUGUAGGUCUUCGUCUCUUGUUGUAAUGAUUAUUACAGUUCCAGCACCGAACCAUCCACGAUUUUUCCUUAGGUCUAAUAAUGGAUAGUACUCAUGGAUCAUAUCGUCAAGUACAAUGAGCAUCCUUUUCAGAGAAAGUCUUUCCCGAAUCAUACUUCUUCCCAUCUCAACACUACUUAUCUCCACCUUUGUUUUUAGGACAUCCGAAAGAAGUUGUUCUUGUAAAUGGACAUGCCCUCUUGUUUGACUAACUCGUGUCAUAUCUUCAAAGAAACUUUUUUCCAUGAAUGUACCGUGAAUUUGAUUGUAGAUGGCUUUGGCAAGGGUGGUUUUACCCGAUCCUCCCUUUCCACAUAUCUCUAUUGUAACAUCUUGGGUGGAUUUUUUUUUUUAUGGUUCGAAUCACAUCUUCCACACGGGAUUGUAAUCCAACUGGAAAUUCAGUAGCAGACAAGACUGGUAAAUUAAGAACGGUCUUAACAAUUUUGUCCACUAGUUCAGCAUCACUCCUUCAAGGUCAAUAACAAUUAUAGAACAAGUCAUGUAUUACAAAAGUUGAAGUACAAGCUUAGUGAAUGAGUGAUUUACCUGUAAUUGCUCUCAUCCCAUCCAAAGAAAUUUGCAGCUUUGGUGAGUGCGUGGCUCCACCUAGACAUACCAUGCUCCACUUGUUCUGCUGAAAACGUUUGGUGUGCAGUUGCUUUGAAGGCUUCACCAAAAUCACCCAUUUGAAGACGUACAUCAGAUGGCUGAAUUUCGUAAUAAACUGGCAGAACAUGCCGGCAAUAAGUUUCGUGCCAUUUGAUGAUUUGUUGAAGCUGAUGAAGACACCAAGCAGACUGAGAAUAGGAUUUGGUGAAAACAACAAUGGCUACACGAGAGAGAUUGAGAAUAGGUUGUUGGAUGUGAAUUGGGUUGAGUGCAUUGGGGUGGUGAAGCAAAGUGGUGAAGCCAAAGGCAGAGAGGGCAGAAUCGAGGUGAGAAACAAAUUUUCUUUGGAUGUCUUCUCCAUUAAAGUUUAUGAGAACAUCGUACAUCUGCGGGAGUUUGGACGAUGAAGACUCCAAUUCCAUGGAAGAAAUUGAUGACGUCAUGAAGUGUUAGAAGAGAAAGCAAGCAAUAAUGGAACACAGUCAAAAAAAGAUUAUCUGUAGAGACACAAAACCAUUCAAAGUAGCCAAAGAUUAAUGCAUUUUUUUUUAGUCGUGGAAGCGCGUGAAUCGCAGCACCCAUUUUACUUUAGCCACUUAAGAAGUUCGACCAAUCCACUCUGAACCACUGAAAAAAUAUUACACUAAUAAGUAUAUUAUUGUUCUAAUUAUAUUCUGUUUUUUUUUUUUUUACUUUAGGCACGUAUCUCUUUAAAUAUUAAAAGAAUAAAAAAUAAAGUUUUUUUCCACUUUACCUUGAUGUAUUUACACUAGUCGGUCAGAUGACAUUCGAUACUGGUGUUAUAUGAUCGUUUGGCCUCGAUCGGUACAUUUGCCUCCCAAGCUCAAGGGAAAUCUUUCCAGAAGAGUCUAGAUGUGCUCAUUUUGUCCUUCGAGGUUGGAGGGAACAAGGCUAAACGUUUGUCUUUGCAAAUUCGACGUUGAUGGAACACUUUUCAUGAUGUUUCUUAAAAGUGAGAAUUGUAAUUGCCCCAUGUGAAUAGAUCUGACGGUUCUACUAUGUUUCAAGUCGGUACGGUUAGACCCAUUAGAUGUGAGUAGAUCUAACGAUUCUGAGGGGUACGACACUUCACGUUCCCGUGGUAGGACAUCAAUAAAUAGUUGUUCCCUUCAUGUGUGUAUCUUUGUUAAUUCUCUUUGACUCCAAAUACCAAGUUAUAUUCCGAGUAUUGAAUUGUGGAGAGGUGUUUUACACUCUAUUCAAAAGGUUAGUGAUUUCUUCUUCUGAGUCUUCGUAUUUGUCUUCCUCUUCAUCUGGGGGGAUUUGGUCGUGAAGGGGAACGACUUGAAACGGUUGUUUAGCCCAAGUGGGGCUAUUGACCUUGAUGGAAGAGGGCCCAAGCUCACCACACUAUGAAAGCCAAAAGACUAAGACUAGCUUCACAAAGGAGCGUCUAGCCUCUCAAAGGAGCGUCUAGUCUUCCAAAUGGAGCGUCUAGCUUCACAAGGGAGCGUCUAGCCAUGGCUACAUAAGGAGCAUCUAUGAAGAAGUCCUAGACCGUCUAGCUUCACACACACAUGAGCCAAGCUACGGUUUAGGAAAAGAAGGCUUUGUUGCAUAAAGGCCCAUUAGGGGUACUUAGUAGAUAGGAUAGUGUAGAAAGCACUUUGUGAAGGAAACAUUCUAGAAACUAGGUUAGUGUGGCCGGUCAUUGCACAUGGCACAUGGCUUAGGUUUUACAUUUAAUUUUUGUUUUCUUUUCAUUAGAAAGUAGCUUACCUUUUACGUCCAAGAUGGCCUAUAAAUAGGAAGGCUAUCUCAUUGUAUUUGACAAGUUUAAUUGAGUAUUGUUAUGCUGCCAAUUUUGUGCACUAGCUUUACUUCUCCUAGAAAUCUAGGCUAUAAACUUCAAUCCUUCACCUUUCUCCCUUGAGCUGGCCGAACCUCUCAAACCCAUACUCAUCAUGCACCUUCAAAGCCAACACAACUCCUAGGAGGGCUUUGUUUCACUCACCCAUUGCUUCCGCAUCACUUUCACUACUUUGAUUCAAGAAGAACACAUGAAAAUGCCAUCAGACCUUCUAGCCGAUUGCCUCGUCGGGUUGGUUACGACUAGGUAGAUCCUUGUGUAGUCGAGCAUAUCACAUAGUACCGGGGCUUAUCCUUGGUCGACUCCUUCGUGUCAAAAGUGUCUAUGUUAAAGUCGGACACACCUUUAAACUUUGUUACAACCGACUGCUGCAACACCUCUAAAAGUGUUUGUCAUGGUUGGAAGGGACGAGUCAAGAGUUUAUUUAUGUUUAUUCUUGUCUUUUUGCCGACCUCCUGAUAACUUUUGACGAGUUUACAAUGGAGGCCUUAGGAUUCUCAACGUGGUUCUGACCCAAUUUUAUUGUAAUUUGUGGGACGCAUUGCAAGCCUUUCGAUUUAUUUGUGAUUUAUUUAGACUGAAGUCGUCCCCUUAGUCUUUUCUCUUUUAUUACAACUUCCAUUCGGCCAAUCCCUUGGGCUGGUUUUCUUUAUCUAGUCGACGGGGCAAUAUUUUUUUUUGCCCCUUUUACCUCAUCUUACAAAACUUUAAAGGUAGAUUUUUUAAAUUAUUCAUUGAACCGGAAGGGAAGCCGUAUUCUUAUAUUGUUGAUGGAAAACUAAAAUUUCCAUUUUAUGGACUCGGUUUCCCAUUUGGUAUGAGUCUUGGUCGAGGUCAUCUAUGACUCCCCUAGACAAAGAAAUUUUCUACGUUUUUGAUUAACUACUGAAGAGUCUACCUAGAAGAUUCUUGUGGUGUAUUAAUUCUCACACCGUUGGGUGAAAUUUUCCGGUAUGUAGAAAUUUCUUUGAGUCUUAUUUUCCUAAGAUUUUUAAUUGUGCUAAAUUUAAUUUUUUUCAUAGGUAUCAUGGAUGAAACAAAUCCCAUGGCUGGCAACAUGAUUAAGCAGCUCUGUCAGCAGGCUACAUAUUAACAGAAGAGCUCACUUGAGCUUGUAGCCAGGGGUUCGGCCACCCUUGUGAUUGACUUACUUCCUUUGUCUAGCGGUGAAGGUAGAACAGAAAGGUCCCUCAAGAGGUUCUCUCGCCAGGCAUCAUCGGGUGUUGGUGCUAGUUCUUUCUCUCUAUUUUAGAGAGAAUCUUCAAGUUUCAAGGGGAGUGCAGGUUGCACUUACCCCUUUCGAGGAGGAGGUAAUGAACUAUCAGCGUCGAUCAAAUAUAUGAUAUCAGUUUGCAUCGAGAUGUUGAGCGGGUCCCUAGUUCUGACUAGGGUGAUCAGAACCGAGGUGCAAAAGUCCUCCUUUGCUACGACUAAAAACUUAAAGGCAGAGUUAACUGACUUAACCAGCUCAUUGGAGGCGAAUACCUCUUUGGAAGAGGAGUCUCAUCGGGCGAAGGCUGAGCUAGAAAAUGCCUGAUCAUAAACUUCGAUAGUUCAAUUGACCAUCCAAUCAUUCGUCAUACUAAGUCAAGUUUAGCCAUAAUUUUCAUGAUAGGGUAAUCCGAUCAUACAAUUAUCUUGUGAUUUUAAAUCCUUAUUUGUCGGGAGAUGAUUACGAGUGCCAAGGCGAUAUUUUCUAUCAUAUGAUAUCUAGUCUCGACACCAUGUAAGAUUCAAUUAAUGAAGUACAUUGGCCAUUUUUCUUUAUUUACAUCUUGGACAAGUGCAUCAUUGAUGGCUUCGUCUCAUACCAACAAAUACAUAAUGAUUUUUUGUUGGGGAUCCAACUUUUGUAUUACCGGGGGUGGUGCGAGGAAUGUUUUGAGUUGAAGAAAUAUUUCUUAACAUUUCGGAUUCCACUUGAACUUGGCGGCCUUCCAGUAGCUGGACGAUAGGUUUGGUUUUCUAUGGAUGUCUCGGGAUAAAUCUGGACAACGCCGUUAACCAAUCGAUCAGUUUGUGCCCCUCUUUUAUAUUUAGGGGCUUUUGAUUGCUCUGCAUUUUUUAGAUUGGCUUCAAUGCCACAUUCGACCCCGAAGACACAUUUUUCGAGGUCUACCCUCAUUUCAUGACUUCUCAAUGCUUUAAAGACUUCUUGCAAGUCCUCUACAUGUUGUACAUAGGAGUUGGAUUUGACACAAUGUCAUCUACACAUACCUCGAUAUUCUAACCUAGCAUCCCCUUGAAGAGUGGCCCCAUGGUUUUUCAAACCCAAUGACAUGACUUCAUAGUAGAAGUUAGCAUAGUCAAUCAUAAAGUUUUUUUUCCUUGUCCCUUCGAUGCAUUUGAAUCUGAUUAUACCCUAAAUACGCAUAUAAGAAACUUAACACAUGGUGGUCGGUCGCACCAUCUACCAAGCGAUCAAUGCUCGACAACGAGUAAGCUUCCUUUGGGCAAGCUUUGUUCAUGUCUAUAUAGUCCGUGCACAUCCUCCACUACCCAUUUUCCUUCUUCACCAUCACCACAUUGGCCAACCAAGUGGUGUACUGUAAUUCACAUAUGAACCGUGCAUUUAGCAACUUGUUGGUCUCGUCUUUCGCCACGUUACAUUUUUUUCACCCAUUUUCCUCCUUUUCUAGGAAACUAGUCGGGCUUCCUCGUACAUUAAUAACCCGUGUCUAAUGAUUUUAGGGCUCACCCUAGGCAUGUCCGAUGGAGUCCAGGAAAAGAUAUCAUUAUUCUUUACCAGUGUUCGACUUAAGAUGUUAACAUCUUUUGCGGACAACAACAUUCGUACGUAAGUGGAGUGUUCAACAUCUCGAAAUGGGACAACCUUGAUGUCUUCCCUUGGUUCCAAUAGAACAUCAUUCAUCUGGGGAUCAAGGUCCACAAAGGUGAUUGUAUGCUCCCUCCUUAGAGCAUGGGUUCAGAGUCCAUCCUCCAUUUGUUGGUUCUACCUUUAUGCUAGUUGCAUAACACUUCCUUACCACCUUCUAGUACAUAUGCACCAUGGUCGAUGGGAACUUCUUGGCUAAAUGCUAAAACUAUAGAUCCAUAAUGGUUGAGAGAUGGUCUUCCUAACAAUGUGUUAUAAGAGGUAUUGCUUAAAAUGGUAGAAAUCUUAUCUUGAUAGUCCGACUCAUAUUUUUUCCCUCCCCGAGCGUGAUGUAGAGGUUGAUGUAACCCCGUGUGUCCACCCACUCUCCAAAAAAUCCAAUGAUUUGGGCAUCGUACAACUGAAUUUUCGCCUCCGUUAUCCUCAUCUUUUUGAAUGUUUUCUAGUAGAGUAUAUCUACCAAACUCCCUUGAUCAACCAAUAUUUUCAUGAUUGCAAAGUUGUCGAUGUCCACUGUGAUGACCAUAGAGUCAUCCUGUCCUAGAUCAAUUGUUUUGAAAUUCUUAUCUGUGAAGGUGAUGGGAGGCAUCCUCGGUCGAGUUGUAGCAGAAGCCUAGUUCACAGGUUGCAUGACAAAAAGGUGUUUCUUCUGGCGAAGCUUGAACAUACUCUUCCGUGGAGCCACCUACUAUUGUGUUAAUGACUUCUUUGUUACUUCAUUAUGUUGAUUCGUCCCUUCUUAGAGGUUACUCAUCUAAUGACGUUGUUCUUAGGGAUAGAAAUGCAUGAUGGGCCAUGUGGGCCGGCCCGCAACCCGCUAGUGAAAAGUGCGAGGCGGACUCAGUAAUUCAAUCCGCCGACCCGUUUAAGCCCACCCCAUAAAAACCGCAACCCACACGGGCCAACAGCGGGGUUGGACGGGUUGUCCCGCUAAUCAACACAAAAAAAAGGCAAAGUUGAGCACUUAUGUCAAACACAUAUGUUUGAAUACAUUCAAAAUAUAGAAAGAGAAGUAUGCCAAUAAUGUUUUUUCAAAUUAGACUGAACUAGUUGAACCAUCAUUUCUUUCUCCUUAUUUAUUGUGGGAGUAAGAUCAUAUUUUAUUUUUUAAGAUGACCAUACUGGUUGAACCAUUAAUUUUAAUUAUAUGUUUAUUCUAUAUUUUCUCAUAGGAUCUUAAUUUGCAAAUUUGAUUGGAAUGGAUGAGGAAUGUACUAACAUGCAUUCAAUGUUAUUGAAAUGAAAGAAUAUUGAUGUUUUUGAAUUGACUAUAUUUAAUGUAGUGGUGUAGUUGUUUGAUGUUAGGGUAUGUUUUGAAAUAGAAGAAUAUUGAUGCUUGAUGUUUUAUAUCACUAACAAGCAUAGGUUCAACUUUUUAAUAAAUUAUAAUCGAUAUAUAUUCAAUUUUUUUAUAAUUAUUGAAUUUAUUAUUCAAUUUUUUAGUAGCAAUGCAAAAAGUAGCAAAUAUUUUGAUUGAAUUCUUUUAUAUUCAAUUUUUCAGUAACCAACAUUUUUAUUGAAUUUCCUUAAAAAAAAUAUUGUACACGGGCUGGCUCACAAACCCGCAGGUUGACCCUUUUGCGGGAUGGGGUAGAGAAACCAACCCGCGUUAACUACGCAAGGCGGGCCAACUUGGCCCACAUUUUGCGGACGAAACACGACAGGCCUAUGUGGGGCGGGCCAACCGCAUUGCCAUUCCUAGUUGUUUUGGUUGCCUUUCUUCAUGACUUUAUUUGGGAUCAUAAUCCCUAUGCCCUUUAUCUCUUUUUUAUGACUCUUCAAGAUGUUGGGGCGAAUGGUUUGAACUACAGUUGUCUUCUUAAAGGAAUCUGCGCAAGUGUCUGGCCUGGAUAAGUUUCUCAAUCUUGCUUUUUUCCCUUCCAAUUAUUCCCUUUCCUUUUUUCCUUUUCCUUAUUUGCCCCAAUCAUGGUCCGAACUUGAUUCCAUUAGUCUCGAAGUUCUUUGCAUGAACUUUGUUGCUCGUUGUCGCAAUUCAUCCAUAUUAGACACCGACUUCUUGCAUAGGUGGUUAACAAAAGGUGUUAGCCGCAAUGUCGUUAUCAUAUGGUGCAUAGCCACCUCUGGAAUUAGAUUCCGUAUAUUUAGUGAUCUAUAGCUAAACCUCUCCAUGAACACCCUAAGUGGUUCUCCUUUAUCUUGACGUACUUUCACGAGUGUUAUGGAGGUUAGGUGAUGUGGUUGACUGGUUGCGCACUACAUCCCAAACUUGGACGUUAAGGUUUCAAAGUAAUCGAUGGAAUAUGGAGGAAGCGUUGUUAACCAGCUAGGGGCUCCUCCCUUGAGUGAUGUAGUGAACACUCGACAUAAGAAUGAAUCUUCGAAUGUAAACAAACUCAUAUCAGUAGUGUAGAUGUCCAUAUAUUCGCCCGGAUAUGUGGUUCUGUUCUACUGAUCCACAUUCAGUCCCUUCUAGGAAGAAGGUAGUUGCCUCCUUGAUCUCAUCAGUAAAAGGAUGUCUCCUAGGUUCACCCAUAGUGUCAAACGUGUGAACAGAUUUGUUUAAUAGUGUGAGCGAUAACAUACUUAAAGUUCUUCUCUACCUUUCCCUUUGUUUAUUACCUUCACUAUUAUUUUAGCUAUUAUUUGAGACAACAUAAAAUAAUCCUAAUCAAGUAUCUAGUAAAAACUACAAUACUGAACUUUUAGCACCCUUCGUUUCUAUAGCCUCACGACUUCAUAUCUAAAAGUAUCUGAUUUUAAUAAUUAACCAACCAAGUCAUUGUGCUUAUACUCUGUAGCAGAUUGAUGAUUGUUUUAUUCCCAAUGAUCGGAGAAAUAUACAUUAUGAGAGAAAAAAACAGAAAUGAAUUCUAAAUCCCUAAAGAAAUGAUGGUGAUAUAUACACAACAAAACUAUUAACAAGAUUUGUUUUAACCACGUAUAGCAUUUGUUUUAACAAGAUUUGUAGUUGGGAAUAUGGAGGAAGCGUUGUUAACCAGCUAGGGGCUCCUCCCUUGAGUGAUGUAGUGAACACUCGACAUAAGAAUGAAUCUUCGAAUGUAAACAAACUCAUAUCAGUAGUGUAGAUGUCCAUAUAUUCGCCCGGAUAUGUGGUUCUGUUCUACUGAUCCACAUUCAGUCCCUUCUAGGAAGAAGGUAGUUGCCUCCUUGAUCUCAUCAGUAAAAGGAUGUCUCCUAGGUUCACCCAUAGUGUCAAACGUGUGAACAAAUUGAUUGAGUUGUGACUCACCGUUUUGGCUUUUUUUCCUAGUUGGACGGGUCGUGGUUGACGAUUCCUCUGGGCUUUCCUUUUGUUGAGUACCCUCAGUCUCACUUGGUUGCUUCUCAGUUGACCUAUAUGUGACCAACUACUGCUUCUUCUCUUCGUUAUCCCUUUGGAGGACACGUAUCUCCUCCUCAUUCUUUUGUCUUAUCUCCACCAUCUCCUUUUGUGGAGAUAGAAGCAAUACCAUAUGCUCAGCUUCAAUCAUCCGCUCGUUAGUCAUGUUUCUUGUUGAUACCAUUUGCUUCUGUUACUUGUGCUACUCUCCCAGUCCCAUGGUAAACGCCAAUUGUACUUGUAAGGGGCUAAGACAGUACCUACUACCGACUGGACAACUGAUUCCUCUCCCUCGACCGCACUUUCCUUUCCGUCUUCUCACGUUUGGGCUCUGGCUCUGGGUGGGAGUGCACCUAGAAAAGGUUCUCCGAUGCUAAAAUGAAUAUUCAGGAUUUAGGUGCUAUUAAUGGUGUAAUAGUGAUGUAUCUUUGCUUUGUCUAAUGUGCUUAUUUAUACCGUUGUAAGAGACUCUAUCAUUGAUGGGUCGUAUUUAAUGUAUAAUCAUAAAGAUAGAAUUACCUGAUUUAUCACGUAUUCCUUUUUACCUUGAUGUUUUUACACUAGCCGGUUGUACGACAUUCGAUACCGAGUGUUUUAGGGUCGUCCAACCUCGACUGAUACAGGUUUGAUCCAUCAAGAAGAGGUACAAGUCAGGACCCUAAAUAUAAUCUUGUGGAUAUUCAAAUGAGUUCAAGAUACCAACCAUUUGAUCCAUUUAUUUUGGAACACAAUGUCUGACAAGUGUAUUAUGUCCUAUAUCCAACAUUUCGAGUAGACAAACAUGGUAGGUGUAUUGCAAUUAAAACAAAACCUAAGGUCACGUUGACUCAAAUGACAUGGAAGAAAACGUUCCUUACCAAGUAGAUCAAAUGUCACAUGCCAAUAAAGUCAUUAGAGUGGAAGGUAUAUUUUGAUUACAGAGGAAGAAGAGAAAGCAAGAAGUUGAUGAUGAUGAUGAUUGCGGAGGAGUAAGAAACAGGGUAAAAUAAAUGCUUGCGGCUAUUAUUAGAUGAUAUACAGGCAUCGUCUAUGACUUAUAUAUAUAUAUAUAUAUAUAUAUAUAUUAAAUUAUAUUUUUAAAUUAUACAUAAAACAAAUAGAAUCAGUGUAAAUAACGAGAAAUGAAAUCAAACUUUCUUUAAUUUAAUCUUUAAAUAAAGGGAUGAGGCUACGGUGCUUCUUAUGUUGAAACAAAAACAGAGGGUACAUAGCAUAUAGCAAGGCGAAACACAUAACAAAUUAUCGAACCGCAGCUACCUUUAUUUCAUAAUGCAAUAUUUUUUACGAGAAUUCCUGAAUGCAAUAUUAUAUGUUAAAAGGGAAAAGAAUUGACAAAAGUAACAACGAGAAAGCAAAUCCAAUAAACAGCUAGAGUAAAGGCAAGGAAGCACAAUGUGAGAAAUGAGAAACAGGGUAAAAUAAAUAUGAAUCUCGUAACUAUGAGCUCUACUCAAAAGAAAAACAAGGAAAGGAUCAGAACAAAUAAAUUGCAAUAAGGACACAAUGAUUAAUUCCAGAAGUCACAUUACAAUUUUCUUUAUAAAUCUAAUAAAGGAAUUUUUCUUUGGCACAAGCUCCUUUUCUAAGUCAUUUGAUUCACUACAUAUUAGAUAGACAGCUGUGUUCUUGACGACCAAUCCAUGACCAAAACUCACAAAAAUCUCCACCUUGUCUUCUGAUCCUAAAUUUGACAUUAUGCCAGGCCAAUCAUCAUCAUUAAAGGAAAUUAGUGUGCCAUGGUUGUGUAUCUGGCAUGUGCACUUCGUGUAAUUAACAAUUAAGACAGUACUAAGUUCAGGUUCAAUGAUUUCGGAGGUUGAUAAAUAAACCACACACAAAGCCAUUCCCUUCACGACACGAUCUUGUGGCACAGUGAAAGAAACAGAAUGUCCAUCACCCAUAUGGGCCAACCAAUAAGGAUCAUUGUCACCUGGGAGAGAAACAUCACAUGACUCACUGCUUCCAAAUACCUGUAUCAUGUCAUAAACAAGGGCAUGUUUGGUGAAACAAAAAUGCUAUACGUGAUUAAAACAAAUAUUGUUAAUAGUUUUGUUGUGUAUAUAUCACCAUCAUUUCUUUAGGGAUUUAGAAUUCAUUUCUGUUUCUUUCUCUCAUAGUGUAUAUUUCUCCGAUCAUUGGGAAUAAAACAAUCAUCAAUCUGCUACAGAGUAUAAGCACAAUGACUUGGUUGGUUAAUUAUUAAAAUCAGAUACUUUUAGAUAUGAAGUCGUGAGGCUAUAGAAACGAAGGGUGCUAAAAGUUUAGUAUUGUAGUUUUUACUAGAUACUUGAUUAGGAUUAUUUCAUGUUGUCUCAAAUAAUAACUAAAAUAAUGGUUAAGGUAAUAAACAAAGGGAAAGCUAGAGAAGAACUUUAAAGUAUGUUAUCGCUCACACUAUUGAAGAAUUUUUUGUAUCUUCCGACACCAGUGAGAGAAGACCUGAAAUCAUGCUUUGAAAUUCCUGAUUCGGUAAUAUUUCCACCAUAUUCUGCCAGUAUGGUUUUUACUUGCUCAGAUAGUUGAAACUCCGAGUCACAUUGCACCAAAAUACUCCGAAGAUUUGCAAGGCUCUUGAGCAAUGGUGCAAUAUCAUCCCAACUAUUAUCCUCCAUAUCCAUGAACGAAUUAAUAUAAGAUAGGGGAUUAAUUGUUGGCGGCAUCCGAGACCGAACUAUAGAAGGAAAAAGAUUAUGUGAUAAUCCCUCAGAUCGAGGUAGGGAUAAAUAUCCAAUGCUUUUUGAGCAUACAAUUGUAAAUGGCAGUUGUUUCACAGCAGUAUUUUCAGCGAUUAGAAUUCUCAAGGAUUCCAUUUGCACCAUAUCUUUUUCUAAUAUGUCAAUUUUUGAACAACCAGAAAGGAUGAGAGUUUUCAAAGAUUUCAAGUUACAUAUCUGUACGGGGAGAUUGCAUAGACUUGUACAGUCCUUCAAAUUUAGCAGCAUAAGAUUGCAGAGAUAUCCAAUAGAAGGGUGUACUUUGCGUAAUCUUGGGCAAUCUUUGAGAAUGAGCUGUUCAAGACUUGGUAGUCCGGAGAAGUCAGGGGUUUCUAUCAAGUACUUGGAGUGACUAAGAUUCAGGACUUUUAGAUACGCCAAAACCUUCAAGAAGAGUAUUAUAAAGAAAAUGAAAAAAUAAAAUAGUUAUAUGUGAAAACAAAUACUAUUUCUAUUUUAAGCAUGAGUUUUAAAAGAAAAUGGUACGUAAUAAAAACCUUGGGUUCUUUCCAGACGAACCGAAGAAAACUGUGUUUUAAAUCAAUCACUAUUGCAUCAUGCACAUAAAAGUCGUCAGGAAGGUAUUCCGAAGAAAACCCUUGCAAACUGAUCCAUCUCAGUUUCAGCGGUUCUCUUACCUCUACAGGAUAUUUUCUUGUGAGAGACAAUCUCUCAAUGACUUUUCUCUCCUGUGAUCAAAAGAGAUAAGAAAAACAAAUACAUUGCAAAUGACAAAGCAACCACUUCCAAAAGAAGUUUCAAAACCAUGGAGUAAGAAUGUUCUUACAGUAUUCUCUGACAGUGCAUGUUUUCCAUCGCUAUCAAGCCGCAGUGGACUGCUCUUCCCAUGUUCAAGAAUAAUUUCUCUUCUCAUUUCUCGUAGCAAAUUAUGCAUUCCAAAUUUGUUGUUUUUUUUAAUUUGUAUGAGGCUACGCUCUAUGAGAACUCUUAUUCCACUAUCAGCGUCUAUUCCACAGCCAUUUAGGAUCUUCGUAACAUAGCCUCUGUCUUUAUCAACAAAGAAACGACCUACAUCAAGAAAUAAAUCUUUUUCCAUUUGAUUACCUAAACGGUCGUAACUUAUUUUCAAUAUCUGCGGGACUUCAUGCGAGGGAAUAUUGUCUAAUCUCAACAAUACUCUAUUCCAUUCUUCUCUCGUCCUUUCAUACAAAUAACUUCCAAUGACUUCAAGAGCUAGAGGUAGUCCUCCACAAUAAGAAACUACUUUUUUUGCAAAGAAUUGGUAUUGUUCUUUUGGUUUUGCUUCUCUAAAUGCGUGCCAACUAAGAAGCUCAAGGGACUCAUUGGAAUUCAUUAGAUUUAUCUCAAAAACAGAAUCAGCAUGAUGUAACCUAGGUAGAUCUUCAUCCCUUGUUGUAAUGAUCAUUACACUUCCUUCACCGAACCAUGGACUGAUUUCCCAUAGGUCUAAUGGAUCAUACUUUUUCACAUCGUCAAGUACAACGAGCACCCUUUUCCCAUAAAGUCUUUCCCAAAUCAUACUUCUUCCCAUCUCAGCGCUACUUAUCUUCACCUUCGUUUUUAGGACAUCUGAAAGAAGUUGUUCUUGUAAAUGAACAAGCCCUCUUGUUUGACUAACUUCUGCAAUAUCUUCAAUGAAACUUUUCUUCGUGAAUGUACCAUGAAUUUGAUUAUAGAUGGCUUUGGCAAGGGUGGUUUUACCCGAUCCUCCCAUUCCACAUAUCACUAUCGUAAAAACUUGGGUGGAUUUUUUUUUUAUGGUUCGAAUCACAUCUUCCACACGGGAAUGUAAUCCAACUGGAAAUUUAGUAGCGGAUAAGACUGGUAAACUAAGAACGCUCUUAACAAUUUUUUCCACUAGUUCAGCAUCAUUCCUUCAAUACAAGAAGUCAUUUUUUAACAAAAUUGAAUCACAAGCUUAAAAUAUGGUUGAUUGAGUCAGUGAUUUACCUGUGAUUUCUCUCAUCCCAUCCAAAGAAAUUUGCAGCUUUGGUGAGUGCGUGGCUCCACCUGGACAUGCCAUGCUCCAGUUGUUGUCCUGAGAAUGUUUGUUCUGCAGUUGCUUUGAAGGCUUUUCCAAAAUCACCCUUUUGAAGACGUACAUCAGAUGGCUCAAUUUCGUAAUAAACAGGCAGAACGUGUCGGCAAUAAGUUUGGUGCCAUUUAAUGAUUUGUUGGAGUUGAUGAAGACACCAAGAAGAUUGAGAAUAGGAUUUGGUGAAAACAACAAUUGCUACAUGAGAGAGAUUGAGAAUAGGUUGUUGGAUGUGAAUUGGGUUGAGUGCAUUGGGGUGGUGAAGGAAAGUGGUGAAGCCAACAGCAGAGAGGGCAGAAUCGAGAUGAGAAACAAAUCUCCUUUGGAUGUCUUCUCCAUUAAAGUUGAUGAGCACAUCGUACAUCCGUGGAAGUUUGGAUGUUGAAGAAGCCAAUGCCAUGGAAGGAAUUGAUGAAGUCAAGAAGUGUUAGAAUAGAAUCAAUGAUCAAACACCCGUUAUGACCCGCACUGGGAAAAGAAUUGAAUUAGUGGUAGAAUGAAGAAUCAAAGAGAUUGAAGAUUGGAGAAUAUAUAACAGUAAAAGGUAAUGCAUGAUAGAGAAUUAGAUGCCUCAGUGAUUGAACGAAUCUGCGUAAGAAUAACGCUUAAUAGGGCAAAGAUUUUACUGCAAUGUGUGCAUCUAUAUAUAUAACUUUGGCAUGUGAACAUCUAACCAGGCAAACCACACCCAAGGAAGUAAGGAAGGCUGGUUAGUAUGUUGGCGGAAGUAAGGGGUGCAGGAAGGUAUAUGUCUUUUCUGCUGCAGUCACAUUCUGUAUUAGAAGGCACCAAUGCUGUCUUAUGUAUUUUUGCUGCAUAAUUGAUGCAGAAACGCUACAGUUCUGGUGCAUAAACGGUGCAAAUUUGUGGAGCCUAGACUUUGGUGUUUCUUGUCUAGCAGCUGUUUUGGCUUAGCUCUUUAGGUGCAGAUUUAUGCCUCUUGUUUUGUAGGAACACAAUUUAGCUUUAAGAUACAAUUGUGUUAUGUUAAUGCAAUUACCAAAGAAGCUUAGGCCUUUGUGCUUGUUAAUUCUUUGGAUUGUAUUUGUAAAGAUGAGUUUUUUUAAUAAGGAUUGAGAAGUGUCUCUUUUUAAUUUAUAUAGUUCUUCCUGAUAAAAAAAUAAUGAAGCAACACAGUCAAAUAGAUAAGUAGCCAGAGAUUAAUAUUAUUUCUAUAGUAUUGGAAGCGCGUUAAGACCAUUGAAGAACCCUUUUUACUUUAACAUUUAAGAAAUUAGACCAACACCCACUUUGAACUACAGAUAACACAAUUAAACUAAUAAGUAUGAAUAUCUUUCUAAUUAUAUAUUUUUUUAAUUUACAUUAAGUUUACUUUUAAUUUCAAAAACAUUAUAUGAUCUCUCGCAUUUUAUGUUAGGCACGUAUCUCGUUAAAUUUUAAAAGAAUAAAAUUAAAACAUUUUGGGUUCUGCAAAGAUCUCGAUUGGUGAUCUCAACCAUGUGUUAAUUUUUUCUUUAUUACUUUUUUCAUCAUAAUUAUUAUUAAUUAGAAACAAACUACUGUGGGAGGGAGUCAAACCAAAGUCUCUUUUGAACUCAAGAAGCUUCGAUCAUUAUACCAUAUAAAUUUUGUUGUCAUAUUAUAAUUAUUAUUACACUAAUUAUGAUUAUACUUGUUAUUAUAAUUAUCAAUAUUAUCAAUACUAACAUUAUUAAUAUGAUUUAUAUUACUUAUAUUUUUAUAUUAAUAAUGUUAUAAUAUUAUGAAUACUUACCAAUAUCAAUCCGUAGAUAAUAUUGAUGACUAUUUUACGGCAAGUGUACCAUAUCAUAAGUAAUAAUUUGUCUCUAAAGAUGGAUAUUGAACUCAUAAAGAAUAGUUGAAUUCUCAAGUAUAAUAUUCACUAAAUAUAAGAUAAUUUGUAAAAGUUUGAUGGAAAGUUGUUUGUAUUAUGAAUUUGCAAGAAAUUAAAUAAAGCAAAGUAAAAUAUUUGUAUGAGUCAAUUGAAAAAAUUGGGAUUGGGGUUCAUCCUUCUCACUCUUUAGUAUUUUUUAAAAGACUAUAAUAUUUAGUCUUGAUUGGUAUUAAUGCAUAUAUAAAAAUAAUUCAUAUCGAUUCCGUGCAUACAAAAUUAUUAAGAGAGUCUCCUAAAUAUUGAUUCUUCGCAUAUUUAUAAAAACUUCUUAUCAUUAUGGAUAGAUGUUAUAAAACAAUUAACAUUUCAAAUCUAUUCCUAGCACAAAAAUAUGUUAAUCACUAUCAUUUAGGUCAGAUGCUUAGUACUUUCUAAUCAAAUCUAGGAAUCAAAAUCAUGAAUAAUUCAAGCUUUGAGGAUAAAAUAAUAAUAACAAUCAUCAAUCAACAACUGAAAUAUUAUAGAUAAAUAUCAUCUCAAUACAUAAGAGUUUGAACAAAUUGCUCUCAAUCCCAAAGAGAAAAAUUAGUCACUUAUGUUAUCCAUUACAAGCGUGGAAAAAAAAAGAAAAGAAAAUCUAGGAUGUUUCUCCUAGACGGUUGUCUCCUCUAGGGUUGCCUAUCUCUCUUUAUUCUCUAAAUGAUGUAUAGGGUUAUGUUGAAGAUGGUUACUGCCCCUUCAAGAUUGUGUUUGAUGAAGGCUUAUAUGUAGUGUUUGAUGAAGACUUAUAUGUACAUUUCAUUUGUUUUUUGCUUUGCUUUAAGUAUGUCUUAGGUAGUGCUUAGAGGUUGUCUAAGAGUGGGCUUUUUGCUGAGUAACUCACCUCAUAACCACUGGCCAUGUGAUAAGAACAAGCAUAAGUUUUCUUAAACUGUUUUUCACAUGUUUUACAAAAAACACGUUUACUGCAUAAAAAUAAAUCUGUUCUUUUCUAAAUAAACAGAUUCAUUUUUUACACUGAUGCCUUGGCUUUGUCUUGUGAAAAUUAGAUUUUGUGCAUCAGGUAUUUUGACUAAGUCGUCUACCUUUCAAAACGACUGAGUUUUAAAUGGUUAAACUUUCUCUGUUUUCGUUUUGAAAAAUAAAUCUGUUCAUCUGUAAAUGAAUAGAUUCUUUUUGUCUCUGGUGCCAUGUCAAGCUUAAACGUUUUCAGUUUUAUCUCUGCACCAGAAUGGUUGACUAAGUCUCCUCACUUAACAGAUUCUCUAACUGCUUUUUGAAAAUAAAUCUGUUCAUUUUAUUUUCUAUCUGUUCAUUUUAUAACAGCUUUAACUGUUUUUCAAAUAUCUGUUAUAAGUUGGUUCUCUAUAAAAUGCAAACUUGUUUUCUGAGUUCAUUAUCAAUUCAUCAAUUCAUACAUUUGCAAAAACAAGUUUUGACAACAGAGAGUUAAGUGUUUACAAAGGAUUAGCAUUUGUUCUUCAAAGAUUUCGAAAAUCACAAAGUGCUUGUUCUUGGUUUGGUUCCAAAAGCUUGGUGUGAGGUGCANNNNNNNNNNNNNNNNNNNNNNNNNNNNNNNNNNNNNNNNNNNNNNNNNNNNNNNNNNNNNNNNNNNNNNNNNNNNNNNNNNNNNNNNNNNNNNNNNNNNNNNNNNNNNNNNNNNNNNNNNNNNNNNNNNNNNNNNNNNNNNNNNNNNNNNNNNNNNNNNNNNNNNNNNNNNNNNNNNNNNNNNNNNNNNNNNNNNNNNNNNNNNNNNNNNNNNNNNNNNNNNNNNNNNNNNNNNNNNNNNNNNNNNNNNNNNNNNNNNNNNNNNNNNNNNNNNNNNNNNNNNNNNNNNNNNNNNNNNNNNNNNNNNNNNNNNNNNNAAAUAAAUCUGUUCAAUUGAAAUAAAUCUGUUCUUUCUGGGCACUGUGCAUACUGUUCUUGAUUUCUGAAAAAGUUGUUUGAAUCUGAUAAGAACAUAUACAAUCUGCUAAAAGCCAUUGGAACACAGUGACUGUGAUAGGCUGCUCAAGAAACUGUCAAAGCUAUUAAUUGAACCUUAAACAAAUUGCUGAAAGUUGAAGCUUGCUGUUCUGUGAUUAAUUGUUCUUAAUUUCUGGAAAAUUGCUUGACAUAAAGAAGAACACUCAUAGUCUGUUAAAAGCCACUGGAACAGGUUGUUUGCAAAGGUCACUCAAUCAAUUAGCAUGCUAUCAAUUGAACCUUAAUCACUUGCUUGAAAUUGAAGUGUGCUGGUUUGUGUUUUACUGUUUUUUAAUCUGAUAACUGUGUGUGUGCAUCUGGAAAAUCUAUCUGCAUAGUCUAGUGAUUAACCUUGCUGUAUUAAAAGCGUUUCAAACAAAAACAGUGCUGAAAUAAAUCUGUUCAUUUUCACAUAAAUCGAUUUAUUUUCUGUAAAACUGGGUUAAACACUGUUUCUGCGAGAAAGUUUUAAAAGGUUAAUUCACCCCCCCUCUUGAACUUUGGCACUAUUAAACCCUACAGGUUAUACCUCACACCUUCUCUUUAACCUAGUUGGGCUUGGGCUAAGUGACAUCUCACCGAAGCGAGUUAUUACUUGCUUGAGCGAGUUCCUUUAGAGUGAUUUUUCCUUGGCGAGUUUGGGCGAGUUUUGAGCGAGUUUCCAAUGUUUUAACUUUUUCUUUUCAUCUUGUCCAUUCUCCUUUAACCCUUUCAUAUCCAUUUUACCAUAGAAUCCUGAAAUCUAUACAUAAUACAAGUAGAACGCACAAAAAAAAUGAAAAAGAUUUUAUAUACCACAAAUAGAAACUUGAGGUAACAUGCGUGGCCCACUAAAACACUCCACAUAGUGUUUUUUAAGCCUUUUCCUUCUCCUUUCUCAUCCCCACUUUGCGUUGUCCUCUCUCAUCCUCACUCUUUUGUUUUCCUCUCUCAUUCGCACUUUGAAACACUCUCUGAAACCUUAAUCUAUCAAUUUUUUUUCACAAGUUUGGCAACUGUGCACAUCUCGUAUACUAAAGAUGUUUUUUUCUAAUACUCCAUUAAACAUCUAUUUCAUUAAUUGGCUUGUACUUUUGAUAUUUGAAAUGGCAAUGGCGAUGGUAUUUCACUAUAUAUAGGGUGUUGUCUUCAACCAUUCAUUCAUUCAUUUCAUUUUUUUUCUUUUCAUUCUCCAAGGACUUGGUUACAGAAGCAUUACCACGUAAUCUUUGAACACCAUGCCUGUUACAAAUUUUUCUGUAUGGUGUUAUUAUGUUCCAGUAAUUUGUUCUCUAUUUUUCGUUUUUUUAUUCCCUUUCGCAAGACUCAAUGGUGUUUUCACUACAAGAAAAAAUGGUUUUAACCGAGGUUUAUUUUUACAUUAUCUAGGGUUAAAACCUUUACUAAGUCAUUUACCCAAGAUUGCAAAUUCCCCACUAAACCAUCCCAGGGAACGUGUUCCUCGAGGUUUUUUUUAAACCUCAGGAAAAUCCUUUCAGUACCCCUGUUAAUUACCAUGGGUUAACCUUCGUAAAAUACCAUGGGUUUCAAAACCUCUGUAAAAUACUAUGGGUAUCAAAAUAUUUGCAUGGGUUUAAAAACCUCUGUAAAAUACCAUGGUUUCAAUAACCACCGUAUAAUACCAUGAGCUUCAAAAUUUAUGUAAAAUGACUUGCCGUUUGAAAUAUCCUUCAACCCCAUUUCCACUAUCUCUAACGAUCCUUCUAACUUCUCUCUUCCACUGUAGACACAUUGCUCUCUGGCACAGACUCAAUGGCCGCUGACAACAGUCCUAGCUAGGAAUCACAAUUCAACCACACGUAUGUCUAUUAUAUCUAAGGAGAAGAAAUACUAAAUAAGUCACUUUCUUAUUCUCACUCCAAUAUUGCUUCUUCCAUCACCUUAUUACUGCCCCAACUUAGGUCACAAGCCCUGUUACCUAGCUCGACAACAACUGAUGUUUAUCACUACUUUAUAUAUCCUAAAUAAUUGGACUAUCUGUCAGAUGUGGGCUUUGGCUAAAGAUUGCAAGAACAUAUUGUGAAGAUAAAUUAACUUUAUUACUUCUCACUUUCACAGUGAAUUAAUUAUUAUAUGCAUUUUAAAUUAAGGCCUUAAUUUAAAAUAUUUCAAAAUUAUGAAAAAUUAAAUAUUAACAACUAUAACUAAAACUAGAACUGCACAUAAAAAUAUAUGUACAUCAAAAGCUAAAACAAAAUAAGUCAUGUUUUUUGAAGUAUGAGCUCGUAACAAAAGAAACUAGGAAUUAUAUAAACCAACUAUCAUAAAUGAUAAGAAAUAUUCAAAUAAUGUUGAACUACUUAUUAUCCAAUGUUAUUUUACUGAGAUUUUAGAAUAAACCUUGGAACUUAACGGAAGUGAAAAAAACCUCUGUUAAUAAAAUCAAUUCCCAGGGUUAUAUUAACCUUCGCUAUAUAACCUUCAUUAAAACCCUUUUUCUUGUAGUGUUUAAACCGUGUUUUCGUUUUUCCUCCGCACCUAAUGGUGUAAAACUGCAAUACGUUAUUAGUGUAAUAUUUGUCAUUUUUGGAGAUUUAUUUUGAUUUUCUCAUCUAAUUUCUGUUCAGUUUGUAAUCCAUAUUUUAACUCCAAUUUUGUAUGUUAUUCUUUGAGAUUUAUAUUGUUUGCAUCUGAUAUAGUGACUUAUUGAUCUCAAUUUUAUCACUUGGUAUUCGAGUUUUUUAAGGUCAUUUGUUCAUCUCAUUUUUGUUGAGUUUGUAUUCCAAUUGUUAACUCCAUUUUUUGAUCUUAUUGUUUGGAGAUGUAUUUUGGUUGCAUCUAUUACUCUGAUUUGAAGAUGAACCUUGCAUUUAGCAGCUUGUUGGUCUCGUCUUUCUCUGCAUUAUGUUUUUUCACCCAUUUUCCUUUUUUUAGGCAACUAGUCAGGCUUCCUCGUACACCGAUAACCUGUGUCUAAUGCCUUCGGGGCUCACCCCGGGCAUGUUCGAUGCGGUCCAGACAAGAAAUCAGUAUUCUUUACUAGUGUUUGGCUUAAAUGCUAACAUCUUUUGUAGACAACGAUGUUCCCAUCUUAGUGGAGUGUUCGACAUAUUGUAAUGGGACAACUUUGAUGUCUUCUGCUGGUUCAAAGCGAACGUCAUUCAUCCGGGGAUCAAGGUUCACAGAGGCGACAAUAUGCUCCCUCCUUGGAGCAAUGGGUUUGAAACUGUUUUCCAUUUGUUGGUUCUACCUUUAAGCUAGCCGCAUAACGCUCACUUACCACCUUCUAGUCCACAUGCACCAUGAUGAUAUCUCCAGAGGUCAAUGGGAACUUCAUGGUCAAAUGUGGUGUUGAAACUAUGGCUCCCUAAUGGUUGAGAGAUGGUCUUCCUAACAAUAUGUUAUAGAAGGUAUUGACUUGAACUAUACUUAUCUUGAGAUUCUUUCCCUCCCCGUACGUAGUGUAGAGAUCGGUGUAACCUCGUGUGUCCACCCAUUCUCCAUAAAAUCCCCUGAUUUUGGCAUCAUACAACUUGAUUUAUGCCUCUGUUAUCCUCAUCUUUUUUAAUGUUUUCUAGUAGAGUAUGUUUUCUAUUUUGGAAGGUCCCAGAAUAGAGAGAUAUUCUCGCUCAAGCGAGAAUGCUCCAAGACUGUUUCAGAAAUCGACGUCUUUCUCGCUCAAGCAAGAAUUCCUCGCUCGAGCGCAAAUGCAUCAGACAGAUUGGGCCUUUUUUAUGUUUUAUCACUUAGCCCAUCAGCGUGACACAGGAAGUUACCUAAUCCUAGUAAAUUAGGUUAAAUAGGGGGGCUAGAGGCACAACCCUUGUGUACCAAAUUGAGAGGAAAACACCAUAGAGUGAAUUGUAACCCAAUUGAGAGAAUGGAAGGUGCUAGAAGUAUGCAUGGCUAAUUCUACCCUUUGGGAUUGGGAGUAAUCUGCUUGAACUCUUAUGUAUUGAGGUGAUAUUUAUAUUAUAAUAUUCAGUUCUUUAUUGAUUAUUGGUAUUAUUGUUUUGUUUCUAAAUUUUUGUGACAAAUUGAGAAUCUUAAAUCUGACCGGAAAGUAUUUUUAGGUUUAUGACCUAAAAAAUAAUACUUAACAUAUUUGAGUGCUAGGAAUAGACUUGAAAUGUUAAUUUCCAUUAACAUCUAUGCUUGAUUCUAAGUUGUUCUUAUGCGAGGGAUCGAUAGUUAGGGAACAUUCUUAAGGAUUUUAUAUGCGAGGAAUCGAUAUAAAUGACUUUUAUACGAGCAUGAAUUUCAAUCAAAGAACUUAGUAUUAACAUGCUAAUCAAUAAAAUACAUGAGAGUGAGAGAGAUGAAACCUAAUCCCUAUUUUUCCAACUUAAAGCAACUAAUUCUUUGUCUUUUUUCGUAUUGAUCAUUGCCAACACAAUCACUUCAACACUUUUUUUAAUUGUUCUGUUUUAUAUUUAGCGAUUAUUGUACUCGAUAAUUCAUUGUUCCUUGUGGGAUCGAUAUCCAUCCUUAAGGACAAUUAUUAUUUCUAACAACGCAGUGCACUUGCCGUAGAAAGUCAACACUGCCCCCUUGAUCUAAUUAGAAAAAGGGUGUCUCCUAGGUCAAUCCAUAAUUUCAGACAUGUGAAUAGAUUGAUUGAGUUGCGACUCACUGUUCUGGCUUUUGUUCCUAGUCAAACGGGUCGUGGUUGACGGUUCCUCUGGUUUCUCCUUUUGUUGAGUACCUUCAGUCUCACUUGGUUGCUUCUCAUUUGAGUUACCUACGACCAACUGCCGCUUCAUCUCUUCGUUCUCCCUUUGGAAGAUUAUCUCGGCCAUCUCCCUUUUUAAGGGAUAAAAGCAAGACCACCUACUCAGCUUCAGUCAUCCUCUCGUUAGUCAUGUUUCUUAUUGACACCAUUUGCUUUUGUGACUUAUACUACUCUCUCGGCCCCACAGUAGGCGCCGUUUGUAUUUGUAAGGGGCUAAGACUGUACCUGCUAACGAAUGGACAACUGAUUCCUAUCGCUCGGUCACGCUCUCAUUCCUUUCCUUCUUCUCACGUUUGGGCUUUGGCUCUUGGCGAGAGUGCACUUGCAAAAGGUUCUCCGACUCUCAAGUGAGUAAUCGGUACUUAGGUGCUAUUAAUGUUGUAAUAGUAAAGUAUAUUUGCUUUGUCUAAUGUGCUUAUUUAUAUAAAUGUAAUGGACUCUAUCAAUGAUAGGUUGUAUCUAAUGUUUAUAAUCAUAAAAAUGAAAUUACCUGAUUUAUGAUGUAUUCCUUUUUACCUUGGUGUAUUUACAUUAGUCGGUUGGACGGCAUUUGAUAUCGGGUGUUAUAGGAUCGUCCAACCUCGACCGAUACAGGUUUGAUCCAUCAAGAAGAGAUACAGAAGUGGACCCUAAAUAUAAUAUUAUGGAUACUGAAAUGAGUUCAAGAUACCAACCAUAUGAUCCAUUUAUUUUGGCACACAAUGUCUGGCAAGUGUACUAUGUCCUAUAUCCAGCAUUUUGAGUAAACAAACAUGGUUGGUGUAUUACAAUUAAAACAAAGCCUAAAAGUCGCAUUGACUCAAACUACAUGAAGGAGAACGUUAUAAAUGUAAGAAAAAGUAAAUGAAAUAUUUUUAAAUAACGAGAAAUGAAAUCAAACUUUGUUUAAUUUAGUCUUAAAUAAAGGGAUGAAGCUAUGGUGCUUCUUAUGCUGAAACAAAAACAGAGACUGCAUAGCAUAUAGCAAGGCAAAUACAUAACAAAUUAUCGAACCACAGCUGUCUUUAUUUCAUAAUGCAAUAUUUUUUACGAGAAUUUCUGAAUGAAAUAUUAUAUGCUAAAAGGGAAAAGAAUUGACAAAAGUAACAACGAGAAAGCAAAUCCAAUAAACAGCUCCAGUAAAGCCAAGGAAGCACAAUGUGAUAAAUAAGAAACAGGGUAAAAUAAAUAUGAAUCUCGUAACUAUGAGCUCUACCCAAAGAAAAACAAGGAAAGGAUCAGAAAAAACGAAUUGCAAUAAGGACACCAGGAUUCAUUCCAUAACUCAAGGGAUCCGGCUGUUCUCACAUUACAAUUUUCUUUAUAAAUGUAAUAAAGGAAUUUUUCUUUGGCACAGGCUCCUUUUCUAAGUCAUUUGAUUCACUACAUAUUAGAUAGACAGCUGUUUUCUUGACUACCAAUCCAUUACCAAAACUCACAAAAAUCUCCACCUUGUCUUCUGAUCCUAAAUUUGACAUUAUGCCAGGCCAAUCAUCAUCAUUAAAGGAAAUUAGUGUGCCAUGGUUGUGUAUCUGGCAUGUGCACUUCGUGUAAUUAACAAUUAAGACAGUACUAAGUUCAGGUUCAAUGAUUUCGGAGGUUGAUAAAUAAACCACACACAAAGCCAUUCCCUUCACCACACGAUCUUGAGGCACAGUGAAAGAAACAGAAUGUCCCUCACCCAUAUGGGCCAACCAAUAAGGAUCAUUGUCACCUGGGAGAUAAGCAUCACAUAACUCACUGCUUGCAAAUACCUGUAUCAUGUGAUAAACAAGGACAUCUUUAGUUAAACAAAAAUGUUAUACAUGAUUAAAACAGAUCUGGUUAAUAGUUUUGUUGUGUAUAUAUCACUAUCAUGUCUUUAGGGUUUUAGAAUUCCUUUCUGGUUUUUGUCUCUCUUAGUUUAUAUUUCUACGAUCAUUGGGAAUAAAGCAAUCAUGAAGCUAGUAAAGCAAGAAAUGGAAAUCAAUUUGGUAGUACUUAGUAUAAGCCUAAUCACUUGGUUAGUUGAUUAUUAAAAUAAGAUACUUUUACAUGAUAGUGAAGGGAAGAUAGCUAAAAGUUCAGUAUUUUAGUUUUUACUCUAUACUUGAUUAGGAUUAUUUUCUGUUCUCUCAAAUAAUACCUAAAAUGAUGUUGAAGGUAAUACAAAAGGGAAAGCUAGAGAAGAACCUUAGGUAUGCUAUUUCGCACAGUAUUGAAGAAUUCAUUGUAUCUUCCAACACCAGUCAGAGAAUACCUGAGGUGAUGCUUUGAAGGUACUGAUUCUAUAAUAUUUUCACCAUAUUCAACCAGUACGGUUUUUAAUUGCUCAGAUAGUUGAAACUCGGCGUCACAUUGCACCAAAACACUUCGAAGAUUUGCGAGGCUGCUAAGCAAGGGUGCAAUAUCAUCCCAACUAUUAUCUUCCAUAUGCAUGAAGGAAUGAAUAUAAGAUAGGGGAUUCAUUGUUGGUGACAUCCGAGACCGAAUGAUAGACGGAAAAAGAUUAUGUGACAAUACCUCACACCCACUCAAGGAUAUAUAUCCAAUGCUUUUUGGGCUUACAAUUGUAAAAGGCAAUUGUUUCAUAAAUCUAUUUUCAGCAAUUAUAGUUAUGAAGGAUUUUAUUAGCACUAUAUCUUUUUCCAUUAAGGCAAUCAUCGAACAACCAGAUAGAAUCAGAGUUUUUAAGCAUUUCAGCUUAUAUAUCUCUCUGGGAAGAUUGCUUAGACUUGUACAAUCCUUCAAAUUUAGCAGUAUAAGAUUGCAGAGACAUGCAAUAGAAGAGUGUAUUUCACGCAAUCUUGGACAAUCUUUGAGAAUGAGCUGUUCAAGACUUGGUAGUCUCGAAAAGUCAGGGGUUUCUAUCAAGUGCUUGGAGUGACUAAGAUUAAGGACUUUUAGCCACGUCAAAACCUUCAAGAAAAAAGUUUUUGAUAAAAUAUUAGUGAAGAAAAUGAAAAAACGAAAUAGUUAUAAUUGGAAACAAAUAAUAAUUUUAAAAUAAAAUGACAAGUAAUAAAAACCUGGGGUUCUUUCCAAACGAAUCGAAGAAGACUGUGUUUUAAAUCAAUCACUGUUGCAUCAUGCAGAUAAAAGUCGUUAGGUAGGUAUUCUGAAGAAAACCCUCGCAAACUGAUCCAUCUCAAUUUCGCAGAAAGGUAUUCUGAAUCUGCAACCAGUUUCUGAAGUCUUGAUGAGUCUCUUACACCUACAAGAGGAGAAUCACUUCUGGAAGACCAUCCCUAAAUGAAUCUUGUCCCCGGUGAUGAAAAGAGCUAAGAGAAACAAAUAUAUUCCACAUAAGAAAGCAACCACUUCCAAAAGAAGUUUCAAAACCAUAGAUUAAGAAUGUUCUUACAGUUGCAUGCUUCAUAUCCUCAUCAAUAAUUUCACCAAUAAUAUUUCUUCCCAUUUCUCGUAGCAACGGAUGCAUUCCUAAUUUGUUGUUCUUAUUAACUCGUAUGAGACUACGCUCAAUCAAAACUCUUAUUCCACUAUCAGCGUCUAUUCCACAGCCGUUUAGGAUCUUCGUAACACAGGCUCUGCCUUUACCAACAAAGGAACAACAUAGAUCAAGGAAUAAAUCUUUUUCCAUUUGAUUGCAUAAACCGUCAAAGCUUAUUUUCAAUAUCUGAUCAAAUUUAAUAAACUCGGGAAUUUUCUUUAGUUUUAAGAGUACUCUAUUCCAUUCUUUUUUCGUCCUUUGAUAUAAAUAACUUCCAAUGACUUCAAGAGCUAGAGGUAGUCCUCCACAAUAAGCAACUACUCUUUCUGCGAGGAAAAGAUAAUCUUCUUUUGGUUUUGCUUCUCUAAAUGCGUGCCAACUAAGAAGCUCAAGGGACUCAUCUGUGUUCAUUAUUAGCUCUACCUGAAAAACAGAAUCAGUUCGAUAUAGCAUCGGUAGGUUUUUAGAUGCUGUUGUAAUGAUUAUUACACUUCCUCCUCUGAACCAAUGACUGCAUUUCCAUAGUAAUGUCGCAUGAAACGUAGGCAUAUCGUCAAGUACAAUGAGCACCCUUUUCCCAGAAAGUCUUUCCCGAAUCAUACGCCUUCCCAUCUCAAAGGUACCUAUCUCUACCUUUGCUUUUAGGACAUCUGAAAGGAUUUGUUCUAGUAAACCAAGAUUCCCUCUUAUUCUGCUAACUUGUCCAAUAUCUUCAAUGAAACUUUUCUCCGUGAAUGUACCGUGAAUUUGAUGGUAGAUAGCUGUAGCAAGGGUGGUUUUACCAGAUCCUUCCUCUCCACAUAUAGCUAUCCAACAAACUUCCGUGGAUUUAUUUUUGAUAGCUCGAAUCAGAUCCUCCAUGUGCGAUUGUAAGCCAACUGGAAAUUUAGUGGCAGACAAUAGUGGUAAAUUAAGAACGGUCUUAACAAUUUUGUCCACUAGUUCAGCAUCACUCCUUCAAGUUCAAUAGCAAUUAUGGAAUAAGUCAUGUCAUGUAUUACCAAAAUUAAAUGAGAAGCUUAAAAAUUAUGGUCACUGAGUGAGUGAUUUACCUGUAAUUGCUCUCAUCCCAUCCAAAGAAAUUUGCAGCUUUGGUGAGUGCGUGGCUCCAUUUGGACAUGGCAUGUUCCAGUUGUUGUCCUGAAAAUGUUUGGUGUGCAGUUUCUUUGAAGGCUUUUCCAAAAUCACCCUUCUGAAGACGUACAUCAGAUGGCUCAAUUUCGUAAUAAACUGGCAGAACAUUUCGACAAUAAGUUUCUUGCCAUCUAAUGAUUUGUUGAAGCUGUUGAAGACACCAAGCAGAUUGAGAAUAGGUUUUGGUGAAAACAACAAUUGCUACACGAGAGAGAUUGAGAAUAGGUUGUUCGAUGUGAAUUGGGUUGAGUGCAUUAGGGUGGUGAAGGAAAGUGGUGAAGCCAACAGUAGAGAGGACAGAAUCUAGAUGAGAGACAAAUUUCCUUUGGAUGUCUUCUCCAUUGAAGUUGAUGAGCACAUCAUACAUCGGUGAGAUUUUGGAUGUUGAAGAGGCCAAUUUCAUGGAAGGAAUUGAUGAAGUCAUGAACUGUUAGCAGAAGAGAAAUCAAUGAUGCAACACAGUCAAAUAAUAUGCAUAGACAUAACCGUUAAGGACCCCAAAGAUGAAUAAUACAUUUUUUUUAGUCAAAUAAUAUCACAGAACCCCUUUUACUUUAGCCUUUUAAAAAGUUAGACCAACGCACGCCAACUUUGAAUCACUGAAAAAAUAAAUAAUAUACUAAUUCCUAUGAAAUUUUCUCCAAUAUAUUCCUUUUUUUUUAUAUUAUGCGUCCAUUUUUUUAAGUUUUAAAAUAUAACACAAGCAUCUUUGUUUACAUUACCCAUUCACCUCGUUAACAUAAAUCAUUGUAACAAAAUAAAAGAAGUAUAAAUUAAUAUAAUUUGAAAAAAAUUACGACAGGUCAUUUUUUAUAAACAAGUAAAGGAAUUGUGUGUCUCUUUAUUAAAAUAUAAGAUUUAUUAAAAAUAUUAGUUAAAUGAAUGUCUGUUCGAAAAUUACAGAACUUAUAGUGUCAUUUUAUUAGAAAAAAUGUUUUAAUAUUAGAGGAAAUGUUCGCCUAUAACUUGGGAAAAAAAUACAUGUAAUUUUCUCUUUUAUUUACAAUACAGAUUGUAAAAAAAUAAUGAAAGUGAUAAAUUUAAUAUAAUUGUAUUUAUUACACUUUUUACACUAUAAAAUUGUAUCCUUAUAUCCUUAGUGAAAAAUCCAUUCUUGAUACCACUCUCUUCACCUUAAAAGCCAUUUCUCGCAUAUGAGGAGGGUUUCAAAAGUAUUUCAUUUUAAUCCAAACAACUUAAAUUGGGUCUCCAAACAUGGAAUAGGGUAAGUACUUUCUUGGAAACCUCAUACACACUCAUGUAAAGUAAGUCAAUUAAGUCAACUUUUUUUAUGUUGAACUCCUACGUAAAAAAAUAUGGUAAUAUUUUCGUAAAUAUUUCAAACAUGUUCAUGUUCAGAUGUUCUAGGGUCUCGUGUAAAUAUUCGUAUAUUUACGUCAGACUCUUAACUGUCUGACAUAAAGUUGUUUAAAUAAGAACACAAUGCAUCUUCUUCCUUGCAUUUUGAACGCACAUGAAUCCCUCUUCUUCUCUGGCGAAGGCGACUACAACGCGAGUCUACAUGUGGUCCAUCACAACCAAACACACAUGUUUUUUCCUCUAUUUUUUCCUUUGUUUAGUGUGUUACGCAACUUUAUCUUGUUGACGGUUUUGAUCAAGGUGUAGCAACUGUUUUCUCAUCUGCUGAACCUGCAGCAGGUCCAGUUUUCUUAGGACCGAGCCAGGUGCCUGAGAAGUUGCUGUAUUGCUUUGUGGUGUAGAGUGUAGAGCGUUAGUGGCUUGCUUGGUGGUCCCUAGAGUGCAGGUAGCAAGUUAUGCCUCUAUGUAGUAGUAGGUUUUGUUUGUUGGUUUGAACCUGGUUUUGGGAUUCUAAGGGCAGGGAAGGCUCCUUACAUAGCUUUUUUGGAACUAAGUGGUGUGUCUCUUAAUCUGCAAGUGGUGUGUCUCUUAAUCUGCAUAUAUUUGUAGGUAGCUUUAUUAGGAGUUCUUUGUAUACGGGUUAAGACACUCUUAAAGUGUUAUUUUUUAAUUAAUUCAUUGCUGAUAAAAAAAAUGACACGAGUCUGCACUUGUUGUUGGUCAUCUCUAAUUUCUACUUCCGUCUUUAUAUCUCAUUUGUGGCAGCAGACGUUUCUCUAUUGCAUUGGAGCAUUUGUGGUGAAUAUUUGUCAUUAAUGUUAGUUCUUUACAUUUUCAUUUUACUAUUGAAAUUGAAACUCUGGUUGUUUUUAGGAUCUCAAUCAUGAUAAUAUAUGAAUGUUUCCAUUAGAUUGUUGUUGGCUAUCGUUGAUAUUGAAAUUUUUGUUAAAUUAAAUGUGUUAUUUAGUUGUUUAAAUUUCAAAUCUUGAAAUUAAUGUUUGUGUAAUUUUGAAUAUUAUAAGAUGUUUAAAAUUGUAUUUUACACUUUAGAAAUAGUCAAAAUUAUAAGGACUAAUUAUAGAAAAUUUAUAACAUGUUUUGUAAUUAUAAGGAAAAAUGUAAUUUAGAUUGAUUGCAAAAGUAAGAUAUGCAUUGUAGUAUGUUUGAGUGAUAUAUUUUGUUUUUGUUGUAAUCAGCAUACACAAUAAAUAAAAAUAGUUCAUAAGUUAGAUUGUUUCAACUGCUUCAAAUGUUAUGAGUUACACGAAGGGUGCUACUCUUCCAUGAAUUGCCCAUCAACCACGGUCUUGCCCAGACCAAGCUUAGAGAAGUCCAUCUCAUGAUAAACACCUGAGGCUUGUGCAACAGCGUCCUCAAAGCCCACAGGAUAGUACGUAGCGUCGUUGGUGAAGGCCUCUUUCUCUUUAGCCACCUCCUCAUUUUUCCGCGUCAGUUCAUCUCCUUGAGCCUCUCCACCUCAGCCAAGAGCUUUGCUCUCUCCUCAAAUAAGCCUAAGGCCUCCUUGGAUUUCUCAGUCAGGAGGGCCUCUGCUUCCUGUUGCCUAGUGUUUUGACUGUUGGAGUUCCUCUUGGAGUUUCGCCGUCUCUUGUUGAAGUUCUCCUUAAAGGUUCUCCACUCAUUGAUGGAGCUUAGCAGCCUCCUGAGACUUCUUGUCAGCUGAUCCUCUCCAAUCUUUCAGCUUAGUGACAACCAAACAGCUUGCAACAAGAGCUUGCCUCAGUUGUCUCAUGGUCUCUUAAACAACACGGUCCUCCUCGAGGCGUAUAAGAUUCUCCUUCGCCUUGUUGGGCAGGAGAGCCUUCUCGAGAAAGGAGGGGACGUCCAGGCCUUGGUCCCAUAUCCCCUCUUCUUGGAAGCUCGUGCCCUUAUCUUCUCGCACCACUAUCAUGUCGCGUGGCGGGGUUGGGCUUGGCGGAGGGGCAUGGUUGGAAGGAGCGCACCCAUUUGAUUCGGAGUGCUCGGUAGGAGCAGCUGUUGUUUUCCUUCUCCUUUUGAAGAUUGGCCUAGAGAAGGUCUCCUCGUUGUCCUCAGUAAAGGUUGGAACUAUUAUAGCAGGAGCUUUAAGUAAGAGAUUUUGGGGCGCCUGGGCAGCCGCCCUCAUGCUCUUGGCCCUCUCUGCCAGAUCCUUCUUGUCAAUCCGGGCCAACAUGCUAUCUACGAAAGAGGGUAAGAGUAAAUUAGCAACAAUAUUAAAGUUAACACCAUCAAGAGUAGAGAAUGAAAAGUACUGAUGUAAGCUUAGCCCCCUCUGCGGAGAACUCUUUGCUUAUGAGAGUGGCAGUGUCGAAGACCACCUUUAAGCUUGAGAGGAACUGACAGACCUCCAGGUCACACUGGGGCAUGUCUUCCAGGUGUCGAACACCUUGGAAGCGUGACUUUUUGGUCCAAUACAGAGGAAACCCAUCCAGGAGAGUUUGAUCCCUCUUAUUGCAUCGUACCUUCAAGAAUUUGCCUUUAAAUCCCUUAUAGGAUUGUUGGAAAAGCGAUAGCAAUGCUCUCUCAACCACCCCAUUGAAAGAGACCCAGAGUUGGCAGCGUAGGUGUUUGGCCUCAAAGAAAUACAUAAAGACUUCCACAGAUGGUAAAAGGCCAAACUGCGUGCAAAGAAUGGAGAAACCCCAAACAAAAGCCCAACUAUUUGGAUGUAUCUAGGCAAGGGAAACAUUGAUCUCGGUAAGGAGCACUUUCUCAAAGUUGAACAGGGGAAGGCGAAGAAGGAUUCUUUUGAAUAAGGUGGCAUAGAAGUAGCAAAAGGGACCCUCAGGGUCCGAUGACUCUUCACAACAUAUGGGUUCAUCUUCUCUACAUGGGACUAACCUAAGGGCUAUAUCGUUUUCUCUGCCAAAAUGGAACUUAUUUUGGCACUUGUUUUUCCUAAGGGCCACUAUUUGGUCACGAGAGGUAUAUAUGGAAACUUCUUCUAAUAGGUUCUAGGGUGCCCAGGGGUAUAGAGCUUUGUAAUCCAUUGCAAGAGUAUCUAAAAAUACAAACACAAGCAAAUACAAACACACAUUCAGGCAAGGCAAACCACAUGCAACGAUGCCUUUUAGAUUCAAGCAAAGCAAUAUAACUAGUAGAAAUAGUGAUAAGCAUAAGCAGGAAAGAAUAAAUUCAGAACAGACCCAAAUUAGGCAAUAUGAUCGUAACAAAUGUUUCAAACAGAUAAUGAUGCAAAUACAGAGUAAUGAUUUGAACGAAAGGAAGUACCUUGUUUCAGGGAGCGAUUAAGGACGAGGAAGUUUCCUAGGUUUGUGAAGGAGACGUAGUGAAAAUGAGAAAGGCGUGAAGGGUUUGCAACCAAUAGGGAAAUGAAACAGUGAAUGGUAGGAGGGUUUUGAAAUGGCAAGUGACAACACCUUUCCAUCGUUGAUGAGGAUGCCAAGUGUGCGUCUAGGAUUAGGUGUGUGGUGGGAUGUCACCUCAGAAAUGCUUCGUGCGCUGUGCCACACCUGUCCGUUGCGAGACUGACACGUAAACCGCCAGAGCACGCGAAUAGUCUCUUUGCUUAGGCAAGCUCAGCUCAAGCCUGGAGGCCUUAUGUACUGGACAAAGCGCUCGAGGCUCAGUACUUUGUGGUCAGAUCUUGGUGCAUGACACAGGCAGGUCAACUCGGUUGUUGGGCCAGUAAAGUGGGCCAUGUGAUUGGGCCAUGUUUAGUUGGUAAACCCGUUGGGGCAUAAUUUAAUAUUUUAUACAGCCACUAAUAAAGGGUAUUUUUGAACCUAGGGGUACAUGUAGUACAUGUGAUGCCUAAAUCAAGUAAGUGUUUCUUUUAACUUAAGUAUGUAUGUUCUAGGGCACAUAGUAGUUAAGUUGCAUACAUGACAAAAGAUAACGUUGCACCAUGAGUAAGGUUUCCACCUAAGAGAAAUAUUCCCUUGAUGUUGGUGCAUGAGUUGGUGCCCUGCUAGCAGGUGAUUGUUCUGUUAUUAUUUUAUGCACUUCUUAGAGAUAAGAUUUCCUUCUAUUGCAGUACCUUGAGAGGGCGCCCCUAAACAGAAUGUUUUCCUAGUGAUUACGCUUUUAGUUGAGAUUAGAUUCUUGUGAGAGAAAAAUGUUACAAAAGAUAAGCUAUAAAAGGAGCUUGAGACCCCAAGUAAAGGUACGUUGUUUCUAAGACUAAAACUGAAUACUUCUUAAAUUUGAGUAAGCCCUUUACUGACUUGAUCGUCGGAGUUUAAUCAACAGGUAGGAUUCUCUUUAUUUCAAUGGAGUCGUGUUCCAGUAUAACACGACGUAGAACAAAUUCCAGAAGAGACAGACCCGAGCUAGAGCUUGUCACCAGAGUCAACCGACGACAAAGUCAACUAGCAAGAACAAUAAGCUUCGACGAUUUACGUAAUCAAAUAGAAAAAGAUUUAUUCCUUGAUGUGUUUUGUUUCUUUGAUGGUAAAAGCAGAGCCUAUGUUACCAAGAUCCUAAAUGGUUGUGGAGUAGACCCUGAUAGUUGAAUAAGAGUUUUCAUAAAGCGUAACCUCAUAAAAGUGAAAGAAAACAAAAAAUUUGGAAUGCAUCAUUUACGACGAGAAAUGGGAAGAGAAAUUAUUCGUGAAAUUUCAAGAAAGGAAUCUGGAAAGAAAAGUCGACUGAGACUGGAUGAGGAUCUAAAACAUGCAUUGUCAUAUAGUACUGUAAGAACAUUCUUAAUUUAUAGUUUUGAAACUUCUUUUGGAAGUGGUUGAUUUCUCAUGUGCAAUACAAUUGUUUUUCUUAGCUCUUUUCAUCACCGGAUAAAAAAGUCAUUCAGAGAUUGCCCACCGAAAGACAUUUCUUUGAACGUAAUCCUUUAGAAAGAGACCCAUCAGGACUGCUAACACUUUUUGCAGAUUUUGAGGACCAUUCUAAGAAACGGAAAUGGAUCAGUUUGCAAGGGUUUCCUUCAGAAUACCUACCUAACGACUUUUAUGUGCAUGAUGCAAUAGCCAUUGAUUUAUAAUACUCUCUUCUUCGAUUUGUUAACAGAUUUAACCAAUUUUGUUAUGUUUUCAAAAAAUCAAUCGAUUGAAAGUGUGAAUCAAUCGAUGAAAAUGGCUUUGAUUGUGAGGUCAACCAAUUUCAAGUUUUUCAAAUGCUUUCCAAAACUACCAAGUGUAAAACAACCGAUUGAAACGACAAAUCAACAAGUUGUUUUUUCACUUGCUUUGAAAAACACUUCUUCUUUAUAGAUCAUGAUUGAUUUAGUUUUGGAUCAAGUUAAGAGUGGAUUGAAAAAUUCUAAUCUACCCAAAACCCAUGCCCACAAGCAACAACCUAGUCCUCAAGCAAACUUCAUAGAUUUGGAGACAUCAAAGCUUCAUGUUCAACAAUCUCCCCCUAUUUGAUGAAGAGAAAUCCUUGGUUUUCUUGGGAUGUUCUGUUUGAGUUUGACAAUAUCUGCUAAACACAAAAUUUUCAAAUACAAGAGGUAAUCCCUUCCAGAUUUCAUCAACACCAAAGAACCAUUUUUCACUUAGUGAUUUCCAUAAGGGAAACAAAAUCAGUGUGAAAAGAUAGUUAAAGAGAGGUGCAAAUCAGAAUUUUAUGCAACAGAGGUUUAUGCAGUAGUUUUAAUCAAAGUAAGCAACAUAUAAACCAAGUUAAAACAAAAUUUAAGCACACAAUACAAACAUACAAACCACAAAAACUUCUCCCCCUAUUUUUCUUCACAAAUAGACUUAAAGGAGAGAUAAAAAUAACACUUAAAAUAGAGUUUGUAAGUCAAGAAUUCCUAACUCAUUUCUGAGAAAGAAAAACUUGUCCUUUGACAAAAGUUUAGUAAAAAAAAUCUUCCAAUUGCCUUUCCGUUGCACUGAACUUCACCUCACAGUCUCCAUUACUCACAUGAUCUCUAAUGAAAUUGUGUCAGAUCUCAAUAUGUUUUGUCCUAGAGUGCUGAACUUGAUUUUUUGUGAGAUUGAUGGCACUUGUGUUGUCACAUAGUAGGGGUACUUUGCUGACUUUUAAUCUAAAGUCUUCAAGCUGUUGUUUAAUCCACAAAAUCUGAGCACAACAGAUUCCUACAACAAUGUAUGUGAUGAAAAUAUAUUUAUUAACCCACAAUAGCAUUAAUCAUAGAUUAUUGGACUAUAAUAAUAAAUAAAUCCAUUUUUUUAAUUAAUAUUAAUAUAAUUGGGUUUAUUUGGGCCUUAACUAUUAUCUUUGGUAAUUUUGUGUUUUUAGGGUAAAUGAUCUAAAGCAUCUACCUUUAUGAAUGGGCCAAACAUGCAAAAGUCCAAGUUGCUUCUUUGAAUCAAAACAGAAAACAAAUUCUGAGGAGAAGAAAGAGAAAAUAAAAGCUACAAGAUCCCAGAAACAGAAUUGGAAGCAAAUCUUCUGCAAUAAUAAAAAGAAUUAUGGAAAGUGGAAAUUGUUUACAAAAUCUAAACUGCAAUAUUUUCCCAAGAUCCUUGGAGCAGAAAAGCCUAUAAAAGAACACAAGCAUCAAGGAGAAAAGAGAGAGUUUCAUAGGGUUUUCUUAGUUUAUUUUCUUCUUAGUAAUUCUUUUGUUUUGCCUCCGCAUGGAAGGCUAAACCUUUUUGGUUGAUUCCUUUGUAAUUUCCCAUUGAGUUAUGAGGUUUUGUUCAAUAAAAGUUUCGAUUUUUAAUUCUCUAUAGCAGUUGUUUUUAUUGUCUAAUNNNNNNNNNNNNNNNNNNNNNNNNNNNNNNNNNNNNNNNNNNNNNNNNNNNNNNNNNNNNNNNNNNNNNNNNNNNNNNNNNNNNNNNNNNNNNNNNNNNNGGAAAACUAGAUUUUGUGAGAGGUUGUACUUGAACGCAUGAUUGAGAGUCUUCCUUGUCUUAAACUUUGGUUUCUUAGUUAGUUCACAUCGUUCUAAUUAAUUUCAUGGGCGCAUGAUUCAAGAGAGAGGAGGUAAGCAUUCCCAUGGAGUAUACGCAUGGAACAAAGUGAGUAUUGAUUAAACCAGUAGACGCAUGUUUUACUGGUGAGUUUCAGUUGAAUUAGAUUGGCGCAUGUUCAAUCUGGUUUAACUCUGUUGGAGGAUUGAGAAAAGAUUAAUCUUUAGAGAACCUGUGAAGAAUUCAAUGGUGGAAGAACUUAGGGAUCAAUUUCUUUUUAUUUUCUAUUUCAAUCUCUUUUAUAUUUUCUGCAUAACUAUCUUAACCCCCUUUUUAUUAUUAUUGUUAUUACUAACUUUUCAUUACUUGUAGAUAGAUUUUGAAUUCGGUUAACUGAAUCACUAUUGGAUUCGUUGGGAGACGACUUGGGGUCAUCUGACCACAAUUAUACUAUCAUCUCUCUAGUGUUAGACAAGUCUACGCUAGAUUCAUAUUAAUUUGACAGCAAAACGGCAGCUAUCAGUAUGUUACUUAAGUAGUGAAGAGUGUUACGCAGGCUUGCUUCUUGCUAUGCCAAGAGAUAAGGCUGGAGCCAAGACAAGUUCCACUUGUGCUUUUCCUAUCUAGUUUGCAUCCUGCAAAAUUCGAAUCAGAGUAUCCAACUAAAUGUACAGGAGAAUGAGAGGGAUACCAUAACUGAUAAGUGCCAAUGUGUAGUUUUUAUGAUUGAGAAAAUUGAACACUUUGGAACUUAAUUGUUGCUUAAUGUAAGAAAAUUACCCUAAUCUGAGAAUUAUUGAAUCUGAUUAUAUAUUUUUGAACCAAGAAACAAAUGAAGAAAUUUAAUCUCAAUUUUUGUGUAAAUUGCAGAUGAAUAUGAAGCAUUGAAAGAAUUAUUCAAGCUGGCUUUGAAAGAAAAAAAAAAGUAAAAACUUAAUUGGAUCACAAGAAGAUUUAGCUCAAGCUAGAGGAUUUAGCUCAAGCUAAAACUAUCCAGAAUUGAUUAAAGGUGCAGUAGAAUUCUAGCCCAGGCUAGAAUUGCUAGCUCAAGCUAAAACUGUCCAGAGCUGAUUAAAGGUGCAGUACUGAUCUAGCUCAGGCUAGAAUCGCUAGCUCAAGCUAAAAAUGCACCGAAAGAUCUAGCUCAAGCUAAAACGGGCUAGCUUGAGCUAAAAUUGAUUAUAUAAAUUCUGAAACAUAACUCAAAACGAGCGGUGGAAAACAGAUUAGGUUUUUUAGAAAGAGACUAGUGAGAGAAAGAGAAGAAACCUCUGUUCUUAGGAAAAGAACUUGCUCAAAUAAGCCCUUCUUAUGCAAUCCAGAUCAAGAAUGAAGAUUGGAGGAGCUGUCAUGAGUGGCUAAGUUCUUUCUAACUUGGGAUUGAAUGUAAUUUAUCUUGAUCAAAUGUAUUCUUGGUGAUAUAUAUAUAAAAUUCUCUUUUCUACUUGUUCUUGGUAUUUUCGUUUUAUGCUUAUUGCUUGAUUCUGUCUGAUCAAUAAAGUCUUGAUUUUGAUCCUUAAAUUUAACUGGAAAGUACCUUUAAGGAUCUGAAAUAAACGAAAAUACUUGAUAACUUGUAAUGCUAGGAAUAGAUUCCAGGUUAUUGAUUGCAUUAUAAUUCUGUUCCUAAAGCUGGAUGAUUUGUUAAAUAUCUGAGGAAUCAGUGUUUGAGAAAUUAUCUUAUGAAUUUCAUCUGUGAGGAAUCAAGAUGAAUGACUUUAAAUUAAGCAUCAAGAAUAAAUAGUUUUGAGUAUUAUAUAUUGUAUUAUUCAAAAUACAGAUGAUUGAGAUAAACGCAAUUCAAUCCCAAGUAUCUUUCUCUAUAUUUGAUAAGUUGGUUUUGUUACAUCCAGAAUCAAACCCUAAAUCUUUGAGUUCUUGUGAAAUCUUUAAUUUGGUUAUGAACAAAGUCUCAAAAUUAUUUUCUAUACUUAAUGAGUUUUAAAACAGAACAUCUUAAUUAGAAUUGUUCCCUGUGGGUUCGACAUUCGUACUUUAAAGAGUACUAUAUUACAGUUGAUUCGGUACACUUGCCGAGAAAGAUCAACAAGUUUUGGCGCCGUUGCCGGGGAACAAUUUCUUUUAAGAAUUUCUGAAGUAUAACUCAUUGAGUAUUGUGAAUAUUCUGUUUUCUUUGUGAAUAUACAUUGGUUUAUAUCUUAUUCUUUUAUCCUGUGCUAAUCCUUGCUUAAGUUGUCUUAGAUACAUGUUAUUGAGAGGACAGGUUCCUGAAGAUCAAUUGGAAUUUGAUCCAGAAAUUGAGAAGACAGCUAGAAAAAAUCAGACAAGAAGAGAAAAGAAAAGAAGAAGCAAGGACAAGCAAAAGGAGAAUCUUCCANNNNNNNNNNNNNNNNNNNNNNNNNNNNNNNNNNNNNNNNNNNNNNNNNNNNNNNNNNNNNNNNNNNNNNNNNNNNNNNNNNNNNNNNNNNNNNNNNNNNNNNNNNNNNNNNNNNNNNNNNNNNNNNNNNNNCCACCAAAUCAUUAGAAAUGAAGCCAGCUUUUCUUAGCUUAAUCAGCACUCAUCAAUUCACUGGAAUGGAUCAUGAAGACCCUUAUACUCAUCUAUCCACAUUCUAUGAGUUGGUUGGGACCAUGGGCUUCGAGGAAAAUGAUAUUGAAUCUGUUUAUCUGCGUCUAUUUCCUUUCUCACUUGCAGGCAAAGCAAAAGAAUGGUUAAAGUCGCAUCCAAACCAGAGUCUAAGUAGCUGGAAUGAUGUAGAAGAGAAAUUCCUACACAGAUUCUUCCCACUCUCUCGGUAUAUCAAGGCUAAGUUUGAUAUCUCUAUAUUCGGGCAAGGGCCAGAAGAACCUUUUUGUGAAGCUUGGGAACGCUUUAAAGUGAUGUUAAGAAGAUGUCCUAAUCAUGGCUUUGGGGAUAUUGCUCAGUUGAACAUAUUCCACAAUGGUUUGAGGCCUGAUACUAAAAUGAUCNNNNNNNNNNNNNNNNNNNNNNNNNNNNNNNNNNNNNNNNNNNNNNNNNNNNNNNNNNNNNNNNNNNNNNNNNNNNNNNNNNNNNNNNNNNNNNNNNNNNNNNNNNNNNNNNNNNNNNNNNNNNNNNNNAUCUUAGUACUUUAGAUGCAAUUUUAGCACAAAACAAGAUUUUGACUCAGCAAAUUGAGGCAUUAACCAAGCAAAUGUCAAAACUGCCUCAACAAUUACAUGCAGUAAAUUCUCCUUCAAUUCAGAAUCAAGCUUUGAAGUGUGAUUUUUGUGGGGGAGAUCAUCUCAAUGGCCAAUGCUCUUACCAAAAUCCAUCAGAGGAAGAGGUUCACUAUAUGAAUAAUCAAGGAAGGCAAGGUGGCUUUGCAUAUAAUUAUCCAAAUAACAUGACUCAAGGAUGGAGGAACAAUCCAAAUCAAGGAUUUGGGUGGAAGCAAGAGGCUGGAUCAUCCAACAGACAAGCUCCAAUUCCUUAUCAACAGUAACCACAUUAUCCUUCCAUUCAUGAGAGAACAUAAAAAUUGGAAGAUACUUUUGAGAAGUUCAUGCAAGCCUCUCUAUUCAAUCAAAAAAAUACUGAAGCAUCAAUAAGGAAUUUAGAAACACAGGUGGGGCAGUUGGCUAAACAGUUAGCUGAUAAUCAAGGAAGUCAAUUUUCAGCCAAUACACAAACCAAUCCCAAGGAGCAUUGCAAUUCUAUCACUACCAGAAGUGGGAUAGUUAUAGGAAAAGGAAUUGGGAAAAACUUAGUUGUUGGGGAGGAGGUUUUAAAAGAUAAAGAGAGUGAAAAAGAAUAGAUUGAGUGUGAGGGAGAAGAAAGAAGAAAUAAGGAAGAUGUUGUAGAUAUUGAUGAGAAAAUAGAAAAAAAUGAAAAACAAGAGAGGAGUGUUCCUAUAAAAGAUGUACCUUAUCCACAUGCUCCUACAAAGAAAUGCAAAGAAAGGCAAUUUGCAAGAUUUAUGAAUAUUCUCAAAAGAUUGCAAAUUAACAUUCCUUUUACUGAAGUUUUAAAGCAGAUGCCUACAUAUGCUAAAUUCAUGAAGGAAUUAUUGACAAAGAAAAGAAAGUUCAAUGACCAGGAAAUAGUUGAAUUGGAAGCUGGAUGCAGUGCUAUAAUCCAAAAAUCAUUACCACAGAAAUCCAGAGAUCCUGGGAGUUUCACUUUGCCAGUUACCAUAGGAAAUCUAACUGUUAGAAAGGCAUUAUUGGAUCUUGGAGCUAGUAUUAAUUUGAUGCCUUUAUCAAUGCUGAAGAAAAUUGGAGAUGUAGAAGUGAAACCAGCAAGAAUGACUUUGCAGUUGGCUGAUAGAUCAAUCAAAUAUCCACAUGGAAUAGUUGAAGAUUUAUUGGUAAAGGUAGAUAAAUUUCUAUUCCCAGUAGAUUUUGUUGUAAUGGAUAUUGAAGAAGAUGUUGAAGUACCUUUGAUAUUGGGAAGACCAUUCAUGAAAACUGCCAAAGUUAUAAUUGAUGUAAACAAAGGAAAAUUGAAGGUUUGUGUUCUAGAUGACAAAGUAAGCUUUAAUGUUUUUGAAGCAAAGAAAUAUUCAAAUGAUCAUAAAGAGUGUUUCAGAGUGGAUAUGAAUGUUGUUGAACCUUCAAUGAUGUUAAUCAGGCGUCAAGCUAUAUGACGUUAAACGAGCGCUUGCUGGGAGGCAACCCAGUGUUUUGUUCUGAAAUGUGUCUUUAAUUUUUGUUUUGAAAUGUGUCUUUAAUUUUUGUUUUGAUUUAGUAGUAUGUUUUAAUAUUUGAUGUCUUUAAAACCAGUUUGAUAUGUGAAAUGGUCAUGUAGGUUUGAAAUGUUAGGUGAAAUGAAUGGAUGGAAGAAGGCUUAGAAAGGUUUGAAACUUUUGGCAAAGACAAAAUGAAAAUUUUCAAGAAAAUUUCAUUGCAGGGUAAUUUUAGCUUAAGCUAGAACUUUUAGCCUAAGCUAGUUAUGCAGAAAAAGAAGAAAAAAAUUUGUUAUGCAGCUUUCGCUUAAGCUAAAAUGAGCUAGCUUGAGCUAGAAAACUCUGUUGCUCUCUGCCAAAUUUUAGCUUAAGCUAAAAAGAGCUAGCUUGAGCUAGAAAACUUUGUUGCUCUCUGCCAAACUUUAGCUUAAGCUAAAACGAGCUAGCUUGAGCUAGAGCAAAUUUGUUGCUCUCUGCCCAAUUUUAGCCUGAGCUAAGAAGCUCUAGCCUAAGCUAGUGAGAUUUCUAAAAAAAAAAAAAAAAAACUGCAGCAUUUUAUAAAAAUCACAUUUUGAAAACCCUGCAACCUAACUCAAUUUCAGAAGCACCCUCUGUUCUAAAAAAAUCCCAAAGCUUCCAACUACAUAAUCAUUCUCAAACAAACAUUUCAUCUACAUUGCCAUUAUCAAGGUAAGUAAUUACUCAUCUCCAUAAUCAUUUUCAUUGUCAUUUCCAUUUCACAGUCCAGACAUGCGUGUUUCUAUUUCCAUUUCACAGUUUCGUUUUUUAAAUUGAAAGAUUCAAUCUUUUUGAAAUUUCAAUGUCUUGAUGUAAAAUAGGAUUGUGGAAUGGGAUAAUCAAAGUUAAGUACGGUUUCCAUGGAUUAAAUACCAAAACAAAAAUUACUCAUUCAAUGUCAUUCUACAUCAUGCAUACCAAGUGUUUGUUAAAAUGUCAAUCAAAUAGAACACUUUGGUUUGAGAAAUGUUUAUUCUUACAUAUGCAGAAAAAUGAGUCACACCAAAUCCACAACUGGUAUUAAAUAAUCCGUCGUUGACACGCACUGAAUUUCAUGAUUAGCUAUCUUGGCCUAGGGACAUGCACAGUUUUUCAGGGGAGGCAAGAGAAUUUGGAGUUGGGACUAGAGUUGAAGGUACACCAGAAAUGGCAGCUGGACCAUCUGGAGCAGCAGAAGAUGAAGAUCCAAACCAAGUUCAGAAUGAUGAUGUUGGCACGGAGCGGAACAAAGUCAUAAAAGGAGAUUGAUACUUCUCAUGCACAAUGAACAGAAAACUGGUUUUAUCUUUUUGUUUAACUUUACUUUCAGUUUAAUUUAGUAAGUUGACUUUAGUAGUUUGGUUUCAUAAUUCUUACUUUAGAUUUUGUUGAUGACAAGCUUAAGUUAGUAUAAUGGUUGAUGUUUGCAUAUUUUGUGAAGUGAAAUCUUGUAUAUAGAUAGAUGAUGGUAUAAUUUUUUGGAAAAAGAAAUCAAACCAUAGUUCUAAAUUAGAACAACCAAAUGGAUUGAUCAGGGACUUAAUUUGAAAAAGAAUUUGUGGUUGGAACCAUCACUCAAAUUGAGAAAGGAUAUUAAUGUGUAAAAGUUGGAACAAGGUAAAUAGUUGAAAGCAAUGACUGAAAACAAAUGAGGAAUUGAAAUUAGCCAACCAAGUGAGAGUGUGAAACCUUUAAACAGUUUGAGAGACUUUCAGUAGUGAAGAGUUAAUUGAGGUUGCCUAAUUUUCUAGUCAAUUUGCAUCACAAAAUCAAAUAUGGAGAUGAUUGAGGCAUGUUUAAUAGAGUGGAGGUGAGAAAACUCAGAACCAAACAGCUAACCUUUGCAAUAUAUGAUGAAAUGUGCAGAAAAAUAACCCUUUUUGAGCCAAAUUUGUUUUAUUGCACCCUAGCUUCUGAUAUACAUAUAUUGUCCUACCUUGUGGUAUGCUAACAAAAGGAGAGCAUAGGUGCAAUUCAAAUUUCUAUAAUUAAAAGAAUUGGGUUUGGUGUGGCUGUUGGGAUUUUGAGAAUGAAAAAAAAAAGAAAAAGAAAAAAAAAGGAAAUGACAAAAUUAUCCAAAUUCUCAUUCUCUUUUCUAAAAAAAAAAAGAAAAAAAAAGAGAAAAAGAAAAACAAAGGGGAUUACAAGAAUAUAAAAAUAAGCAAUGUGAAUGAAUCUUAUGGAAGGGAUAAUGGAUAACACAAUUAGAAAGUGAAUUGCAAAUAUGCUAAUCUUUUGUUAACUGUGCAUUUUGUUAUCCUGGAAAAACCAAAUUUUCUUUAUAACCCAGCCUCAUUACAACCUGAAAAGACCUCAAGCUCUAUGUUUGUGAAAGUGUUUGUAAUCAACUGGAAAUGAAGGGCAACCUUAAAUUAACUUGGAAUUCAGUGAAAAAAAGAGGGAAAACACUCACCAGUGAGGAAUGAAGAGAGAAAUUCUUUAGUUUGAUUCUCAAUGAAGAGUAACAAUUGUUUACCUUGGAAAUUGAAUACAUUCUUAUCCUGUCUUGGUUUGAAUUGAUAGGAAACACCAUAAUUUUUUGUUGAAUUAUCUUGUGCUCUUUCCAUGAAGUUGUUCUGAUAUUAAACUAUAGAUUUGAUUUCUAAGGAUUUUGGGGAAGAAUGAAUUCAUAUUUUUUGGGAUUCAAUUACUUUGCUUGAGGACAAGUAAGAUUCUAGGUUAGGGGGAAUUUGAUAAGUGCCAAUGUGUAGUUUUUAUGAUUGAGAAAAUUGAACACUUUGGAACUUAAUUGUUGCUUAAUGUAAGAAAAUUACCCUAAUCUGAGAAUUAUUGAAUCUGAUUAUAUAUUUUUUGAACCAAGAAACAAAUGAAGAAAUUUAAUCUCAAUUUUAGUGUAAAUUGCAGAUGAAUAUGAAGCAUUGAAAGAAUUAUUCAAGCUGGCUUUGAAAGAAAAAAAAAUGUAAAAACUUAAUUGGAUCACAAGAAGAUUUAGCUCAAGCUAGAGGAUUUAGCUCAAGCUAAAAUUGUCCAGAAUUGAUUAAAGGUGCAGUAGAAUUCUAGCCCAGGCUAGAAUUGCUAGCUCAAGCUAAAACUGUCCAGAGCUGAUUAAAGGUGCAGUACUGAUCUAGCUCAGGCUAGAAUCGCUAGCUCAAGCUAAAAAUGCACCGAAAGAUCUAGCUCAAGCUAAAACGGGCUAGCUUGAGCUAAAGUUGAUUAUAUAAAUUCUAAAACAUAACUCAAAACGAGCGGUGGAAAACAGAUUAGGUUUUUUAGAAAGAGACUAGUGAGAGAAAGAGAAGAAACCUCUGUUCUUAGGAAAAGAACUUGCUCAGAUCAGCCCUUCUUAUGCAAUCCAGAUCAAGAAUGAAGAUUGGAGGAGCUGUCAUGAGUGGCUAAGUUCUUUCUAACUUGGGAUUGAAUGUAAUUUAUCUUGAUCAAAUGUAUUCUUGGUGAUAUAUAUAUAAAAUUCUCUUUUCUACUUGUUCUUGGUAUUUUCGUUUUAUGCUUAUUGCUUGAUUCUGUCUGAUCAAUAGAGUCUUGAUUUUGAUCCUUAAAUUUAACUGGAAAGUACCUUUAAGGAUCUGAAAUAAACGAAAAUACUUGAUAACUUGUAAUGCUAGGAAUAGAUUCCAGGUUAUUGAUUGCAUUAUAAUUCUGUUCCUAAAGCUGGAUGAUUUGUUAAAUAUCUGAGGAAUCAGUGUUUGAGAAAUUAUCUUAUGAAUUUCAUCUGUGAGGAAUCAAGAUGAAUGACUUUAAAUUAAGCAUCAAGAAUAAAUAGUUUUGAGUAUUAUAUAUUGUAUUAUUCAAAAUACAGAUGAUUGAGAUAAACGCAAUUCAAUCCCAAGUAUCUUUCUCUAUAUUUGAUAAGUUGGUUUUGUUACAUCCAAAAUCAAACCCUAAAUCUUUGAGUUCUUGUGAAAUCUUUAAUUUGGUUAUGAACAAAGUCUCAAAAUUAUUUUCUAUACUUAAUGAGUUUUAAAACAGAACAUCUUAAUUAGAAUUGUUCUCUGUGGGUUCGACAUUCGUACUUUAAAGAGUACUAUAUUACAGUUGAUUCGGUACACUUGCCGAGAAAGAUCAACAAUAACCCAAUAGUGGAUAUGCCUUUUAGAUACUUCAUAAUUCUUUUGGCAGCUUUAAGGUGUGAUUCUUUCGGAUUGGACUGAAAUCUAGCACAAAGGCAUACUGCAAACAUAAUAUCUGGUAUGCUGACUGUAAGGUAGAGCAAAGAGCCAAUAAAAUCCCUAUAUUUGGAUUGAUCUACUACAAUUCCAACUGCAUCAGCAUCCAUGUAGCAGCUUGUGGACAUUGGUGUAGUUGCCUCUUUACACUGCUCCAUUUCAAACUUUUUGAGGAUUUCCUUGCAAUACUUGGAUUGACUUAGAAAGAUGCCAUCCUUUGAUUAUUGGACCUGCAGUCCCAAGAAAAAGGACAACUCUCCCAUCAUUGACAUUUCAAGUUCUCCUUGCAUAGCUGUCACAAAUUCUUUACAGAAGUUAUCAUUAAUAGCACCAAAAAUAAUGUCAUCAACAUAGACUAAAAUAAUGGAAGAAAUUUGAUUUUUUGAUAAAGAGAGUUUUGUCAACCUUCCCUCUUUCAUAGUCAUGAGACAAGAGGAAAUUACUUAACCUCUCAUACCAUUGCCUUGGAGCUUUCUUAAGACCAUAUACAAGACCUUUUUCAGCUUGUAUACAUGCUUGAGAUGUUGAUGACUCUACAAACCCGGGUGGUUGUGAGACAAAGACCUCUUCAUUGAUAACUUCGUUAAGGAAGGCACUCUUCACAUCCAUUUGUUACAAUUUGAACCCAUUCAUGCAAGCAAAGGCUAGCAGUAACCUUACAGCUUCCAAUCUGGCUACUAGUGCAAAGGUCUCGUCAUAGUUUAUCCCUUCUUCCUGAUUGUACCCUUUUGCAACAAGUCUUGCUUUGUUCCUUGUUACCACCCUGAUUCAUCUACCUUGUUUCUGAACACCCACUUUAUUCCAAUGAUGUUCAUCUGAUCUAUUUUGGGAACUAGGAGCCACACAUCAUUCCUGACAAAUUGGUUUAGCUCCUCAUGCAUAACAGCAGUCCAAUUCUCAUCCUUGAGAGCUUCAUCAACUUAUUUGGGUUCAACUUGAGAGAUGAAGGCCAUGCUGCAGUAGUUUGCUAUGGUUUUUCGUGUAGAAACUUCCUUAUGAAUUUGUCCAAUUAUGUUUUCCACAGAGAGGUCUCUUGGAAUCCUUCAUUCCUUGGGUAGCUCAUCCUAUUGCAGAAUAUCAAUCGGUUGUUUUUCUAGACAGGUUUCUAGAUUCUUUAGAAAGAUGUUCUGCUCAUCUUCUUUAGCACAAUUCCUCAAGAAACUUUGUUCUGUAGGGUUAGUUUCAUCAAAUACAACAUGUAUAGAUUCCUCUACAGUCAUGAGUAUUUUAUUAUAAACCCUAUAAUCAUGACUAGAUAAAGAGUAACCAAGAAAAAUAUCAUUGUCUGCUUUCUCAUCAAAUUUUCCAAGAUUUUCUUUACCAUUAUUCAAAAAUAUAACACUUACAUCCAAAUACCUUUAGAUUACCUAUAUUGGGUUCCUUCCAUUGAGCAUUUCAUAUGGAGUCUUCUUCAAGAUAGGCCUGAUGAGAACCCGGUUCAUCACAUAACAUGCAGUACUUACAACAUCUGCCCAAAAGUAUUUUGGCAAGGUUACAUCUGGUAGCCACAGCCUUAAUUGGUUGCUUCUCAAUUGAGCUAUAUGCGACCAAGUGCCGCUUCAUCUCUUUGUUCUCCCUUCGGAGGACAUGUAUCUCCUCCUCAUUCUUCUGCCUUAUCUCUGCCAUCUCCCUUUGUGGGGAUAGAAGCAAGACCAUCUGGUCGGCUUCAGUUAUCCUCUUGUAAGUCAUGUUUCGUGUUGAUAUCAUUUACUUCUAUGACUUCUGCUACUCUCUCGGUCCCACGGUAAACACCAAUUAUACUUGUAAAGGGCUAAGACAGUAUUUGCUACCUGUUUGACAACUAAUUCCUCCCCUCGGUCGUGCUUUACUUACUUUCCUUCUUCUUGCAUUCGGGUUUCGGCUCUUGACGGGAGUGCAUCUACAAAAGGUUCUUCGACGCUCAAGUGAGUAUUUAAUAUUUAGGUGUUAUUAAUGUUGUAAUAGUGAAGUACCUUUGCUUUGUCUAAUGUGCUUAUUUAUACCAUUGUAAUUGACUCUAUCAUUGAUGGGUCGUGUUUAUUGUGUAUAAUCAUAAAAAUGAAAUUACCUAAUAUAUCACGUAUUUCUUUUUAUCUUGAUGUAUUUACACUAGUCAGUCGUGCAACAUCUGAUACUUAGAGUUAUAGGAUCAUCCAACCUCGACCAAUACAUGUUUGAUCCAUCAAGAAGAGGUGCAAGUGUUGAACUUAAAUAUAAUAUUGUGGAUAUUCAAUGACUUCAAGAUACUAACCAUUUGAUCCAUUUAAUCUGGCAUAGAUAAGUGUACUAUGUCCUAUAUCCAACAUUUCAAGUAGACAAACAUGGUUGAUAUGUUGAAUUAAAACAAGCCUAAGGUCACAUUGACUCAAAGGUCACAUUGACUCAAAUGACAUGGAAGAGAACGUCCCUUACCAAGUAGAUCAAAUGUCACGUGCCAAUAAAAUCAUAAAAUCAUUGAAGUGGAAGGUAUAUUUGGAUUACAAAGGAAGAAGAGAAAACAAGAAGUUGAUGAUGAUGAUGAUGUGGAGGAGUAAGAAACAGGGUAAAGUAAAUGCAUGCGGCUAUUAAGACAGUAGCAUCGUCUAUGGCUUAUAUAUAUAUAUAUAUAUAUAUAUAUAACAAUGGCUUAUAUAUAUAUAUAUAUAUAUAACAAUGCUUGCGGCUCAUACAUACCCAUACAUGCAGUUCAUGUAACAAAACUUAUAAAUGUAAAUUGAAAAAAAAAUGAAAUACUUUUAAAUUAUACAUAAAACAAAUAGAAUCAGUGUAAAAAACGAGAAAUGAAAUCAAACUUUGUUUAAUUUAGUUUGAAAUAAAGGGAUGAGGCUACGGUGCUUCUUAUGUUGAAAUAAAAACAGAGUACAUAGCAUAUAGUAAGGCAAAACACAUAACAAAUUAUUGAACGGCAACUAUCUUUAUUUCAUAAGCAAUACGAGGAUUUCUGAAUGUAGUAUUAUAUGCUAAAAGGGAAAAGAAUUGACAAAAGUAACAACGAGAAAGCAAAUCCAAUAAACAGCUAAGUAAAGCCAAGCAAGCACAAUGUGAGAAAUGAUGAGAAACAGGGUAAAAUAAAUAUGAAUCUCUUUACUAUGAGCUCUACUCAAAAGAAAAACAAGGAAAGGAUCAGAAAAAAUGAAUUGCAACAAGGACACCAGGACUAAUUCCAUAACUCAAAGGAUCCGGCUGUUCUCACAUUACAAAUUUCUUUAUAAAUCUAGUAAAAGAAUUUUUCUUUGGCAUUGAUUCACUACAUAUUAGAUAGACAGAUGUGUUCUUGACUACCAAUCUAUUACCAAAACUCACAAAAAUCUCCACCUUGUCUCCUGAUCCUAAAUUUGACAUUAUGUCAGCCCAAUCUUCAUUAUUAAAGGAAAUUACCGUGCCAUGGUUGUGUAUCUGGCAUGUGAACUUCGUGUAAUUAACAAUUAAGACAGUACUAAGUUCAGGUUCAAUGAUUUCGGAGGUUGAUAAAUAAACAACACACAAAGCCAUUCCCUUCACCACACGAUCUUGAGGCACCGUGAAAGAAACAGAAUGUCCCUCACCCAUAUGGGCCAACCAAUAAGGAUCAUUGUCACCUGGGAGAGAAACAUCACAUGACUCACUGCUUUCAAAUACCUGUAUCAUGUGAUAAAAAAUGACAUGUUUAGUUAAACAAAAAUGUUAUACAUGAUUAAAACAUAUCUGGUUAAUUUGUGUAUAUAUCACUUUCAUUUCUUUAAGGAUUUAGAAUGCAUUUCUAUUUUUGUCUCUCUUAGUUUAUAUUUCUAUGAUCAUUGGGAAUAAAGCAAUCUUGAAGCUAGUAAAGCAAGAAAGUGGAAAUCAAUUUGGUAGUACUUAGUAUAAGCAUAAUCACUUGGUUAGUUGAUUAUAAAAAUAAGAUACUUUUAGAUGAAUUCGUGGGGCUAGCGAAGCGAAGGGUGCUAAAAGUUCAGUAUUGUAGUUUCUACAAGAUACUUAAUUAGGAUUAUUUUAUGUUCUCUCAAAUAAUAGCUAAAAUGAUGGUGAAGGUAAUAAACAAAGGGAAAGCGAGAGAAGAACCUUAGGUAUGAUAUCGCUCACAGUAUUGAAGAAUUCUUUGUAUCUUCCAACACCAGUCAGAGAAUACCUUACGUGAUGCUUUGAAAGAACUGAUUCUCUAACAUUUGCACCAUAUUCGGCCACUAUGGUUUUUACUUGCUCAGAUAGUUGAAACUCGGCGUCACAUUACACUGAAACGCUUCGAAGAUUUUCGAGGCUGCUAAGCAAUGGUGAUAUAUCAUCCCAAUUAUUAUCUUCCAUAUGCAUGAAGGAAUGAAUAUAAGAUACGGGAUUCAUUGUUGGCGACAUCCGAGACCGAAUGAUAAAAGGAAAAAGAUUAUGUGACAAUCCCUCUAAUCCACGUAGGGAUAUAUAUCCAAUGCUUUUGGGGCUUACAAUUGUAAAAGGCAGUUGUUUCAUAGCUGUAUUUUCAGCAAUUGUAGUCAUGAAGGAUUUCAUUCCCACUAUAUCUAUAUCCAUUAGGUCAAUCUUCGAACAACCAGAUAGAAUCAGAGUUUUUAAACAUUUCAGCUUAUAUAUCUCUCCAGGAAGAUUGCUUAGACUUGUACAGUCCUUCAAAUUUAGCAGUAUAAGAUUGGAGAGACAACCAAUAGAUUGGUGUACUUCGCGCAAUCUUGGACAAUCUUCGAGAAUGAGCUGUUCAAGACUUGGUAGUCCCGAAAAGUCAGGGGUUUCUAUCAAGUACUUGGAGUGACUAAGAUUAAGGACUUUCAGCCACGUCAAAACCUUCAAGAAUAUAGUUUUUGAUAAAAUAUUAGAGAAGAAAAUGAAAAAACGAAAUAGUUAUAACUGAAAACAAAUAAUAAUUUUAAAAGAAAAUGACAAGUAAUAAAAACCUGGGGUUCUUUCCAAACCAAUCGAAGAAAACUGUGUUUUAAAUCAAUCACUAUUGCAUCAUGCAAAUAAAAGUGGUUAGGUAGGUAUUCUGAAGAAAACCCUCGCAAACUGAUCCAUCUUAAUUUCGCAGAAAGGAACUUAGAAUCUGCAGCCAGUUUCAGAAGUCUUGAUGAGUCUCUUACACCUACAGGAGAAUCUCUUGUGGAAGGCCAACCCUGAAUGACUCUUGUCCCCGGUGAUGAAAAGAGCUAAGAGAAACAAAUAUAUUUCGCAUGAGAAAGCAACCACUUCCAAAAGAAGUUUCAAAACCAUAGAUUAAGAAUGUUCUUACAAUAGCAAGCUUCAUAUCCUCAUCAAUGAUUUCACCAAUAAUUUUUCUUCCCAUUUGUCGUAGUAACGAAUGCAUUCCUAAUUUGUUGUUCUUAUUAACUCGUAUGAGACUACGCUCUAUCAGAACUCUUAUUCCACUAUCAGCCUCUAUUCCACAGCCAUUUAGGAUCUUCGUAACAUAGGCUCUGCCUUUACCAACAAAGGAACAACAUAGAUCAAGGAAUAAAUCUUUUUCCAUUUGAUUGCAUAAACCGUCGAAGCUUAUUUUCAGUAUCUGAUCAAAUUUAAUAAGCUCGGGAAUUUUCUUUAGUUGUAAGAGUACUCUAUUCCAUUCUCGUUUCGUCCUUUCAUAUAAAUAACUUCCAAUGACUUCAAGAGCUAGAGGUAGUCCUCCACAAUAAGCAACUACUCUUUCUGCAAGGAAAAGAUAAUCUUCUUUUGGUUUUGCUUCUCUAAAUGCGUGCCAACUAAGAAGCUCAAGGGACUCAUCUGUGUUCAUUAGCUCUACCUGAAAAAUAGAAUCAGCUUGAGAUAUCAUCAGUAGGUUUUCAUGUGUUGUUGUAAUGAUUAUUACACUUCCUCCUCCAUACCAAUGACGGCAUUCCCAUAGUAAUGUGGCAUCAAACGGAGGCACAUCGUCAAGUACAAUGAGCACCCUUUUCCCAGAAAGUCUUUCCUCAAUCAUUCGUCUUCCCAUCUCAAAGCUAUCUAUCUCUACCUUCGUUUUUAGGACAUCUGAAAGGAUUUGUUCUAGUAAACGAAGACCCCCUUUUAUUCCGCUAAUUUGUCUAAUUUCUUCAAUGAAACUUUUCUCCGUGAAUGUACCAUGAAUUUGAUGGUAGAUGGCUUUAGCAAGGGUGAUUUUACCAGAUCCUCCCUGUCCACAUAUUGCUAUCCUACAAACUUCCGUGGAUUUAUUUUUGAUAGCUCGAGUAAGAUCCUCCAUGCGCGAUUGUAAUCCAACUGGAAAUUUAGUAGCAGACAAGACUGGUAAAUUAAGAACGGUCUUAACAAUUUUGUCCACCAGUUCAGCAUCACUCCUUCAAGUUCAAUAGCAAUCAUGGAAGAAGUCAAGUAGUACCAAAAUUAAAUGAGAAGCUGAAAACAUGGUGAUUGAGUGAGUGAUUUACCUGUAAUUGCUCUCAUCCCAUCCAAAGAAAUUUGCAGCUUUGGUGAGUGCGUGGCUCCAUUUGGACAUGGCAUGUGCCAGUUGUUGUCCUGAAAAUGUUUGGUGUGCAGUUGCUUUGAAGGCUUUUCCAAAAUCACCCAUCUGAAGACGCACAUCAGAUGGCUGAAUUUCGUAAUAAACGGGCAGAAGAUGUCGACAAUAAGUUUCUUGCCAUCUAAUGAUUUGUUGAAGCUGAUGAAGACACCAAGCAGAUUGAGAAUAGGUUUUGGUGAAAACAACAAUAGCUACACGAGAGAGAUUGAGAAUAGGUUGUUGGAUGUGCGUUUGGUUGAGUGCAUUGGGGUGGUGAAGGAAAGUGGUGAAGCCAACAGCAGAGAGGGCAGAAUCGAGAUGAGACACAAACUUCCUUUGGAUGUCUUCUCCACUAAAGUUGAUGAGUACAUCGUACAUCCGUGGGAGUUUGGAUGUUGAAGAGGCCAAUUCCAUGGAAGGAAUUGACGAGGUCAUGAACUUUUAGCAGAAGGGAAACCAAUAAUGCAACGCAGUCAAAUAUAUAUGUUUUAAUCAUAUUUGUUUUAUUUUUUAAUAUAUAUGUUUGCUGUGAGUGUGAUGUCAAAUAAUUUUAUUUUACAAUUUUUAUAGUCAAAUGAUAUCACAGAACCUCUUUUACUUUAGCCAUUUGUCCAACGCACGCAACUUUGAAUCACUGAAAAAAUAAAUAUUAUACUAAUACCUAUGAAAUUUUCUCCAAUAUAUUCCUUUUUUUUUUUAUAUUAUGCGUCCAUUUUUUAAGUUUUAAAAUAUAACAAAUGCAUCUUUGUUUACAUCACCCAUACACCUCGUUAACAUAAAUCAUUGUAACAGAAUAAAAAAAAAAGUAUAAAUAUAAUUUGAAAAAAUUUACGACAGGUCAUUUUUGAUAAACAAAGUAAAGGAAUUUAAUGUCUCUUUAUUAAAAUAUAAGAAUGUUAACGUCAUCAUUAAAAAUAUUAGUUAAGUGAAUGUCUUUUCUAAAAUUACAUUAUAGUGUCAUUUUAUUAUAAAUUAAAAAAAUGUUUUAAUGUUAGAGGAAAUAUGUGCCUAUAACUUCAAAAAAAAAAAAAUACAUGUAAUUUUCUCUUUUAUUUAAAAUACAGAUUGUAAAAAAAUGAAUGAAAGUGAUAAAUUUGAUAUAAUUUUAUUUAUUACCAAAGUGAUCAAAUCUUUAAGUUUUAUUUAAUUCCAGAUUACUGAUAAAUUUUAUUCCAAUUACCUAUAGAAUGGAUGCUAAAUUAUUUAUAUAUAUGGGUAAAUGGAAAUUCAUUAUUAUAGGGCAUUAUGGAUCACCCAAAGGUUGAUUAGUUGUCCUUAUAAUUAAUGGAUAUGACUGUUGGUAGUGAGUAUGUGUUAUUAGUUUUGCUUGUAUAUCCAAAGAUAACAAGUGUUUCUAGUUAAUGCAUACAUCUUGCCAAAUAAAGUUAAUACUAUUAGCAUCAUUAUGUUUUGUGUAUUAAUGAAUCUCUCAAAGGAGAACAUUAGUAUACAUAGAAUGCUUUCUGAAUCUGUAUAGAAUGUUUAGUUUAUGACUCAAAGUAUUAAUGUUAAGCAUGUGUGAUCAAGUAUUGUUCCUAUAUCUUUAUGCGAAUGAGCAUAACAAUUAAUAUUAAGUCUGCUCUUCCCAAAACUGAUGGUGCAAAAGAAUUUAUGAAAUUUGUGGAAGAGCGCUCCCAAACUACUGAUAAGUCUCUUGUUGGGNNNNNNNNNNNNNNNNNNNNNNNNNNNNNNNNNNNNNNNNNNNNNNNNNNNNNNNNNNNNNNNNNNNNNNNNNNNNNNNNNNNNNNNNNNNNNNNNNNNNNNNNNNNNNNNNNNNNNNNNNNNNNNNNNNNNNNNNNNNNNNNNNNNNNNNNNNNNNNNNNNNNNNNNNNNNNNNNNNNNNNNNNNNNNNNNNNNNNNNNNNNNNNNNNNNNNNNNNNNNNNNNNNNNNNNNNNNNNNNNNNNNNNNNNNNNNNNNNNNNNNNNNNNNNNNNNNNNNNNNNNNNNNNNNNNNNNNNNNNNNNNNNNNNNNNNNNNNNNNNNNNNNNNNNNNNNNNNNNNNNNNNNNNNNNNNNNNNNNNNNNNNNNNNNNNNNNNNNNNNNNNNNNNNNNCAGCUUCUUGAAAUUAUACACACUGAUAUAUGUGGACCUUUUGAUGCAAGUUCUUUCAAUAAAGAAAGGUAUUUUAUCACCUUCAUUGAUGAUUUUUCACGUUAUGGUUAUGUCUAUUUACUGCAUGAAAAAUCGCAAGCGGUGAAUGCCUUGAAAGUUUAUAUAAAUGAAGUGGAAAGGCAAUUAGACAGAAAGGUGAAAAUUGUCAGGUCAGAUAAAGGUGGUGAAUAUUAUGGAAAGUAUGAUGAAAGUGGACAACACCCUGGUCUGUUUGCUAAGUUCCUUGAGAGACGUGGUAUUUGUGCUCAAUACACAAUGUCUGGUACACCACAACAAAAUGGUGUUUCAGAAAGGCGUAAUCGAACCUUAAUGGAUAUGGUUAGGAGCAUGUUAAGGAAGUCAACUGUACCUGUUUCAUUGUGGAUGUAUGCUUUAAAACUGCCAUGUAUCUGUUGAACAGGGUUCCUAGUAAGGCAGUUCAAAAGACACCUUUUGGAUCAUGGACAGGAAGGAAACCCAGUUUGAGACACCUGCAUGUUUGGGGAUGUCAGGCAUAAGUUAAAAUAUACAAUCCGCAAGAGAAGAAAUUGGAUGCAAGAACAAUCAGUGGAUAUUUCAUUGGUUAUCCAGCAAAGUCAAAAGUGUUGGGUCUAUUAGUGUCUAAGUUCAAGAGGGGAGGGGUGAAUUGAGCUUAUAAAUUUUUUGCAAGAACACACAAUUUUCAGUAUUCCAGAGGCAAAAAGAACAGAUUGUUUUUAUAUGAAACAGAUUGAUUCUACAGAGCAGUCUUGGCACAGUUUGAAUUUGUUCAAUGUAAAAUUGUGAUUAACAGAGAAUUAUGACAGAAUCAGAUCAGCUUAAUAUUGUGAGGAUGAAAGCUAUGCUUAGGAACCACACAAAAUUACUCAACACACGAUUUUAAGACAAAUGAUUCUUUCUCAGAUUUAAUGAAUGGGCAGUUUAUUCACAAAUCACUUAAUCCAUCAUAUACAACAACCUUAUUUAUGAUCAGAGAACUUUAACAAACCAGGAAGAACAGUUUUCACUUAAACCUAGAAUUAACAGAUUCAAUUUCAAGAGAACAGAUUUAGUUCUUGACAGAAUUCAGUAAAACCAGAAACGAGUGCAGGGAUGAGAAGAAAAGGCACACAAGUUUUUAUACUGGUUCACUCACACAGAGCUACAUUCAGUCUCACCUUACCCCAAGGUGGAAUUCACUAAAAACAGUACCAAUUACUUACAAACACAGCAGUUCUUGAACCCUACAAGAACAACACAGUCAAUGCUGAAAAACCCUAUUUCAGCACACGUUGCACUCCAAGAAACCCUAUCAAGAAGUGACUAACACUUACACCUUUACAAACAAGAAUAAAGGAAAGAUUACACCUGAAAAGAAGAUGCAAGAACUCAAAACCAGUAGUUCAAUUUGCUGCAGAACUGCACCAGCACCUUCACCAAGAUCAAAGGUUUCCUAGAACAAGCACACUUGAAAAUCUCUUUGGAAAACCUUUUGAAAAUCUUUCAAUCCUUCUCCUCACAUGGAAAAUGUUUGAUCUCUGUCAAAAACGUAAUUGCUCAGCUUACUUUCAUGUGAGAAAGCCUUUUCUUUAUAUAGAAAACAGUUUCUAACUUCUUUUCAAAAAAAAAACGGUUGAAAAGCAGUUAUGAAAACAACAGAUUCAUUUUUGAACUUAACAGAUUUAUUUUGUGAAAAACAGCCAACUCAGCUUAACUGAAAUAACUAACUAAGCCUUACCUGUGGUGCCCUAACAGAAUUUUAGAAAAGCCUUUUAACAGAGAAGAAAUAAACAGAUUUUUUCUCCAUGAAACAGAUUUAUUUUUGUACUGUUUUAAAAUCUUUUAAGAGCACUUUUUAAAAGCUUUUCAUAAACCUUUUAACAGAGAAGAAAUAAACCGAUUCUUUCUCUAUGAAACAGAUUUAUUUUUGUACUGUUUUAAAACUUUUAAGAGCACUUUCAAAAGCUUCUCUGAGCAGACGGCGACCGUAGAUGGCAAUGCUCCACAUGAUCGCCGGUCGGUGGUCAGCAUAGCUACUUGAAAAGACGGUGUAUGAUCGCCGGUCGGUGGUCAGCAUAGCUACUUGAAAAGGCGGUGCAUGAUCGCCGGUCGAUUUGAGGCAGAACACUUUCAAAAGCUUUUCAAAAACCAUUUAACCACAUCAUGUGCUUGAUCUAGGCUUGGUUAGGCAUCUAGGGUGGGUUAUAUAGCAAAAGGCAACCUUUACACAAUUACAAGCCUAAUUACAAACUAAUCUAAAAACCUAUUACAAUCUUCAAAGCACCCAAGCUAUUUUCUUCAUCAAACACACAUCAAGCCUUGGUAGGGAAGAAGCUUCCUCCAGCUUCAACAAAAAGGGUAUAUGUUUUACUGUCCUACCCAUAGCACAAGAAUUGUUGAAUCUGGAAAUGCAAGGUUCAUUGAAAAUGGUGAAACCAGUGGGAGUAAUACUUCACAAAAUGUGGAGAUUAAGGAAGUUAGAGUACAAGUUCCUUUAACUAGUACCUUUACUUCAAGUAUUGUUGUUCCUAAUGUAGUUGAGUCACUCAACGAUGAAGAAGAACAACAAAUUAAUGAUCAUGAAGAAAACAAUGAACCUGUAGUAGAACAACCACAAGAAAUAGUAUUAAGAAGAUCUCAAAGAGAAAGAAAGUCUGCUGUUUCGAAUGAUUAUGUGGUUUAUCAACAAGAGUCAGAAAAUGACUUAAGUAUUGAUAAUGAUGUAUGGGACCUUAUAGAAUUGCCAGAAGGAUGCAAGAGAGUCGGGUGUAAAUGGGUCUUUAAGACUAAACGUGACUCUCAUGGCAAUAUCGAACGUUACAAGGUCCGACUUGUUGCCAAAGGUUUUACUCAAAAGGAUGGCAUUGAUUAUAAGGAGACAUUUUCACCUGUUUCUAAGAAAGAUUCCUUUUGAAUUAUCAUGGCAUUAGUAGCUCAUUAUGAUCUUGAGUUGCAUCAGAUGGAUGUCAAAACUGCUUUUCUGAAUGGGGAUUUAGAAGAGGAUGUUUAUAUGGACCAACCAGUGGGGUUUAUUGAAGAAGGAAAGGAACACAUGGUGUGUAAACUUAAGAAAUCAAUAUACGGGCUUAAACAGGCUUCUAGGCAAUGGUAUCUUAAGUUCAAUGAUACUAUUGUGUCCUUUGGGUUUAAGGAAAACAUCGUUGAUCGGUGUAUAUAUCUGAAGGUCAGUGGGAGCAAGUUUACAUUCUUGAUUCUGUAUGUUGAUGAUAUCUUGCUUGCAACUAAUGAUCUUGGUCUAUUAAGUGAGACUAAGAAGUUUCUCUCUAAUAACUUUGAGAUGAAAGAUAUGGGUGAGGCAUACUAUGUGAUAGGAAUUGAAAUAUUCCGUGACAGAUCACAAGGACUGUUAGGUUUGUCUCAGAAAGCAUAUAUUAAAGUUUUAGAGAGAUUCAGAAUGGAUAAAUGUUCGACAUCUCCUGUUCCAAUAUAGAAAGGAGACAAAUUUAGUCUCAUGCAAUGUCCAAAGAAUGACUUGGAACGGAAACAGAUGGAGAAUAUACCUUAUGCAUCUAUUGUUGGGAGUUUAAUGUAUGCUCAAACUUGUACACGACCAGAUAUUAGUUUUGUAGUUGGUAUGCUUGGUAGAUACCAGAGUAAUCCAGGAUUGGAUCAUUGGAAAGCUGCAAAGAAAGUUUUAAGAUACUUGCAAGGAACGAAGGAUCACAUGCUUACUUAUAAAAGAUCUGAUCAACUUGAGGUGAUUGGAUAUACAGAUUCAGAUUUUGCUGGCUGUGUGGAUACACGAAAGUCUACAUUUCGUUAUGUGUAUCUUUUAGCCGGAGGAGCGAUUUCAUGGAAAAGUGCGAAGCAGUCAGUCAUCGCUGCGUCCACUAUGGAGGCUGAAUUUGUGGCAUGCUUUGAGGCCACAGUUCAGGCUAAUUGGUUGCGGAAUUUUAUUUCAGGACUUGAAAUUGUUGACAGUAUUGCCGUGCCCAUAAUGGAUCUAUUGUGAUAACUCCGCAGCAGUCUUCUUUUCUAAAAACGACAAGUAUUCCAAAGGUGCUAAACAUAUGGAAUUGAAAUACUUUGCCGUUAAAGAAGAAGUUCAGAAACAUAAAGUGUCAAUAGAACAUAUUAGCACUGAUCUUAUGAUUGCUGACCCUUUAACAAAAGGGUUACCGCCCAAAACAUUUACUGGUCAUGUUGUAAAUAUGGGCAUUAUGUCUACUAGUGAAUUAUGAAUGUUGUUAAUGCUUAUUUGACACUCUGAGCUCAUUGAUAAAUAAAGUUUCUGAAAUUUAUGUUGUUUUCUACUUUAUGUAUAUGCAUGCAAAUUAUGUUAUUAUGGUGUCGAAAACAAAUUAUGUUGUUAUUGAUGACAAUGACAUUAUGUUUGAACCUAUUAUGAAUUUCUCACUAUAAAGUCAUAUUAAGGAGAAAGAAUGAUAUAGUAGUACAUGGAAGGAAAUGUGUUGAUUCAAAUGACAUGUAACCGCCAUGACUCUUAUUAUUUCUGUAUUCUUGAUUAUGAAUAAUGAUAGAACCAAUUUAUGUAAGGCCUUUUAAAUGCACAUUUAUGUCAUUAUUAAAUCAUGAAAGUAUUAUAACUCAUAUGAGUCAAGUGGGAGAAUGUAAGAAAUUAUGUAAAUUAAUUUCUAUAAAGUGACUCACAUGACUUAGAGUUUGGGUUUUGGGCCCAAAUAUGAUUUAAUAAUAAUAAUAGAAUAAAGGCUCAUUGGUUAAUGUGAGAAAUAUAUAUAUCUGAUGAUAUACCUAAUGGAAAACCUACAUCUGAUGGAGAUUGGGUACUAAAGGCUAUAGGGUUCUGUCUCUGCAAAUAAUAGUUGUCUCACUGUUAACCAUCACGAAAAUGCGUGACAAGUACGGAAUUGCUAAGAGAUAGAUUGGGAUAAAGGAGAUAAAGUAACUGCUCAAUUAGGAUCACUCAUGGAUCAAGGUAAGUGCCUAUUUCUUCUUCACUUUAUGUUUUGUGAGAAUCAUGAUAUGAUAAGAUCUAUAUGUGAACACAUUAUUGUAUUUGUUUAAUUUACGUUUAUUCAUGUUUUGACUUACAUGACUGUGUUGCAUUAUUGCUUUCUCUUCUAAACACUUCAUCAACUCAUCACUUCCUUCCAUGGAAUUGGCGUCUUCAUCAUCAAAACUGCAAGAAUGUACGAUGUGCUCAUAAACUUUAAUGGAGAAGACAUCCAAAGGAAAUUUGUUUCUCAUCUCGAUUCUGCCCUCUCUGCUGUUGGCUUCACCACUUUCCUUCACCACCCCAAUGCAGACAACCCAAUCCACAUCCAACAACCUAUUCUCAAUCUCUCUCGUGUAGCAAUUGUUGUUUUCACCAAAUCCUAUUCUCAAUCUGCUUGGUAUCUUAAUCAGCUUCAACAAAUCAUCAAAUGGCACCAAACUUAUUGCCGACAUGUUCUGCCCGUAUAUUACGAAAUUCAGCCAUCUGAAGUACGUUUUCAGGAGGGUGAUUUUGGAAAGGCCUUCAAAACAACUGCACACCAAACAUUCUCAGGACAACAACUGGAGCAUGGCAUGUCUAGGUGGAGCCACGCACUCACCAAAGCUGCAAAUUUAUUUGGAUGGGAUGAGAGCAAUUACAGGUAAAUCACUCACUCAAUCACCAUAUUUUAAGCUUCUCAUUUCAUUUUGGUAAUGCAUGAAAUGACUUCUUCCAUAAUUGCUAUUGAACUUGAUGGAGUGAUGCUGAACUAGUGGACACAAUUGUUAAGACCGUUCUUAAUUUACCAGUCGUGUCUGCUACUAAGUUUCCAGUCGGAUUACAAUCCAACGUGGAAGAUAUGAUUCGAACUAUCAAAAAUAAAUCCACGGAAGUUUGUAGGAUAAUGAUAUGCGGAGAGGGAGGAUCUGGUAAAACCACCAUUGCCAAAGCCAUCUACCAUCAAAUUCAUGGUACAUUCACGGAGAGAAGUUUCAUUGAAGAUAUUGAAGAAGUUAGCGGAAUAAGAGGGGAUCUUCAUUUACAAGAACAACUUCUUUCAGAUGUCCUAAAAAGAAAGGUGCAGAUAGAUAGCGUUGAGAUGGGAAGAAGUAUGAUUCGGGAAAGACUUUCUGGGAAAAGGGUGCUCAUUGUACUUGACGAUGCGACUGAGUUUUUUGCAUUAUUCGACCUACGGGAAUGCCAUCAUUGGUUCAGUGUAGGAAGUGUAAUAAUCAUUACAACGAAAGAUAAAAACCUACGGAGUAUGCAUGAUGUUGAUUCUGUUUUUCGCAUAGAUCCAAUGAAGGCAAAGGAGUCCCUUGAGCUUCUUAGUUGGCACGCAUUUAGAGAAGCAAAACCAAAAGAAGAAUAUCAUUUCCUUGCAGAAAGAGUAGUUGCUUAUUGUGGAGGACUACCUCUUGCUCUUGAAGUCAUUGGAAGUAGUUUAUUUGAAAAGACUAGAGAAGAAUGGAAUAGUGUGUUUAUUAAAUUAAUGACAACUUCCAUGCAUGGUAUUCUACAUCAAUUGAAAAUAGGCUUUGACUCUUUACGCAAUGAAAGGGAAAAAAAUGUAUUCCUUGAUGUAUGUUGUUUCUUUGUUGGUAAAGACAGAGCUUAUGUUACGAAUAUACUAAGUGGGUGUGGAGUACACGCUGAGAGUGCAAUAAGAGUUCUGAUAGAGCGUAGCCUCAUACAAGUUAAAAAGAACAACAAAUUGGGAAUACAUCCUUUGCUACGAGAAAUGGGAAGAAAAAUUAUUAGUGAAAUUUCAAGAAAGGAAUCUGUGAAGAGCAGUCGAUGGUUCAUUGAUAAGGAUGCGGAAUAUGUAUUGACAGAUAAUAUAGUAAGAAAUUCUCUAUAUAUGGUUUUGAAAGUUCUUUUGGAAGUGUUUGCUUCCUCAUGUGCAAAACAUUCAUUUGGUUUACUUUGCUUCUUUCAUCACAGGGGACAGAAGCCAUUGAGGGAUUCAUUGUGAAACUGCGUUCCGCCAGAAGAGAUUGGAUCGAAGCAUAUCCUUUAGAGAUAAGAGACAUAUCAAAACUGUUGCAACUCGUUGGGUAUCGUUGUAAGCUCAAAAUACAUUGGAUAUAUAUACCUACGUGGAUUUGAGGGAUCGUCACAUAAUCUUUUUCCUACUAUCAUUCGGUCUUGGAUGACACCAACAAUGAAUAUAAUUGUUGGGUUUUUAGAAUAUUUCAGAGGAAGAUAUUUUAUUAUCUUUGCUAACAAUUACAUUUAUAGUAACUGCAGUAACAAACUCUUAACUAAUUUUAUGAGCAGUUACCUAGAAAUAUUAAAUCAACAAUUAAAACAGAAUAACAAACCGUUAAAAAAUCAUAAUUUCCAACACUCCUCCUUGAUUUUUUGAACUGCAACUUCCAAUCUUCUGUCUUGAGAACUCAAACUUGUUGGUUGGAAGUGGCUUGGUAAACAAAUCUGCAAUUUUUAUUUUUUUCAUCCUCGCUUUGCUUAAUCUCCAUUCAACACCUUUUGAUUUGACAUAAGGUGCAGAUUCUAAAAGACUUUUGUCAAAGCCUAAGCUGAUAAGAUAACAUUUGUCUUCUUUUCCUUCCACAAUGAGACCUUUAGGUUGCUCAACAGAAAUUUUCUCUUCAAGAAAUCCAUUUAGGAAUGUUGACUUGACAUCCAUUUGAUGCACCUUUCUAUCUCGAAGUAUGUUAACAAGUUCCCGAGUUUUGUUCUUCUCACUCAUAUAUACCUCUUCCUCCAUUGCCUUUGGGCCGUUGAUAACUUUUUUGUGAUCAACAGGUUCUUUGUGAUCCGCAGCUUCUUUGUGAUCCACAGGUUCACAUAUUGCAACGUUAUAUCUAUGAUAUAUGUCAGAGAGUAAUCGAUUGCCUUUAAUUGGUGGAUCGUCUUCUAUUUCAGAUUUUUGCAUCUUGAGAAGUCCUUGAUUAGACGGCUCCUCCUGAAAUAGAUCUAAUGAGAAAUUUUUGCCUUUCAUUUGUACCUUGAACAAAUCUUGUCCUGUAGCAUCCUUGAUCGAACAGUGGUUAUCUUCAAAAAACACCUUGAAGCCUUUUUGCAGCAACUGACCAACACUCAAUAAAUUUUGGUCUAUGUUAGGUACAUAUAACACAUCAGUAAUAGUUUUAGUACCUGAAUGUGUUGUUACAACAAUGGUUCCUAUUCCUUUUACUGAAAUGUGACCCCCAUGGCCUAUCUUGACCUUUGAAAUUUUUGAAGGCUUCAACUCCUUGAAAUUUUUUUUGUCAUAAGUCAUGUGAUUUGUGCUUCCACUAUCAAUUAACCACGAUGCACUUGAAAUAUUGUUGGAGAAUCCCCCUCCACAUUUGCAAAUUGAGCAUCUACGUCUUUUUGCUCACUUUGGUUUACAUCUUGUUGCUCACUUUGGUUUCUACAAAUGACUGCUUCAUGCCCAAGUUGAUUGCACUUGUUGCACUUCGCAUCAGGUCUUCUCCAACACUUAAACGGUGGAUGACCUAACUUGUUGCAAUGCUUACAAGGAGGGUAAUUUCUCCUUUUGUUGUUAUUGUGUGCAACAACUUCUCCAUUUUCUUGCUGGUUCUGCUUGAUCUGACUACCUUUGUUUCUCCAACCACCUUUAUGGUUGGCUGUUAAGGCUCCUUCUAUUGCUCCAUCUUGUCUCAUAGCUCUUCUUUGUUCUUGUGCUUGUAAAGCAUUUCAUAGCUCUGCAAGAGAAAUCUUUGAUAGGUCCUUUGUGUUCUCUAUGGUUGUUAUGGUGGCUUCAAACCUCUCUGGAAUCGUUACAAGCAGUUUUUCCACAAUUCUUCAAUCUUUUAAGACAGAUCCAAGCAAUCUCACUUUGUUGGCAAUGCUUAGAAGUCAGUCAAAAUACUCUUUUACGGUUUCUGACUCCUCCAUUCUCUGCAGUUCAAACUCCCUGAUUAGAUUCAGCACUUGCAUUCCACAAAUCCUCUCAUCACCUUCAUAUUCGGCCUUGAGGUAAUCCCAGAUUUCUUUUGCUGACUUCAAUGACAUUAUCCUUGUGAAUACCAUAGGAGAUACAACUGCAAAUAGACAUGUUUUUGCCUUUGUACUUUUCAUCUUUUGUUCCUUCUGUGAUUUCAUUUGUGCCACAGUAGGGUUUUCUGGAAGAGACUGAAUUUCCUCUUCUGCAGCUUCCCAUAAAUCCAAUGCUUCUAGGUAGGUCUCCAUACGAACAACCCACAUUUGAUAAUUGUCUCCAUUAAAGACAGGUGGUGCCAUUGCUGAAAAAUUGAAACCUCCUUCCAUUGAUGCAAUCUACUAACCUCACUGAUCCCUCAAGAAGAUAACUCUGAUACCAAUUGUAGGUUUUUGAGAAUAAUUCAGAGGAAGAUAUUUUAUUAUCUUUGUGAACAAUUACAUUUAUAGUAACUGCAGUAACAAACUCUUAACUAAUUUUAUGAGCAGUUACCUAGAAAUAUUAAAUCAACAAUUAAAACAGAAUAACAAACAGUUAAAAAAACAGAUUUUUCAACAGAAUCCCCCAUCUUAUUUUCAUUCGUUUUGCACGGAUAUGGAGGAUAAUAAUUGGGAUUAUAUUGCGCCAUUGCUUAGCACGCUUGCAAAUCUUUGAAGUGUUUUGGUGCAAUGUAACUCUGAGUUUCAACUAUCUAACCUCUACAAAAACUUGUGAAAUUUCGCCCUAAUAUCUGAAAUUUUAUUCUGGGUUCAUAUUGCGCUGAAAAAAUUCACACAACUACUUUCAUAUGUUGUUUGCACCCAGGUAAGGAGGCACGUCCAUAAACAAAUCACAAAAAGAAGAUACGGGGGAGAAAAGCCAGGACGUUUUGUUUUCCGAAAACCAGUUUUGUUCACUCUCGGUCUGGGACUUAGUACGCCUUAUUCCUUAGGUAUUUUGUUUUGAAAUUUUUACCAGAUGUUCGUCACUGUAUCUACUGAGUUUUGGCUGAGAUUUGAGCCCCAGUUUCGUUUCACGAGACUGUCAAUAAAUUAUUUUUGAUCACUGCCAUGGCUAAGAGGAUGGUUCGGUUGUGUGUGAAACUGUUUGAUUUUUUCACGGGUGAAUACUCAUCCGUUUGACCUGGAAUUUGUUGCAUUUUGUCCCAAAUUCAGUGGAGAUUCUUACGUGAAGUUUCAGAAAAAACUAAUUCCGAGAAUUUUUCAGAAAUUUCGUGCAAACCAAGGCUAUCCUCUACCAAAACCUGUGAAAUUUCGCCCAAGUAUUUGAAAUUUUAUUGUGGGUCCGUAUUGCGCUGAAAAAAUUCACACAAGUACUUUCAAAUGUUGUUUGCACCCAGGCAAGGAGGCACAUCCAUAAAGAAUUCACAAAAGGAAUAUACGGGGGAGAAAAGCAAGGACGUUUUGUUUUAGGAAAACCAGUUUUGUUCACUCUCGGUUUAGGACUUACUACGCCUUAUUUUUUGAGUAUUUUGGUCUGAAAUUUUUACCAGACGUUCAUCACUGUGUCUACAGAGUUUUGGCUGAGAUUUGAGCGCCAGAUUCGUUCCACGAGACUAUCAAUAAACUUUUUAUUCAUCAGUGCCAGAGCUGAGAGGAAGGUUCGUGUGUGUGUGAAACUGUUUGAUUUUUUUCGUGGGUGAAUACUUAUCCGUGUGACCUGAAAUUUGUCGCAUUUUGUCCCAAAUUCAUCGGAGAUUCUUACGUGGAAUUUGAGGAGAAAACUAUUUCAAGACAAUUUUUCAGAAAUUUCGUGCAAACCAAGGUUAUGCUCUACCAAAACUUGUGAAAUUUUGCCCAAGUAUCUGAAAUUUUAUGGUGGGUCCGUAUUGCGCUGAAAAAAUUCACACAAGUAAUUUCAAAUGUUGUUUGCACCCAGGCAAGGAGGCACGUCCAUAAAGAAUUCACAAAAGGAAUAUAUGGGGGAGAAAAGCAAGGCCGUUUUGUUUUCGGAAAACCAGUUUUGUUCACUCUCGGUUUGGGACUUACUACGCCUUAUUCCUUGAGUAUUUUGGUUUGAAAUUUUUACCAGACGUUCGUCACUGUGUCUACUGAGUUUUGGCUGAGAUUUGAGCCCCAGAUUCGUCCCACGAGACUAUCAAUAAACUUUUUAUUCAUCAGUGCCAGAGCUGAGAGGAAGGUUCCUUUGUGUCUGAAACUGUUUGAUUUUUUUCGUUGGUGAAUACUCAUCCGUUUGACCUAGAAUUUGUUGCAUUUGAUCCCAAAUUCAGUGGAGAUUCUUACAUGAAAUUUCAGAAAAAACUAUUUUCGGAGAAUUUUUCAUAAAUUUUGUGUAAACCAAUGUUAUACUCUACCAAAACUUGUGAAAUUUCUUCCUAGUAUCUGAAAUUUUAUUCUGGGUCCGUACUGCGCUGAAAAAAUUCACACAAGUACUUUCAAAUGUUGUUUGCACCCAGGCAAGGAGGCACGUCCAUAAAGAAAUCACAAAAAGAAUAUACGGGGGAGAAAAGCUAGGAUGUUUUUGUUUUCGGAAAAUCAAUUUUGUUCACUCUCGGCCUGGGACUUACUACGCCUUACUCCUUGGGAAUUUUGGUCUGAAAUUUUUACUAGACGUUCUUCACUGUGUCUACUGAAUUUUGGCUGAGAUUUGAGCCCCAGAUUCGUCCCACGAGACUAUCAAUAAAUUUUUUAUUCAUCAGUGUCAGAGCCUAGAGGAAGUUUCGUGUGUGUGUGAAACUGUUUGAUUUUUAUCGUGGGUGAAUAAUCAUCCGUGUGACCUUAAAUUUGUCGCAUUUUGUCCCAAAUGCAUCGGAGAUUCUUACGUGGAAUUUCAGGAAAAAACUAUUUCGAGAGAAUUUUUCAGAAAUUUUGUGCAAACCAAGGCUAUCCUCUACCAAAACUUGUGAAAUUUCGCCAAAGUAUCUGAAAUUUUAUUCUGGGUCCGUAUUGUGCUGAAAACAUUCACACAAGUACUUUCAAAUGUUCUUUGCACCCAGGCAAGGAGGCACGUCCAUAAAGAAAUCACAAAAAGAAUAUACGGGGGAGAAAAGCCAGGACGUUUUGUUUUCGGAAAACCAGUUUUGUCACUCUUUGUUUGGGACUUACUACGCCUUAUCCCUUGGGUAUUUUGGUUUGAAAUUUUUACCAGACGUUCGUCACUGUGUCUACUGAGUUUUGGCUGAGAUUUGAGCCCCAGAUUCGUUUCACGAGACUGUCAAUAAAUUGUUUUUGAUCACUGCCAUGGCUAAGAGGAAGGUUCGUUUGUGUGUGAAACUGUUUGAUUUUUUUCAUGGGUGAAUGCUCAUCCUUCUGCUGUUGCUGUUUUAAUUCUGAUGUAAUCAAAACAAUAUCUUGUUUUAUCUCUUAUCUUUGUCUAUUUGUGAAGACAAAUAGGGGGAGAUAUAUGCUGUGUUUCUAGUUUGUUUUAAGUUUCUGUUUUUCAGUUGAUAAAACAGUUUGGAAUAUGUAAUAUAUCUCUGAUAUUAGAUGUUUUAAGCUUUAAACUGUUUAUCUGUAUGCUAACAAAAUAUCAGAAGUUCAAUGUAUUGCUCAAAGUUCUAUUGCAGGAACUGCUUCAUUUAAUCAGGUACAACACAAGCAUCAGGGAUUUGUCUUCAUCAAAUAGGGGGAGAUUGUUGAACCAAGUGGUGUUCAAUGUUUUGAAGAAUCCAAAUCCUUUGAAGGAUGUUGAAGCAUCUGCUUUGCUUGAUGUUGCUGUGCUGGUUUAAGCUUUGUUCUGGGGUAGUUUAUAUGUUGUAAUCAACCCUUCGAUUAAAUCUCAAGCAAUUAGCAUCUCAAUCUUUAUGAAAAUAAAAUGUUUUUCAAACUAAGUUGAAACAACCAAUUGUUUUGUCGAAACAACCGAUUGUUUAUACUUAGGUGUUUUGAGAAAGAUUGAAAACUGUUUUUGAAUGGUUGAAACUGUUAAGUACCAAAACAACCGAUUGAUUCGAGGAAGCAACCGAUUGUUUGUUUUGGAAUCAUAAUAGAAAAACUGUUUUGUGUUUGAUUGAGCUUUAAAUGCUUUAACUGUAUAUGCUCUAGUCAUUAAAUGCUUUGACCAAUCUUUUAAUGCAAUUUAAGAGUUUGUUAAGAUUUGAUAACAAACUACAUCUUUGAAUAUAUUAAGAAAAACAUAUUUGAGAAUUAAGAAUCUUUGACAAAGUUUUUCUAAAGAGUUUUUCAAAGAGUUGAGAUUGCUAAGAGUUUGUGAUUGAUCAAGGUGCUGGAAUAGGAUUCUACUUGUAUUGAUUUCAGAUAUUCAUUUGUAACAAGUGUAAUCUUUGUACUCUGUUUAACAAUUUGUUUUUGUGCUUGCUGAGAUUGGCUAUGUGUUCUUGAGGUGUUCAAGAUCAGCAAUCUUAGUGUUGGCCAAGGAGAGUGUGUUUCUUGAGGUGUUCAAGGUCAUUCUCUUGGUUGAUUGUGUAAGUGAUCAAGGUGUGGUUGCUUAGUGGAUAUCCUCAGGAUUUCUGGAAGACUGGAUGUAGCUCUGGUUUGGAGUGAACCAGUAUAAACAACUGUGUACAAUCUCUCUAUCCCUAACUCUUUAAAUUCAGUUUAUUUGUUGUUUGCUGGUAUAAACAGCCGAUUGUUUCUACGAAACAACCAAUUGUUUUUCUGGUACUACAACUUUUGCUUGCUGUUUUGGCUAACUGAAUUGCUGAAUCAAUUGGUUUCUAAGAUAAAUUCAUUCUAGUGUUUGAAGAUUUUGCGAAAACCCUUUUAAACUAUUCACCCCCCUCUAGUUUAAAGCCAUCUUUUCUAACAACUAUUUCGAGACAAUUUUUCAAAAAUUUUGUGCAAACCAAGACUAUCCUGAUGAGAAUCAAAUAAAGGAGGCUUUUAUUAUUGAAGGAAGAGGUCAUUCACCUACACAUUUGAAGUUCUUCCUUCUAGUCUUCUCAAAAUUAAAAGAAGAUAUAAAAUAAAGAGAGGAUCAAGCCUAAAGCCAAAGAAGUCUACAGGCUUUCAAGAAUAGGCUUCAUUUAAAUAUCUCUCUUUAUAGUUUCUUUUGUAUAAAAUUGUAGAUAAUAUAGAAAAGUGUUUAGGAAGGUGCUUAUAGGAAAACCAUAGAUACCUCUUUUGUAAAGCAUCUUUAGGCUUUAGUUUAGAAUUUUCUAGAAGGUGACUCUUCAUAAGUCACUAUAGGCGUUAGCUUAGGAGACUUUUGGGUAGCUUGUGGUACAAGCUUUGUAAGCUUCAUGACCAGCCCUUGCUCCUAUAAAAGGAGGGCUUAGGUCCUUCAUAAUGCAAAUUUGGAAUUUGUAGUAUCAAAACUCUCCCAAAUUGGUGAUUGAGUGUAGUGAGAACUUGUCUUCUCCUCUUCCUAGUCUCAUCUUGAGUGCCUUGGUUCUCUCAAGUGGCGGCAUUGCACACUUAUCUUGGAGCAUUCACACUUCAAGUGGUGUGUUCAUCAACCAAGAACUACAACCACAUAAGUCCUCUUUCUUCUCCAUCUUCUCAUUCCAUUUCCGUGCCUAUUUGAAUUCCUAAACAUGUCUUAGGUUCCUUUCUUGCUUUCUAUUCGGUGUUCUUGCUUAUUUUCAUGUUUCAAUCGGUUCAUCUUCUUUCUCCUUGGAUUUGUUCUGUCCAUUUCAGUUUUGAAGCAUUUUAAUCGGUUCAUUUCAUUUGUUAUGCAAUUUAAUCGGUUCAUUUGCAUUUCUACAUCUUUUAAUCGGUUCAAUUGACAAGAAAUGGAACUUCCAUGUGAGUUUGGGUUUUGGUACUAGUUUUGGUGAGUUCUUCAUUAUAGAACAUUGAUCCAAUUCUAUUAAAAGUUCCUAUUCAAUCUCCAACUCAAGUUGAUUCCAUAGAAUGUCAAAGAAUCAUCUCUUCUUUGCUAUUGGAUUCAUAUCAUAUCCUCUACCAAAACUUGUGAAAUUUUGCCCUAGUAUAUGAAAUUUUAUUCUGGGUCCGUAUUGCGUUGAAAAAAUUCACACAUGUACUUUCAGAUGUUGUUUGCACCCAGGUAAGGAGGAACGUCCAUAAACAAAUCACCAAAAGAAUAUAAAGGGGAGAAAAGCCAGGACGAUUUGUUUCCGGAAAACUAGUUUUCUUCACUCUCGGUCUGGACUUACUACGCCUUACUCCUAGGGUAUUUUGUGAUGCAAAUUUUACCAGACAUUCGUCACUUUGUCUACUGAGUUUUGGCUGAGAUUUGAGCCCCAUAUUCGUCCCACGAGACUGUCAAUAAAUUUUUUAUUCAUCACUGUCAGAGCUGAGAGUGAGGUUCGUUUGUGUGUGAAACUGUUUGAUUUCUUUCAUGGGUGAAUACUCAUCCGUUUGACCUGAAAUUUGUCGCGUUUAGUCCCAAAUUCAGUGGACAUUCUUACAUGGAAUUUCAGGAAAAAACUAUUUCAGGAGAAUUUUUCAGAAAUUUUGUGCAAACCCAGGCUAUCCUCUUCCAAAACUUUUGAAAUUUCACCCUAGUAUCUGAAAUUUUAUUCUAGGUCCGUAUUGCGCUGAAAAAAUUCACACAAGUACUUUCAAAUAUUGUUUGCACCCUGGCAAGGGGGCACAUCCAUAAACAAAUCACAAAAAUAAUAUAUACGGGGGAGAAAAGGCAGGACGUUUUGUUUUCGGAAAACCAGUUUUGUUCACUCUCGUUCUAGGACUUACUACGCCUUACUCCUUGAGUAUUUUUGGUCUGAAAUGUUUACCAGACGUUCGUCACUGUGUCUACUGUGUUUUGGCUGAGAUUUGAGCCCCAGAUUCGUCCCACGAGAGUGUCAAUAAACAUUUUAUUCAUCACUGCCAGGGCCAAGAGGAAGGUUCGUUUGUGUGUGAAACUGUUUGAUUUUUUUCGUGGGAGAAUACUCAUCUGUUUGACCUGAAAUUUGUCGUGUUUUGUCCCAAAUUCAGUGGAGAUUCUUACGUGGAAUUUCAGAAAAAGUCUAUUUUAGGAGAAUUUUUCAGAAAUUUUGUGCAAACCCAGGUUAUCCUCUUCCAGAACUUUUGAAAUUUCGCCCUAGUAUCUGAAAUUUUAUUUUAGGUCCGUAUUGCGCUGAAAAAAUUCACACAAGUACUUUCAUAUGUUGUUUGCACCCAGAUAAGCAGGCUUGUCCAUAAACAAAUCACAAAAAGAAGAUACGGGGGAGAAACGACAGGACGAUUUGUUUUCGGAAAACCAGUUUCGUUCACUCUCGGUUUUGGACUUACUACGCCUUACUCCUUGGGUAUUUUGGUCUGAAAUUUUUAUCAGACCUUCGUCACUGUUUCUACUGAGAUUUCAGCCCUAGAUUCGUCCCAAGAGACUGUCAAUAAAUUUUUAUUCAUCACUGUCAGGGCUGAGAGGAAGGUUCGUUUGUGUGCAAAACUGUUUGAUUUUUUUCAUGGGUGAAUACUCAUCCGUUUGAUCUGAAAUUUGUUGCAUUUUGUCCCAAAUUCUGUGGAGAUUCUUACGUGAGAUUUCAGAAAAAAUUAUUUCCGGAGAAUUUUUCAAAAAUUUUGUGUAAACCAAGGCUUUAUACUCUACCAAAACUUGUGAAAUUUCGCCCCAGUAUCUGAAAUUUUAUUUUGGGUCCGUAUUGCGCUGAAAAAAUUCACACAAGUACUUUCAUAUGUUGUUUGCACCCAGGUAAGGAGGAACGUCCAUAAACAAAUCACCAAAAGAAUAUAAAGGGGAGAAAAGUCAGGACGAUUUGUUUUCGGAAAACCAGUUUUGUUCACUCUCGGUCAGGGACUUACUACGCCUUACUCCUAGAGUAUUUUGUGAUGAAAAUUUUACCAGACGUUCGUCACUGUGUCUACUGCGUUUUGGAUGAGAUUUGAGCCCCAGAUUCGUCACAUGAAACUGUCAAUAAAUUUUUUAUUCAUCACUGUUAGGGCUGAGAGGAAGGUUCGUUUGUGUGUGAAACUUUUUGAUUUUUAUUAGGGAUGGCAAAGCGGGGCGGGCCGUGCGGGCCGGCCCGCGGCCCGCAGGUAAAAAACGCGGUGCGGGUUAACCUUUUCAACCCGCUAACCCGCAUUAGCACGCCCCGCAUUAGCCCGCAACCCGUGCGGGCUGGCCUGCAAACCCGCAAGAAAAAAAAAUUGGCACUUAGUAGCAGCAGGGCAACGUAAUUAGGUUUUCACAAAAUUUCAAAGAAAGAAACACAACACAAUCGCGCUCACAUCUCACAGGGGCUCAGUUGCUGCUCCCAAACGGUCCACACACAAACGCUUUCGGCAACACCGCUGCGACUCCGCUUGCUCACGCCGCUACUGCUCCAUUGCGUCGCCUCUGAUCACUUCCGCACUGCACCAUUGCUGCAGCUACUGCCGCCACUCCUUCUCCACCACACAAGGCAAGUUUUUUUCUACAAAUUAAUUGGAGAUUUAUGUUUAUGUUGUUUGAAAUUUUGAUAUAAAUUGGGGAUUUAUGUUUAUUUGAUUUGAAAUUUUGAUAUAAAUUGGGGAUUUAUGUUUAUUUGAUUUGAAGUUUUGAUAGAAAUUGGGGAUUUAUGUUUAUUUGAUUUGAAGUUUUGAUAUAAAUUGGGAAUUUGUGUUUAUUUGUUUUGAAUUUUUUAUGUAAAUUGGGGAUUUGUGUUUAUUUUGUUUGAAAUUUUGAUAUAAAUUGGGGAUUUGUGUUUAUUUGUUUUGAAUUUUUUAUGUAAAUUGGGGAUUUGUGUUUAUUUUUUUUGAAAUUUUGAUAUAAAUUGGGUAUUUGGGUUUAUCUGCAUAUAAAUUAGGGAUUCUAUAUUUUCCAACAGGAUCUUAAUUUGCAAAUUGAUUGUAAUGGAUGAAGAAUGUAACAUGCCUCUUUGUGACUUUGAAGAUGAUAAUACUGAGAAACAAUCUGAAACUGUUGAACCUGAAAAAAAGAAAAGGGAUAAGACUAGCACAUCUGAUUGUUGGAGGUAUUUUACUAGGAUUAAGGAGGGAAAGGAUGGAAAAGAAAGGGCAAAGUGCAAUAGCUGCAACAAAAUAUAUAUAACUUGCGGAAGAAAAUAUGGGACUUCUCAUUUAAAUCGUCAUAUUAUGAAAUGUGUUAAAAGAAAAUCUGAAGAUGUGGGUCAAAUGAUUUUGGAUAUGCAGGGAAAGUUGAAGGCAAAAAAAAUAGAUCAAGUUGUACAUCGGGAAUUGUUGUCUAAUCUAGUUAUUAGCCACAAUUUGCCUUACAAAUUUGUUGAGUAUCCCGAACUUAGGACUUGGAUAAACUACUUGUGUCCUGAUGCAAUUAUGAUUUCUAGAAACACUGUUAAGGCUGAUAUUGGGAGAAUGUAUAUGAAAGAAAAAAUAAUGCUUAAGGAAUUGAUUGCUUCCAUUCCUAGUAGGAUAUGCUUAACUUCUGAUUUAUAGACAUCUAUUAAUACUGAGGGUUUCAUAUCAUUGACUGCACAUUUUGUUGACCUGAAUUGGAAGUUAAAUACCAAGCUACUAAACUUUUGUCAUAUGCCUCCCCCUCACAUAGGUUUUGAGUUGUCUAAGAAAAUUAAUGAAUUUUUACAAGAUUGGGGACUAGAGAAAAAAAAAUAUUUUUUUCCCCUCUGACUUUGGAUAAAUGCUUCCUGCUAAUGUCCAAAAUACUUUAAAAAGGCAACUUAUUUUUCAAAAUGGUUUGAUAUGUGGUGGUGAAUUCUUUCAUGUUCGUUGUUGUGCACACAUAUUGAAUUUAAUUGUUCAAGAAGGAUUAAAGGUGCUUGGUGAUGCUUUGGACCAAAUUAGAAAUAGCAUCAAGUAUGUGAGGGGUUCGGAAAGUAGAAUGGUGAAAUUUAAACAAUGCCUUGAAAGGUUUAGUGAUAUUGAUGCAUCAUCUGGGUUGUGUCUUGAUGUCCCUACAAGAUGGAACUCCACAUAUUUGAUGAUUAAUAGUGCUCUUAAAUAUCAACGUGUUUUUGGAAGCUUGCAUUUGGUUGAUGAAUCUUAUAAAUAUUGCCCUACAGAGGAAGAGUGGGAGAGAGCUAGAAAAAUUUGUGAGUUCUUGUUACCCUUUUAUGAAAUCACUAACUUGAUUUGUGCUACAAGUUAUCCUACUUCCAACUUGUAUUUUUUACAAGUUCGGAGAAUUCAGCGUUUAUUGAUGGAAAAUGUGAAGGAUGAAGAUGUACUAAUUAAGAACAUGGCUAAAUUGAUGAUAGUAAAGUUUGAGAAAUAUUGGGAUGAAUAAAGCGUUGUACUUGCAUUUGGUGCAAUUUUAGACCCAAGGAUGAAGUUAGAAACAUUGGGAUUUUGCUUUGAAAAAAUUGAAUCACUUACUUGGGAACUAAAAUUGAAAAAGAUCAAGGAAAAAUUAUACAAACUUUUUGCUGAAUAUUCUACCAAAGGUUUCACAACAUCAUCAAGUGUUCAAAAGCAAAGGCAAGGACAAUCUUCAUUCUCAUCAUCUAUGUCUAAACCAAGUCUUUUUGAUGUAAGUUAUUUACUUUAAUAAUACUUAUUAAUGCACUUUAAUUCAUUUUUAAUUUUUUUACAGCAAUCCAUUAUACUGACUUAUUACAUCAUUAUAGGAAUUAAAAAUGCGCAAGCUUCAAGUAGCUAAUAAAGCUGGAAGGUCACAACUUGACACUUAUUUGGAUGAACCAACUUUGGAUUUUGACUAUUCAGAGGAGAUGGAUGGGUUAGAUUGGUGGAAAAAUAAUAGUCAACGUUUUUCUGAUCUUGCUUUAAUGGCUAGAGAUUUGUUGAGCAUCCCUAUAACCACAGUUGCAUCAGAAUCUGCAUUUAGCAUUGGUUCUCGAAUUCUUAACAAGUAUAGGAAUCGACUUUUGCCUGAAAACUUGGAAGCAAUCAUUUGUACUUCUAGUUGGAAGCAUGGAUUUUCUGAAGGUAAUUCGAUUAUUUUAUUUUAUUUUAUUUUUAUUGUUUUUUUUUAUCAGCAAUAAGGAUUGAAUAACAGGAACCACUUAAGGGGUGGUUCAACCCUAUACAUACCUAUAUAAUAUGAAUCAAAUCUCAGGUCUCCCAAACCAAUAAGAUGAGAGAGACAAAAAAAUCUACCACUAAAAACCCGUUCAAACCCGUACAAACCCGUACAAUCCCGUACAAACUCAAAACAAACCCAAUACAAACUCACUGCAACCAUAACAAGGGCCAAAAAGAACAACAACCCUUAUCCACCAACCCAAUAGCCCACAAAAACCAACAACCAUCGAAAUAGAGAUACCUAUCACCCUAAACUGGGUCAUGCCAAUUAAAUCGAUUUCAAACACGAUAAAGGAACAAGACACCAGUCAGAAAAGGAGAAGCAAACAGAGGGUAUUUUAGAAGUUACCCAUGACCAAACCUUCAAUUGAGCCAAAAGUUAUCUUAUUUUUAUGAAAAAUUAAUUAAUUAAUUGUCAUUGUUUUAAUAUAUGCAGAUGACGGGGAAGAUUAUAAUUAUGAAAAAAUGGAUGAAAGUUCUUCUAAGGUGGCAUCCAAUGUUAUUGAGAUGGAAGAAUGUCAAUAAUGUUUAUGUUUAAUGUUUUUGAAUUAAUGUUUAUGUUUAAUGUUUUGGAAUUAGGUAUUUUUAAUGUUUUGGAAGUGGAAGAAUAGUGAUAUUUGAUAUUUAUUUUAAUGUUUAAUGUUUUGACGUUUGACUAUAUUUGAAAAGGAAGGAAAAAAAAUUAGGUUUGAUAAUAAUAAAUAUAUAGGUUUAAUUUGACAAUUUUUUAAGAACAAAAUGUAAAAAAAAAAGAACGCGGGCUGGCCAGCAAACCCGCGGGCUGGCCAGCAAACCCGCGGGCCUGCUCUUAUGCGGGGCGGGUCGGGAAUUCUAGCCCGCAAUAACUUUGCAGGGCGGGAAACCCGUCCCGCAUUUUUGUGGGCCAAGCGCGGGGCGGGCCAAUGCGGGGCGGGCUGGCCCGCUUUGCCAUCCCUAAUUUUUAUCAUGGGUGAAUACUCAUUCGUCGCACGAGACUGUCAAUAAAUUUCUUAUUCAUCAAUGCCAAGGCUGAGUAUAUGGUUCGUUUGUGUGUGAAACUGUUUCAUUUUUUUCGUGGGUGAAUACUCAUCCGUGUGACCUGAAAUUUGUCGUGUUUUGCCCCAAAUUCAUCGGAGAUUCUUACGUGGAAUUUCAGGAAAAAACUAUUUCGGGAUAAUUUUUCAGAAAUUUUGUGCAAACCAAGGCUAUCCUCUACCAAAACUUGUGAAAUUUCGCCCAAUAUCUGAAAUUUUAUUGUAGGUCCAUAUUGCGCUGAAAAAAUUCACACAAGUACUUUCAAAUAUUGUUUGCACCCUGGCAAGGGGGCACAUCCAUAAACAAAUCACAAAAAUAAUAUAUACGGGGGAGAAAAGGCAGGACGUUUUGUUUUCAGAAAACCAAUUUUGUUCACUCUCGGUUUGGGACUUACUACGCCUUACUCCUUGGCUAUUUUUGUUUGAAAUUUUUACCAGACGUUUGUCACUGUGUUUACUGAGUUUUGGCUGAGAUUUGACCCCCAGAUUCGUUCCACGAGACUGUUAAUAAAUUUUUAUUCAUCACUGUCAAGGCUGAGAGGAAGGUUCGUUUGAGUGUGAAACUGUGUUGAUUUUUUUUAUGGGUGAAUACUCAUCCGUUUGACUUGAAAUUUGUAGCAUUUUGUCCGAAAUUCAGUGGAGAUUCUUACGUGAAAUUUCAGAAAAAAGUAUUUCCGGAGAAUUUUUCAGAAAUUUUGUGUAAAACAAGGUUAUACUCUACCAAAACUUGUGAAAUUUCUCCCUAGUAUCUGAAAUUUUAUUUUCGGUCCGUAUUGCGCUGAAAAAAUUCACACAAGUAUUUUCAUACGUUCGUCACUAUGUCUUCUGAGUUUUGGCUGAGAUUUGAGCCUCAGAUUCGUCCCAUGAGACUGUCAAUAAAUUUUUUAUUCAUCAGUGCCAGAGCCUAGAGGAAGGUUCGUGUGUCUGUGAAACUGUUUGAUUUUUAUCGUGGGUGAAUACUCAUCUGUGUGACCUUAAAUUUGUCGCGUUUUGUCCCAAAUUCAUCGGAGAUUCUUACGUGGAAUUUUAGGAAAAAACUAUUUCGGGAGAAUUUUUCUGAAAUUUUAAAAUUUCGCCCUAGGAUCUGAAAAUUUAUUCUAGGUCCGUAUUGCGCUGAAAAAAUUCAUACAAGUACUUUCAUAUGUUGUUUGCACCCAGAUAAGCAGGCACGUCCAUAAAUAAAUCACAAAAAGAAGAUACGGGGGAGAAACGCCAGGACGAUUUGUUUUCGGAAAACAAGUUUUGAUCACUCUCGGAUUUGGACUUACUACGCCUUACUCCUUGGGUAUUUUGGUCUGAAAUUUUUACCAGACGUUCGUCACUAUAUCUACUGGGUUUUGGCUGAGAUUUCAGCCCCAGAUUCGUCCCAAGAGACAGUCAAUAAAUUUUUUAUUCAUCAUUGCCAGGGCUGAGAGUAAGGUUCGUUUGUGUGUGAAACUGUGUCAUAUUUUUCGUGGGUGAAUACUCAUCCGUUAGACCUGAAAUUUGUCGCGUUUUGUCUCAAAUUCAGGGGAGAUUCUUAUGUGGAAUUUAAGGAAAAAACUAUUUCGGAAUAAUUUUUCAUAAAUUUUGUGCUAACAAAGACUAUCCUUUACAAAACUUGUGAAAUUUCGCCCUAGUAUCUGAAAUUUUAUUAUAGGUCCCUAUUGCGCUGAAAAAAUUCGCACAAGUACUUUUAUAUGUUGUUUGCACCUACGUAAGCAUGCACAUCUAUAAACAAAUCACAAAAAGAAGAUACGGGGGAGAAAAGCCAGGACGUUUUGUUUUCGGAAAACCAGUUUUGUUCACUCUCGGUCUGGGACUUACUACGCCUUACUCCUUGGGAAUUUUAGUCUGAAAUUUUUACCAGACGUUCGUCACUGUGUCUACUGAGUUUUUGCUAAAAUUUGAGCCCCAGAUUCGUCCCACGAACCUGUCAAUAAAUUUUUUAUUCAUCACUGUCAGCGUUGAGAGGAAGGUUCGUUUGUGUGUGAAACUGUUUGAUCUUUUUCGUGGGUGAAUACUCAUCCGUUUGGCCUGAAAUUUGUCACAUAGUGUUCCAAAUUCAGCGGAGAAUCUUAUGUGGAAUUUCAGGAAAAAACUAUUUCAGGAGAAUUUUUCAGAAAUUUUGUGCAAACCAAGGCUAUCAUCCUCUACCAAAACUUGUGAAAUUUCGCCAUAGUAUCUGAAAUUUUAUUCUGGGUCCGAAUUGCGAUGAAAAAAUUGACACAAGUACUUUCAUAUGUUGUUUGGACCCAGGCAAGGAGGCAUGUGCAUAAAGAAAUCACAAAAAGAAUAUACGGGGGAGAAAAUCCAUGACGUUUUGUUUUCGGGAAACCAGUUUUGUUCACUCUCGGUAUAGGACUACUAGGCCUUACACCUUGGGUAUUUUGGUCACAAAUUUUUACCAGACUUUUGUCACUGUGUCUACUGAGUUUUUGCUUAGAAUUGAACCCCAGAUUCGUCCCACGAGACUGUCAAUAAAUUUUUUAUUCAUAACUGCCAGAGCUGAGAGGAAGGUUCGUUUGUGUGUGAAAUUGUUUGAUUUUUUACGUGGGUGAAUAUUCAUCCGUUUGACCUGAAAUUUGUCGCGUUUUGUCCCAAAUUAUGUGGAGAUUCUUACGUGGAAUUUAAGGAAAAAACUCUUACGGGAGAUUUUUUUUCAUAAAUUUUGUGCAAACCAAGUCUAUCCUCUACCAAAACUUCUUAAAUUUCUCCCUAGUAUUUGAAAUUUUAUUCUAGGUCCGUAAUCCGCAGAAAAAAUUCACACAAGUACUUUCAUAUGUUGUUUGCACCCAGGUAAGGAGGCACGUCAAAAAACAAAUCACAAAAAGAAGAUAAUGGGAGAAAAGCCAGGACGUUUUGUUUUUGGAAAACUAGUUUUGUUCACUCUCGGUCUCAGACUUACUACGCCUUACUCCUUGGGUAUUUUAGUGUGAAAUUUUGACGAGAUGUUCGUCACUGUAUCUACUGAGUUUUGGCUGAGAUUUGAGCCUUAGAUUCAUCCUACGAGACUGUCAAUAAAAUAUUUAUUCAUCCCAGUCAGGGCUGAGAAGAAGGUUCGUUUGUGUGUGAAACUGUUUGAUUUUUUUCGUGGGUGAAUACUCAUCCGUUUGACCUGAAAUUUGUCGCCUUUUGUCCCAAAUUCAGUGGAUAUUCUUAUGUGGAAUUUCAGGAAAAAAAUAUUUCGGGAGAAUUUUUCAUAAAUUUUGUGCAAACCUCUACAUAUAAACUUGUGAAAUUACGCCCUAGUAUCUGAAAUUUUAUUUUGGGUCCGUAUUGCGCUGAAAAAAUACACACAAGUACUUUCAUAUGUUGUUUUCACCCAGGCAAGGAGGCACGUCCAUAAAGAAAUCACAAAAAGAAUAUACGGGGGAGAAUAGCCAGGACGUUUUGUUUUCGGGAAACUAGUUUUUUUCACUCUCGGUCUGGGACUUAUUAUGCCUUACACCUUCAGUAUUUUGGUCAUAAAUUUUUACCAGACGUUCGUCAAUGUGUCUACUGAGUUUUGGCUGAGAUUUGAGCCCCAGAUUUUUCUCACGAGACUGUUAAUAAAUUUUUUAUUCAUCACUGCCAGGGCUGAGAGGAAUGUUCGUUUGUGUGUCAAAUUGUUUGGCUUUUUUCGUGGGUGAAUAUUCAUCCGUUUGACCUUAAAUUUGUCGCGUUUUGUCCCAAAUUUAGUGGAGAUUCUUACGUGGAAUUUCAGGAAAAAAGUAUUUCGCGAGAAGUUUUCAGAAUUUUUGUGCAAUUUCGCCCUAGUAUAUGAAAUUUUAUUCUAGGUCCGUAUUGCACUGAAAAAAUUUACACAAGUACUUUCAUAUGUUGUUUGCACCCAGGUAAGGAGGCACGUCCAAAAAAAAAUCACGAAAAGAAGAUACUGGGGUGAAAAGCCAGGAUGUUUUUGUUUAGGAAAACCAGUUUUGUUCACUCUCGGUCUCGGACAUACUACGCCUUACUCCUUGGGUAUUUUGGUUUGAAAUUUUUACGAGAUGUUCGUCACUGUGUUUACUGAGUUUUGGCUGAGAUUUGAGCACCAGAUUCAUCCAACGGGACUUACAAUAAAUAUUUUAUUCAUCACUGUCAGGGCUGAGAGGAAGGUUUGUUUGUAUGUGAAACUAUUUGAUUUUUUUCUUGGGUGAAUACUCAUCCGUUUGACCUGAAAUUUGUCGCCUUUUGUCCCAAAUUCAGUGGAGAUUCUUCUGUGGAAUUUCAGGAAAAAACUAUUUCCAGAGUAUUUUUCAGAAAUUUUGUGCAAACCAAGGCUAUCCUCUAAAUUUCGCCCUGGUAUCUAAAAUUUUAUUCUGGGUCCGUAUUGCGCUGAAAAUAUUCACACAAGUACUUUCAUAUGUUGUUUGCACCCAGGUAAGGAGGCACGUCCAUAAACAAAUCACAAAAAGAAGAUAAAGGGGAGAAAAGCCAGGACGUUUUGUUUUCGGAAAACCAGUUUUGUUCACUCUCGGUCUGGGACUACUACGCCUUACACAUUGGGUAUUUUGGUCAGAAAUUUUUACCAGACGUUCUUCAUUGUGUCUAAUGAGUUUUGGCUGAGAUUUGAGCCCCAUAUUCGUCCCACGAGACUGUCAAUAAAUUUUUAUUCAUCACUGCCAGGACUAAGAGGAAGGAUCGUUUGUGUGUGAAACUGUUUGAUUUUUUCGUGGGUGAAUUUUUUCUGGAAACUCUAUGUUUUGUUUAAGUGAUCUUUAUUCUGCUGCUUUACUGCUGAUGUUUUGGGGUUUUAGCUGCUACUUUGUUUAAGCAAAACAUAAGUUUUGUUUUACUGCUCUAACCUCUCCCAUAUAUGUUGUACUUUGCUUAAACUUUGCUUUGCAGGAACUGCUUCAGAUUCAAUCAAGUCCAACACAAGCAACCAGGGAUUUGUCUUCAUCAAUUAGGGGGAGAUUGUUGAAUCAAGUGUGUUCAAGCUUUGAAGAAUCCAAAUCGUAGUGUUUGAUGUAAAGCUGGAGGUGCUCUUUGAUGUUGUUGUGCUUUAGAAUAGGAUCUGGGGUAGAUUAUAUUUGUAAUCCACUCUUUGUUGAAUAUAAAGCUUAAGUGUUUUCAAAUCUUUUAAGUUUAAAGUGUUUUUCAAACUAAGUGAAAAACAACUUGUUUAGUCGAAACAACCGAUUGUUUUAUACUUAGGUGUUUUUGAAAUUGUUGAAAACUGUUUUGGAUGGUUGACUUGCUGUCAAACCAAAACAACCGAUUGAUUCGCUAUUUCAACUGAUUGUUUGUUUGAAAUCCUAACAAAAAUAGUUUUGUUAGUUAAAUGAGCUUUAAUUGAUUUUAUAACUGAAUACGCUCCUGCUUUAAAUGUUUUAACCAAGAUUUGAAUACUAUAAAUAGUUCGUUAAUGUUUUAUAACAAACAAGAAGAAAGAAAAACAAAUUUGAGUUUUUCAAAGAGCUUUUCAAAGAUUUGAGUUUUCACUUUGAGCUUUGGUUAUUCAAGAGAGAAGUGGAAUAUGAUUACUCUAUAUUGAUUUCAGUUGAUUCUGUAACAGUGUAAUUCGUUCUAAAGAGUUGUGUGCUCUUGAGGUUGUUAACAUCAACAUUCUUGGUGUGUGUGCUGAGCCAAAGGAAGUGUGUUUCUUGAGGGGAUCAAGGUCACUUCUUUGGUGGUGUGUGUAUGUAAUCUGGAUUUGAUUACCUAGUGGAUUCCCCAGUGGUUUCUAGGAAACUGGAUGUAGCUCUUGGGUUAAGAGUGAACCAGUAUAAACUGUUUGUGCAUUUCUCUCUUCCUUAAACUCUUUAAUUUCAUUUUUUGUUAUUUUUACUGGUAUAUACAACCGAUUGUUUUUCUGGUGCUUUACUGGUUUGAGCUUUGUUCUUGGCAAACUGAGUUCCUAAAUCUGGUUUCUUGCAAAGAAUUUCAUUCUAUCUUAAAAAGUUUGCGUAAACCUCCUUUAAACCAUUCCCCCCCCCCCCUUCUAGUUUAAAGCCAUACAUUCUAACACAAGGGAAGUGGAGUGAGUGAGGCCAACAAAAGAUGUACCUGAAUGUGCAACAAAAGUCGUGGAACUAGGGUUCUGAUCCUCAUACCAUUUAAGAAAUUCAUUGAAAAUAGCAGGUUGGCCUGAGGUAUCAAUUAAAGUAUGGUCCAUAGUAGAAGGUUGCACAGGGGCAGUUUGUGCAACCGCAACAGAUUUAGGAGGACGACCAUGUAAGGAAUAACAUCUGUUAAUUUUGUGGCCAAGUUUGCCACAAUGGUCACACUUGUGACGCCCUUUGCCCGGCUUGUGAGGGCGAGGACGAUCAUUAUGCUGAGAGACUAAAGCAGAAGAAUCAUCAACAUGAGACGUUAUAUCAGUGGUGUGUUUACCUGGCACACACAAAAGGGUAGAACAAGUGUAAGUAAAAUUGGGCACAAUAGGAGAUCCCAAAAUUUGAUCACGAACAUGAUAAUAAUCAUUAGGAAGGCCAUGUAAACCCAAUAACAUGAAGAACUUGGAUCUUUGUUCUAGUUCUUGAGAAGGAGUGGGAGCAUGAGGUAAUAACUCAUUAAAAUCAUGAAGAAAAGCAUGAAGUUUACCCAGAUAUUAUGCCAUUGUACCAUCAAGACAUUUGGAAGCAACAAUUGUGAGAAGAUUUUGACACACACCAUAAAGACGUUGAGUAUCAUUGGUGUAUAAUAAUUUUGCUUGUUCCCAAACUUCUGAACAUGUCUCAUAGGUACGAAAUAUUUGCUUUAAAGAUGAGUGAAUGGUAGAUUUUAUAACAGUGCAUAAUUGAGCAUAAAUUUUCAACCAACGGGAAACCUCAUUUUCAGCAACAGUAGGAUGGGAAAGAUGAUCAACAUAACCUUGACUCUUAAGCCAUAAUUUAAUAUCUGAUGCCAAAGUGUCAUAAUUGGUUCCAUCCAAUUUGUCAAUGGAGAGAUGAACAUUGAUGUAAUUAGUAUAAAUAGAUGGAUUCGGCAUAAUGACUGCGAAAGAAGCCACAGUGGUAGCGGCAGCGGAAGAAGCCAUAGUGGCAGCGGAAGCGGAAGAAGCCAUAGAGGAUAAGGACAAAUCAAGUCACUUGUUAAUUGGCGACAACAACAAAGAUGAAGGCUCUGGCAGCGUCUCUGGCGGAGGCUCCGGUGAGAUUCUGGCGGCGACUCUAGUGAGAUUCUAGCGACAGCUCCGGCAAGGUUCUGGCGAGGUUCCAGUAGCGGCUCUAGCGAGGUUUCGACGGCGACUCCGGCGAGGCGGUGGGGCAGUGGCUGGAAAAUUCCAAUGAAUAGUGGGUUCACCAAAAAUUGAACCCUAACCCUAUGCUUUGAUACCAUAUUAAAGGAAAAGAAAGAAUAGGGUAAAUCCCUUGUGUAUAUUGAACACAUAGGGUUAUGUUUAUAUAAGAAAAGAAACAUAUGGGUUAAGCCCAUUACAUAAAUAUGAAAUAUCUAACAAUAUCUAUAAUAUAUAAUAAUAUCUAAUUAUAUCUAAUAAUAUGUAAUAAUACCUAACAAUAAUAAAAAUUUAUGCAAUAAGUUUGAGUUAUUAGAAAAUUAAUAUAUUUCUCCUUUUUAAAAUUGUCUUACAAUCGUGCUAGAAUUGUCAGAAAUCCAACAAAUAUUUUUUGAAUUGGACACUUCACCGAUACGUGUCCCACAAGUGUCGUACGAGUCUCAGUGUCCAAUACAGGUGUCUGACAUGGACACACCAUUUAAGAGGAGUGUUUGAGCCUUAUAGGACACAACAGCAAGUUUGGUCUCCCAAACCUUGCAUACUACUUACUUCCUUUCCUCAACGACAAAUUUCCCCACCUUUACUAUUGAGACGGAUUUAAGUCGACCUUUUCAUUGGUUUUGUAUCUGUACAGAUCAUCUUUUUGACUAUGUUGCAUUAUUGUUUCUCUUCUUCUAACACUUCAUCAACUCAUCAAUUUCUUCUGUGGAAUCGUCAUCUUCAUGAUCAAAUCUGCCAUGGAUGUACGAUGUGCUCAUCAACUUUAAUGGAGAAGACAUCCAAAAGAAAUUUGUUUCUCAUCUCGAUUCUGCCCUCUUUGAUGUUGGCUUUACCACUUUCCUUCACUACCCCAAUGCACUCAACACAACGCACAUCCAACAACCUAUUCUCAAUCUCUCUUGUGUAACAAUUAUUGUUUUCAGGAAAUCCUAUAUUCAAUCUGCUUGGUGUCUUCAUCAAUUUCAACAAAUCAUUAAAUGGCACAAAACUUAUAGUCUACAUUAUUAAGGAAAUAAUGAUUAUCAAAUUAUACGCAAUUAACUUGAUAAUGAUAGAAUCUCACGAUUAUUGGAUCACAAAAUCCCAUGAUUAGUGGACUACCACAUAUGGAGUGUUGUAAAUACACACAAGAAUAUAAGAAAUUACCAUUUUCUUAUAUGGUAUCAGAGCAUCGAUCUUGGUGCUUUAAUAACCUCUCCAUUUUUAUCCGCUAAAUAAGAGAUCAUGUCUGAUAAGGAAGACACAGUAACGCCGCCAAGUCGGCUGCCAUGGAACCAACCAAUCCCUACUAUCUUCAUCAUUCGUACAAACCUGGACACAUGUUGGUGUUGACCAAAUUGAACGACACCGAUUAUCAAUCCUGGAAGACAACAAUGAUGCACACACUCACAGCGAAGAAGAAACCUAUUUAUAGUAGAAACAAUAAGUAAGAAAUGAAUUGAGUUAAAAAGGAUCAAGACUUUGAAUCUUAUACCACACCUGUUAUAUAUGUUAUCAUAAUUAUUAUUAAUGUUAGAAAACAGUGGACGAAACUUGAAGCCAAUUUCCUUGAGUGACCAAAGAAGCUUUAACCACCACACCAGACCAGUUCUUUUUGUCAUAUUAUGAUUUUUAUUAUACUUAUUAUUAUUAUUAAUAUCAUUUAUAUUAUUAAUAUUAUUCAUAAUAUAACUAUUAUUAAUAUUAUGAAUAUCAUUUAUAUUAUUAAUAUUAUAAACAUUAUAAAUAUAAUUAGUAUUAAUAGUAUUAUUAAAUUUAUUAUUAUUAUUAUUAAUAUUAAUAUUAAUAUUAUCAUUAAUAUUAGUAUUGUUAUUAUUAAUAUAAAUAAAAAUAUUAAUAUCAAUAUUAUCAUUAAUAUCAAUAUUAUUAUUAUUACAAUUAUUAAAAAUAUUUUUUAUGUAAUACUUUAUAUUUGGAUACAUGUAAUAUUCCCGUUUCAUACGCUUCAUGCAACACCUAAUUUUAUUUUUAGUUUUUUAAUGGGCUGCAACACAUAUGGUGGAAUUAGAAAAAAGGUGUUAAAAUUCUAAUUGAAUUUAGAUGGAGAUAAUCAAUAUGAAAUAUUAUUAUUGAUACCAAUACUUAUGUUAUUUUUUCAUUUUUUUUAAUUUUAAUAUUAUAAAUUUUUCUUUAAUUAAAUUAAAAGAAUAAUUAAACUAAAAUUACUUUUUUAAUUUAUUUAUAACAACGUAAUACAUCUUAAAAUUAUUUCAAUUCCAUGUAACCUUCUUUUAUAUUUUCAUUUUUAAUUUUUUUUUUAUUUUAGUUAGAACUAUAUGAAUCUAAAUGCUAUGUAAAAAUCCGUAUGUAAUGCUCACUUUACAUAUGGAUCUGGAUCCGUAUGUAAAAAUCGAUAUGUAACACUUACUUUACAUAUGAAUCUGGAUCCGUAUGUAGCUAACUUUACAUACAAAUUUGGAUUUGUAUGUAAAAAUCGGUAUGUAACAAUUACUUUACAUACAAAUCUGGAUCCGUAUGUAAAAAUCCGUACGUAACGCUGAUAAGUGCCAAUGUGUAGUUUUUAUGAUUGAGAAAAUUGAACACUUUGGAACUUAAUUGUUGCUUAAUGUAAGAAAAUUACCCUAAUCUGAGAAUUAUUGAAUCUGAUUAUAUAUUUCUUGAACCAAGAAACAAAUGAAGAAAUUUAAUCUCAAUUUUUGUGUAAAUUGCAGAUGAAUAUGAAGCAUUGAAAGAAUGUAUUCAAGCUGGCAUUGAAAGAAGAAAAAGUAAAAACUGAAUUGGAUCACAAGAAGAUUUAGCUCAAGCUAGAGGAUUUAGCUCAAGCUAAAACUGUCCAGAGUUGAUUAAAGGUGCAGUACAAUUUUAGCCCAGGCUAGAAUUGCUAGCUCAAGCUAAAACUGUCCAGAGCUGAUUAAAGGUGCAGUACUGAUCUAGCUCAGGCUAGAAUCGCUAGCUCAAGCUAAAAAUGCACCGAAAGAUCUAGCUCAAGCUAAAACAGGCUAGCUUGAGCUAAAGUUGAUUAUAUAAAUUCUGAAACAUAACUCAAAACCAGCGGUGGAAAACAGAUUAGGUUUUUUAGAGAGAGACUAGUGAGAGAAAGGGAAGAAACCUCUGUUCUUAGGAGAAGAACUUGCUCAGAUCAGCCCUUCUUAUGCAAUCCAGAUCAAGAAUGAAGAUUGGAGGAGCUGUCAUGAGUGGCUAAGUUCUUUCUAACUUGGGAUUGAAUGUAAUUUAUCUUGAUCAAAUGUAUUCUUGGUGAUAUAUAUAUAAAAUUCUCUUUUCUACUUGUUCUUGGUAUUUUCGUUUUAUGCUUAUUGCUUGAUUCUUUCUAAUCAAUAGAGUCUUGAUUUUGAUCCUUAAAUUUAACUGGAAAGUACCUUUAAGGAUCUGAAAUAGACGAAAAUGCUUGAUAACUUGUAAUGCUAGGAAUAGAUUCCAGGUUAUUGAUUGCAUGAUAAUUCUGUUCCUAAAGCUGGAUGAUUUGUUAAAUAUGUGAGGAAUGAAUGUUUAAGAAAUUAUCUUAUGAAUUUUAUCUGUGAGGAAUCAAGAUGAAUGACUUUAAAUUAAGCAUCAAGAAUAAGUAGUUUUGAGUAUUAUAUAUUGUAUUAUUCAAAAUACAGAUGAUUGAGAUAAACACAAUUCAAUCCCAAGUAUCUUUCUCUAUAUUUGAUAAGUUAGUUUGGUAUUUGGUUGAAUCAAACCCUAAAUCUUUGAGUUCUUGUGAAAUCUUUAAUUUGGUUAUGAACAAAGUCUCAAAAUUAUUUUCUAUACUUAAUGAGUUUUAAAACAGAACAUCUUAAUUAGAAUUGUUCCCUGUGGGUUCGACAUUCGUACUUUAAAGAGUACUAUAUUACAGUUGAUUCGGUACACUUGCCGAAGAAAUAAUCAACAAACGCUCACUUUACAUACGAAUUAUCCGUAUGUAAAAAUCCAUAUGUAAUGUUCACUUUACAUACGGAUUCAGAUCCUUUUCAGUAUGUAAAUAACAGUUAUGUAGUGUUAUACCCUAUAUAAUGGCGCUGAAAUCCUUUUCAAUGAAUUAAAUUGUGACAGUUAUGACUGACACUAUUUACAUAUAAAAAUCGGCAUUUUAAACAAAGUGUUAAAUUGGCGGGUGUUGCGGAAGGUAGCUUAAGACUGCCACAUUAAACUUUGUGGUGGCCAAUCCUAUGAUGGUUUGGGAAACCAUCACACGCGUAUAUUGUGGUGUUUAUAAACGCUAGUUUAUACGAAAAUAAUUGUCGCAUUAUACACCUUUUUUUGUAGUGAUUGUUUUAAGAAAAAGAAGUAUAAUAAAAAUAAAUUUGCAAUUUAAUUAUGUGAAAAAUUAUUAAAAUAACAUUAGUAAGAGUUGUUUUAUGGGUGUAAAAUAAAAUUUCGGCAAUGUUUCAGGAGAUAUAUAUCAGAGAGAAGCAACCUGAUUUAAUCUGAACACAUUAAUACCAUGUUAGAAUAAGCUCGAGAAAACAAUUUUUUUUAUGAAGUUUAGGAGAGAUGAAUAUUCAUUUCAAAUAAGACAGAAAAAGGGAGAAUCAAAACAAAAUAUGUCUUUUUUUUUAUAUAACCAUGCCUAAAGCAGUGCAACAUAAAAGUAUGCAGCAGAGCAAAAUGCAAAAACAGAAUGAGUCAUCAAUAUAAUAUACAUGUGUACCUACAAAAUAUGUUUUUUUGUUUCUUUAUUUUAAUUUAAAAUAAUAAUUUAAUUGUUAAAAAGUAACUGUAAAAUUUUAUUGUUUUUAAUAUGUAAAGGAUAAAAUUGAAAAAUUAAAUGUAUAUGCAAAAGAGGAAAAUUCUAUUGUUAUAGACUAAUAUUAAUAAUAUUAUUAUUAAGUUAAUAUGAUGGCUAGCAUGGGUUUUUUUGAAAAAUGGGUCUAUUGGAUCAAAGAAUACCUCAAAUAUGUUGAAGAUGAAUGAAGCUUAGUCUCUACCUAGCCUUAGUGUGUUUGAUGUAGAAUUUAGCUAGUUUGCUUUGAAGGUUGCAAUGUGUCUUAGAUGAUCUUGUACUUUAGGUUUGUGUAUGUUCAAGGUUGCUUUUUGCUACAUGACCCAUCCUAGAUGCCAAAUCAAGGUAGUAAGAUCAAGCACAUGAUGUGGUUAAAUGGUUUUGGAAAAGUUUUUUAAAGUUUUCUUAAAAGGUUUGACUCAGUACAAAAAUAAAUUUGUUUACUUGAGAAACAAUGGGUUUAUUUUUGCUCUAUUGAAAGAUUUUUCGAAAUUCAGUUAGGGCACCAAAGUUAAAGCUCAGUCUGUUAUUUCAGUUAAGGUGAGUUGGCAGUUUUGUUAACAUUUAACCUGUUGUUUUUAGAAUAAAUCUGUUGUUUUUAAAACUGCUUUGAAACUGCUUUUUGAAAAGUGGUUAGAAACUGUUCUCUAUAAAAUAAAAUGCCCUUCUCACAUAAAGAGAGCUGAGCAAUCACAGUUUUAACAGAGAUAAAACACUUCUUGUGUGAGAAAGAGAAUUGAAAAGGUUUUGCAAAGGUUUUUUAGUAGGAAAAUAGAUGUGUGCUUGUUCUUGAAGAACCUUGUGCUGGAUGAAGGUGUUGGUACUGUCUUGAAGCAAAUAGAACAACUGGUAUAUGUUCUUGCAUCACUUUUCAAGUGUAAUCUUUCCGUUAUUCGUUCUUGUAAUAGGUGUAAGUGUUAGUCACUCUUGAUAAGAUUUCUUGGAGUGCAAGGUGUGCUGAAAUAGUGUUUUUCAGCCUUGUUUGUUGAAGUUCUUGUAGGGUUCAAGAACUGUUGUGUAUGCUGUAAUUGAUUGUAUCUGUUUUAGUGGAUUCCACCUUGGAGUAAGGUGAACUGGACGUAGCUCUUGAUGAGUGAACCAGUAUAAAAAUUCUCUUGUGUUUCUCUUCUCAUCCCUGCACUUAUUUAUGAGUUUUCACAUAAUUUGUCAAGAAAGGAAUCUGUUCUUUUAAAUCUAAAUUUGUUAACUCUAGACCUGAUAAAAUCUGUCAUUCUAACUUGUUAAUCAAUCUUCUAAACAUAAAUCAAGCUACUGUGUGAAUCUGUAAUAUGGCUAAAGUGUGAAUUGUUUUCCUUGACUGAACUGUGGCAUUUGUUCAUUCUCCUAGAUGCUUUGUGUUAAGUAAAAUUGAUUAAUCUUGUGAUAUAAUCUGCAAUUUGUAAGUUGUAAAAGUUAAUCAAUUUGUUUCUGCUAUUCUUGCUGGUUGAUCUAAAUCUUGUUGAUCAAGUUCUGUUUGUGCUAAAGUCAUUUGGAAAAUCAAUCUGUUUCAUUUAAAAUCAAUCUGUUCUUUUCAUCUCUGUCACACUGUAAAUCAGUUUCUUUUGCGAAAAUUUGAUAAGCUCAAUUCACCCCUCCCCUCUUGAACUUAGACGUUGUUUAACUCUAACAGAAUCUUCUUCUAUCUUUGUUUUAGUUAAUGAAAGUCCAUCUAAGUAAUUCAAACCGUCUAGAGGUCUAAGACAAGGGGAUCCAAUUGCACCGUUCUUAUUCAUAAUUGUGGCCGAAGGCCUAUCAAGUUUAUUAAAUCAAGGGCUACAAAGGAAGUGUUUUCUGAAUUAAAAGUCAGUGCAAAAAAUAUAGAGGUGAAAUUACUUCCUUUUGCAAAUGACACUUUGAUCAUGUGUAAAUCUAAUAUCCAAAAUAUUAGUGGUAUUAAAGGGAUCCUUAAAUGUUUUGAAAUUUGCUCAGGGCUUAGAAUAAACUUCUUUAAGAGAAAAAUUGGAGUUAUAGGAGUGGACAAAAAUGUGUUAGGAUCUUUCUUUGAGGUUCUCCAUUGCAACAUUAUGAAUAUUCCUUUUUUAUAUCUUAGUUUACCUAUUGGGGGAAAUUCUACUAAGGUUUCUUUUUGUGACCCAGUGCUUACAAAGGUUAAGAAGAGGCUAUCUAUGUGGAAAGGUAAAAAUCUAUCAUUUGCAGGUCGUGUGUGCUUCAUUCAUUUUGUGUUGAAUGCAACCCCUUGUAUUAUCUCUCUUUCUUCAAAGCUCCAUCAUCUAUAUGCAAAAAGAUUACAAAGUUACAACGUAAGUUCUUGUGGGGCUGGGAUAUUGAGGGAAGGAAAAUUGCUUGGAUUAAAUGGGAUAAUUUAUGUAAACCUAAAGCGAAAGGUGGGUUAGGCAUAAAGCAGAUAGACAUUUUCAACAAAGCUUUACUUGGCAAAUGGAAAUGGAGACUUGGGUCUCUUGAGAACUGUUUAUGGAAAGAUAUUCUUGCUUCUAAAUAUGGUUCUUGGAGAAAUUUAUCUGAAUCUAAAGUUUCAAAGCAUGCUUCAAGAUGGUGGUUCCAUUUAAACAAAGUGUGUGAGGAUGAGCAGGGCAUCAAUUGGUUUGAUUCUAAUAUGGAAUGGGCGGUUGGGUCUAGUGAAAAAGUUAAGUUGUGGGAAGAUGUUUGUGUUUAUAUUGUUUGGGUUUAUAACUGUCAAUUGAAAGCUAGAUUCCCAAGGUUGUUUAAUAACUCUCUCAUCAUAGAUAAUUCCUUGUGUCGCUUUGGUAAUUGGAACAGAGACAACUGGGUUGAGAAUUAAAGUGGAGAAGAGAGUGGUUUAAAUGGGAGAAGGUCCAAGUAGAUGAAUUUAUGACUAUGCUAGAAGGUCAGACCUUGAAAAUAGGUAAGGAGGAUAAAUGGUUAUGGAGAGACCCGCAAACCUGUAAGUACUCUGUCAAAUCUGCAUAUGCAUUCGUUUCUAAUCCUAUCCCAAGUGCAUCUAAGGAUAUGUAUAGGGUUAUGUGGGGCUUGUUAGUCUCACCAUCGGCCCAAUGUUUUGUUUGGAGAGCAUUGCAAAACAGGAUCACCAAAAAGCAAAAUCUGAUUAGAAGGUCGGUCCACCUUGCGGAUUCAUUAUGUGUUUUAUGUGGGAUCGAGGAGGAAAUGUCCUCACACCUUUUCUUAAGUUGUCAGAUUGCGAGCGUUGUUUGGAAUUGCUGUAGUAAAUGGAUUGGGGUUAGAUCUGUAAAUCAUUUUGCUCUGAAGGAACACUUUGAACAAUUUCAUUGCCCUUAGCUUAGCAAAGAAGGCAAUAAGUUGUGGAAAUGAGUGUGGGUAUCUAUCAUCUGGUGCAUUUGGAAACAUAGGAAUGAGAUUGUGUUUAACCAAGCAAAAGUGGAUGCGGGUGAAAUCUUUGGCCUGACCCAAAUGCAAUUGUGGGCUUGGUUAAAAAUACAAGACUUCAAUGACGCUUUUUUCUUUUUCCGACUGGGUCCAAUGUCCGAAUACUUGCAUUAAUAUAACAGUAAAACGUUGAUUUUGUGAGGAUAGAGAGGUUGUAUGUAUUGAUUGGUUUUUGUUCCUUUUUUAGGAUGUUUUGAGAGUAUGUAAUGUACCCUUAAAGUGUAUAAGGGUUGGAGCACCCCUUUGUGCUCCUUUUCUAUUAAUUUAUUUUUUUGCCAAUUAAAAAAAAAGUUUACAAAGGAUGUUAACCAUAUUAAUUAAUUCAAUUCGUCUGCCUAUAUAUUACGCAUAUCUAUAUGAGUACUUAAGAGUGAAAUAUUAAAUAAAUUUAUUUUCCCUUCCACUCAUUCUCUUUCUUAUUAAUAUAUUACUCUAUAAAUAGGUUGAUAUUUCUUAUGUAUAGUGUUCUUUGCACACACAUUCCAACUAAGAGUACCUCCUGAUAGAAGGCAUGAAGAUCUCAUCUACGCUUUGAAAAGAAAGAUUAUAUAAGAUAAUCUCCACUCGUGUAAGAAAGAAAAGUACAAUGUAUUUUUUUAGUUCUUGCAAAUAUAAUACUUUUGUUAUACAUGUCAAUUUUUAUUUUAAAUCCAACCACAUUAGUUUCAUGUUAUUAUCCCCAGUCACUUCAAAAAAAUUAACAGAAGCUAAAAACAACUUUUUAAAAGUACAGAACUAAGAUAAGAAUAAAAGUGCAUGGAUCAAAAAUAAAAAUAUAGUUAAGAGGGAAAAUAUUUAACCGUGACAAAGGUUUUAAAAAGAGGUGACAAGAUGCAUUAGAGAAGUAGAAUAAAACUUUCACUUAUUUUUUACGCCAUGAUUAAAUUAGUAAAUAAAAAAUUGAUUAAAUUGUUGAAAGUUAUAUAACUUUUAACGUUUUUCAUGAGUUUAGACAUGCUAAACUAGAAAUGUAGAAUUCAAAAUCAAUAUAAAUAAAAGAAAAAGAAAAUAUUUGCUUAAUGAUUUUAACAAAAUGACAUUGAAAUAAUGUUAUAAACUGAUUAUAGAUAAACUGAAUGUUUUUCUAAACUGUGUUUAUACCUACAUUAACCUGUUUUAGAUAUACAUGUGUAAUGUGAAAGAUGAUAAUGUUAUAAGCUUUUAAAACUUUAAGCGAUAUUUGCAUUAUCUCUUCCACGACCACUAAAAAAGUACUUUUAUUAUUGUGUCUGUAGAGAUCAUCUCUUUGACUGUGUUGCAUUAUUGCUUUCUCUUCUAAACACUUCAUCAACUCCUUCCAUGGAAUUGGCGUCUUCAUCAACCAAACUCUCAAAGAUGUACGACGUGCUCAUCAACUUCAAUGGAGAAGACAUCCAAAGGAAAUUUGUGUCUCAUCUCGAUUCUGCCCUCUCUGCUGUUGGCUUCACCACUUUCCUUCACCACCCCAAUGCACACAACCCAAUUCACUUCCAACAACCUAUUCUCAAUCUCUCUCGUGUAGCAAUUGUUGUUUUCACCACAACCUAUUCUCAAUCUGCUUGGUGUCUUCAUCAGCUUCAACAAAUCAUCAAAUGGCACCAAACUUAUUGCCGACAUGUUCUGCCUGUUUAUUACGAAAUCCAGUCAUCUGAUGUACGUCUUCAGAUGGGUGAUUUUGGAAAAGCCUUCAAAGCCACUGCACAACAAACAUUCUCACCACAACAACUGGAGCAUGGCAUGUCCAGAUGGAGCCACGCACUCACCAAAACUGCAAAUUUCUUUGGAUGGGAUGAGAGCAAUUACAGGUAAAUCACUCACUUACUAAGCUUGUACUUCAAUUUUGGUAAUACAUGACUUGUUCAAUAAUUGUUAUUGACUUUGAAGGAGUGAUGCUGAACUAGUGGACAAAAUUGUUAAGACCGUUCUUCAUUUACCAAUCUUGUCUGCUACAAAAUUUCCAGUUGGAUUAGAAUCCCGUGUGGAGGAUGUGAUUCGAACCAUAAAAAGUAAAUCCACCCAAGUUUUUACUAUAGCGAUAUGUGGAAUGGAAGGAUCGGGUAGAACCACUCUUGCCAAAGCCAUCUACAAUCAAAUUCAUGGUACAUUCACGGAGAAAAGUUUCAUCGAAGAUAUUGCACAAGUUAGUCAAACAAGAGGGUAUGUUCCUUUACAAGAACAAUUUCUUUCAGAUGUACUAAAAACAAAGGUGGAGAUAAGUGACGUUCAGAUGGGAAAAAGUAUGAUUUGGGAAAGACUAUAUGGGAAAAGGGUGCUUCUUGUACUUGACGAUUUGAAUGACUAUGGCCAAUUAGGCCUCUGGGGAACUAGUUCAUGGUUCGGUGAAGGAACUGUAAUAAUCAUUACAGCGAGAGAUGAAGUAGACCUGCCGAGUAUGCUUGAAGUUGAUUCUGUUUUUCAGAUGAUUCCAAUGAACGCAAACGAGUCCCUUGAGCUUCUUAGUUGGCACGCAUUUAGAGAACCAAAACCAAAAAAAGAAUACCGUGUACUUGCAAAAAGAGUAGUUGCUUAUUGUGGAACACUACCUCUAGCUCUCGAAGUCAUUGGAACUUAUUUAUACAAAAGGACGAAAGAUGAAUGGAAUAGAGUAUUGAUAAGAUUAGACAAUAUUCCCCAGCAUGAAGUUCCACAGAUAUUGAAAAUAAGUUUUGACGGUUUAGCUAAUCAAAUAGAAAAAGAUUUAUUCCUUGAUGUAUGUUGUUUCUUUGUUGGUAAAAGCAGAGCCUAUGUUACCAAGAUCCUAAAUGGCUGUGGAGUAGACUCUGAUAGUGGAAUAAGAGUUCUCAUAAAGCGUAACCUCAUCAAAGUUAAAGAAAACAACAAAUUUGGAAUGCAUCAUUUGCUACGAGAAAUGGGAAGAGAAAUUAUUAGUGAAAUUUCAAGAAAGGAAUCUGGGAAGAACAGUCGACUGUGGCCUCAUGAGGAUCUAAAACAUGAAUUUUCAGUGAAUACUGUAAGAGCAUUCUUAAUCUAUGAUUUUGAAACUUCUUUUGGAAGUGGUUGAUUUCUCAUGUGCAAUACCAAUGUUUUUCUUAGCUCUUUUCAUCACCGGGUAAAAAAGUCAUUCAGAGAUUGUCUAGCGGAAGAGAUUUCUUCGAAACUUAUCCUGUAGAGGUAAGAGACCCAUCACCGGAUACAAAAGUCUUCGAACUCCCUGGACUGCUGAAACUCCCUUGGAAAUUCGAACCACAUUCUAAAAUUACCUACCUUAACGCUUGACUUUUAUNNNNNNNNNNNNNNNNNNNNNNNNNNNNNNNNNNNNNNNNNNNNNNNNNNNNNNNNNNNNNNNNNNNNNNNNNNNNNNNNNNNNNNNNNNNNNNNNNNNNNNNNNNNNNNNNNNNNNNNNNNNNNNNNNNNNNNNNNNNNNNNNNNNNNNNNNNNNNNNNNNNNNNNNNNNNNNNNNNNNNNNNNNNNNNNNNNNNNNNNNNNNNNNNNNNNNNNNNNNNNNNNNNNNNNNNNNNNNNNNNNNNNNNNNNNNNNNNNNNNNNNNNNNNNNNNNNNNNNNNNNNNNNNNNNNNNNNNNNNNNNNNNCACCAAUCUAUUGGAUGUCUCUGCAAUCUUAUACUGCUAAAUUUGAAGGACUGUACAAGUCUAAGCACUCUCCCCAGAGAGAUAUGUAAGUUGAAAUCUUUGAAAACUCUCAUUAUAUCUGGUUGUUGGAAAAUUGACCUAUUGGAAAAAGAUAUAGUGCAAUUGGAAUCCUUGAGAAUUCUAAUUUCUGAAAAUACAGAUGUGAAACAAGUGCCUUUUUCAAUUGUAAGCUCAAAAAGCUUUGCAUAUUUAUUCCUACCUGCAUUUGAGGGAUUAUCACAUAAUCUUUUUCCUUCUGUGAUUCGGUCUCUGAUGUCGCCAACAAUGAAUCCCUUAUCUUAUAUUCAUUCCUUCAUGGAUAUGGAGGAUAAUAGUUGGGAUGAUAUUUCACCAUUGCUCAGCAGCCUUGCAAAUCUUCGAAGUGUUUUGGUGCAAUGUGACGCCAAGUUUGAACUAUAUGAGCAAGUAAAAACUAUAUUGGUCGAAUAUGAUGCAAAUAUUACAGAAUCAGGAAUUUCAAAGAAUAAUUUCAGGUCUUCUCUGACUGGUGUUGGAAGAUACAAAGAAUUCUUCAAUACUGUCAGCGAUAGCAUACCUAAGGUUCUUCUCUAGCUUUCCCUUUGUUUAUUACCUUCACCAUCAUUUUAGCUAUUAUUUCUGAGAACAUAAAAUAGUCCUAAUGAAGUAUUAGUAGAAACUACACUACUGAACUUUAAGCACCUUUCGCUUCUAUAGCCCCACGACUUCAUCUAAAAGUAUCUGAGUUGAAUAAUCAAAUAACCAAGUCAUUAUGCUUAUCCUAAGUACAUGCAAAUUGAUUUCCACUUACUAGUUUACUUCAUGGGUUUUUUAUUCCCAAUGAUCGUAUAAAUAUAAACUAAGAGAGACAAAAAUAGAAAUGCAAAAUGAUGGUGAUAUAUACACAACAAAACUAUAAACCAAAUUUGUUUCGAUCAUGUAACUAAACAUGCCCUUGUUUGUCCCAUGAUACAGGUAUUUGCAAGCAGUGAGUCAUGUGAUGUUUCUCUCCCAGGUGACAACGAUCCUUAUUGGUUGGCCUAUAUGGGUGAUGGACAUUCUGUUUAUUUCACUGUGCCUCAAGAUCGUGUGGUGAAGGGAAUGGCUUUGUGUGUUGUUUAUUUAUCAACCUCCGAAAUCAUUGAACCUGAACUUACUACUGUCUUAAUUGUUAAUUACACGAAGUGCACAUGCCAAAUACACAACCAUGGGACAGUAAUUUCCUUUAAUGAUGAAGAUUGGCCUAAUAUAAUGUCAAAUUUAGGAUCAGGAGAUAAAGUGGAGAUUUUUGUGAGUUUUGGUGAUGGAUUGGUGGUCAAGAACACAGCUGUCUAUUUGAUAUGUGGUGAAUCAAAUGAGUUAGAAAAGGAGGCUGUGCCAAAGAAAAAAUCGCUCCUUAAAUUCAUAAAGAGAACUCUAAUGUGAGUUCUAGUAAGUCAUUUAUAUUUGAGAACUUUGAGUUAUGGAAUUAAUCCUUGUGUCCUUCAUUGCAAUUUAUUUUUUCUGAUCUGUCCUUGUUUUUCUUUGAGUAUAGCUCAUAGUUACGAGAUUCAUAUUUAUUUUACCCUGUUUCUCACUCCUCACAUUGUUUACUUGAACUGUUUAUUGUAUUUGCUUUGUUGUUGUUACUUUUUGUCAAUUCUAUUCCCUUCUUAGCAUAUAAUAUUGCAUUCAGAAAAUCUCGUAAAAAAUAUUGCAUUAUGAAAUAAAGAUAGCUGCGGUUCGAUAAUUUGUUAUGUGUUUUGCCUUGCUAUAUGCUAUGCAGUCUCUGUUUUUGUUUCAACAUAAGAAGCACCGUAGCCUCAUCCCUUUAUUUUAAGACUAAAACAAAGUUUGAUUUCAUUUCUCCUUAUUUACACUGAUUAUAUUUUUUUAUGUCUAAUUUAAAAAUAUUUAAAUUUUUUCAAUUUACAUUUAUAAGUUUCAUUACAGUUUUCAGUUAUGUAAAGUCACCAAAUUAUUUUAAAUUUUAAAUUUUCAACUAAUUUUUUUCAAAUAUAGUCAUGAUCUUUCAAAAUAUUUUAAUCUGUUAUAAAUUGUUUUAAAAUUAAUUCUUAUAAAUUAAUAUUCAUUUGAUAUGUGCAAAUAUAAUCUUUAAAAAAUUCAAAAAAUAACCAUGUAGACAAAUACCGCUAAUAGUUAAAAAAAAUUCAAAUGUGUACUUUUUAUUGACAAUUAGUUUAGGCUUUUAUGUUUCAAAUAUAAAGUUAAAUGUUCAACUGUAUUACAAAACAAAAAGAUAUUCAUACAAAAUCUCCAUUCUAUGAUCCUCACCAGAAAAAAGCAUUGAAAGAUAUGAUAGCACUUGAUCCACCAUGAUGAUAGCACUUGAUCCACCAACACCAAUCCUGCUACAAUGUUCAUACCUUCACUGCUACAAUGUAGUAGGCACGUACCUGCAUCAAACCACCCCUCUCAACCUUAAACUGUAUAACUUACCAUAAUUCUCCUUUCCUUCAUAAUCCAAUAAACCAUUUCCCAUUAUAUUUCACAACACAUAUUAAUAACAUAUCCGUACUAGUCAAACAACUCUUCACUUCAAAAAUAAAUAAAUGACAUAUUGUCUCAUCAUCCUCCCCACGCAUAGUUCCAAAACUCACCAUGUUGUGGUAUAUGAUGAAGAGAGUGCCUUAAUCCUCUAAAAAUUCUCGUACAUGGACAUGCCUUCCCCCUUCUACUUCGCCCUUUAAGAUUCUAUAUGCUGAUUUAAUCGUAUAAUUUGAUGUUUCUCCUUCCUUCCUUACCCACUUAUCGUCUUUUUCCAUGUUUAAACUUGUGUCUUCCAAAACAUGUGCGAAUUGAUGCGCUUGGUUAUUUUCCCACUCAAAUAAAUUCCUUCUCCAUUCUAACUUCUAUAACCAAUUGUUAUUAUUCCACUCCCUAACCUAAUACAACUUAAAAUCUCUGUUUGUGCUUAAACAAAAUAAUCUCAGAGAACUUAUUUUUUAGUUCUUCAUUAUCCGCUCAUUUAUCUUCCCAAGAACUAAUCUCCAUCCCAUUUCCUGCCUCCCAAGUUACAAUAUCAUCAAAUUUACUUUCCCAUGAAGCCCAUGCUAUUUUCCUACCCUCCGAACAUCAAUCCCAUAAAAAUUUUCUUUGCAAUUUCACUAUCUCCUUUGUCACCAUUAUUGGCAUUUUAUAUAAAGAUAAAUGAAAUAGAGGGAGAGAUGAAAGCACUGAUUUAAUUAAGCAUAUCCUACCUGCCGUAGAUACAAAUUUAUCAUUCCAUCUACCUAAUCUAUUCCUCAUUCUUUCCACCACAUCCUCUAGAAUUUAUCUCUUGUGGCACCCCCCCAACUAACAUUCUCAGAUAUUUAAAUGGUGUUUUCAUCACAUCACAAUUAAGAAUUUCCGCAAAAUAUUGAAUCAGAUUGUGAUUGACUCCCACCCCUCCAAUUUUACUCUUUAGAAAAUUUACCUUAAAGCCAGAUGCUAAUUCAAAGCAGUUUUAGAUUACCUUUAUAAUAAACACACUUUGAGUAUUGACUUUACAGAAAAAUAGUGUAUCAUCCGCGUAUUGUAACAUAUUCACCUUAACCAACUUAUCCCCAAUCUCCAUACUUUCUAUCAUAUUUUUCUUAACUGCUUUUCUUACACCCCGUACUAAUCCUUCUACCACUAUAAGAAACAAGAAAUGUGCUAAGGGACUCCUUGUCUCAGCCCCUUCUGUGGUUUAAAUUCCUAAGUUGGACUCCCACUCACUAAUACUGACACCGAAGAUGAUUCUAAACAUGCUUUUACCCAAACUAUCCAUCUUUCACAAAGAACCUAACCUUCCUAACAUAUAGUAGAUGAACUCCCAUCUUAAUGACUCAUAAGACUUCAUUGGCCACAAGCACACUAUCCAUUAACCCCUUACCUUCUAAAAGCGUUGACUGCCAAAGAUCAAUAACUUUAUGUGACUAUAUAUAUUCUUCUUGAUCUCUUCCUAACAAAUUUUAUAAAACCAAAAUUAAAGUCGUCACAACAUUUCAUCUUCUAUAAUACUUCCUACUAACAUUUCAUCUUCUCCAUAAAUAGUUUUAAAAUUUGUAUUAUCUAACCUGACUUUUCCUUAACAACCACUUGAUCCUCACACCAUUGGCCAUUCUCUAGCAAACCAUUAAUCCCAUUUCUUGACCUUCACCAUUUAGUUAUAGAGUGAAAAAAAUUGGUAUUAAGAUCACCUUGCUUCAACCACCUAUGACGAGCUUUCUGUUGCAUUAUAGCUUCUUGUUUAAAAUUAUUUUUACUAUGCUAACAAACACAAACUUACUUUCCUCUCUUCCUUCCUAAUCUAACUCAUUCUUGUCAUUUGUUGCAUCUAACUCUUGAUUUUUUCUUUGUUCCAUAUUUUUAAAUCAAAUUUUAGUUUUUUCAAUUUUUAUUUAAAAAUAAACACCUUGCUACCUUGCACCUCAUAUCUAUUCCAUUUAUUCCAUAUGAAGUCUUUGAAUCUGCCAUCUCUUUGCCAGAUGUUCAAACACCUAAACAGUUUCGGACCCUAAUUCUUACUCAUGUCUUUUAACACCAAUGUACGAUGACCGAACAUUGAUUUAUGUUAACAUAUUUAGUUUUUUCUAUUUUAACUUAUUGGACUUUGUUUGUUUGGCCCAACUUUCCUUUUCUGUUUCAGCCAGGUCUUAGUCUUUUUCUUAUAUAUACACAAUUUAUUUUAUUCUCUAAUACACAAGUAAAUAAGAAUUUCUUUUGUAUUUUCUUUUCUUUGUUUUUCUCUUUGAUCUUUAUUUCCCCCUUUGUUGUUCUUGGUUAUCUUUUAUGUUCUCUUUCAAAAUCUUGAUUGGGUUUCAAAAUCUCUUAGGCAAUGUCUAAUGAAAACCAUAGUCUUAAUAGUAGCCACACUAUUACAUGCAAUUUAUGUGGUAAAUACGGUCAUAUUGAGGCUGUUUGUUUUCGCAAAGUGGGUUUUCCUUCUAGUAAUGUUAAAACCUCAAAGUUUUUUUCUACUAGAAAAGUCUGCACUUUUUGUAAUCAUAUUGGCCACACUACCGACACCUGUUAUAAAAAGCAUGGGUUCCCUCCUGGCUACAAAUUCACCAAUUGGACAUCCCUAACCAAUAAUAUGAUUACUACUGACACUUUUUUUGAGCUUUUUCCUAAAGAACAAGAUGUAAAGGGGAUUCAACUUACAUCACAACAGUGUCAAUUCUUGACCAACAUUUUGCGUCAGCAAAACCUUGAGGAUCCUGCCCCUCACACUCAAAUUAAUCAAGUUGACACCUUCUCUGCGGAUGAAAUCCCCAAUACUGAGCAAUCUUCAAUAUGUAAGUUUCUCUCUUCACUAUCUGCUAUAAAAGAAUCUUGGAUUAUUGAUUCUGGUGCCACAUAUCAUGUUUGCCACAAUUUGAACAUUUUUACUACUUAUACUAAAAUUAAACCUGUCUUAAUUAGUCUUCCAAAUGACCAAACUGUUUAUGCCACAUAUUCUGGUUUAGUACGUUUUUAUGAUAAGUUUUAUUUGUCUGAUGUGUUAUAUGUGCCUCAUUUUCAAUUAAACUUAAUAUCUGUUUCUAAACUCACACACCAACUUAAAUGCACUUUAACUUUCACUUCAACCCACUGCAGUAUACAAGACAAUCUCACCCAAGAGAGGAUUGGUAUAGUUAAAGCCACUGCUAGCUUGUACCUUGUCACUACCUUGCCUGUUUCUAGCCAUUUUAAACCACAUUGUUUUGCUCCUUUUAUUAAUUGUAAUAUCAUGGACAAAACACUGUGGCAUUAUAGACUAGGACACCGUUCACUUGAAAGAUUACAUGUCUUAAGCGAACAAUACUCUUUUAUUACUGUUGAUACUCAUCAUGUAUGUGACACUUGUAGUCGUUUAAAGCAGAGAAAACUUCCUUUCACUUUAAGUAAUAUUGUUACCUCUGCUAUUUUUGAUCUUGUACACUUUGAUAUUUUGGGACCAUGUUCCAUAACUUCUAUGCAAGGUUUUCGUUAUUUCUUGACUAUUGUUGAUGAUUACUCGCGUUAUACUUGGGUUAUUUUGCUGCAUAACAAAUCUGAAGUGCGUCAGCAUAUCAUUAACUUCAAUAUUUUCAUUCAAAAUCAUUUCAAAACUAAUAUCAAAAUGAUUUGUACUGACAAUGGUGUUGAGUUUGCUAUGUCAAAUUUUUAUGCUUCAAAGGGAAAUAUACAUAAAAAAUCUUGUCUUGAAACACCAUAGCAAAAUGGCAUUGUAGAAUGUAAACAUCAACACAUACUAAAUGUAACCUGAGCUUUACUUUUUCAAGCAAAUCUUCCUCCUAUUUUUUGGGAAUUUGCUGUAAAUUAUGUUGUUUUUUUAAUAAAUGUUAUUCCUACUCCAUUACUUAAUAAUAUCACUCCUCAUGAAAAGUUGUUUGGAAAACUGUAUGACAUUUCCUUUUUAAAAGUGUUUGGUUGUCUUUGUUAUGCUAGUACCAUUACUGCACAUAGGACAAAAAUUAGAUGAUAGAUCUAUCAAAGGUAUUUUUCUUGGCUUCCCGCAAAAUACAAAAGGUUAUAUUAUCUUAAAUUUAAAGUUUCAUAGCAUAGAGAUAUCAAGACAUGUAAUCUUUCAUGAAAACCACUUUCCAUAUAAAUUGGACAGUGGCUUGCCUAGGGACCCGAAUACUUUAUCUCUCCUUAUUUCUAAUGCAUAUAAUUAUGCUUUUGAUUUUUUUUUUUUUGAUAUUGCACUUCCUGCCGAGCCAUGUACCUCUACUCCUACACCUAAUAUUGUCCCUCCACCAACCUCAUUAUCCUCUGAUCUUUCAGCAAAUAAUGUCUCUGCUCCUGCAUCCAACAUUGCACCUCCACCAGAAUUAUCAAUGCCUGCACCUCCAGGAAGCACUUCACCCCAAUUCCCAAGAAGAUCAGUCUGUCUUCACUGACAACCUGCCCAUCUUGCAAAUUUACACACUGCAACCAACAUUGUGGGUAGUAGAUAUCCUAUUCAUAAUUACUUGUCUUACAAUUCCUUAUCUUCCAAUUUUAGGAAUAUUAUUUCCUCUAUCAAUUCUCAUCAUGAACCUCUGACCUAUAACGAAGCCUCCAAACAUGCUUCUUGGCAAUCUGCCAUGCAAGAUGAGUGUCAAGCUCUUGCUGCUAACAAUACUUGGCAACUUACCUCUCUCCCUCCAGGAAAGAAAACUAUUGGUUGUAAAUGAGUAUAUAAAAUCAAAUACCAUUCUAAUGGCACUGUUGAGCGCCACAAAGCUAGAGUUGUUGCCAAAGGGUUCAUCCAACUUGAAGGACUUGAUUUCUUAGACACUUUUGCACCUGUUGCUAAACUCACUACCCUCUGUCUUCUCCUUGUUGUUGCCACUACCAAAAAUUGAAUUUUAAAACAACUUGAUGUUUAUAAUGCCUUUCUUCAUGGUAAUCUCCAUUAAGAGGUAUACAUGACCCCCCACCUGGCCUCUCUCUUCCUUCUCCCAAGCAUGUCUGCAAGCUUCAACGGUGUUUGUAUGGCCUUCGUCAAGCUGGUUGCCAAUGGUACGCCAAGCUUUCUACUUUUCUUUUAUCAAAUUAUUACUCUAUUUCUGCUACUGAUCACUCUCUUUUUCUUAAAUAUAAUAACGAUAAACUCACUGUUAUUCUUGUUUAUGUUGAUGAUUUGGUCUUAACUGGUGAUGACACGGUGGAAAUCAAUACAAUUACUGCAUCCUUUCACAUCACUUCAAGAUAAAAAUAUUUAGGUCAUCUCACUUACUUUUAGGGACUGGAAAUUGCUCGCAACAGUUAUGGUCUUCAUUUAAGUCAACGCAAGUAUACUCUUGAUCUUCUUCACGAAACUGGCAUGCUUGACUCUGCACCUGUGGCCACUCCUUUUGAUGUUGAUGCAACUUCCCAAAUACAGAAGACUCCUUGGACGUCUAAUCUACUUAACCAACACGCGGCCAAACAUCGCCUUCACUGUCCACAAUUUAAGUCAAUUCAUAUCUGCACCCACAACUCAUCAUCAACAAGUUGUCUCACGUCUUUUGCGUUACCUCAAGGGCACCCCUGGUGAAUGACUAUAUUUUUCUCAUAAUAGCUCACUUCACCUUUGUGGUUUUAGUGACUCUGAUUGGACAACAUGGCAUACCACACACAAAUUUGUCACUGGAUAUUCCAUGUGUUGAACCAAGUGGUGUUCAAGCUUUGAAGAAUCCAAACCCUUUGAAGGUUGUUGAAGGCUUGGUUGUGCUUGCUGUUGCUGAGCUGUCUUAGACAGGAUCUGGGGUAGUUUGUUUAUGUAAUCCACUCUUGAUUGAAUCUAAAGCAUAGGCACUCUCAAUCUUUGCCCUACCAAAUGCAACCGUGGGCUUGGUUAAAAAACAAGGCUCCAAUGACGCUAUUUUCUUUUUCCAACUGGGUCCAAUAUCCGAUUACUUGCAUUAANNNNNNNNNNNNNNNNNNNNNNNNNNNNNNNNNNNNNNNNNNNNNNNNNNNNNNNNNNNNNNNNNNNNNNNNNNNNNNNNNNNNNNNNNNNNNNNNNNNNUAAAAAAAAAAGUUUACAAAGGAUGUUAACCAUAUUAAUUAAUUCAAUUCAUCUGCCUAUAUAUUACGCAUAUCUAUAUGAGUGGUUAAGAGUGAACUAUUAAAUAAAUUUAUUUUCUCUCUACGCCUUCCACUCAUUCUCUUUCUUAUUAAUAGAUUCCUCUAUAAAUAGGUUCAUACUUCCACUAUUCUCUUUCUUAUUAAUAGAUUCCUCUAUAAAUAGGUUCAUAUUUCUUAUGUAUAGUGUUCUUUGCACACACAUUCCAACUAAGAGUACCUCCUGAUAGAAGGCAUGAAGAUCUCAUCUACGCUUUGAAAAGAAAGAUUAUAUAAGAUAAUCUCCACUCGUGUAAGAAAGGAAAGUACAAUGUAUUUUUUUAGUUCUUGCCAAUAUAAUACUUUUGUCAUACAUGUCAAAUUUUUAUUUUAAAUCCAACCACAUAUUAGUUUCAUGUUAUUAUCCCCAUUCACUUCAAAAAGUUUAACAGAAGCUAAAAACAACUUUUUAAAAGUACAGAACGAAGAGAUAAGAAUAAAAGUGCAUGGAUAAAAUAAAAAAUAUUAGGAGGGAAAAUAUUUAACCGUGACUAAGGUUUAAAAUAAUAGUUGGGAUGAUAUUUCACCAUUGCUUAGCAGCCUUGCAAAUCUUCGAAGUGUUUUGGUGCAAUGUGACGCCAAGUUUGAACUACAUGAGCAAGUAAAAAGUAUAUUGGUCGAAUAUGAUGCAAAUAUUACAGAAUCAGGAAUUUCAAAGAAUAAUUUCAGGUCUUCUCUGACUGGUGUCGGAAGAUACAAAGAAUUCUUCAAUACUGUGAGCGAUAGCAUACCUAAGGUUCUUCUCUAGUUUUCCCUUCGUUUAUUACCUUCACCAUCAUUUUAGCUAUUAUUUCUGAGAACAUAAAAUAAUCCUAAUGAAGUAUCUAGUAGAAACUACACUACUGAACUUUAAGCACCUUUCGCUUCUAUAGCUUCCACUUUAUUGCUUUACUAGCUUCAUGGUUUUUUUAUUCCUAAUGAUCGUAUAAAUAUAAACUGAGAGACAAAAACAGAAAUGCAAAAUGAUGGUGAUAUAUACACAGCAAAACUAUUAACCAGAUUUGUUUUAAUCAUGUAUAACAUUUUUGUUUCACUAAACAUGCCCCAGUUUGUCACAUGAUACAGGUAUUUGCAAACAGUGAGUCAUGUGAUGUUUCUCUCCCAGGUGACAACGAUCCUGAUUGGUUGGUCCAUAUGGGUGAUGGACAUUUAUAAGAAUGGCUUUGUGUGUUGUUUAUUUAUCAACCUCCGAAAUCAUUGAACCUAAACUUACUACUGUCUUAAUUGUUAAUUACACGAAGUGCACAUGCCAAAUACACAACCAUGGCACAAUAAUUUCCUUUAAUGAUGAAGAUUGGCAUAACAUAAUGUCAAAUUUAGAAUCAAGAGACUAGGUGGAGAUUUUUGUGACUUUUGGUCAUGAUUUGGUGAUUAAGAACACAGCUGUCUAUCUGAUAUAUGGUUUGCCAAGGAAAAUUCCCUCAUUAGAUUCAUAAAAAAAAUUGUAAUGUGACUUUUCGGGUAAGUCAUUAUCUCCUUUUUGAACAGGAAGGUCAUUUUUUCCCCAUCUUUUCCUUUCUUUAUAGUGUAGCUUAUAGUUAAAAAAUUCAUGUUUAUUUUACCCUGUUUCUCACUCCUCAGUGGUGCUUCCUUGGCUUUGCUUAAGCUGUUUAUUGUAUUUGUUUUCUGGAUUUUACUUUUGUCAAUUAUUUUCCCUUUUAGCAUAUAAUAUUUCAAUAGGAAUCCUCUUAAAAUAAGACAUUGCAUUAUGAUAUAAAGACAGCUGCAGUUUGAUAUUUUGCUAAGUGUUCUGUUUUGCUAUCUUGUAGGUAGUCUCUGUUUUCGUUUGAACAUAAUAAACAUUCAAAGGAUAUGUAUAGACACAACCAUUCAAAGGACACCAAAGAUGAGUACAUUUUUUUUAUAGUGGUGCAAGCGCGUUUAAAAAAUUCGACCAACGCACGCCAACUUUGAACCACUGGAAAAAUAAAUAUUAUACUAAUACAGUUGAAAUUUUCUCCAAUAUAUUCCUUUUUUCUAUAUUAUGCGUCCAUGUUUUUAAGUUUUAAAAUAUAACACAUGCUUCUUUGUUUACAUUACCCAUCUCGUUAAGAUAAAUCAUAAACAAAAAAAAUGUAUAAAUCUAGUUUGAAAAGAAUUACGACAAGUCAUUUUUUAUAAACAAGAAGAAACAGGGUAAUAUAAAUAUGAAUUUGUUAACUGUAAGCUAUACUCAAAGAAAAACAAGGAUAGGAUCAUAGGAUUAAUUCCAUAACUCAAGGGUUCCUACUGUUCUCAAAGAAGAUAAAUUACUUACCAGAAGUCACAUAGGGAUAUAUAUCCAAUGCUUGUUGGGUUUACAAUUGAAAAAGGCAUUUGUUUGACAGCUGUAUUUUCAGCAAUUAUAGUUAUCAAGGAUUUCAUUCACACUAUAUCUUUUUCUAUUAGGUGAAUCUUCCAACAACCAGAUAGAAUCAGAGUUUUUAAGGAUUUCAACUUAUACAUCUUUCUGGGGAGAUUGCUUAGAUUUGUACAGUCCUGCAAAUUUAGCAAUGUAAGAUACAAGAGGCAUCCAAUAGAUUGGUCUACUUCCCUCAAUCUUGGACAAUCUUUGAGAAUGAGUUGUUAAAGACUUGGUAUCGGAAAAGUCAGGGGUUUCUAUCAAGAUUAAGGACUUUUAGCCACGUCAAAACCUUGAAGAAGAUAGUUUUUGAUAAAAUAUCAGAGAAGUAAAUGAGAAAACGAAAUAGUUAUAAGUGGAAACAAAUAAUGAUUUUAAAAGAGAAUGACACGUAAUAAAACCUUGGGUUCUUUCCAAACGAAUCGAACAAGACUGUGUUUUAAGUCAAUCUCUAUUGCAUCAUGCAGAUAAAUAUUGUUUUAUAGGUAUUCUUAUAAAACAGGUACCCCUAAAGUAUCCCUCUUAAUUUAAUUCAUUCAUUGCUGAUAAAAAAAAAAAAUAGGUAUUCUUAUAAAGGUACUCGGAAUGUCCAGCGAAUUUCAGCAGUCUUACCUCUAAAGGAUAACGUUCCAAGAAAUCACUUGCGGUAGGCAAUCUCUGAAUCACUUUUGUCCUUUUAGAUGAAAAGAGCAAAGAAAAAGAAAUAUAUUGCUCAUGAGAAAGCAACCACUUCCAAAAAGAAGUUUCAAAACCAUAGAUAAAGGGUGUUCUUACCGUAUGCUCUGACAGUGCAUAUUCUGCAUCCUUAUUAAACCACAGUUGACUGUUCUUCCCUGAAAUUUGACGAAUAAUUUAUCUUCCCAUUUGUCUUCCUAAUUUGUUGUUCUUAUUAUGAGACUACGCUGUAUGAGAACUCUUAUUCCACUAUCAGCAUCUAUUCCACAGCCAUUUAGGAUCUUAGUAACGUAGACACUGUCCUUACUAACAAAGGAAAUAACAUACAUCAAGGAAUAAAUCUUUUUCCAUUUGAUUGUGUACACCGUCGAAGCUUGUUUUCAGUAUUUUGUAAAAUAAAUAUGAAUUUAACUAUGAGCUAUACUCAAAGAAAAACAAGGAAAGGAUCAGAAAGAUAAAUUGCACUAGAGGACACAAGGAUUAAUUCCAUAACUCACGGGAUCAUGCAAAAAAAAGUGGUUAGGUAGGUAAAACCCUCGCAAACUGAUUGAUCUUAAUUUCGCAGGAAGGUACUCAGAGUCUGCAGCUAGUUUCAAAAGUCUUGAUGAGUCUCUUAGACCUACAGGAAAGUUUCAAAAGUUUCGAUAUUAUGUUGUGUUUAGUUUAGCUAUCUGUUUGGUAGUGUCUGUUUUUGUUUCUACAUAAUAAGCACCGUAGCCUCUAUUCAUGAACCUAGGUUCUAUUGUGAUGAUCCAUCAUAGCCAGAUAGUAGAACAUAUUUUACCAUCCCCCAAAAAUCCAGUUUUAAAGCCCGGUCAUUGAAAUUGCCAGAUCUCACCAAAAUUGUAUUACUGAGCAUCAUAUGAUGUGGUCGGCAAAAGUUGUAUUGGUCCAAAGAAAGCUUCAUGAAACGUACCAUCUGACACAACCUAUGAAGCAUAUUGACACAGACACUGAUAUACAACACAGACACGAAAAUACGUAUAAUCUCUAAAAUGUAGGAUACGGGGACACGAUUUAUAUAUUAUAUAAUCAUGAAUUAUAUAAAUUAAUAAUAAAGAUUUAUGUGCAAAGUAUGUUUGAGUUAUUUUUGGAACAAAAAGAUUUUCUCAUAGCUGGUUCAAAAGGAUUUGUUCUUUAUUUUUAUAAUCAUAAUACGGGUAGAACGUAUACCUUUACGGAUAGCAAUAGGAAGAUCAAGUUCAACUGUUGGAGGUUCAACUGUCGUUGGAUGAGGAAAUAAAAUAGAAUGAGGAAUUUUGUUAUCUAAAACUGAAGAUGGCAUGCGAUUAAUGAGAUAACAUGCACUAAGAACAACAUCACCCCAAAAACACUGAGGAACAUCACCAUGGAUUAAAAUAGUACGAGUUGUUUUAACCAGAUGUCUAUUCUUGCGCCCAGCUACCCCAUUUUGUUAAGGUGUAUAAGCACAUGAAGUUUGAUGAAGAAUACCAUGAGAAGCCAUACAAUUUUGGGGAUAAUAAGUGAGACGACUGGAUAAUAAGUUAAAUGGAGACCCAAAAACAUAAAGAACAUUAUCAAUAGAUAAAGUAUGAAAAAGAUUAAUAGUACCAACACCAUGUGAUGGUAGCCUAUAUUCAUUGGCCAUGGUAACCGAAGGUAAAUAACCCGUAGUUGUACUUGUAAAGGGCUAAGACAGUAUUUGCAACCGGUUGGACAACUAAUUCUUCCCCUUGGUCACGCUUUACUUACUUUCCUUCUUCUUGCAUUCAGGUUUCGGCUCUCUACGGGAGUGCACCUACAAAAGGUUCUUUGAUGCUCAAGUGAGUAUUCAAUAUUUAAGUGCUAUUAAUGUUGUAAUAGUGAAGUACCUUUGCUUUGUCUAAUGUGCUUAUUUAUACCAGUGUAAUUGACUCUAUCAUUGAUGGGUCAUGUUUAUUGUGUAUAAUCAUAAAAAUGAAAUUACCUAAUAUAUCACGUAUUCCUUUUUACUUUGAUGUAUUUACACUAGUUAGUUGUGCGACAUCUGAUACCAAGUGUUAUAGGAUCAUUCGGCCUCGACCGAUACAUGUUUGAUCAAUCAAGAAGAGGUGCAAGUUUUGACCCUAAAUAUAAUAUUGUGGAUAUUCAAAUGAGUUCAAGAUACCAACCAUUUGAUCCAUUUAAUCUAGCACAGAUAAGUGAACAAUGUCCUAUAUCCAACAUUUCAAGUAGACAAACAUGGUUGAUGUGUUGAAUUAAAGCCAGCCUAAGGUCACAUUGACUCAAAUGAUGGAAGAGAACGUCCCUUACCAAGUAGAUCAAAUGUCACAUGCCAAUAAAAUCAUUGAAGUGGAAGGUAUAUUUGGAUUACAGAGGAAGAAGAGAGAACAAGAAGUUGAUGAUGAUGAUGUGGAGGAGUAAGAAACAGGGUAAAGUAAAUGCAUGCGGCUAUUAUUAGAUGACCUACAGUGGCAUCGUCUAUGGCUUAUAUAUAUAUAUAUAUAUAUAUAUAACAAUGCUUGCGGCUCAUACAUACCCAUACAUGCAGUUCAUGUAACAAAAUUUAUAAAUGUAAAUUGAAAAAAAAAUGAAAUACUUUUAAAUUAUACAUAAAACAAAUAGAAUCAGUGUAAAUAACGAGAAAUGAAAUCAAACUUUGUUUAAUUUAGUUUGAAAUAAAGCGAUGAGGCUACGGUGCUUCUUAUGUUGAAAUAAAAACAGACUACAUAGCAUAUAGUAUGGCAAAACACAUAACAAAUUAUUGAACCGCAACUAUCUUUAUUUCAUAAGAAAUACGAGGAUUUCUGAAUGAAAUAUUAUAUGCUAAAAGGGAAAAGAAUUGACAAAAGUAACAACGAGAAAGCAAAUCCAAUAAACAGCUAAGUAAAGCCAAGCAAGCACAAUGUGAGAAAUGAGAAACAGGGUAAAAUAAAUAUGAAUCUCGUAACUAUGAGCUCUACUCAAAGAAAAACAAGGAAAGAUCAGAAAAAAGAAUUGCAAUAAGGACACCAGGAUUCAUUCCAUAACUCAAGGGAUCCGGCUGUUCUCACAUUACAAUUUUCUUUAUUAAUCUAAUAAAAGAUUUUUUUCUUUGGCACAGGCUCCUUUUCUAAGUCAUUCGAUUCACUACAUAUUAGAUAGACAGCUGUGUUCUUGACUACCAAUUCAUUACCAAAACUCACAAAAAUCUCCACCUUGUCUUUUGAUCCUAAAUUUGACAUUAUGUCAGCCCAAUCUUCGUUGUUGAAGGAAAUUACUGUGCCAUGGUUGUGUAUCUGGCAUGUGCACUUUGUGUAAUUAACAAUUAAGACAGUACUAAGUGCAGGUUCAAUGAUUUCAGAGGUUGAUAAAUAAACCACACACAAAGCCAUUCCCUUCACGACACGAUCUUGAGGCACAGUGAAAGAAACAGAAUGUCCCUCACCCAUAUGGGCCAACCAAUAAGGAUCAUUGUCACCUGGGAGAUAAGCAUCACAUAACUCACUGCUUUCAAAUAUCUGUAUCAUGUGAUAAACAAGGAUAUGUUUAGUUAAACAAAAAUGUUAUACAUGAUUAAAACAGAUCUGGUUAAUAGUUUUGUUGUGUAUAUAGCACUUUCAUUUCUUUAAGGAUUUAGAAUGCAUUUCUGUUUUUGUCUCUCUUAGUUUAUAUUUCAAUGAUCAUUGGGAAUAAAGCAAUCAUGAAGCUAGUAAAGCAAGAAAGUGGAAAUCAAUUUGGUAGUACUUAGUAUAAGCAUAAUCACUUGAUUAGUUGUUUAUUAAAAUAAGAUACUUUUAUAUGAAGUCGUGGGGCCAUCGAAGGGAAGAGAUAUAAAAGUUCAGUAUUUUAGUUUGUACUAUAUACUUGAUUAGGAUUAUUUUCUGUUCUCUUAAAUAAUACCUAAAAUGAUGUUGAAGGUAAUAAAAAAGGGAAAGCUAGAGAAGAACCUUAGGUAUGCUACUGCUCCCAGUAUUGAAGAAUUGUUUGUAUCUUCCAACACCAGUCAGAAAAUACCUGAGGUGAUGCUUUGAAAUUACUGAUUCUGUAAUAUUUGCACCAUAUUCGGCCAGUAUGGUUUUUACUUGCUUAGAUAGUUGAAACUCGGCGUCACAUUGCACCAAAACACUUCGAAGAUUUGCGAGGCUGCUAAGCAAUGGUGCAAUAUCAUCCCAACUAUUAUCUUCCGUAUGCAUGAAGGAAUGAAUAUAAGAUAGGGGAUUCGUUGUUGGCGACAUCCGAGACCGAAUGAUAGAAGGAAAAAGAUUAUGUGACGAUUCCUCAAAUCCACGUAGGGAUAUAUAUCCAAUGCUUUUUCGGCUUACAAUUGUAAAAGGCAAUUGUUUCAUAACUGUAUUUUCAGCAAUUAUAGUUAUCAAGGAUUUCAUUCGCACUCUAUCGUUUUCCAUUAGGUCCAUCUUCGAACAACCAGAUAGAAUCAGAGUUUUUAAACAUUUCAGCUUAUAUAUCUCUUCGGGGAGAUUGCUCAGACUUGUACAAUCCUUCAAAUUUAGCAGUAUAAGAUUGCAGAGACAUCCAAUAGAUUGGUGUACUUCACGCAAUCUUGGACAAUCUUUGAGAAUAAGCUGUUCAAGACUUGGUAGUCCGGAAAAGUCAGGGGUUUCUUUUAAGUACUUUGAGUGACUAAGAUUAAGGACUUUUAGCCACGCCAAAACCUUCAAGAAGAUAGUUUUUGAUAAAACGGUAGAGAAGAAUAUGAGAAAACGGAAUAGUUAUAAGUGGAAACAAAUAAUAAUUUUAAAACAAAAUGACACGUAGUAAAAACCUGGGGUUCUUUCCAAACGAAUCGAAGAAGACUGUGUUUUAAAUCAAUCACUAUUGCAUCAUGCAGAUAAAAGUCGUUAGGUAGGUAUUCUGAAGAAAACCCUUGCAUACUGAUCCAUCUCAGUUUCUUAGAAUGGUACUCGGAAUGUCCAGCGAAUUCCAGCCGUCUUGAUGCGUCUCUUGCCUCUAAAGAAUAACGUUCCAAGAAAUCACUUCCGAUAGGCAAUCUCUGAAUCACUUUUGUCCCCUUAGAUGAGAAGAGCUAAGAAAGAAAUAUAUUACACAUGAGAAAGCAACCACUUCCAAAAGAAGUUUCAAAAGCAUAGAUAAAGGAUGUUCUUACCGUAUUCUCUGACAGUACAUAUUCUGCAUCCUUAUCAAAACACAGUUGACUGUUCUUCCCAGUUUCCUUUCUUGAAAUUUGACGAAUAAUUUCUCUUCCCAUUUGUCGUAGCAACGGAUGCAUUCCUAAUUUGUUGUUCUUAUUAACUCGUAUAAGACUACGCUCUGUCAGAACUCUUAUUUCACUAUCAGGGUCUAUUCCACAGCCAUUUAGGAUCUUGGUAACAUACGCUCUGCCUUUACCAACAAAGGAACAACAUAAAUCAAGGAAUAAUUUUUUUUCCAUUUGAUUGCAUAAACCGUCGAAGCUUAUUUUCAAUAUCUGGUCAAAUUUACGGUCGGGAAUUUUCUUUAAUUUUAAGAGUACUCUAUUCCAUUCUUCUUUCGUCCUUUCAUAUAAAUAACUUUCAAUGACUUCAAGAGCUAGAGGUAGUCCUCCACAAUAAGCAACUACUCUUUCUGCUAGGAAACGAUAAUCUUCUUUUGGUUUUGCUUCUUUAAAUGCGUGCCAACUAAGAAGCUCAAGGGAUUCAUCUGAGUUCAUUAGCUCUACCUGAAAAAUAGAAUCAGUUUGAUAUAUCAUCGGUAGUUUUUCAGGUGUUGUUGUAAUGAUUAUUACACUUCCUCUUCCAUACCAAUGACGGCAUUCCCAUAGUAAUGUGGCAUCAAACGGAGGCACAUCGUCAAGUACAAUGAGCACCCUUUUCCCAGAAAGUCUUUCCCGAAUCAUACGUCUUCCCAUCUCAAAGCUAUCUAUCUCUACCUUUGUUUUUAGGACAUCUGAAAGGAGUUGUUCUAGUAAACCAAGAUCCCCUCUUAUUCCGAUAACUUGUCCAAUAUCUUCAAUGAAACUUUUCUCCGUGAAUGUAUCAUGAAUUUGAUGGUAGAUGGCUUUAGCAAGGGUGGUUUUACCAGAUCCUCCCUGUCCACAUAUCGCUAUCCUACAAACUUCCGUGGAUUUACUUUUGAUAGUUCCAAUCAGAUCCUCCACUUGGUAUUGUAAUCCAACUGGAAAUUUAGUAGCAGACAACACUGGUAAAUUAAGAACGGUCUUAACAAUUUUGUCCACUAGUUCAGCAUCACUCCUUCAAGUUCAAUAGCAAUUAUGGAAGAAGUCAUGUCAUGUAUUACCAAAAUUAAAUCAGAAGCUUAAAAUAUGGUGAUUGAGUGAGUGAUUUACCUGUAAUUGCUCUCAUCCCAUCCAAAGAAAUUUGCAGCUUUGGUGAGUGCGUGGCUCCAUUUGGACAUGGCAUGUUCCAGUUGUUGUCCUGAAAAUGUUUGGUGUGCAGUUUCUUUCAAGGCUUUUCCAAAAUCACCCUUCUGAAGACGUACAUCAGAUGGCUCAAUUUCGUAAUAAACGGGCAGAACAUGUCGACAAUAAGUUUCUUUCCAUCUAAUGAUUUGUUGAAGCUGGUGAAGACACCAAGCAGAUUGAGAAUAGGUUUUGGUGAAAACAACAAUUGCUACACGAGAGAGAUUGAGAAUAGGUUGUUGGAUGUGAAUUGGGUUGUGUGCAUUGGGGUGGUGAAGGAAAGUGGUGAAGCCAACAGCAGAGAGGGCAGAAUUGAGAUGAGACACAAAUUUCCUUUGGAUGUCUUCUCCAGUAAAGUUGAUGAGUACAUCGUACAUCCGUGGGAGUUUGGAUGUUGAGGAGGCCAAUUCCAUGGAAGGAAUUGAUGAGGUCAUCAACUGUUAGCAGAAGAGAAACAAAUGAUGCAACGCAGUCAAAUAAUAUGCACAGACAUAACCGUUAAGGACACCAAAGAUGAAUAAUACAUUUUUUUAUAGUCAAAUGAUAUCACAGAACCUCUUUUACUUUAGCCAUUUUAAAAGUUAGACCAAUGCACGCCAACUUUGAAUCACUGAAAAAAUAAAUAUUAUACUAAUACCUAUGAAAUUUUCUCCAAUAUAUUCCUUUUUUAUAUUAUGCGUCCAGCUUUUUAAGUUUUAAAAUAUAACAUGCAUGUUUACAUUACCCAUUCACCUCGUUAACAUAAAUCAUUGUAACAAAGUAACAAAAUAAAAAAAAAGUAUAAAUAUAAUUUGAAAAAAUUUACGACAGGUCAUUUUUUAUAAACAAGUAGCGAUGAAGUUCGCGCACAUCAAUGGAGAAGGAAAGGUGUCAGUGAAAGGGUAGCUUUGUCAAAUGAAAUAAUUGGUUUCAAUUGGUUCGUUGACAAAAAUUUCUUGCUAGAUUUGCCUAUUAUUGGCAAGAAGUGCACAUGGUUCAAAUCAAAUGGAUCAACUAAGAGCAGGUUAGAUAGAGUGCUUGUGAACAAUGAUUGGUUACAGAAUUGGUCAGGGUGUAAACAGCAGGUAGUGUUUGAUCACUAUGUUUUAGUGGUGAAGUUUAUGGUAAAAGACUGAGAUCCUAAGCCAUUCAGAACUAUCGACGCAUGGCACAUGGAGAGGGGAUUCAAGGAGCUGGUGCAAGAGAAAUGGAUGUCAUACUCUACACAAGGGAAUGACAUGAUCAAACUCAAAGAUAAGUUGAAGAUGCUAAAGAACGACCUAAAAGUCUGGAACAUGGAUGUGUUUGGUAAUAUUGACUUAAAAAAGAGUAGAAUCUUGAAGAGAAUAGAAGAAGUUGACUGUCAAGAUGCAUAUGGCAAGCUGGAGGGAAGUUCUAGGCUUGAAAGAAUGGAACUCGUUAGCCAAUUGAGGGUGACAAAUAAAAAGAUAUAAUCUCUCACUAGUCAAAAGACGAGAGUAAAUUGGCUAAAGCAUGGGGAUUCAUGUUCAAGAUACUAUCACUCAAUUCUAAGGUGGAGAAGACUUAGGAAUGAAAUCAAAAGAGUUGAGGUCGGAGGUGAGUGGUGCGAGGAGCCUGAAGUUGUUAUAAAAGAAGCAAAAAAGUUGUUCCAAGACAAAUUUGUGGCUACUAAAGACGUCGGGGUUAGAAUUGGUGCGGCUAAGUUUAAAACCCUCUCUGUGGAAGGAAAUCUUAUCCUUAUUGUUGAGUUCACUAAGGAAGAAGUGCAGGAAGCGGUGUGGCGAUGUGAUGGCUCAAAGAGUCCUGGUCCAUAUGGAUAUAACUUUAACUUCAUCAAGAAAAGUUGGGAUGUUAUUAAAAGUGACAUUGUAGCAGUGGUGGCACAGUUCCAUGAUUCAAGUAGCAUACCAAAAGGAUGUAAUGCUUCGUUUAUAGCCUUGGUCCCUAAAGUUAGUGACCCUUUGAAGCUUGAUCAGUAUAGACCAAUCACCUUAGUGAGUGCUCUAUAUAAAAUCAUAUCGAAGGUGUUGUCUUGUAGAAUCAAGUCUGUUCUGCCAUCGGUGAUAGAUGGGAGUCAUUCGGCCUUUUUGAUGGAUAGAGGGAUGCUGGAUAGCGUACUAAUGGCGAAUGAAGUGGUAGAGGAGCUCAGGAGGGAUGGGAGGAGUCUCCUAUUUUUAAAGGUGGACUAUAAAAAGGUGUACCACUCGGUCAAGUGGGAUUUUCUUUAUCAUAUGAUGCAAAGGUUGGGGUUUCACUAUAAAUGGAUUUUAUGGGUCAGAGAAUGCUUGGUUUUUGCUUCGGUCUCGAUUUUGGUUAAUAGAAGUCUACUGAAGAAUUUAAACCGACGAGAGGGUUGAGGCAGGGUGAUCAUCUAGCACCAUUCCUAUUUAUCAUAGUAGCUGAAGGCCUUGCUGAGUUAGCCAAACAAGCUAUAAAGGCCAAUGCGUUAUCAGGCUUGAAGAUUGGUAGGAAUGCGGUAGAGGUGUGCGUGCUUCAAUUGGCUGAUGAUACACUUUUUCUAUGUGAAGACUCCUUUAGAAAUGUAAUCACUAUGAAGGCUAUAUUGAGGGGCUAUGAACUUGCAUCAGGCUUGAAGAUUAAUUUCCAUAAGUCGAAGGUUGCAGGCAUAAAUGUUGAAAGGAAUGCCCUGGAUCUCUACGCUAAGACCUUAAAUUGUACGCAGAUGUCGAUUCCUUUCAAGUAUUUGGGGCUUGAAGUGGGUGGUAACCCUAGGAAGAUAAUGUUUUGGGAGCCAAUCCUAAGGAAACUUAAAGCAAAACUCAGUGCGUGGAAAGGGAGAUUCUUGUCAUUGGCAGGAAGAAUAUGUUUAAUUAAAUUUGUCCUCUCAGCUUUGCCUCUCUUCUAUCUAGCAUUCUAUAAAGCGCCAGAAUUCGUAUUAGCAUCACCAGCAUCCAAAGGAGGUUCUUGUGGGCGUGGGGGAAGGAAGAAAGAACAAUAUCAUGGGUAAGAUGGGAGGAUGUGUGUAAACCUAAAGAGGAAGGUGGGUUGGGUGUUAAAGACAUUAGAAAGUUUAACCAAGCUCUUCUGGCUAAAUGGAGGUGGUGUUUACUGAUUGGAGAGAAAGGCAAAUGGAGAGACUUGCUGGUGUCAAAGUAUGGCUCGGCUGCUAGUACGCCAGUGAAGCUCCAAUCAUGGUGGUCGGGGGACCUGUCCAAAGUUUGUCAUGGGGGAGGAGGUGGUGGAUGGUUUCAGGAAGCAACAAGUUUGAAAAUAGGAGCUAGUGAUAAGGUUAGAUUUUGGAAGGAUGUGUGGGUUGGAAAUCUGAACCUCAAAACAGUAUUCCCUAGGUUGCAUUCUUUAUCCUUGAACCAGGGAGAAAAGGUAGGUGAGGCUGGCGUGUGGGUAGGAUCAGAAUGGCGGUGGAGUCUAAGGUGGAGAUGUGCUAGGUUUGUGUGGGAAUCUAUUAUGGAGGAAGAUCUUUUAAGGCUCAUAUCUCAAACCAAUCUGUAUAAAAAGGUGAAGGGCUACCAGGUGUGGAGGAAUGAAGAAUCAGGGAUGUUCUUAGUGAAAUCGGCGUAUGAUCACUUAACUAAUCCUGUAAGAGGUCCUCACAAUGACCUCUUCAAGUGAUUUUGGAAGAUAAAAGCGCUACCCAACGUGUUGUUUACGGCCCGGAUGGUCUUAUUGGAUAGAAUUCCAACAAGAGUAGCAUUAAGUAGGAGAGGAGUGUCAGUGCCUACUCCCUUAUGUGCUGUGUCAGGCUAAGGAGGAGUCAAGUCAACAUUUAUUCAUAGAAUGCAUGAUUGCCUAGAAGGUUUGGCCUACAUGUUUUAGAUGGAUUGGUAUUCUAUCGGUGCAACACAAUGAAUUGAAGUGCCAUUUUGAGAAUUUUCAUCUGGAACAGGUGAAUAGCAAUCAAAACUUGGUAUGGAAAGGUAUUUGGGCAAUCAUAGUGAGGUGUAUUUGGGAUCAUAGAAACAACGUUAUUUUCAAACAAGGAGCAGUUAAUGCGGAAGAGAUUUUCCAUAUGGUACAACUUAUGUCUUGGUUGUGGAUGAAGUAUAGGACUCCUUCUUUCAAUCACUCCUACACGGGUCCUGAAUCCCCUUCCAUGUAUUAGAAGUUAUAGGUAAGGGGAAGGAAUAUAGGAAGCAAUUAUGGAGGGAAAGGUUGAAUGUAGGGUAGCUAUAGUACUCGAAGGAAACUAUCACGUGAAGGGUGUUUAGUAGGCUGGGAGAGUUCAGGUAGGGGCAGCACAAAGUAGAGCAACCUUAUCAAUGCUGAUGCAGUUCUAAGGAGUUGCAGGAAUUAAUAGUAGCAGCAGAGGUGUUGAGCCUCUCCCCAAGGAUUCCCCAGUUUCCAUUUCAUUAUGAGACUGGUGUAGAAGUAGGAUGUGGACUUUAUGUAGCUCUGCUACUGGUGCUGGUCCAGAAGCAUAGUUCUCAAGGUAAAGGUGUCGGUAAAUACUAAAGGCAAGUUUUUAAUGCUUACUUGAGGGGCGCCAGGGUAAGCUAUGCAGGUUGUUUUGGUUGCAUAACUGACGACUAGACUGUGCUUUUGAACUAUUGGUGUAUCAGCUGUUGGGAGAAAGCCUGUGCUGGCCAGUCUAUGAGAAGCAGAACAUACUCACUUCAGUUUUGAGUGCACCAAUAAAUCUGCAUAAUUUAGGUGGUAUAAAUGCUACACUUCAGAUGCUAAUUACGGUACUCUGAUGAGACUUUUAAUCAUAAAGCGCAAGUUGCACAAUGAUGGAAAAAGAAUUUUAAUUUCAACUAGAAGGCUGUUAUUAAGGUGCGAAACAGAACAACUCUGUAGCAUUUGAAGCAAAAAUGUCAAAGGUCUAUAGGUUCUGCUUUGUGGACCCUUAGGAGGAGAAAAUGAAAUGCCUGGAUGAGGUAGCAGGAGGCAUUAGCUUGCUGAUUUUGAGGAGCUGAAGGGGUCAGUAAAGUCUGAGGUGAGUAGAGGUAUCGGGCAGAUUUAAGAGAUUGGGUGAGAAGCCUCUUAGAGGGUGCAAAGCUGGGUUAGUAUGUAGAAAGUUGUGAAGGGAAGGUGAUGCGAGAAGUACUCAAUCCCAAUGCAGGAAUUUGUUUGAACCUGGAAGUGGAGGGAUUGGUUUAAAUGUUGAACUAGCUUUAGAGAACAAUUGAGGAGGCUUAAGGAGAAAGUGUUCGUUUUUUGAGAAAUAAGCACCAGUACUCUCCAAGUCAAUUUUCUAGCCUUUAUUAGAAUCUCUUAAGGAAAGUUAGAAAAUGCUGCAGCCAAUUUGUUCGAGAGUUCAGUUUCUGCUUGAAGAUUAUGCUUGAAGUACUGUGCCGGUAAUUGCUAUGUCCAUGAGUAGAAUGGCUUGAGAAGAUUCUGCUGCAGCCAUUAGAUAACCAUGCAGUUUGACUCUCUGAGGAAGAAUGGUGGAAAUAAGGUAGAAUGAAAGGUGCAUGAAAAUAGGCGUGAUGAUGCAGUUAAGGCAGCAAAAGAGCCUCUUUGCUGUUGUAAAGGUUGGCCAGAGUUUUUUUCAAUACUUGCAUUUAUGUUGGUGUGUGGUAGAGAAUUUUAUGGAAAGUGCUUCUCUGCUGUAUAAGGUGCUGUUAUCAACAUUGAGAUAUCUGCAGUCUCAUGCUUACUGCAUAAGUUUGAAGGUCUAGGACCUAAUUGUUUGUGGAGGAUGCUUAGUCUUUAAUAUGUAGCCUUUUUUUGGUGAUGGCAACUUUUCAAUGGUUCCGUUUGUAGGAAAGUUGCUUAGAGUGUUUGUUGUUGUAUAAUGGUUGGACACUUCUAAAAUAUCUUUUUUAAUUUAUUAAUUUUUUAAUAAUUAAAAAAUAAACAAGUAAAGAAAUUGUGUCUCUUUAUUAAAAUAUAAUAAUUAUUAAAAAUAUUAGUUAAAUGAAUGUCUUUUCUAAAAUUACUGAGCUUAUAGUGUCAUUUUAUUAAUAAAAAAAUUAAUAUUAGAGGAAAUGUUCGCCUAGGGAAAAAAAUACAUGUAAUUUUCUCUUUUAUUUACAAUACAGAUUGUAAAAAAAAAAUGAAUGAAAGUGAUAAAUUUAAUAUAAUUUUAUUUAUUACACUUUUUACAUUAUAAAAUUGUAUAUAUCCUUAGUGAAAAAUCCAUUCUUGAUACCACUCUCUUCGCAUGAGGAGAGUUUCAAAAGUAUUUCAUUUUAAAACAACUUAAAGUGGGUCUCCAAACAUGGAAAAGGGUAAGUACUUUCUUGGAAAUUCCUCAUACACAAUCAUGUAAAAUGAGUCAAUUACGUCACCUAUUUUUAUGUUGAACUCCUACGCAAAAAAAUAUGGUAAUAUUUUCGUAAAUAUUUCAAACAUGUUCAGAUGUUCUAGGGUCUCAUGUAAAUAUUCAUAUAUUUACGUCAGAAGUUGCUUAAAUAAGAACACAAUGCAUCUUCUUCCUUGCAUUUUGAACGCACAUGAAUCCCUCUUCUUCUUCUCUGACGAAGGCGACUACAACGCGAGUCUGCACUUGUUGGUCAUCUAAAUUCUACUUCCGUCUUUAUGUCUCAUUUGUGGCGGCAGACCUUUCUCUCUAAUUGCAUUAUUGGAGCAUUUGUGGGUGAAUGUUUGUCAUUCAUGUUAGUUUUUUCACUAGUAUAAAAUGAUGAAAAUAAUACUCUUAUUAAGUGCGGCUUUGCGUUCAAACGCAUUCGUAAAAAAUACGGUGACAUUUUUUAAAUUAAUUUGAUUUACAAAUGCGGCUAUUCAAAUAGCCGCAUUUGUAAAUCUUUUUUUACCCUAAAAUUUAAAUUGCACACACUACUUUCAUAUUUUCUUCUCCACUUUGCCUUUCGUUUUCACUGUUCCUCCGCUCGCGUACGCUUGCAGUUCUUCUCUUCUUCUGCAUCUUCAUUAAUUUGUGUCAUUGUGAGUUUCUUGAAUUGCUUUCUUUCUCUGCAUCUUCACUACGUAUAAAUCUUUUUCGUUUUUCCUUAUAUUUGUUUUUUCUCCUUGCAUUGUGGUCAAACUGUUCCAUUGGCAUUCUCAUCUCCAUCGCUACUCUGCAACCGCUUCCGCUGUCGUUGCUGGCGCUCCCCUGCCACUCUUCACCACCAACGUCGGUUCACACACAAGAUUAGUGUUCUGUUUUAAAUUUUUUGAAUUUUUCUUUAAUAUUUUGAAUUUAUUUUUUUAUGUAUUAUAAUUUGUAUAUUAUUUAUAAAUAAUUUGUACAUUGUGGGUUACAUUUGAACAUAUUUAUUAUUAUUUUUAUUUACUGAAGCAUAUACAAGUGCGGCUAAAAGUCGCACUUGUAAAUUGUAUUUAUAAAUGCGGCUAUAUAACCGCAUUUGUAUCUCUUCGAUUUACAAGUGAGUGUUGAUCAAAUGCGACUAUAUAGCCACAUUUAUAUAUUCAAAAUAGCCGCACUAGUUGUGUGUUUUUGCACCAGUGUUUAUAUCUUCUUUUUACUAUUGAAAUUGAAACUCUGGUAGUUUUUUAGAUCUCAAUCAUCAUGAUAAUGCAUGAAUGUUUCCAUUGAAUUGUUGUUAGUUAUUAUUGAUAUUGAAAUUUUUGUUAAAUUAAAUGUGUUAUUUAGUUGUUUAUAUUUCAAAUAUUAAAAUUAAUGUUUGUGUAAUUGUGAAUAUUAUAAGAUGUUUAAAAUUGUAUUCUACACAUUAGAAAUAGUCAAAAUUAUAGGGAUUAAUUAUAGAAAAAGGCAUUUGUUUGACAGUUGUAUUUUCAGCAAUUAUAGUUAUCAAGGAUUUCAUUCGCACUAUAUCUUUUUCCAUUAGGUCAAUCUUCCAACAACCAGAUACAAUCAGAGUUUUUAAGAAUUUCAACUUAUACAUCUUUCUGGGGAGAUUGCUUAGAUUUGUACAGUCUUGCAAAUUUAGCAAUGUAAGAUACAAGAGGCAUCCAAUAGAUUGGUGUACUUCCCUCAAUCUUGUUCAAUCUUUGAGAAUGAGUUGUUCAAGACUUGGUAUAUGAAAAGUCAGGUUUCUAUCAAGUACUUGGAGUGACUAAGAUUAAGGACUUUUAGCCACGUCAAAACCUUCAAGAAGAUAGCUUUUGAUAAAAUAUUAGAGAAGCAAAUGAGAAAACGAAAUGGUUAUAAGUGAAAACAAAUAAUGAUUUUAAAAGAGAAUGGCACGUAAUAAAAACCUGGGGUUCUUUCCAAACGAUACGAAGAAGACUGUGUUUUACGUCAAUCACUAUUGCAUCAUGCAGAUAAAUAUCUUUAGAUAGGUAUUCUUAGAAAGGUACUCGAAAUGUCCAGCGAAUUUCAGCAGUCUUGAUGGUCUCUUACCUCUAAAGGAUAACGUUCCAGGAAAUCACUUGCGGUAGGCAAUCUCUGAAUCACUUUUGUCCUUUUAGAUGAAAAGAGCAAAGAAAAAGAAAUAUAUUGCUCAUGAGAAAGCAACCACUUCCAAAAAGAAGUUUCAAAACCAUAGAUAAAGGGUGUUCUUACCGUAUGCUCUGACAGUGCAUAUUCUGCAUCCUUAUUAAACCACAGUUGACUGUUCUUCCCUGAAAUUUGACGAAUAAUUUAUCUUCCCAUUUGUCGUAGCAACGGAUGCAUUCCUAAUUUCCUGUUCUUAUCAUGAGACUACGCUAUAUGAGAACUCUUAUUCCACUAUCCGCGUCUAUUCCACAGCCAUUUAGGAACUUAGUAACAUAGACUCUGUCCUUACCAACAAAGGAAAGAACAUACAUCAAGGAAUAAAUCUUUUUCCAUUUGAUUGUGUAACCCGUCGAAACUUGUUUUCAAUAUUGUGUAAAAUAAAUAUGAAUUUAACUAUGAGCUAUACUCAAAGAAAAACAAGGAAAGGAUCAGAAAGAUAAAUUGCACUAUAGGACACAAGGAUUAAUUCCAUAACUCAAGGGAUCCUGCUUUUCUCAAAGAAGAUGAAUGAAUUGUAAUAAGGACACACGGAUUGAUUCCAUAACUCAAGGGAUCCUGUUAUGUUCUCAAUGAAGAACAUUAACUCAGCAGAAGUCACACAUUACCAUUUUCUUAAAGAAUUUAAUUAAGGUAUUUUCCAUUGGCUCAAGGCAAGAAUCCAUUUCCAAGUCAUUUGAUUCACCAUAUAUCAGAUAGGCAACUGUGUUAUUGACCACCAAUCCAUAACCAAAAGUCACAAAAAUCUCCACGUUGUCUCCUGAUCCUAAACUUGACAUUACGCCAUGCCAAUCUUCAUCAUUAAAGGAAAUUACUGCGUCAUGCUUGUGCAUAUGUAACGUGCAGUUUGUGUAAUUAACAAUUAAGACAGUAGUAAGUUUGGGUUCAAUGAUUUUGGAGGUUGAUAAAUAAACAACACACAAAGGCAUUCCCUUUAUCUCACGAUCUCCAGGUACAGUGAAAGAAACAGAAUGUCCCUCACCCUUAUGGGCCAACCAAUAAGGAUCAUUGUCACCCGGGAGAGAAACAUCACAAAACUCACUGCUUACCAAUACCUGCACAAUGAGAUGAAAAGCUUAGUCAAUUAUGUAAUUUUUCAAUUCAAACUGUCUUCUGCAAUUAUUAUUUUAUAAUUCAAAUUACAAAAUGAGAAUUAUAAUCAAAUAAUGUAACUCAUAAUUAAGAAAUACCACUGAUAAUUAAUUUAAACAAAUCUGGCUAAUAGUCUUGUGUAUAUAUAUAACACCAUCAUGUCCUUAGGACUUAGAAUGCAUUUCUGUUUUCGUCUCUUACAGUUUAUAAUUCUACGAUCAUUGGGAAUAAAACAAUUAUGAAGCAAGUAAAGCAAGAAAGUGGAAAUCAAUUUCCUAUUAAAUAGUAUAAAAAAGUAUAAUCACUUGGUUAGUUGAUUAUUAAAAUUAGAUACUUUUAGAUGAAGCUGUGUGAUAAUAGAAGUGAAGAGGUCUAAAAGUUUCAUAUUGUAGUUUCUGUCAGAUACUUCAUCAGGAUUAUUUAAUGUUCUCUUAAUAAUAGCUAGAAUGAUAGUGAAGGUUAUAAACAAAGGGAAAGCUAGAGAAGAACCUUAGAUAUGCUAUCGUUCACAGUAUUGAAGAGUUCAUUGUAUCUUCCAAAACCAAGGAAAGAAGACCUCAACUGAUGCUUUGAAAUUCCUGAUUCUGAAAUAUUUGCACCAUAUUCGACCAGAAUAGUUUUUACUUGCUUAGAUUGCUGAAACUCGGUAUCACAUUGCACCAAAACACUUCGAAGAUUUCAAAGAAUUUUAAACAACGGUGCAAUAUCAUCCCGACUACUAUCCUCCUCAUCCAUGCAAACCAAAUGAAUAUAAGAUAGGGGAUCCAUUGUUGGUGACAUCCAAGACCUAAUGAUAGAAGGAAAAAGAUUAUGUGACAAUCCCUCAAAUCCACUUAGGGAUAUAUAUCCAAUGCUUUUUGAGUAUACAAUUGAAAAAGGCACUUGUUUGACAACUGUAUUUUCAGCAAUUAGUGUUAUCAAGGAUUCCAUCUGCACUAUAUCUUUUUCCAAUAGGUCAAUCUUCGAACAACCAGAAAGAAUGAGAGUUUUCAAACAUUUCAACUUAUAUAUCUUUCUGGGCAGAUUGCUUAGACUUGUACAAUCCUUCAAAUUUAGCAGUAUAAGAUUGCAGAGACAUCCAAUAGAAGGGUGUACUUCGCGCAAUCUUGGGCAAUCUUUGAGAAUGAGCUGUUCAAGACUUGGUAGUCCCGAAAUGUCAGGGGUUUUUGUCAAGUACUUGGAGUGACUAAGAUUAAGGACUUUUAGCCACGCCAAAACCUUCAAGAAGAUAGUUUUUUGAUAAAAUAUUAGAAAAGAAAAUAAAAUAGUUAUAAAUGAAAACAAAUAAUGCUUAUUUUAAGCUGAAAUUGAAAAGAAAAUGGUACGUCAUAAAAACCUGGGGUUCAUUCCAGACGAAUCGAAGAAGACUGUAUUUUAAAUCAAUUGCUAUUGCAUAAUGCAGAAAAAAGUCAUUAGGAAGGUAUUCUGAAGAAAACCCUUGCAAACUGAACCAUCUCAGUUUCAUAUAGUGGUACUCAUAAUUUUCUGCGAAUCUCAGCAGGCUUGAUGUGUCUCUUACCACUAAAGGAUAACGGUGGAAGAAAUCUUUUGUUGUUAAAAGCAUUUUCAAAGGCAAUCUCUGAAUGGGCUCAUUGGAUUUAUCCGAAAAACAGAAUCAACUUCAUGAAUCCUCAGUAUGUGUUCAUCUCUCGUUGUAAUGAUUAUUAUAGUUCCUCCACUGAAGCAACGGCGGCAUUCCCAUAGGUCGAGUAAUGCACAAAACUCAGGCACAUCAUCAAGUACAAUGAACACCCUUUUCCCAGAAAGUCUUUCACGAAUCAUUCUUUUUCCCAUCUCAACGCUGCUUAUCUUCACCUUUGUUUUUAGGACAUCUGAGAGAAGUUGUUCUUGUAAACGAAGAUCCCCUCUUAUUCCACUAAAUUGUCCAAUAUCUUCAAUGAAACUUUUCUCCGUGAAUGUACCAUGAAUUUGAUUAUAGAUGGCUUUUGCAAGGGUAGUUUUACCACAUCCUCCCUGUCCACAUAUCGCUAUCCUACAAUCCUCCGUGGAUUUACUUUUGAUAGUUCUAAUCAGAUCCUCCACUUGGUAUUGUAACCCAACUGGAAAUUUAGUAGCAGACAAGACUGGUAAAUUAAGAAGGCUUUUAACAAUUUUGUCGACUAGUUCAGCAUCACUCCUUCAAGUUCAAUAGCAAGUAUCGAAGAAGUCAUGUAUUACCAAAAUUAAAUCUCAAGCAUAAAAUUUGGUCAUUGAUUGAGUGAUUUACCUGUGGUUGCUUUCAUCCCAUCCAAAUAAAUUUGCAGCUUUGGUGAGUGCCUGGCUCCAUCUGGACGUGCCAUGCUCCAGUUGUUGUCCUGAAAAUGUUUGGUGUGCCGUUUCUUUGAAAGCUUUACCAAAAUCACCCAUCUGAAGACGUACAUCAGAUGGCUCAAUUUCGUAAUAAACGGGCAGUUUGGAUGUCGAAGACAGCAAUUCCAUGGAAGGAAUUGAUGAGGUCAUGAACUAUUACAAGAAGAGAAAGCAAUAAUGCAACAAAGUACGCCGAAGAUUAAGACUUUUUCUUUUUAUACUUGUGGAAUCGAGUUAAGACCAUAAGAGACCCUUCUUUACUUUAGCAUUUAAGAUAUGGCUAAUUCUUUAUGCAAGUGAAGUAAAUUGAAAAAGUAAAUCUUGAAAAGAUUCUUGUAUUCUUAAAUUGUAAAAUCAAAAUCUCAUUUUGAAAAAAAUAUUAUAGAAUCAAAAAUACAUUUUAGAAAAUAAAUUUUGGAAAACAAAAUCCAUAAAGUUAUAUAAUGGAAUUAAAAAAGUGUUCUAAAAAUCUAAAUCUGAAAAUGUAUUAUAAGAGGUUCCAAAAUGUAUUUUGAUCCACUCCCCCUCUUUAUUUAAGGGUAUUUUUGUCUUUUCAGAUAAAAAUCGGAUGUAAGUUCAAAUUUCAUUGGGUGGAAGAAGUAAUUGCCUUAAGAUAAUAGGCUAACACUCACUUUGAAUCAUAAAAAAGAAAAUAUCAAUAAUUACAAAAAAAAUUGUAAUUAUAUUUUUAUACUUUUUAAUUUAAGAACAUUACAUUAUCUCUUCUUUUAUUUUAGUCAUAUAUCCCUUUUAAGUUUAAAAAAUAAAAAAAUACAUUAUAUUUUUUUUCAUAUUUGUGUAUAUCUAAAGAGGUCAUUGUAAUAUAGAUCACAACCUUCAAGAAAACACUCAAACUGCUGAGCACUUCUAUCAUACACUGAACGAAUUGAGGCCAAAAAAGUUAAGAGAUCCAAAUGUCAAAGGACUGAGCGAAUCCAAAAAGGUUGAGCGCAAAGAUUCAUUCACCAUGAAGAAAGCCAAAAUUUGCUCACGAAAGACUUGAAGUCAUCAUGCACCAAAAUUAGAAGGAAAAGGAUUUCGCUUGAAGCAAAGCCCAAGCAAAAAUCACUUCAUGGCUAAGAAAGAGAAAGUGUUGGGCUCAGGUUGGAAUGAAUCCUUGAUAGAUAGAUCCUUAAAUCUAAGAAUCCCAAGAAGCCCAAGAACUUGUCUUGAAGCCCAAAGAUUACUCUAGCCUAAACAUAUGUGCUAUAUUGUUAUUGUUAGAAUUAGUGGCCUAAACAAGAGGGGAAGUGAAUUAUUUUCAUAAGAUUUUUGCAAAGAUUGGAAAUAGAGUGAAAAGUUCUAAAUCAACCAAUUGAUUUUCUGUUCAACUGGAUAAAAAUUUAGUUUUAAUGUUCUUUACAGAAAUUCAACCGGUUGUUUUCUCGAAACAAGAGGUUGGUUAAACCAGUAGAAAAAGAACAAUUAUUAAAACAAUAUAAAAGAAAAGGGAUAGAGAGAUUCACGCACAAAGGUUUAUACUAGUUUACUCUUAACCAAGAGCUACAUCCAGUCCUCAACUAACCAAUGAGAAUUCACUAUGUAAUCAAACCUAGAUUACAAACCACACACCAAGAAACCACACACCAAGAGUGAUAUCUUGAACCCCUCAAGAAUCACCACCUUGGCAACACCACAAUUUUCAUAAACACCUUUUUGAAACUACCUUUCACCAAAUACACCGAAUUAUAGUGUUCAAAGUGAAGGAAAAGAAUACACAUGGGCUUUACAAAGUAGAAGAACAUAAGUAUACAAAGACCCAGUCCUAUUCCACACACAAGUGAUGAUCCAAAACUCUUGAACUCUUGAAAAACGUUUUUCAUCAUCUUUCUUUCUUUGGUUCUUGAAAAGAAUAUCAAAUAACCUUUAUAUAGACUUAAGCAAGUGGUCAAAGUUGUUAGAUCAUAAAUCAAAAGAAGUUGGAAUCAUUUAAAAACAGUUCAAAACACUUCAUAAAAUUUUGUUAUAAAAACAACAAAUUGACAGCAAAGCCAAAACAAAGCAAAGUUUUCCCAAAUCAUUUUAAAAACCACUAAGUGUCAAACAACCAAUUGUUUCGACAAUUCAACAUGUUGAAAUUUCACGACUUUUUAGAAAACACUUCUUUUCAAAAAAGAUAAAGAAUCAAGUGAGCUUGGAUCAAUACAAGGAGUGAAUUAACAAGUAAAAAACUACUAGACAACACACACACAUAGCAGCAGGGUCUUCAAGCUUUUCACAUAGAUUUGGAGACAUCAAAUCAUCUUGUUCAACAGUUAUUCUUUUACUUUCAAUAUCUUGUUAAUAGAGUAAGUGGAAAGUAUUUUUAAAAAGGGUAAAAUAAUAUUUUCCAAAUAUGAUGAGGUGCAGGAAGAAACAUUCUUAAAAUUAACAUCAAUAAAAAAAUAGUAACUCUAUGACCAUCAUUGUACCAACAACACAGGCUUUCCCCAAAUUUUUUAUUGUAUAUCUAAAGCUGAGCUUACUUAGAUUAUCCAAGGCAAGUUUCUCAUUAGAUAUCUAGUCAGCCAAAACGUGCAACAAUUUAUUUUGAAUGCCAAUAAGAGCAACUUGUUUAUUUUAAUUACCUUUUUCGUCUCUACAUUUAGAUUCAAUAGUGAAUUUAAUACCGUGGUUUUUAAAAAAAUCAAUUUGAUUCCUAAGUUUUUUAAAAUGUAUUCAAAAUAAUCAUUUCUGUUAAAUUUUUACCAACGACAUUAACAGUUGAUGACGUGGCACACAGUAUAUAAGUCUAGGCACGUGACAUAUACGUGUCACAUAAGACGUUGAGACUAUAGUCUUUUACCGUUCAACCUUGCGCCGGUCACAUUCACCGCCAUUCAGAUGAUUUUUGGAGUAACCGUGGCUAUCAUACUUGGAGGCAAGGAAUCUCACCAAGGAGGAGUACGUCGCGAAUCAUCCCGUCGGCAAGAUCGGGAAGAGUCUCAUCUUUAAGGUCCUUUUUUUAUUCAUUUGUAUCUGUGUUUGAAGGAUUUGUAUAAAACAAGAAGGAUUAAAAAACAAAGCAAAUGUGAAGGCCAAGAGUAUGAAGAAAAGUUUAGGUAGUUUGGUGAGUUGUUCCACUGUGUAGUGUAAGAGAAAGAGAGAGAUAGUGACUCUGAUUCACUCGCCAAACCAUCUGCACAACAUAAUUCAUUAUACAGAUCGCUCUUUCCUCAUUUCUCCCUUAACGGACAAAUAUACCCCUCCCCUCUCCAUAUCAUUUAUAUAAUUCAUUCAUAUUAAAAUAAUAAUCUACAUCUAUAUUAUUUUUCUAAAGUGAAAUGGGUGCUGCAAUUCACGAGCUUCCACGACUAUGAAAAAUAAAUGUAUCUUUGGCUACUUUGAAUGGUUUUGUGUCUUUUUGACUGUGUUGCAUUAUUGCUUUCUCUUCUUCUAACAGUUGACCUCAUCAAUUUCUUCCAUGGAAUCGUCAUCUUCAUUAUCAAAUCUGCCACGGAUGUACGAUGUGCUUAUCAACUUUAAUGGAGAAGACAUCCAAAGGACAUUUGUUUCUCAUCUCGAUUCUGACCUCUCUGCUGUUGGCCUCACCACCUUCCUUCACCACCCCAAUGCAGUCAAUCCAACGCACAUCCAACAACCUAUUCUCAAUCUCUGUCGGGUAGCAAUUGUAGUUUUUACCAAAUCCUAUUCUCAAUCUGCUUGGUGUCUUAAUCAGCUUCAACAAAUCAUCAAAUGGCACCAAACUUAUUGCCGACAUGUUCUGCCCGUUUAUUACGAAAUUCACCCAUCUCAUGUACGUCUUCAAAAGGGUAAUUUUGGAAAAGCCUUCAAAGCAACUGCACACCAAACAUUCUCAGGACAACAACUGAGGCAGGGCAUGUCUAGAUGGAGCCACGCACUCACCAAAGCUGCAAAUUUCUUUGGAUGGGAUGAGAGAAAUCACAGGUAAAACACUGACUCAAUCAACCAUAUUUUAAGCUUCUGAUUUUAUGUUGGUACUACAUGACUUCUUCUAUGAUUGCUAUUGAACUUGAAGGAGUGAUGCUGAACUAGUGGACAAAAUUGUUAAGAUCGUUCUUCAUUUACCAAUCUUGUCUGCUACAAAAUUUCCAGUUGUAUUAGAAUCCCGUGUGAAAGAUGUGAUUCAGAGCAUAAAAAAUAAAUCCACCCAAGUUUUAACUAUACUGAUAUGUGGAAGAGAAGGAUCGGGUAGAACCACUCUUGCCAAAGCCAUCUACAAUCAAAUUCAUCAUACAUUCACGGAGAAAAGUUUCAUUGAAGAUAUUGCAGAAGGUAGUCAAACAAGAGGGUAUGUUCAUUUACAAGAACAACUUCUUUCAGAUGUACUAAAAACAAAGGUGGAGAUAAGUGACGUUGAGAUGGGAAGAAGUAUGAUUUGGGAAAGACUAUAUGGGAAAAGGGUGCUUCUUGUACUUGACGAUUUGAAUGACUAUGGCGAAUUAGAUCUCUGGGGAAGUAGUUCAUGGUUCGGUGAAGGAACUGUAAUAAUCAUUACAGCGAGAGAUGAAGUAGACCUGCCGAGUAUGCUUGAAGUUGAUUCUGUUUUUCAGAUGAUUCCAAUGAACGCAAACGAGUCCCUUGAGCUUCUUAGUUGGCACGCAUUUAGAGAACCAAAACCAAAAAAAGAAUACCGUGUACUUGCAAAAAGAGUAGUUGCUUAUUGUGGAACACUACCUCUAGCUCUCGAAGUCAUUGGAACUUAUUUAUACAAAAGGACGAAAGAUGAAUGGAAUAGAGUAUUGAUAAGAUUAGACAAUAUUCCCCAGCAUGAAGUUCCACAGAUAUUGAAAAUAAGUUUUGACGGUUUAGCUAAUCAAAUAGAAAAAGAUUUAUUCCUUGAUGUAUGUUGUUUCUUUGUUGGUAAAAGCAGAGCCUAUGUUACCAAGAUCCUAAAUGGCUGUGGAGUAGACUCUGAUAGUGGAAUAAGAGUUCUCAUAAAGCGUAACCUCAUCAAAGUUAAAGAAAACAACAAAUUUGGAAUGCAUCAUUUGCUACGAGAAAUGGGAAGAGAAAUUAUUAGUGAAAUUUCAAGAAAGGAAUCUGGGAAGAACAGUCGACUGUGGCCUCAUGAGGAUCUAAAACAUGAAUUUUCAGUGAAUACUGUAAGAGCAUUCUUAAUCUAUGAUUUUGAAACUUCUUUUGGAAGUGGUUGAUUUCUCAUGUGCAAUACAAAUGUUUUUCUUAGCUCUUUUCAUCACCGGGUAAAAAGGUCAUUCAGAGAUUGUCUAGCGGAAGAGAUUUCUUCGAACGUUAUCCUGUAGAGGUAAGAGACCCAUCACCGGAUACAAAAGUCUUCGAACUCGCUGGACUGCUGAAACUCGCUGGAGAUUCCGACGACCAUUCUAAGAAUACCUACCUAACGGCUUUAAUCUGCAUGAUGCAAUAGCGAUUGAUUUAAAACACACUCUUCUUCGAUUCGUCUGGAAAGAACCCCAGGUUUUUAUUACGUGCCAUUUUCUUUUAAAACUCAGCUUAAAAUACAAAUAUUAUUUGUUUCCACUUAUAACUAUAUUAUUUUUUCAUUUUCUUUUCUAAUAUUCUUGAAGGUUUUGGCGUGUCUAAAAGUCCUGAAUCUUAGUCACUCGAAGUACUUGAUAAAAACCCCUGACUUUUCGAGACUACCAAGUCUUGAAGAGCUCAUUCUCAAAGAUUGUCUUAAAUUGCGCGAAGUACACCAAUCUAUUGGAUGUCUCUGCAAUCUUAUACUGCUAAAUUUGAAGGACUGUACAAGUCUAAGCACUCUCCCCAGAGAGAUAUGUAAGUUGAAAUCUUUGAAAACUCUCAUUAUAUCUGGUUGUUGGAAAAUUGACCUAUUGGAAAAAGAUAUAGUGCAAUUGGAAUCCUUGAGAAUUCUAAUUUCUGAAAAUACAGAUGUGAAACAAGUGCCUUUUUCAAUUGUAAGCUCAAAAAGCUUUGCAUAUUUAUUCCUACCUGCAUUUGAGGGAUUAUCACAUAAUCUUUUUCCUUCUGUGAUUCGGUCUCUGAUGUCGCCAACAAUGAAUCCCUUAUCUUAUAUUCAUUCCUUCAUGGAUAUGGAGGAUAAUAGUUGGGAUGAUAUUUCACCAUUGCUCAGCAGCCUUGCAAAUCUUCGAAGUGUUUUGGUGCAAUGUGACGCCAAGUUUGAACUAUAUGAGCAAGUAAAAACUAUAUUGGUCGAGUAUGAUGCAAAUAUUACAGAAUCAGGAAUUUCAAAGCAUAAUUUCAGGUCUUCUCUGACUGGUGUUGGAAGAUACAAAGAAUUCUUCAAUACUGUCAGCGAUAGCAUACCUAAGGUUCUUCUCUAGCCUUCCUUUGAUUAUAACCUUCACCAUAAUUUUAGCUAUUAUUUUUUAGAACAGAAAAUAAUCCUAAUGAAGAUUUAGUAGAAACUACACUACUGAACUUUUAGCACCCUUCGCUUCUAUAGCCCCACGACUUCAUCUAAAAGUAUCUGAGUUGAAUAAUCAAAUAACCAAGUGAUUAUGCUUAUACUAAGUACUUUGAAAUUGAUUUCCACUUUAUUGCUUUACUAGCUUCAUGGUUUUUUUAUUCCUAAUGAUCGUAUAAAUAUAAACUAAUAGAGACAAAAUCAGAAAUGCAAAAUGAUGGUGAUAUAUACACAACAAAACUAUUAACCAGAUUUGUUUUAAUCAUGUAUAACAUUUUUGUUUCACUAAACAUGCCCUUGUUUGUCACAUGAUACAGGUAUUUGCAAGCAGUGAGUCAUGUGAUGUUUCUCUGCCAGGUGACAACGAUCCUUAUUGGUUGGCCCAUAUGGGUGAUGGACAUUCUGUUUCUUUCACUGUGCCUCAAGAUCGUGAGGUNNNNNNNNNNNNNNNNNNNNNNNNNNNNNNNNNNNNNNNNNNNNNNNNNNNNNNNNNNNNNNNNNNNNNNNNNNNNNNNNNNNNNNNNNNNNNNNNNNNNGUUUAUUCAUCAACCUCCGAAAUCAUUGAACCUAAACAUACUAUUGUCUUAAUUGUUAAUUACACGAAGUGCACAUGCCAGAUACACAACCAUGGCACAGUAAUUUCCUUUAAUGAUGAAGAUUGGCAUGGCAUAAUGUCAAAUUUAGGAUCAGGAGACAAGGUGGAGAUUUUUGUGACUUUUGGUCAGGAUUUGGUGAUUAAGAGCACAGCUGUCUACCUGAUAUAUGGUGAGCCAAGGAAAAAUUCCCUCAUUAGAUUCAUAAAGAAAAUUGUAAUGUGACUUUUCUGGUAAGUCAUUUAUCUUCUUUUUGAACAGCAGGAUCAUUUUUUUCCCAUCUUUUCUUUUCUUUAUAGUGUAGCUUAUAGUUAAGAAAUUCAUGUUUAUUUCACCCUGUUCUCACUCCUUAGUGGUGCUUCCUUGGCUUUUCUUGAGCGGUUUAUUGUAUUUGUUUUCUGGAUUUUACUUUUGUCAAUUCUUUUCCCUUUUAGCAUAUAAUAUUUCAAUAGGAAUCCUCUUAAAAUAAGACAUUGCAUUAUGAUAUAAAGACAGCUGCAGUUUGAUAGUUUGCUAUGUGUUUUGUUUUGGUAUCUGGUAGGUAGUCUCUGUUUUCGUUUGAACAUAAUAAACAUUCAAAGGAUAUGUAUAGACACAACCAUCCAAAGGAGACCAAAGAUGAGUACAUUUUUUUUAUAGUGGUGCAAGCACGUUUAAAAAAUUCGACCAACGCACGCCAACUUUGAACCACUGGAAAAAUAAAUAUUAUACUAAUACAAUUCAAAUUUUCUCCAAUAUAUUCCUUUUUUUUAUAUUAUGCGUCCAUUUUUUUAAGUUUUAAAAUAUAACACGUCCAUCUUUGUUUACAUUACCCAUUCACGUCGUUAAGAUAAAUCAUAAACAAAAUAAAAAAAAAAGUAUAAAUCUAAUUUUAAAAAAAUUACGACAAGUCAUUUUUUAUAAACAAGAAACAGGAUAAAAUAGAUGAAUUUGUUAACGACAAUCUUUGAGAAUGAGUUGUUCAAGACUUGGUAUCGAAAAAGUCGGGUUUAUAUAAGUACAUGGAGUGACUAAGAUUAAGAACUUUUAGCCAGGCCAAAACCUUGAAGAAGAUAGUUUUUGAUAAAAUAUUAGAGAAGUAAAUGAGAACACGAAAUAGUUAUAAGUGGAAACAAAUAAUGAUUUUAAAAGAGAAUGACACGUAAUAAAAACCUUGGGUUCUUUCCAAACGAAUCAAAGAAGACUGUGUUUUAAUUCAAUCUCUAUUGCAUCAUGCAGAUAAAUAUCGUUAGAUAGGUAUUCUUAUAAAGGUACUCGGAAUGUCCAGCGAAUUUCAGCACUCUUGAUGGUCUCUUACCUCUAAAGGAUAACUUCCGGUAGGCAAUCUCUGAAUCAAUUUUGUUCUUUUAGAUGAAAAGAGCAAAGAAAAAGAAAUAUAUUGCACAUGAGAAAGCAACCACUUUCAAAAGAAGUUUCAAAAGCAUAGAUAAAGGAUGUUCUUACCGUAUUCUCUGACACUGCAUAUUCUGCAUCCUUAUUAAACAGCAGUUGACUGUUCUUCCCUGAAAUUUGACGAAUAAUUUAUCUUCUCAUUUGUCGUAGCAACGGAUGCAUUCCUAAUUUCUUGUUCUUAUUAUGAGACUACGUUAUAUGAGAACUCUUAUUCCACUAUCAGCGUCUAUUCCACAGCCAUCUGUCCUUACCAACAAAGGAAAGAACAUACAUCAAGGAAUAAAUCAAGCUAUUAUUUCGCAGAAAGGUACUCGGAGUCUGCAUCCAGUUUCAGAAGUCUUGAUGAGUCUCUUACACCUACAGGAAAGUUUGCAAAUGUAAUACUUUUGUUUUAAAUUAUGUAAAUAUGUCAAUUUUGAUUUUAAAUCCAAUCAGAUAGUUUGAUGUAUCAUUUGUCACUUCAACAGGUUUGUGCUGAAAGAAGUGGUGAGGAAAUCAGUAGGAAUGCUGAAAGCCAACAAUGCUGGUGCGAGGGGACCUAUGUUAUAUAUGCAGAUUUUUUACAAGCAGAUGAAGUGAUUGGUUCUUUGGAAAGUGCAUAUUUGUUCCUGUCCAAGUAAGAAGGUAAACCCGACAUGCUGGCUUAGAUCUUGUGAUGUGCAAGAGCAGAGAAAAAAGUUUGUUUGAGUGUAAAACUGUUUGAUUUUCUUCGUGGGUGAAUACUCAUCCGUUUGAGUGUGAAACUGUUUGAAAUUUGUCGCGUUUUGUCUAAAAUUCAGUGGAGAUUCUUACGUGGAAUUCUGGGAAAAAACUAUUUUGGGAGAAUUUUUCAGAAAUUUUGUGCAAACCAAGGCUAUCCUCUACAGAAAACUUGUGAAAUUUCGCCCUAGUAUCUGAAAUUUUAUUUUGGGUCCGUAUUGCGUUGAAAAAAUUCACACAAAAACUUUCAUAUGUUGUUUGCACCCAGGUAAGGAGGCACGUCCAAAAAAAAAUCACAAAAAGAAGAUACUGGAAGAAAAGCCAGGACGUUUUGUUUGCAGAAAACCAAUUUUGUUCACUCUCGGUCUGAGACUUACUACGCCUUACUUCUUGGGUAUUUUGGUCUGAAAUUUUUACCAGAAGUUCGUCACUGUGUCUACUGAGUUUUGGCUGAGUUUUCAGGCCUAGAUUCGUCCCACGAGACUGUGAAUAAAUUUUUUAUUCAUCACUGUCAGCGUUGAGAGGAAGGUUCGUUUGAGUGUGAAACGUUUUGAUUUUCUUCGUUCGUGAAUACUCAUCCGUUUGACCUGAAAUUUCUCGGUUUUGUCCCAAAUUAUGUGGAGAUUCUUACGUGUAAUUUCAGGAAAAAACUAUUUCGGGAGAAUUUUUCAUAAAUUUUGUGCAAACCAACUCUACCAAAACUUGUGAAAUUUGCCCUAGUAUUUGAAAUUUUAUUCAGGGUCCGUAUUGCGCUGAAAAAAAUUCACACAAGUACUUUCAUAUGUUUUUGGCCUCUAGGUAAGGAGGCACGUCUAAAAACAAAUCACAAAAACAAGAUACGAGGGAGAAAAACGAGGACAUUUUGUUUUCAGAAAACCAGUUCUGUUCACUUUUGGUCUGGGACUUACUACGCCUUACUCCUUGGGUAUUUUGGUCUGAAAUUUUGACCAGACGUUCGUCAUUAUUUCUACUGAGUUUUGCCAGAGAUUUGAGCCCGAGAUUCGUCUCACGAGACUGUCAAUAAAUUUUUUAUUCGCGUCAGGGCUGAGAUGAAGGUUUGUUUGUGAAUGAAACAGUUUGAUUUUUUUCGUGGGUGAAUACUCAUCCGUUUAACCUGAAAUUUGUCGAGUUUUGUCCCAAAUACAGUGGAGAUUCUUACGUGGAAUUCUAGGAAAAAACUAUUUCGGGAUAAGUUUUCAGAAAUUUUGUGCAAACCAAGGCUAUCCUCUACCUAAACUUCUGAAAUUUCGCCCUAGUAUCUGAAAUUUUAUUCUGGGUCCGUAUUGCGCUGAAAAAAUUCACAAAAGUACUUUCAUAUGUUGUUUGCAACCAGGUAAGGAGGCACGUCCAUAAACAAAUCACAAAAAGAAGAUACGGGGGAGAAAAGCCAGGAUGAUUUGUUUUGGAAAACCAGUUUUGUUCACUCUCGGUCUAGGACUUACGACGCCUUACUUCUUCGGUGUUUUGGUAUGAAAUUUUUACCAGACGUUUGUCACUGUGUCUAAUGAGUUUUGGCUGAGAUUUGAGCCCCAGAUUCGUCCCACUGUGUCAAUAAAUUUUUUAUUCAUCACUGUCAGGGCAGAGAGGAAGGUUCGUUUGUGUGUGAAACUGUUUGAUUUUUUUCGUGGGUGAAUAGUCAUCCAUUUGACCUGAAAUUUGUCGCGUUUUGUCUCAAAUUCAGUGUAGAUUCUUACGUGAUAUUUGAGGAAAAAAACUAUUUUGGGAGAAUCUUUCAGAAAUUUUGAAAUUUCGCCCUAGUAUCUGAAAUUAUAUUAUGGGUCCGUAUUGCGUUGAAAAAAAUCACACAAGUACUUUCAUAUGUUGUUUUCACCCAGGUAAGGAGGCACAUCCAUAAACAAAUCACAAAAAGAAGAUACGGGGGAGAAACACCAAGACGUUUUGUUUGCGGAAAACUAGUUUUGUUCAAUCUCCGUCUGGCAAUUACUACGCCUUACUCCUUGGGUAGUUUGGUCUGAAAUUUGUAGCAGACGUUCAUCACUGUUUCUACUGAGUUUUGGCUGAGAUUUGAGCCCCAGAUUCGUCCCACUAGACGGUGAAUAAAUUUUUUAUUCAUCACUGCCAGGGUUGAGAGGAAGGUUUGUUUCUGUGUCAAACUGUUUGAUUGUUUUCGUGGGUGAAUACUCAUCCGUUUGACCUAAAAUUUGUCGAAUUUUGUCCCAAAUUCAGUGCAGAUUCGUACAUGAAAUUUCAGGAAAAAACUAUUUCGGGAGAAUUUUUAAAAAAUUUUGUGCAAACCAACUCUACCAAAAACUUGUGAAAUUUGCCCUAGUAUUUGAAAUUUAUUCAAGGUCCGUAUUGCGCUGAAAAAAUUCACACAAGUACUUUCAUAUGUCGUUUGCACCCAGGUAAGGAGGCACGUCCAAAAACAAAUCAGGAAAAGAAGAUACGGGGGAGAAAAACCCGGACGUUUUGUUUUCGGAAAACCAGUUUUGUUCAAUAUUUGUCUGGGACUUACUACAUCUUACUCCUUGGGUAUUUUGGUCUAAAAUUUUGACCAGACGUUCGUCACUGUGUCUACUGAGUUUUGGCUGAGAUUUGAGCCCUAGAUACGUCCCACGAGACAGUGAAUAAAGUUUUUAUUCACCACUGCCAGAGUUGAGAGGAAGGUUUGUUUGUGAGUGAAAGUGUUUGAUUUUUUUCGUGGGUGAAUAAUCACCCAUUUGACCUUAAAUUUGUCGCGUUUUUUCCCAAAUUCAGUGGAGAUUCUUACGUGGAAUUUCAGAAAAAAACUAUUUUGGGAGAAUUUUUCAGAAAUUUUGUGCAAACAAAAGCUAUCCUCUACCAAAACUUGUGAAAUUUCGCCCUAGUAUCUGAAAUUUUAUUCUUGGUCCGUAUUGCGCUGAAAAAAAUUCACAAAAGUACUUUCAUAUGUUGUUUGCAACCAGGUAAGGAUGCACGUCCAUAAAGAAAUCACAAAAAGAAGAUACGGGGGAGAAAAGCGAGGACGAUUUGUUUUCGGAAAACCAGUUUUGUUCACUCUCGGUCUAGGACUUACUACGCCUUAAUUCUUGGUUAUUUUGGUAUGAAAUUUUUACCAGACGUUAGUCACUGUGUCUAAUGAGUUUUGGCUGAGAUUUGAGCCACAGAUUCGUCCCACUGUGUCAAUAAAUUUUUUAUUCAUCACUGUCAGGGCUUAGAGGAUGGUUCGUUUGUGUGUGAAACUGUUUGAUUUUUUUCGUGGGUGAAUAUUCAUCCGUUUGACCUGAAAUUUAUCGCAUUUUGUCCCAAAUUAAGUGCAGAUUCUUACGUGAUAUUUCAGGAAAAAAACUAUUUUGGGAGAAUUUUUCAGAAAUUUUGUGCAAACCAAGGCUAUCCUCUACCAAAACUUGUGAAAUUUUGCCCUAGUAUCUGAAAUUAUAUUAUGGGUCCGUAUUGCGUUGAAAAAAAUCACUCAAGUACUUUCAUAUGUUGUUUUCACCCAGGUAAGGAGGCACGUCCAUAAACAAAUCACAAAAAGAAGAUACGGGGGAGAAACACCAAGACGUUUUGUUUGCGGAAAACUAGUUUUGUUCACUCUCCGUCUGGCAAUUACUACCCCUUACUCCUUGGGUAGUUUGGUCUGAAAUUUUUAGCAAACUUUCGUCACUGAUUCUACUGAGUUUUGGCUGAGAUUUGAGCCCCAGAUUCGUUCCACUAGACUGUGAAUAAAUUUUUUAUUCAUCACUGCCAGGGCCUAGACGAAGGUUUGUUUGUGUGUCAAACUGUUUUAUUGUUUUCGUGGGUGAAUACUAAUCCGUUUGAUCUGAAAUUUGUCGCGUUUUGUCCCAAAUUCAGUGCAGAUUUUUACGUGGAAUUUCAGGAAAGAACUAUUUCGGGAGAAUUUUUCAUAAUUUUUGUGCAAACCAACUCUACCAAAACUUGUGAAAUUUGCCCUAGUAUUUGAAAUUUAUUCAGGGUCCGUAUUGCGCUGAGAAAAUUCACACAAGUACUUUCAUAUGUUGUUUUCACCCAGGUAAGGAGGCACGUCCAAAAACAAAUCAGGAAAAGAAGAUACGGGGGAGAAAAUCCAGGACGUUUUGUUUUCGGAAAACCAGUUUUGUUCAAUAUCUGUUUGGGACUUACUACGCCUUACUCCUUGGGUAUUUUGGUCUGCAAUUUUGACCAGACGUUCGUCACUGUGUCUACUGAGUUUUGGCUGAGAUUUGAGCCUAAGAUUCGUCCCACGAGACUGUCACUUAUGUUUUUAUUCAUCACUGCCAGGGCUGAGAGGAAGGUUUGUUUGUGAGUGAAACUGUUUGAUUUUUUUCGUGUGUGAAUAAUUACCCAUUUGACCUGAAAUUUUUCGCGUUUUUUCCCAAAUUCAGUGGAGAUUCUUACGUGGAAUUUCAGGAAUAAACUAUUUUGGGAGAAUUUUUCAGAAAUUUUGUGCAAACCAAGGCUAUCUUCUAUGAAAACUUGUGAAAUUUCGCCCUAGUAUCUGAAAUUUUAUUUUGGGUCGGUAUUGUGCUGAAAAAAGUCACACAAUUACUUUCAUAUGUUGUUUGCACCCAGGUAAGGAGGCACGUUCAUAAACAAAUCACAAAAAGAAGAUAAGGGGGAGAAAAGCCAGGACGUUUUGUUUCGGAAAACCAGUUUUGUUCACUCUAGGUAUGGGACUUACUACGCCUUACUGCUUGGGUAUUUUAGUCUGAAAUUUUUACCAGACGUUCGUCACUGUCUCUACUGAGUUUUCGAUGAUAUUUGAGCCCCAGAGUUGUGUGUGAAACUGUUUGAUUUUUUUCGUGGAUGAAUACUCAUCCGUUUGACCUGAAAUUUUUUGCAUUUUGUCCCAAAUUCAGUGGAGAUUUUUAAGUGGAAUUUCAGGAAAAAUAUAUUUCGGGAGAAUUUUUCAGAAAUUUUGUGCAAACCAAGGCUAUCCUCUACCAAAACUCUUGAAAUUUCACCCUAGUAUGUGAAAUUUUAUUCUGGGUUCGUAUUGCGCUGAAAAAAUUCACACAAGUACUUCAUAUGUUGUUUGCACUCAGGUAAGGAUGCACGUCCAUAUAGAAAUCACAAAAAGAAGAUACGGGGGAGAAAAGCCAGGACGUUUUCUUUUCGGAAAACCAGUUUUGUUCACUCUCGGUCUGGGACUUACUAUGCCAUACUCCUUGGGUAUUUUGGUAUGAAAUUUUUACCAGACGUUCGUUACUGUGUCUACUGUGUUUUGGCUGAGAUUUGAGCCCAACAUUCGUCCCACAAGACUAUCAAUAAAUUUUUUAUUCAUCACUGCCAGGGCUAAGAGGAAGGUUCGUUUAAGUGUGAAAUUGUUUGAAUUUUUUCGUGGGUGAAUAGUCAUCCAUUUGACCUGAAAUUUAUCGCGUUUUGUCCGAAAUUCUGUGGAGAAUCUUACGUGGAAUUUCAGGAAAAAACUAUUGUUAGAAUAUAUGACCUUAAACGAGAGGGGGGUGAAUUGUUUAAGAGGGAUUUUCGCAAAAUUUGAAGGUAUAAUGAAAAUCAAUGCUGAAUUACAAAGAAAAGAAUCAAGGAAACAAAUACCCAAAACUGUUUUAAGAUGAUAUCAGAAAAACAAUUGGUUGUGUUGUCGAAACAAUUGGUUGUUUUUAUCAGCAGUUUAUAAAAACAACUUAAAAACAGAAUUUAAAGAGUUAAGGGAAAGAGAUAAGCACACAGGCAAUUUAUACUGGUUCACUCUUACACCAAGAGCUACAUCCAGUCCCCAGAAACCACUGGGUAUUCCACUAUGCAAUCAAAAUCAGAUUACAAACACCACACACCAAAUUUAUACUUUCUUAUGUUAUUUGCAUCCAGGUAAGGAGGUACGUCCAUAAACAAAUUACAAAAAGAAGAUACGAGGGAGGAAAGUCAGGACGUUUUUUUUUUUCGGAAAACCAGUUUUGUUCACUCUAGGUGUGGGACUUACUACGCUUUACUCCUUGGGUAUUUUGGUCUGAAAUUUUUACCAGACAUUCGUCACUGUGUCUACUGAGUUUUGGCUGAGAUUUGAGCCCCAGAUUCGUCCCACGAGAUGACAAUAAAUUUUUUAUUCAUCACUGCCAGAGCUGAGAGGAAGGGUCGUUUGUGUGUGAAACUAUUCGUUUGUAUAAUGUCUGAUGAUUAGAUUUGGACUUGGACAUUUUUAUAAUGGUUGAGACACUCUUGAAGUGUCGCAUUUUAAUUUUAUUUAUUCAUUGAUGAUAAAAAAACAUCUCAUAAAAUUAUAACCCACCUAAAAAGUAAGAGAAUAUUAUAUACUAAGAUUAUUUUUGGACUUUUUAUAAGUGUUUUCAUUUUAACCCACGUAGUGAAUGAGCUUUCUAGGUUAAGUACAAAAUGCAAACUUUUUAAGGUGGGUUAUUCGCCUUAAUGGUUGUUUUUUGAGUUAUUUUUUAAAGGAUUAUAUGUUUAAUUUAUAAGAACUAACUUUAAAACAUUUUUAACAUAAUUAAAAUAUUUUGUAAGAUCAUGACUAUAUUUGAAAAAAAAAACUUGUUGAAAACUUGAAAAAUUACAUAUAAUGAAAACACUAAACUGAAAGCUAUAAAUGUAAAUUGAAAAAAAAAAUUGAUAUAUUUAAGAUUUGUUUCAUUUAGUCUUAAAUAAAGGGAUGAGACUGAGGUGUUUAUUAUGUAGAAACUAAAACAGACACUACCAAACAAAUAGCAAAACUAAACACAACAUAAUAUCGAAGAGCUGUGUUUAUUUCAUAAUGCAAUGUCUCAUUUUAAAAGGUUUUCUUAAUGAAAUAUUACAUGCUAAACAACGAAAAAAAUACAAUAAACAAAUAAUGUAAAGCCAGGAAGCACAGUGGGGAGUGAGAAACAGGGUAAUUCUAUAAACAUUAAUUUUUCAAAGUCAUUUGAUUCACCAUAUAUCAAAUAGACAUUUGUGUUCUUCACUCCUGAUACAUAACCAAAAGUCACAAAAAUCUAUACCAUGUCUCCAAAUCCUAAAUUUGACAUUAUGCCAUGCCAAUCUUCAUCAUUAAAGGAAAUUACCGUCCUUCGGUUGUGUAUCAGGCACGUGCACUUUGUGUAAUUAACCAUUAAGACACUAGUAAGACAUUCAGGUUCAAUGAUUUCAGAAUUUGAUAAAUAAGCAACCCACAAAGCCAUUCCCUUCAUGUCACGAUCUCGAGCUACAAUGAAACAAACAGAAUGUCCCUCACUCUUAUGGCUCAACCAAUAAGGAUCGUUGUCACCCGGGAGAGAAACAUCACUCGACUCACUGCUGACAGUUAAGAAUUCAUUGCAUGUUCCAACACCAAUAAAAGAAGACCUAGAGUGAUGCUUCAAAAUUCUUGAUUUUAUAGUAUUUAGACCAUAUUCCACCAGAAUACUUUCUACUUCUGUUUGACCUAAAAUUUGUCGAAUUUUGUCUCAAAUUCAGUGGAGAUUCUUACGUGGAAUUUCAAGAAAAAACUAUUUCGGGAGGAUUUUUCAGAAAUUUUGUGCAAACCAAGGCCAUCAUCCUCAAAAUAAACUUGUGAAAUUUUGCCCUUGUAUCUGAAAUUUUAUUUUGGGUCCGUAUUGCGCUGAAAAAAUUUACACAAGUACUUUCAUAUGUUGUUUGCACCCACGUAAGGAGACAUGUUCAUAAACAAAACACAAAAAGAAGAUACGGGGGAGAAAAGCUAGAACGAUUUGUUUUCGGAAAACCAGUUUUGUUCACUUUCGAUCUGGGAUUUACUACGCCUUACUCCUUGGUAAUUUUGGUCUGAAAUUUUUACCAGACGUUUGUCACUGUGUCUACUGAGUUUCGUCUGAGAUUUGAGCCCCACAUUCGUCCCACGAGACUGUCAAUAAAUAUUUUAUUCAUCACUGUCAGAGCUGAGAGGAAGGUUCGUUUGAGCGUGAAACUAUUUGAUUUUUUUCGUGCGUGAAUAGUCAUGCGUUUGACCUGAAAUUUAUCGCGUUUUGUCCCAAAUUCAGUGGACAUUCUUACGUGGAAUUUUCAGGAAAAAAUAAUUUCGGGAGAAUUUUUCGGAAUUUUCGUGCAAACCAAGGCUUUCCUCUACCAAAAUUUGUAAAAUUUCGCCCUAGUAUCUGAAAUUUUAUUCUAGGUCCGUAUUUCCCUGAAAAAAAUCAUACAAAUACUUUCAUAUGUUGUUUGCACCCAGGUAAGGAGGCACGUCCAUAAACAAAUCACAAAAAGCUGAUACGACGGAAAAAAGCCAGGACGUUGUGUUUUCGGAAAACCAGUUUUGCUCACUGUCGGUCUGGGACUUACUACGCCUUACUCCAUGGGUAUUUUGGUCUGAAAUUUUUACAACACAUUUGUCACUGUGUCUAAUGAGUUUUGGCUGAGAUUUGAGCCCCAGAUUCGUCCCACGAGACUGUCAAUAAAUUUUUUAUUCAUCACUGCCAGGACCGAUAGGAAGGUUCGUUUCUGUGUGAAACUGUUUGAUUUUUUUCGUGGGUGAAUACUCAUCCCUUUAAGCUGAAAUUUGUCACAUUUUGUCCCAAAUUCAGUGGAUAUUCUUACGUGGAAUUUCAGAAAAAACUAUUGCAGGAGAAUUUUUCAGAAAUUUUGCGCAAACCAAGGUUAUCCCUCAACCAAAACUUGUUAAAUUUGGCCCUAGUAUCUGAAAUUUUUUUUUGGGUCCGUAAUGCACUGAAAAAAUUCACACAAGUAUUUUCAUAUGUUGUUUGCACUCAGGUAAGGAGGCAUGUCCAUAAACAAAUCACAAAAAGAAGAUACGGGGGAGAAAAGCCAGGACGUUUUGUGUUCGGAAAACCAGUUUUGUUCAAUAUCUGUCUAGGACUUACUACGCCUUACUCCUUGGGUAUAUACGUUCAUCACUGUGUCUACUGAGUUUUGGUUGAGAUUUGAGCCCCAGAUUUGUCCCACGAGACUGUCAAUAAAUUUUUUAUUCAUCACUGUCAGGGCUGAGAGGAAGGUUCGUGUGUGUGAAACUAUUUGAUUUUUUUCGUGGGUUCAUACUCAUUCGUUUGACCUAAAAUUUGUCCCAUUUUGUCCCAAAUUCAGUGGAGAUUCUUACAUAGAAUUUCAGGAAAAAAAAGUAUUUCGGGAGAAUUUUUCAGAAAUUUUGUACAAACCAAGGCUAUCCUCUACCAAAACUUGUGAAAUUUCGCCCUAGUAUCUGAAAUUUUAUUCUGGGUCUGUAUUGCACUGCAAAAAUUCACACAAGUACUUACAUAUGUUAUUUGCACCUAGGGAUGAAGGCACGUGAUGAAGAUCAAGAUCAAGAAGAGAAAGAAGCCGAAGAUGAAGAUGCUCAAAGGAUUAUUAGCUCAUCAUCCUUUUUACCUCAAAGGAUUACAAGGAGCAAAUUUAAAGAAUUAGGAAGUAGUGGUAAAAUGUUUUAUCUUUUUGUAGUAUCUUUUGUAUAAAAUUUAAAAAUGCUUAAUAUAGUGUUUAAGAAGGUUCUAAGAGGGAAACUUAAAGAUACCUCUUGUGUAAAGCAUCUUUAGAUAUUAGCUUUAGAAAAUUCUAGAAAGGUAUCCCUUCCUCGUUCACUUUAGGGGCUAGAAGUGGAAGAGUUACAAGGGAACCUUAGUUAGCUUCUUUUGUAAGCCUCUUGUACUUUCAUGACCGGUCCUUCUCCUAUAUAAGGAGGGCUUGAUUCUUUCUAAAUUCAGAUUUGAUAUUUUGAGUACAGAAAUUCUCCAAAAUUGGUGAGUGAUUGAGAGACUUGUGUCUUCUCUUGUUCUAAUCUUAUCUUGAGAGCAAUCUUGGAACCUCAAGUGGCGGCAUCUACACUCAUCUUGAAGAUUUGCAUCCUUCAAGUGGCGUCUUCCUUUCCAAGGACUCCAACCACAUAAGUUCUCUUCUCCUUUCCAUCUUAUUCAUCCAUUUCCAUUCCCAAAUAAACUCUAAAAACAUGUCUUAGGAUUUUCUAAUCUUUGUAAUCGGUUCAUUUGCUUUUUCUUACACUUUUGUUCGGUUCAUUUGAUUCCUAUCAUGUUUUGUUCAGUUCAUUUCAUUCCUUAAUUGUUUUAAUUGGUUCAUUAGCUUUCUUUCAUGCUUUUGUUCGGUUAAUUUGCUUUCUAGAUAGUUUUAAUUGGUUCUUUCGCUUCCUUGUUCAUUUUAAUUGAUUCAUUUGACAAGAAAUGGGUUUCUACAUGGGUUUUGGCUUGGUUGCUUAAGAUUUGGUGAGUUCUUGAAUGAAAGAACAUUGAUCCAAUUCAAGAUGACUCCAGAACAUGUCUAUGAAACAUCUCUAUCUUCUUAUUGGAAUCAUAUCAGCACAUCCAUAAACAAAUCACAAAAAGAAGAUACGGGGGAGAAAAGCCAGGACGUUUUUUUUUUGGAAAACCAGUUUUGUUCACUCUUGGUCUGGGACUUACUAAGUCUUAUUCCUUGGGUAUUUUGGUCUGAAAUUUUUACCACACGUUCUUCACUGUGUCUAUUGAGUUUUGGCUGAGAUUUGAGCCCCACAAUCGUCCCACGAGACUAUCAAUAAAUUUUUUAUUCAUCACUGUCAGGGGCUGAGAGGAAGGUUCAUUUGUGUGUGAAACUGUUUGAUUUUUUUUUUAUUGAAUAGUGAUCCGUUUGACCUGAAAUUUAUCGUGUUUUGUCCCAAAUUUAGUGGAUAUUCUUACUUGGAAUUUUAGGAAAAAACUAUUUCGGGAGAAUUUUUUAAAAAUUUUGUGCAAACUAAGGCUAUCCUCUACCAAAACUUGUGAAAUUUCGCCCUAGUAUCUGAAAUUUUAUUCUGGGUAUGUAUUGCGCUAAAAAAAUUUACACAAGUACAUACAUAUGUUAUUUGCACCCAGGUAAGGAGGCACAUCCAUAAAGAAAUCACAAAAAGAAGAUACGGGGGAGAAAAGCCAGCACGUUAUUUUUUCGGAAAACCAGUUUUGUUCACUCUCGGUCUGGGACUUCCUACGCAAUACUCCUUGGGUAUUUUAGUAUGAAAUUUUUACCAGUCGUUUGUCACUGUGUCUACUUAAGUUUGGAUGAGAUUUGAGCCCCAGAUUCGUCCCACGAGACUGUCAAUAAAUUUUUUAUUCAUCACUGCCAGAGCUGAGAGGAAGGUUCGUUUGUGUGUGAAACUGUUUGAUUUUUUUCGUAGGUGAAUACUCAUUCGUUUGACCUGAAAUUUGUCGCGUUUUGUCCCAAAUUCAGUGGAGAUUCUUACGUGGAAUUUCUGGAAAAAAUAAUUUCAGGAUAUUUUUUCAGAAUUUUUGUGCAAAUCAAGGCUAUCCACUACCAAAACUUGUAAACUUUCGCUCUAGUAUCUGAAAUUUUAUUCUGGGUUCGUAUUGUGCUGAAAAAAUUCACACAAGUACUUUCAUAUGUUGUUUGGACCCAGGUAAGAAGGCACAUCUAUAAACAAAUCACAAAAAAAAGAUAUGAGGGAGAAAAGCCAGGACGUUUUUUUUCGGAAAAUUAGUUUUGUUCACUCUCGGUUUGGGACUUACUACGCCUUACUCCAAGGGUAUUUUGUUCUGAAAUUUUUACCAGACGUUCUUUACUCUGUCUACUAAGUUUUGGCUGAGAUUUGAGCCUCAGAUUCGUCCCAUGAGACUGUCAAUAAAUUUUUUAAUCCUCACUGCCAGGGCUGAGAGAAAGGUUCGUUUGUGUGUCAAACUAUUUGAUUUUUUUCGUGGGUAAAUACUCAUUCGUUUGACCUAAAAUAUUUCGCGUUUUGUCCAAAAUUCAAUGGUGAUAAUUACAAGGAAUUUCAGGAAAAAAACUCUUCCGGGAGAAUUUUUCAGAAACUUUGUGCAAACGAAGGCUAUCCCCCUACCAAAACUUGUGUAAUUUCGCCCUAGUAUCUGAAAUUUUAUUCUAGGUCCGUAAUGCACCGAAAAAAUUCACACAAGUACUUUCAUAUGAUGUUUGCACCCAAGUAAGGAGGCACGUCCAUAAACAAAUGAAAAAAAGAAGAUACGGGGGAGAAAAGCCAUGAUGUUUGUUUUUUCUGGAAAACCAGUUUUGUUCAAUCUCAGUCUAGGACUUACUACGCUUUACUCCUUGGGUAUUUUGGUCUAACAUAUUUACCAGACAUUCGUCACUGUAUCUACUGAGUUUUGGCUGAGAAUUGAGCCCCAGAUUCGUCCCACGAGACUGUAAAUAAAUUUUUUAUUCAUCACUGCCAGUGCUUAGAGGAAACAUCGUUUGUGUGUGAAACUGUUUUAUGUUUUUUGUGGGUGAAUACUCAUCCGUUUGAUCUGAAAUUUCUCGCCUUUUGUCCCAAAUUCAGUGGAGAUUCUUAUGUGGAAUUUAUUGAAAAAGAAAUUUCGUGAUAUUUUUUUCAGAAAUUUUGUGCAAACAAAGGCUAUAUCCACUACCAAAACUUGUGAAAUUUCGCUCUAGUAUCUGAAAUUUUAUUAUGGGUGCGUAUUGCGCUGAAAAAAUUCACACAAUACUUUCAUAUGUUGUUUGCACCUAGGUAAGGAAGCACGUCCAUAAACAAAUCACAAAAAGAAGAUACGGGGGAGAAAAGAAAGGAGGUUUUUUUUUUGGAAAAUUAGUUUUUUUCACUUUCGGUCUAGGACUUACUACGCCUUACUCCAAGGGUAUUUUGGUAUGAAAUUUUUACCAGACAUUCUUUACUGUGUCUACUGAGUUUUGACUGAGAUUUGAGCCUAAAAUUCGUACCACAAGACUGUCAAUAAAUUUUUUAAUCCUCACUGUCAGAGCUGAGAGGAAGGUUCGUUUGUGUGUGAAACUGUUUGAUUUUUUUCGUGGGUUCAUACUCAUUCGUUUUACCUAAAAUUUGUCGCGUUUUGUCCCAAAUUCAGUGGAGAUUCUUACAUGGAAUUUAAGGAAAAAAACUCUUCCGGGAGAUUUUUCAGAAAUUUUGUGCAAACCAAGGCUAUCCCCUACCAAAACAUGUGAAAUGUCGCCUUAAUAUAUGAAAUUUUAUUCUGGGUCCGUAAUGCGCUGAAAAAAUUCACACAAGUACUUUCAUAUGUUGUGCAUCCAGGUUAGGAGGCACGUCCAUAAACAAAUCACAAAAAGAAGAUACGGGGGAGAAAAGCCACGAUGUUUUUUUUCCAGAAAACCAGUUUUGUUCACUCUGGGUCUGGGAUUUACUACGCUUUACUCCUUGGGUAUUUUGGUCUGAAAUUUUUUCCAAACGUUCGUCACUGUGUCUACUGAGUUUUGCCUGAGAAUUGAGCCCCAGAUUCGUCCUACGAGACUGUCAAUAAAUUUUUUAUUCAUCACUGCCAGGGCUGAGAGGAAGGUUUGUUUGUGUGUAAAACUGUUUGAUUUUUCGUGUGUGAAUACUCAUCCGUUUGACCUAACAUUUGUCGCAUUUUUUCCCAAACUCAGGAAAAAACUAUUUCGAGAGAAUUUUCAGAAUUUUUGUGCAAACCAAGGCUACAAAAAUUUGUGAAAUUUCGCCGUAGUGUCUGAAAUUUUAUUCUAGGUACGUAUUGCGCUGAAAUUUUAUUCACACAAGUACUUUCAUAUGUUGUUUGCAACCAGGUAAGGAGGCACGUCCAUAAACAAAUCACAAAAUGAAGAUAUAGGAGAGAAAAGACAGGACGUUUUGUUUUUGCAAAACCGGUUUUGUUCAGUCUCUGUCAGGGACUUACUACGCUUUACUCCUUGGGUAUUUUGGUCUGAAAAUUUUACCAGACAUUCGCCACUGUGUCUACUGAGUUUUGGAUCAUAUUUGAGCCCCAGAUUCGUCCCACGAGACGGUGAAUAAGUUUUUUAUUCAUCACUGCCAGGGCUGAGAGGAAGCUUCGUUUGUGUGUGAAACUGUUUGAUUUUUUUCGUGGGUGAAUACUCAUUUGUUUGACUUAAAAUUUGUCGCGUUUUGUCCCAAAUUCAGUGGAGAUUCUUACAUGGAAUUUCUGGAAAAAACUCUUCCUGGAGAAUUUUUCAGAAAUUUUGUGCAAAAUUGUUCAGAAAUUUUGUGUGAAUACUCAUUUGUUUGACCAAAAUACCCAAUAAUUUUUCAUAUUCUUACCAAAACUUGUGAAAUUUUACCCUAGUAUCUGAAAUUUUAUUAUGGGUCUGUAUUGUGCUGAAAAAAAUUCACACAAGUACUUUCAUAUGUUGUUUGCACCCAGGUAAGGAGGCACGUCCAUAAAUAAAUCACAAAAAGAAGAUACGAGGGAGAAAAGCCAGGACAUUUUGUUUUCGGAAAACCAGUUUUUUUCACUAUCGGUCUGGGACUUACUACGCCUUCUUCUUGGGUAUUUUGGUCUGAAAUUUUUCACAGACAAUCGUCACUGUGUCUACUGAGUUUUGGCUGAGAUUUGAGCCCCAGAUUCGUCGUACGAGACUGUCGUACGAGAGGAAUUUUCGUUUGUGUGUGAAACUGUUUGAUUUUUUUCUUGGGCGAAUACUCAUUCGUUUGACCUAAAAUUUGUCGCGUUUUGUCGCAAAAUUAGUGGAAAUUCUUACAUGGAAUUUCAGGAAAAAACUCUUUCGGGAUAAUUUUUUAGAAAUUUUGUGCAAACCAAGGCUAUCCCCUACCAAAACUUGUGAAAUUUCACCCUAGUAUCUGAAAUUUUAUUUUGGGUCUGUAAUGCGCUGAAAAAAUUCACACAAGUACUUUCAUAUGUUGUUUGCACCCAGGUAAGGAGGCACGUCCAUAAACAAAUCACAAAAAGAAGAUACGGGGGAGAAAAGCUAGGAUGUUUUUUUUUCGAAAAACCAGUUUUGUUCACUCUCGGUCUAGGACUUACGACGCUUUAUUCCUUGGGUAUUUUGGUCUAAAAUUUUUACCAAACGUUCGUCACUGUGUCUACUGAGUUGUGGCUGAGAUUUGUGCCCCAGAUUCGUCCCACGAGACUAUCAAUAAAUUUUUUAUUCAUCACUGGCAGCGCUGAGAGGAAGAUUCGUUUUGUGUGAAACUGUUUGAUUUUUUUCGUGGGUGAAUACUCAUCCGUUUGACCUGAAAUUUUUCGCCUUUUGUCCCAAAUUCAGUGGAGAUUCUUACGUGGAAUUUUUGGAAAAAACAAUUUCAGGAGAUGUUUUCAUAAAUUUUGUGCAAACCAAGGCUAUCCUCUACCAAAACUUGUGAAAUUUCGCCCUAGUAUCUGAAAUUUUAUUAUGGGUCCGUAUUGCGCUGAAAAAAUUCACACAAGUAUUUUCUUAUGUUGUUUGCACCCAGGUAAGGAGGUAGGUGCAUAAACAAAUCACAACAAGAAGAUACGAGGGAGAAAAGUCAUGACGUUUUUUUUUCGUAAAACCAGUUUUGUUCUCUCUAGGUGUGGAACUUACUACGCUUUACUCCUUGGGUAUUUUGGUCUGAAAUUUUUACCAGACGUUCGUCACUGUGUCUACUGAGUUUUGGAUGAGAUUUGAGCCCUAGAUUCGUCCUACGAGACUAUCAAUAAACUUUUUAUUCAUCACUACCAGAGUUGAGAGGAAAUUUCGUUUGUGUGUGAAACUGUUUGAUUUUUUUUGUGGGUGAAUAUUUCCUCAAACUCUAUGUUUUUUUAAGUGAUCUUUAUUCUGGUUCUUUACUGCUGAUGUUUUGGGGUUUUAGCUGCUGCUUUGUUUAAGCAAAACAUAAGUUUUGUUUUACUACUCUAACCUCUGCCAUAGAUGUUGUACUUUGCUUAAACUUUUCUUUGCAGGAACUGCUUCAGAUUCAAUCAAGUCCAACAAAAGCAACCAAGGAUUUGUUUUCAUCAAAUAGAGGGAGAUUGUUGAAUCCAAAUCCUAGUGUUUGAUGGAAAGCUGGAGGUGCUUGUUGUUGUUGUUGUGCUUGAGAAUAGGAUUUGGGGUAGACUAUAUUUGUAAUCCACUCUUUGUUGAAUCUAAAGCUUAAGUGUUUUCAAAUCUUUUAAGUUUAAAGUGUUUGUCAAACUAAGUGAAAAACAACUUGUUGUUUAGUCGAAACAACCAAUUGUUUUAUACUUGGGUGUUUUUGAAAUUGUUUGAAAACUGUUUUGGAUUGUUGACUUGCUGUCAAACCAAAACAACCGAUUGAUUCGUUAUUUCAACCGAUUGCUUCUUUGAAAUCCUAACAGAAACAAUUUUGUUAGUUAAAUGAGUUUUAAUUGAUUUCAUAACUGAAUAUGCUCCUGCUUUAAAUGUUUUGACCAAGAUUUGAAUACUAUAAAUAGUUUGUUAAUGUUUUAUAACAAACAAGAAGAAAGAAAAACAUAUUUGAGUUUUUCAAAGAUUUCAGUUUUCACUUUGAGCUUUGGCUAUUCAAGAGAGAAGUGGAAUAUGAUUACUUUGUAUUGAUUUCAGUUGAUUUUGUAAUAGUGUAAUUCGUUCUAAAGAGUUGUGUACAUUUUGGUGUUGUAAAACCAAGAAGGGUUGUGUGCUCUUGAGGUUGUCAAGAUCAACAUUCUUGGUGUGUGUGCUGAGCCAAAGGAAGUGUGUUUCUUGAUGGGAUCAAGGUCACUUCUUUGGUGGUGUGUGUAUGUAAUCUGGAUUUGAUUACCUAGUGGAUUCCCAGUGGUUUCUGGGAAACUGAAUGUAGCUCUUGGGUUAAGAGUGAACCAGUAUAAACUGUGAUGGAGAUCAAGUAAGAGAGGAUUUCACUAAUGGAGGAAGAGGCCAUCCACCCAAGCAUUUAAAGUUCUUCCUUCUAGUCUUCUCAAAAAUUAAAGAAGAAUUAAAUAAAGAGAGGACCAAGCCUAAAUCCAACAAGAAGACUACAAGCAUUCAAGAAUGGGCUCCAAUUAAUAUCUCUCUUUAUAGUUUCUUUUGUAUAAAAUUUGUAAAUAAUAUAGAAUAGCUUUAGGAUGUGCUAAAGAGGGAAACCUUAAAGACACCUCCUUUGUAUAGCACUUUAGGCGCUAGUUUUAGGAAAAAUCUAGAAAGGUGCCUUUUCACUCUUCUUUAGGCGCUAGAAUAGGAAGAGUUAGAAGAUCACCUUUCAAAGCUUCUCUUGUAAGCUUCCUUUGUACUUUGUGACCAGCCCUGUCUAUUAUAAAAGGGGUACUUAGGUCUUUGAAAUAAUAAGAUUGAUUUUUGAGAGUAAAGAACCUCUACCAAUUUGGUGAGUGAGAGAGAGAGACUUGUGUCUUCUUCUCUUCUAGUCUUAUCUUGAGUGAAUUCUUGGGCUCUCAAGUGGCGGCAACAACACUCAUCUUGAAGCCAACCAUCCUUCAAGUGGCGUGCACAUUCCAAGAGCUUCAUCCACAUAAGUCCAUUUUCCCUUCAUUCCAAAUUACCCAUUUUUGUUCUACUUGUUUGUUUUCACUUUCAAUCGGUGCAAUCUCUUCCUUAUGAUGUCCUCUUUCAUUAGCUGCACUUAUAUUCAAUUUUAAUCGGUGCAAAUUGGUUGUUCUUGUUGUUUUGGUCACGUCCUCCAUGGGUAUAAAUGCUAUAUGUUGUGUUCUUGAGUUUCUAUCCAUGGGUUUGUUGUUCAAAAUGGGUUUCUAUGUGAGUUUGGCUUGAUUUUUGUGUUUUGGUGAGUUCUUGAAUGUUAAGAAUAUUGAUCCAAUUCUUAAAAAGUGUCUAAUCAUAUUCCAACUCUUGUUGAAUCCAUAACAUGUUCAUAUCAUAUCCAUAUCAUGUUAUUGGAAUCAUAUCAAACUGUUUGUGCAUUUCUCUCUUCCUUAAACUCUUUAAUUUCAUUUGUUGUUGUUUUUACUGGUAUAAACAACCGAUUGUUUAUGCGAAACAAUCGAUUGUUUUUCUGGUGCUUUACUGGUUUGAGCUUUGUUCUUGGCAAACUAAAUUCCUAAAUCUGGUUUCUUGCAAAGAAUUUCAUUCUAUCUUAAAAAGUUUGCGAAAACCUCCUUUAAACCAUUCACCCCCCCCUCUAGUUUAAAGCCGUACAUUCUAACACAAGGGAAGUGGAGUGAGUGAGGCCAACAAAAGAUGUACCUGAAUAUGCAACAGAAGUCGUGGAACUAGGGUUCUGAUCCUCAUACCAUUUAAGAAAUUCAUUGAAAAUAGCAGGCUGGCUUGAGGUAUCAAUUAAUGUAUGGUCCAUAGUAGAAGGUUUCACAGGGGCAGUUUGUGCAACCACAACAGAUUUAGGAGGACGACCAUGUAAGGCAUAACAUCUGUCAAUUUUGUGGCCAAGUUUGCCACAAUGGUCACACUUGUGACGCCCUUUGCCUGGCUUGUGAGGGCGAGGACGAUCAUUAUGUUGAGAGACUAAAGUAGAAGAAUCAUCAACAUGAGACAUUAUAUCAGUGGUGUGUUUACCUGGCACACACAAAAGGGUAGAACAAGUGGAAGUAAAAUUGGGCACGAUAGGAGAUCCCAAAAUUUGAUCAUGAACAUGAUAAUAAUCAUUAGGAAGGCCAUGUGAACCCAAUAACAUGAAGAACUUGGAUCUUUGUUCUAGUUCUUGAGAAGGAGUGGGAGCAUGAGGUAAUAACUCAUUAAAAUCAUGAAGAAAAGCAUGAAGUUUACCAGAUAUUAUGCCAUUGUACCAUCAAGACAUUUGGGAGCAACAAUUGUGAGAAGAUUUUGACACACACCAUAAAGACGUUGAGUAUCAUUGGUGUAUAAUAAUUUUUCUUGUUCCCAAACUUUUGAACAUGUCUCAUAGGUACGAAAUAUUUGUUUUAAAGAUGAGUGAAUGGUAGAUUUUAUAACAAUGCAUAUUUGAGCAUAAAUUUUCAACCAACGGGAAACCUCAUUUUCAGCAACAGUAGGAUGGGUAAGAUGAUCAACAUAUAUAACCUUUUCUCUUAAGCCAUAAUUAAAUAUCUGAUGCCCAAGUGUCAUAAUUGGUUCCAUCCAAUUUGUCAAUGGAGAGAUGAACAUUGAUGUAAUUAGUAUAAAUAGAUGGAUCCGGCAUAAUGACUGCGGAAGAAGCCACAGUGGUAGCGGCAGCGGAAGAAGCCAUAGUGGCAGCGGAAGUGAAAGAAGCCAUAGAGGAUAAGGACAAAUCAAGUCAUUGGUUAAUUGGCGACAACAGCAAAGAUGAAGGCUCUGGCAGCGUCUCUGGCGAAGGCUCCGGUGAGAUUCUGGCGGCGACUCCAGUGAGGGUCUGGCGACGGCUCCGGCGAGGUUCUGGUGGCGGCUCCGGCGAGGUUCCGACGGCGACUCCGACAAGGCAAUGGGGCAGUGGCUGGAAAAUUCCUGUGAAUAGUGGGUUCACCAAAAAUUGAACCCUAACGCUAUGCUUUGAUACCAUUUUAAAGGAAAAGAAAGAAUAGGGUAAAUCUCUUGUGUAUAUUGAACACAUAAGGUUAUAUAAGAAAAGAAACAUAUGGGUUAAGCCCAUUACAUAAAUAUGAAAUAUCUAACAAUAUCUAUAAUAUCUAAUAAUAUCUAAUAAUAUCUAAUUAUAUAUAAUAAUAUGUAAUAAUACUUAACAAUAAUAAAAAUUUAUGCAAUAAAUUUGAGUUAUUAGAAAAUUAAUGUAUUUUUCCCUUUUAAAAUUGUCUUACAAUCAUGCUAGAAUUGUCAGAAAUCCAACAAAUAUUUUUUGAAUUGGACAUUUCACCAAUACGUGUCCCACAAGUGUCGUAUGAGUCUUAGUGUCCAAUACAGGUGUCUAACAUGGACUGAUGUGAUUCCAAUAGCAUAGAAGAGAAUGAUUCUUGACAUUCUUGGGAAUCAACUUGAGUUGGACAAAUGUUAGGCACUUUUUCUUAGAAUUGGAUCAAUGUUCUAAGUCAAGAACUCACCAAAACUAGCACCAAAUCCAAACUCACAUGGAAGUUCCUCAUAUUGUCAAAUUGAACCAACAAAAAGAGGUAAAACUUAAAAUCACCGAACAGAAUUGGACAAGGAACAAACUGAACCGAACAAAAUGAAAUUAAAAGGCAAAGAACUGAAAAUGAUUGCUGGAAAAUAAGAACAAUCGAACCAAAAACUCAAGAACACAAGACAACAUGAACAAUGAGAAGGAAGGAAGGAGAAGAGAAUGCUCAUGAAGAUGGAUGCAAGGUUGGAUGAUCACGCCACUAGAAGGAUGGUUGCUCCUAGAUGAGUGUGCUCCCGCCACUUGAGGACACCAUGGAUCCUUCAAGAUAAGACUAGAGAAGAAGGCUCAAAAGCUCUCCAAUGCACACUCAAAAUUUGAGUAUAGUUUCUUUACUAUUAAUUCCAAUCUGAAUUUUACAAAGGGAGCACCUCUAUUUAUAGCCUAAGGUGCUGAAAUGCAAGCUGCACAAAUUCAAAAACUCCCUCCUAAAAGCUUCUAGAAAUUGGCGCCUAAAAUAAUGCAUGAGGAAGGUGUGACCUCUUCCUUCAUUUUGGCACCUCCUAUUCUACUCCUACACCUAUCUACUAACGCACCCCCCGUAAGACUCCUAACUAAAGACUAAAAGAUGCUUUAACAAUAGAGGUUUCUAAUGUUUCCCUCUAAGCACCUUCAACAAUAUUCUUUAUUAUUUAAUACUUGGCCUUGCCCUUCAUAGGAUGGACUUGGGUUUGGGCUUGGGCUUUGGGCUUGGGCCUCUCUUUAUUUUAUGUCUUCUUUUAAUUUUGAGAAGACUAGAAGGAAGAACUUCAAGUGUGAUGGUGAAUUGCCUCUUCCUUCAUUAAUAGAAACCCCCUUUACUUGACUCUCAUCAUGGGCACACCAUUUAAGAGGAGAGUUUGAGCCUUACAGGACACAACAGCAAGUUUGGUCUCCCAAACCUUGCAUACUACUUACUUCCUUUCCUCAACGACAAAUUUCCUCACCUUUAUUGUUGAGACAGAUUUAAGUCGACCUUUUCAUUAGUUUUGUAUUUGUACAGAUCAUCUCUUUGACUGUGUUGCAUUAUUGUUUUCUCUUCUUCUAACACUUCAUCAACUCAUCAAUUUCUUCUGUGGAAUCGUCAUCUUCAUCAUCAAAUCUGCCAUGGAUGUACGAUGUGCUCAUCAACUUUAAUGGAGAAGACAUCCAAAAGAAAUUUGUUUCUCAUCUUGAUUCUGCCCUCUUUGAUGUUGGCUUCACCACUUUCCUUCACUGCCCCAAUGCACUCAACACAACGCACAUCCAACAACCUAUUCUCAAUCUCUCUCGUGUAACAUUUAUUGUUUUCACCAAAUCCUAUACUCAAUCUGCUUGGUGUCUUCAUCAAUUUCAACAAAUCAUUAAAUGACACAAAACUUAUAGUCUACAUUAUUAAGGAAAUAAUGAUUAUCAAAUUAUACGCAAUUAACUUGAUAAUGAUAGAAUUAUACCCCACCUAUUAUAUAUGUUAUCAUAAUUAUUAUUAAUGUUAGAAAAGAACUACAGUGGACGAAACUCGAAGCCAAUUUCCUUGAGUGACCAAAGAAGCUUUAACCACCACACCAGACAAGUUCUUUUUGUCAUAUUAUGAUUUUUAUUAUACUUAUUAUUAUUAUUAAUAUUAUUAAUAUUAUUAAUAUUAAUAUUAAUAUCAUUUAUAUUAUUAAUAUUAAUCAUAAUAUAACUAUUAUUAAUAUUAUGAAUAUCAUUUAUAUUAUUAAUAUUAUAAACAUUAUAAAUAUAAUUAGUAUUAAUAAUAUUAUUAAAUUUAUUAUUAUUAUUAUUAAUAUUAAUAUUAUCAUUAAUAUUAAUAUUGUUAUUAUUAAUAUUAAUAAAAAUAUGAAUAUCAAUAUUAUCAUUAAUAUCAAUAUUAUUAUUAUUACAAUUAUUAAAAAUAUUUUUUAUGUAAUACUUUAUAUAUGGAUACAAUCUGUAUGUAAUAUUCCCGCUUCAUACGCUUCAUGCAACACCUAAUUUUAUUUUUAGUUUUUUAAUGGGCUGCAACACAUACGAUGGAAUUAGAAAAAAUGUGUUAUAAUUCUAAUUGAAUUUAGAGGGAGACAAUCAAUAUGAAAUAUUAUUAUUGAUACUAAUAUUUAUGUUAUUUUUUUCAUUUUUUAUUUUUUUUAUAAUUUUAAUAUUAUAAAUUUUUCUUUAAUUAAACUAAAAUUACUUUUCUAAUUUAUUUCUAACAACGUAAUACAUCUUAAAAUUAUUUCAAUUCCAUGUAACCUUCUUUUAUAUUUUAAUUUUUAAUUUUUAAUUUAUUUUAGUUUGUCCAUUGCUUUUAUUUCCCAUCAAGAACUAUACGAAUCUAAAUCUAAACCCUAAACCCUAAACGAAUCUAAAUCUUAGUUUUUAAUAUAUUUAAUCUUAUGUAAUGCUCACUUUACAUAUGGAUCUGGACCCGUAUGUAAAAAUCAAUAUGUAACACUUACUUUACAUACGAAUCUGGAUCCGUAUGUAAAAAUUCGUAUGUAAUGCUAACUUUAGAUACAGAUUUGGAUCUGUAUGUAAAAAUCGGUAUGUAACACUUACUUUACAUACAAAUCUGGAUCUGUAUGUAAAAAUCCGUACGUAACGCUCACUUUACAUACGAAUUAUCCGUAUGUAAAAAACUGUAUGUAAUGUUCACUUUACAUACGGAUCUGAAUCCGUAUGUAAUAAUCGGUAUGUAAAUAACAAAUUUCUUGUAGUGUUAUACCCUAUAUAAUGGCGCUGAAAUCAUUUUCAAUGAAUUAAAUUGCGACAUUUAUGACUGACACUAUUUACAUAUAAAAAUCGUCAUUUUAAACAAAGUGUUAAAGUGGCAGGUGUUGCGGAAGGUAGCUUAAGACUGUCACAUUAAACUUUGUGGUGGCCAAUCCUAUGACGGUUUGGGAAACUAUCACACGCGUAUAUUGUGACGUUUAUAAACGCUAGGUUAUACGAAAAUAAUUGUCGCAUUAUACAUCUUUUUUUUAGUGAUUGUUUUAAGAAAAAGAAGUAUAAUAAAAAUAAAUUUGUAAUUAAAUUAUGUGAAAAAUUAUUAAAAUAACAUUAGUAAGAGUUGUUUUAUGGGUGUAAAAUAAAAUUUCGGCAAUGUUAGAAUAAGCUCGAGAAAACAAUUUUUGUUAUGAAGUUUAGGAAAGAUGAAUAUUCAUUUCAAAUAAGACAGAAAAAGGGAGAAUCAAAACAAAAUAUGUUUUUUUUAUAUAACCAUGCCUAAAGCAGUGCAACAUAAAAGUAUGCAGCAGAGCAAAAUGCAAAAAUAGAAUGAGUCAUCAAUAUAAUAUAUAUGUGUACCUACAAAAUAUGUUUUUUUUCUUUAUUUUAAUUUAAAAUAAUAAUUUAAUUGUUAAAGAGUAACUGUAAAAUUUUAUUGUUUUUAAUAUGUAAAGGAUAAAAUUGAAAAAUUAAAUGUAUGUGCAAAAGAGGAAAAUUCUAUUGUUAUAGACUAAUAUUAAUAAUAUUAUUAUUAAGUUAAUAUGAUGGCUAGCAUGGGUUUUUUUGAAAAAUGGGUUUAUUGUAUCAAAGAAUACCUCGAAUCUUCUUCUAUCUUUGUUUUAGUUAAUGAAAGUCCAUCUAAGUAAUUCAAACCGUCUUAGAGGUCUAAGAUAAGGGGAUCCAAUUGCACCGUUCUUAUUCAUAAUUGUGGCUCAAGGCCUAUCAAGUUUAGUAAAUCAAGGGCUACAAAGGAAGUGUUUUCUGAAUUAAAAUUCGGUGCAAAAAAUAUAGAGGUGAAAUUGCUUCCGUUUGCAAAUGACACUUUGAUCAUGUGUAAAUCUAAUAUCCAAAAUAUUAGUGGUAUUAAAGGGAUCCUUAAAUGUUUUGAAAUUUGCUCAGGGCUUAGAAUAAACUUCUUUAAGAGAAAAAUUGGAGCUAUAGGAGUGGACAAAAAUGUGUUAGGAUCUUUCUUUGAGGUUCUCCAUUGCAACAUUAUGAAUAUUCUUUUUUUAUAUCUUAGUUUACCAAUUGGGGGAAAUUCUACUAAGGUUUCUUUUUGUGACCUAGUGCUUACAAAGGUUAAGAAGAGGCUAUCUAUGUGGAAACGUAAACAUCUAUCAUUUGCAGGUCGUGUGUGCUUCAUUCAUUUUGUGUUGAAUGCAACCCCUUGUAUUAUCUCUCUUUGUUCAAAGCUCCAUCAUCUAUAUUGAAAAAAGAUUACAAAGUUACAACGUAAGUUCUUGUGGGGCUGGGAUACUGAAGGAAGGAAAAUUGCUUGGAUUAAAUGGGAUAAUUUAUGUAAACCUAAAGCGAAAGGUGGGUUGGGCAUCAAGCAAAUAGACAUUUUCAACAAAGCUUUAUUUGGAAAAUGGAAAUGGAGACUUGGCUCUCUUGAUAACUGUCUAUGGAAAGAUAUUCUUGCUUCUAAAUAUGGUUCUUGGAGAAAUUUAUCUGAAUCUAGAGUUUCAAAGCAUGCUUCAGGAUGGUGGUGCCAUUUAAACAAAGUGUGUGAGGAUGAGCAGGACAUCAAUUGGUUUGAUUGUAAUAUGGAAUAGGCGGUUGGGUCUGGUGAAAAAGUAAAGUUGUGGGAAGACGUUUGUGUUUAUAUUGUUUCGGUUUAUAAUUGUCAAUUGAAAGCUAGAUUCCCAAGGUUGUUUAAUAACUCUCAUAGAUAAUUCCCAAGCUAGAUUCCCAAGGUUGUGGUAAAUGGAACAGAGACAACUGGGUUGGGAAUUAAAGUGGAGAAGAGAGUGGUUUAAAUGGGAGAAGGCCCAAGUAGAUGAAUUUAUGACUGUGCUGGAAGGUCAAACCUUGAAAAAAGGUAAGGAGGAUAAAUGGUUAUGGAGAGACCCGCAAACCUGUAAGUACUCUGUCAAAUCUGCAUAUGCAUUCGUUUCUAAUUCUAUUCCAAGUGCAUCUAAGGAUAUGUAUAGGGUUAUGUGGGGCUUGUUGGUCCCACCAUCAGCACAAUAUUUUGUUUGGAGAGCAUUGCAAAAUAGGAUCACCAAAAAGCAAAAUUUGAUUAGAAGGUCAGUCCACCUUGCAGAUUCAUUAUGCAUUUUAUGUGGGACGGAGGAGGAAACGUCCUCACACCUUUUCUUAACUUGUCAGAUUGCGAGCGUUGUUUGAAAUUAUUGUAGUAAAUGGAUUGAGGUUAGAUCUGUAAAUCAUUUUUCUUUGAAGGAACACUUUGAACAAUUUCAUUGCCCUUGGCUUAGCAAAGAUGGCAAUAAGUUCUGGAAAUGAGUGUGGGUAUCCAUCAUCUGGUGUAUUUGGAAACAUAGGAAUGAGAUUGUGUUUAACCAAGCAAAAGUGGAUGCGAGUGAAAUCUUUGCCCUGACCCAAAUGCGAUCAUGGACUUGGUUAAAAAACAAGGCUCCAAUAGUGCUUUUUUCUUUUUCCGACUAGGUCCAAUGUCCAAAUACUUGCAUUAAUAUGACAGUAAAACGUUGAUUUCGUGAGGAUAGAGAGGUUGGUAUGUCUUGGCUGGUUUUUCUUCCUUUUUUAGGAUGCUUUGAGAGUAUGUAAUGUACCCUUAAAGCGCAGCGUAUAAGGGUUGAAGCCCCUUUGUGCUCCUUUUCUACUAAUUUAUUUUUUUGCCAAAUAAAAAAAAAAGUUUACAAAGGAUGUUAAGCAUAUUAAUUAAUUCAAUUCAUCUACCUAUAUAUUACGCAUAUCUAUAUGAGUGGUUAAGAGUAAAAUAUUAAAUAAAUUUAUUUUCUCUUUUCUCUCAAUGCCUUCCACUCAUUCUCUUUCUUAUUAAUAGAUUACUCUAUAAAUAGGUUGAUAUUUAUUAUGUAUAGUAUUCUUUGCACACACAUUCCAACUAAGAGUACCUCCUGAUAGAAGGCAUGAAGAUCUCAUCUACGCUUUGAAAAGAAAGAUUAUAUAAGAUAAUCUCUACUCGUGUAAAAGAAAAGUACAAUAAUAUUUUUUACGGCAUGAUUAAAUUAUUAAAUAAAAAAUUGAUUAAAUUAGUAAAUAAAAAAUUGAUUAAAUUUUUGAAAGUUAUAUAACUUUUCACGUUUUUCAUGAGUUUAGACAUGCUAAACUAGCAAGGUAGAAUUCAAAAUCAAUAUAAAUAAAAGAAAAAGAAAAUAUUUGUUUAAUGAUUUUAACAAAAUGAUAUUGAAAUAAUUUUAUAAACUGAUUAUAGAUAAACUGAAUGUUUUUCUAAACUGUAUUUAUACCUACAUUAACCUGUUUUAGAUAUACAUGUGUAAUGUGAAAGAUGAUGAUGUUAUAAGCUUUUAAAACUUUAAGCGUUAUUUGCAUAAAAUAAAAAGGUUCGGCGAUGGUGUGAACGCGCUUCCACGACCACUACAGAAGUAAGUUUUGUGUCUGUACACAUCAUCUCUUUGACUGUUGCAUUAUUGCUUUCUCUUCUUCUAACAGUUGAUCAUGAAGGAAAUUUGUGUCUCAUCUCGAUUCUGCCCUCUCUGCUGUUGGCUUCACCACUUUCCUUCACCACCCCAAUGCACUCAACCCAAUUCACAUCCAACAAUCUAUUCUCAAUCUCUCUCGUGUAGCAAUUGUUGUUUUCACCACAACCUAUUCUCAAUCUGCUUGGUGUCUUCAUCAACUUCAACAAAUCAUUGAAUGGCACCAAACUUAUU
rnacentral:lncRNA from 1 species